rnacentral:lncRNA from 1 species
UGAGCCAAGCUCCUCCAAGGAUGAAAGCUGUGAACAUUCUGAAACAUCUAAAGAUUUUAGCUGCACAAGGUUUACAGUAUUACUUGACCCCCACAGAUUCUUCAGUUGAUGGCACUCAUGUAAUGCGAUACCUUCAAGGCCUGAUGGAAACUGCUUGAACACAUCCUCGAGGGAUGCAAGCCCUAUAAUCUGCCCAAACUGCAAUUGGUUUAAUGAGGUCAAAUUGUGAAAACAUUUUGCAAUUCCCACCGAGCACUUUUUUAAGUUUAGUUCAGAGAGUGAAGGAAGAUGCAAAACAGGAAUGCUUUUCAACUUUGGGCAGCCACUUAUACAGAGCUUUCGGAGCAGAGGGAAGUGGCAUUCGGUCUCUCCUGCUGAACUUAAGCAAGUCCAUUCCUCCCAUUCUGGCAUGUCAUCAAAUGUUAGACUUUCAAGCGAUGGAAAGCAGUCUUUGCCACAUACCUCCGUACCUACUGCCUUCACCUCAAGCAUGGUUUGAAUGCUCAAAUCUUUGAGCGCAGGCAAUUGCCCGAGUGAUGGUAAACACUUGCAGUGUGUACAACCUCUAAGGCUUACUUUUACUAAUUUAGUAAAUGAAGAAUCCCCCACCCAGGAAGAGAAUUUGUCUCCCUUAUAGAACUCAAUUUCAAGACUUGUUAGGUUUGUGUGUGGUCGUAGUGCCUCAAGCAAAUCUUGUUGAAGAACUUUACUCAGAGAAUCAUCAUAUUCACUAUUCCAUGCCAAUACUAUUUUAUCAAGGUCCCUCUUGUUCUUCAAAUUGGCAUCCCGUGCUUCUUGAACAUUCCUAACAUUUUGCAACUCCAAAAUGGCGAGUGACCCUGCCAGUAAGGACAAGUUCCCCAAGUCAUUCAGCCUGAACCCACCAUUUUUGCUCACAACCACUUUGGAUAGUGUCUGCAAGCUCGUCAACUGAUCAAUCCCUGAAGGCAUCUCAUGCAAUUGCCUAGUAUUGGAAUUUUCAAGAUGGCGCAGGUUAAUUAAUUUUCUAAUACCUACCGGUAAGUUAAUCAGCCCCCAGCAGUUGCGCAAACGUAGUGUUUGUAAAUUGCAAAGAUUACUCAUUGAUUCCGGCAACACUUUCAACGAAGUACCAGACAAAUUCAGGUACCUUAGAUGUAUUAAUUCACCGAUGGAAUUUGGUAGAUCAAAGAUAACAUAGCCACUGAAUGAUAGCACCCUUGAGUAUCGCAAUUCCAGCAAAAGUUCUGUUAUGACCUUUUUAGCGAUGUAAAAGUCGCCGUCAUACUUGCCAGAAACGGGUAGGAAACUCCGCAAAUGUUUUGCUUUCUGAAGUGUUUUAAACUUUUGUGAAGCUCCAUACAUUGAACUUGUGAAUGAUGCAUACCUAACCUUGUCAAGAAUCGUGAAUUUGAUGUUCUCUUCCAAGUCGUCUGUCAGUCUGGAACAAAAAUCUCCAGCAACAUAUCUAGCUAGAUCGUUAAUAAGGUCAUGCAUCACAAAACGUGAACUAUUGGAACUUGACUGCUGGAAGAAGGACCUCAUUAGUAGCUCCUUAAAAUAAUUGUCCCCUAUGUCCUCCAUAAGAUCACUUGCUUUUGAUUCCUCGAGAAAACCCUCUGCCAUCCAGAGCAAUACAAGCUCAUAUUUGUCAAACUCAUAGUCCUUGGGAAAUAUGGAGCAGUAAGCAAAGCACGGUUUUAGAUGGGCAGGAAGAUGAUAAUAGCUUAAUCUUAGUGCUGGAAGAAUAUCACUUUGAUCCUCUUUUAUUUCCCACAUCUCACUGUUCAGUAUAUCCGUCCAUUCAUCUGGGGUCGAUCUAGCACGCAACAGCCCUCCAAGAGUCUUCACGGCCAAGGGCAAGUUCUUGCACUUCCUUACAAUACUCCUACCAGUGCCUUCUAGAUUGGGGUGCCUGUCAAAAUUUGUCCUUCCUAGUGCAUGUCUUGCCAGUAACCAUAAGCUUUCAUCAUCUGUCAACUCCUUCAGACUAUAUCCAGCAGUGGAAGACAUUACUGAUGCCACUCUAUGAUGCCGAGUGGUGACAAUUAUCUUGCUCCCAGAUGAACCAACUAGAAAUGGGCGGCGCAGGAUGUCCCAGUCCUCGUAUUUUUCAUUCCAAACAUCAUCUAAAACAAUUAGAAACCUCUUCCUGGUCAAGGCCUCACUCAGUUUCACUUGAACCAUAUUCAGAUCCUCAUAAUCACAGCCACCUGCUGUGAUUGCUCUGAGGAUUGUCUUUGUUACCCCAAAAAUGUCAAAAUCAUCUGAAACACAAGCCCAAGCCUUGGAAUCGAAAAAUUCGUUGACUCUGUCAUCAUUGUACACCAUUUGAGCAAGAGUUGUUUUACCAACCCCUCCCAUGCCAACAAUUGGUAUCACAGCCACUUGAUCAUCGCUCGAUUCAUUUGAAAGGAGCAAUUUCAGCAGCUCUUCUUUGUCAUUCUCCCGACCAUAAACAUGAGACUCCACUAGGGAAGUUGAUGGCAAUCUAUCCCUAGUUUUGUUCGGCCUCUUUGCUACAGUCUCUACCAAAUGGAGGAUUUUGAUUUGUUCUUUCGUGCUCUCCAAUCUUCUAGUUAUUUCAUCCACCUUGGGAGCCAUUUUUCCGUUGAACUUAUAAUCUUUAACAGAAAAAUUUGUACAACAGGAAGGGAUUUUAACCUUUCUUACCUUGCUAGUAGAGCCUUGAGCUUCCAUCAACUUUCUUCGACAAGCUUCUGUGGAGAAUUCGUCUAUCACAUCAUCCAUAUCAUAUGCCAAAUCCUGAAGAUCAUCUAGCCACUGCUUCACAGCGAUCCUCAUAUUCUGCUUGUCCUCAGCAUCAUCAAGCACUGCCUGAAUCAGGGAUAGCACUUGGCUCCAUCGUUUCAGCUGAGUAUCUAAGCCUUCUGAGCGUGCAAAUUUCUUCAAAUCGACAGAAGCAAGCUUGUCAAAUAUCACCUUGAUGAUUGCACCAAGAAAGACUUCUAUCAGUGCCAUUUUUCACUCCUCUUUUUUUCCUCUCCGGAUUAUAUUGUGUAGGUAAGCAACGAGCAAAAAGUCUGAAAACUUGAAAGGGGAGAUAAGAUUGAAAGAUGGGAAACUAGUCUGGCUGUGUUUGGACUAAUAAUAUUUCGUUUUUUUAAUUGCGGAACAGUAAAAUCAAAAUGAUCAUUGACUUGUAUUGACCGAAUAAUUCAUCCCAAGUUUUCAAUCCCAAAACAGUAAAAUGCCAAUACAUUAUUCAGACCGUUGUACUGUAUCAAAACAAACCGACAAAUAAGUGUGCCUAGUCUUUCUCUAUCUUCUUCUUUGCUCCCCCUCUUCAUCACCCCCAACCUCACUUACAUAGCAUUAUCUCAGACGUGGGUUUUGUAGUUGUUCUGCCAGGGAGCUAUCAUCUAUCACAUUCUUUACGGGAAAAGUGAUCAGCGCCAAAAUAUUUCAACUGGCAAGAAAAAAGUUUCCAAAGCACGCUUCUUCAUUUCUUAUGUAGUACCAGUAGACUUAUUUUUCUUUUCUGUAGCACUAUAUUAUAUCAUCAAUCAUUAAAGUAACCCACAUAGAGAAGUUGCUUUUGUGUGGAAUUUGACCGAAUUGAGGGAGGUACUUUUGAGCUAGAAUGAUUGGUGCUCUUAGGGUAGUUGUUGUACUUCAUUUACAACGUAGUGUACAUUUACAAAUGCUCAUGUAUUUAUGCAUGAGUUGAUGAACACGAAUAAAAUUUGAAGUACCACAAAAUUGUAUAAGAGUAAACUAUAUUAUGUAAAAAGUAUAAUAUCUAGACAAUUGCAACAAAAUUCAAUUGUACCUGGUCUAAUUUUGACCAUUUUCCUUAGUUGUUUAACGUUAAUUAGUGUAAUUUGGUUGUAUGUCGUGACACAAAUUCAAUUAAAUAACUAAAACAUCAAACCACAUAAGUAGCUGGUAUUUGUUGUUUCCAUAAUUCUAAUUUUUUUAAAAACAAUUGUUCAAAAUAUCGUUCACAUUUUGUAUAAUACAUUUUUUCGUCCUUUACUUUCAAAACAUUAACUUUAUGUACCUCAUAAAUUCAAGUUAGCAAAAUUUAGUCUCAACCAAAGUUUUUGACUACUUUUUAGUCUGAAAUCACUACUUGACCAAUAUACAAUCAUUUUUUAUGUACAAAAAAAAAUUAGAUUUCACUUUUUAUUGAUAAUAUAUAUAUUAUGUCAAAUCUCUUUUUUUUUUUUUGAAAAAGUGAAUACAUUUUAGAUCAAAUCCUACUUUUUAAAGAAAAAAUGAAUAUAAAUCUGGUCAUUUGUUUAACUAUAAACGGGAUUUAACAGUUUUGCCCAUAAAAAAAUAAACCCAAAUCUCUUAAUUAUAUUCUCUCUUCUCAAACCAUCCAACCCAUCCCUCUUCCUUCUUUCUCCCCUCUCUCCAACCAUAUGUGGGUUAUGUGAAAAAUGAAAAAAUUCAUUUGGCGAGAUGUGAGAAACAUUUUGAACAGUUUUCUCCUUGUUAUUUUAUAUGUCAAACGGCAAUAUCCUACCAUUACUCUAAUAUUAUAUGGAAGCGUAUGGUUCCAAUGGGACCAUUUGAGCUGUUGAAAAUUCAGAGGAGACUAUCACCUCUGACGUCUGAACUAGACGGGUGCAAUUGCACCAGUUAGAAGAAGUUUCCUAGAAAUCAUAACUUCAAGAGCAGGUGAGGGUUUCAAAUCUCCCACCUAUACAAAAGGGAUAUAUUUAUCAAGUUUGUGAUAUAUUUAUAAAGAAAGAAAUUUAGAAACAUUGUGAAAGUCCCAUCUGAAUUAGCAAAAUUAAUAUUCUCUCCAUCUCAUUUUAUUAGUUAUAGUUUCUCCUUUUGCUAAUUCCAAAAUAUUUUUUUCAUCAAUUUGGACAAAAAUAUUUCUUAACGUCUUAAAAUUUUUUGAAGCACCUAUAUUGAUUAUUAAACAGGAAAGGUGAUUAAGUACAUCAACGGGUCCUUGAUCAGACUUGCAUUUUCUUUAAUUGAAUGCAUUUGUCUAUUCCUUUUACCAAUGAAUUAUAAAAUAAGAUAGAUGAGAUAAAAAGAUAAAGCUUCUAACCAAAACCCUUCUUCUUGGACCCAAAAAAAAGGAUAAUUAUUCUUCUCAGAGAAAUAUCAAAUUAGAUAAUUAUUCUUCUCAAAAAAAUCAAAGUGUAUAGGAAGUUGACUUGACUUGACUAAGAGCUUAAAUCUUAAUCCUAUAAGGUAAGCAAGGGUCACAGAAUUAUCAAUGGAAAUUAGCGUGUUAAUUUGUUUGAGUACAUCUUGUGUGUGUGUGGGGGGGGGGGGGGGAGGGGGGUUCUUCUGAGACUAGUUGAACAAACGAAGAAACAGCCUUAAGAAAUGGGAAAAUUAGUAGUAACUUCUGUGAUAAUGUAUAUAACUCUUGAAUGAUUAUGUGAAUAAAUAUAAAAUAUUACAAGGAGAUAAGGAAGAUAUCCGUACAACUUAUAGGAGUGUUAAGUGUAUAUUGUGAUUUCAUCACAUGCAUUUUUAGAGUACAUCUAAUUCAAUCGCGUUAAUUAAUGAUUUUUUCGUCUAAUUUUUUUACUUUAUAUGAAACUAUAAGAGAGUUAUGUAAAUAUUUUGAAACCUUAGAAAAAACAUGUCAUAAUAUGCAAAAUCAGAAUGAAGUUAUAAAUAAUUUAUGCAAAGAAAAUUGAAGUUACCUGCAGAGAUAGAGUUGGGGAGGGGGGGUGUGGGGUGGGGGGGUGUGCGGUUUGGCCGGGCAAGGAUUGGCCGAUUGGGACUGCAGAGAUUAUCCAAUGGGUUCUUUGAGGGGCUGCUGUGUUAGAAGACUCAUUUGUAUGCAUAAGGCUCCGAAAAACCCAAAAUUAUGUAUUCCUCGAGUUAAAUCUACGUCCUUUCAUUUUAAAUCCAUAUUUUGUACAUGGCAUAUAUUGUCAAUGUUCAGAGGUGUGGUCAAUUAUUGGAAGUUGACUUGACUUUGCUGAGAGCCAAAGCCUAUAAGUCAAGCAAGGGUCAUACAUUAACGCGUUAAUUUGUUUUGGUACAUCCGAGUGGGCUUCUUCUGUAGAUUUUGCACAUAACCCCCUGUAAAAUUAUGUAGAUAAAUGUCAAAAGUACAAAAGAGUAAAAUAUAUAUUUCAUUAAAUCAUAUGCGAGUUAAACAGAUAUUAUGAUUUUAUCCACACAUAUUUUCAAAGCAAGUCCAAUUCAAUCGCCUUAAUCGUAGCAUUUUCGUUCAUUUUUUACUUUAUCUAAAACUACAUAGGAAUAUUAUGAAUAUGUUAUAAUCUUAGGAGAGUCAUCUGACAAUAUAUUGAAUCAUAAUAGACGUAUUAGUAAUUUACGCUAAGAAAGAUGAAGUUGCGGGGAAGAGACGGACUGAAUGAAACCCCCUUUUUGAACAUUGAUAAAAUAUGUCAUAUAUAAAGUAUGGAUUUAAAAUGAAAGGAUGUAGAUUUAACUUUAGGGAUACAUAAUCUUGGCCUUUUUAAUUUUAAAAACACUAAAUUUUGGUUUUUUGGGAAGCUUCCCUUGCAGAAGAUGCUAGUAAGAGUCUUUUGAACUACUUAAAACAAAUUAUAACCAUCUUUGUGAAAGUAAAACUAUUAGUUUUGAUUGUCUCUUAAAACAGCUUUUAACUUCUCAAAACAUUGAAAACAAGGAUGAUUUUUCAUUGUUUCAAAGAAAGUUUUGAAAGUAUUUCAUAUUUGAAUUCAAAACUACUCAUAUGUUCUUGAGACCAAGCUCCAAGUAAAUGUUAAAGUUCCAAAUAAGGAAAAAUCGCAAUUGUACGUAGUGUAUUUAGAAGUUUGGCUAUGCCAGUCGAAGAGAUAUUGAUCCAAUGAUUUAGAUCGAAACCCAAAAAAUUAGAGGUCAUUAGUUCAAAUCCUCUUACCUCCUCCUGCUUAUUAAGUCCCUCCUCCGUAGAGUUAUCAGCUAUUUUUACUUUUCUCCUUUGAGUCAUGAUUUUUAAUUUUUUGCAUCCUGAAGUUACACAUCUAUUAAACAUUGUAUUACGUACACAGAUAUGGACAGAAAACGACAGAAUUUUCCUUGUGAAAGGUGACAUUCGAUCUUGUAGGUUUUCCGUAAUUGUGUAAGUAUUUGAGGUAAGUAUUUUAGCAAGUUUUGAUAACCAAAUGAUCGAAACAGAGAAUUUAUGAACUAAUUAACCAUACUAAGGAAGAAGACAAGAUUCACUUGUUCUAAACGUUAUAUCUUAAUGCAACAAGUCGGUUAGGCGCUUGACUAAACCUUCAAUCUUUUAAAUAAACGCCCUCCUCAUGUAAUUUCUCAAAUGUUGAGUCAUGACAAGGUGAAGAUAGAAAUUAAAUUAAAGAUUCUAAAAUUUUUUAAGAUUCUUCUAAAUUAGAAUAGUUUACAACAUAUAGAACUUUGAACUCCAAAUUUCAAAUGAUUCUGACUACGUCUAUUCUAAAAAGAGUAACAAACUUUUGUAAAGUGGCAAAUAUUAAAGAUGUUAGUCACAAUUCAAUUAUGUUAAUCAGAUCCGUCCAAACCCAUCCACUAACUUUGAAUGGGUUUAAAUGAGUAUUCAAUUAAAAUCAUUUAAUUGGUAGGUAGUGAGUUGACUCAACUCAUCCAUUUAUACCCAUUUAAAAAUAACUAUACAUUUAAACUCAACUUUUAGUGAAUAUUAAGUAAAUAAAUUUGAAUUUCUUAUCAAUUUAAUAACAAUAAAUAACUAUUAUUUCUUUUCAAACAACAUGCAAAAAAUUUUUAAACAAAAGUAAAAUUGCAAGUGACUCAUAAAUGGGCAAUUGGUUAUACUUGUAUCCAUUUAUACCCAUUUAUUUUAUCUAUUAUUCAAUUAUGAUCCACUUAAACCCAUCCAAAUUAUCUAUUUUGACACCUCUAGCUAAGAUAUUACAAGAGAAGUAAUAGAAAAAAGUGCAACAACCUUUUAAGGCAGCUAAGAUAUUGCAGUUAGUGUGCCAAUAUUUACACAAGGAGGAUACUGCACGACAUUUUGUUAAGUUGUACCACCACUUCUUCCUUCUUAAUUCAUGUGUCUGAUCAAAGAAACGCAAAUGUACCACGUACUUCAGCUAUGUAAAGCUUACAUAUUUUUUCUUAGUGAUUCAGUUGGUCACUGUGUUUGCCUGUCAUCUCACUUUCUACAGCCUUGGCAGCAAAGCCAGACGAUAACAUCCACAUGUAUAUGAUGUAAACUUACUAUAGUGGAGUCAGCUAUUCGAUCUGCAAUGAAUAUCGAUGGGGAUGCAAUUUGAUCUAUUUGUUGACGUAUAAUUGACUAAUCAUUCAACUGUAACUAUUAUUCUAUGCAACUUUAAUAAAGUUGCCAAGAUUGAUAAAGAUGAAGUUAUUGAAGCGGUGGUGGUUUAUUGGUCGUAGAUAUUGGUUACAAGAAAAUGUAUUUGCUUAUCAAGGCACUAUUUAUGAAUCAUCCAUUGGAUGCUUGCCUUCAAUAAUUUCUGGAAAGUUACAACGUGUGAAUGUUUUUUUUUAAAAAAAAUGAUAUGCGAAAACGAUUCACUAAUAGUUUCUCGACAGAGCUUAAUUGGGCUAUACUUGUCAAUUUGCUGUUUGAGGCUUCAACUUCACAUCUAUAAAUGAAUGCAACAACUGCCAAGAUGAAAAUUAUAUGAUUGUGAUGUGUUUGCUGGUUUUAUUAAAAUAAAAAAUACAUAGGACCAAAUAAAAAAGAAUUAGAAUUGUCGUUUACAUUGAUUUCAUGUCGUUGCUGCUUUUACUGCGUUUUUAGAAAACUAGCCUAAGGGCUAUUGAAAUAACUUGGGCGGUUGAUGUGUGCUUGUAAUAUGUGUUAACCUUUAUGAAUCCCACGUGCGAUCAAAUAAUCAAUCAAAUAAUUAAUCAAUCAAAUAAUUACGGAUUUAAUUGACAAAUUUGGCAAGAGAUUAAUAAGUUGCACUGAACAUCGGGCCCUUGACAUCCAAUUAACAAAAUAAUCCCACGAAAAUUCAAAUAGAUAAUGUGCAAAUAUUAACAAAUUAAGGAACGCGUGAAAACUAAUUAGAUCUCACAGAUAUUCGGGACUGCGCCGUCGAGUUGAUCCUUGACUAGAUGAAAGACUUAGCUACGCCGCAUAAAUAAAUCUCUACGCAAAUUGAUUGAUUGCAAAUGCAUCACGUUUUUCACUAGAAAGCAAGAGUAAAAGAUGUUUUUCCCGUUGAAAAAUAUUCUCGACCACCUCGUGCGCGUGAAAAGGAAAAGGAAAGAAAAAACUAAAACUAAAGCUAUGCUAAAACUAUUACCCUCAAGCCUCUGUACGUUUGUCUCUUUAAAAGCAAAAUUGACUACUGCCUUUCUUAUCUCUGUGGUCCCCGCCGAAAUUGAGAAUCAAACCGAAAGUAAGGCUUUGCCGAAGUCCCUUUCUUUUCGUUUUCCAUUGCUAGGAGGACUCCUAGUCAGCAGCUCUUUAUCACCUUUCCUGUGUUUGGAUUGAAUAACUUAUACCCCUUAGUCUCAUGACUAUAUUCAAUAAAAAUACACUUCUCUGCUUCAUCAUCCAGUUUCUGUCUCAAAUGAUCUGGAACAUGCGUAUACGCAAGACAGCCAAAUACCUUGAAGUGAGAAAUAUCCGGUUUCAUAGCAGUCCAAACUUCUUGUGGAGUCUUUCCAAAAUUGCAUCUAGUAGGACACCUAUUCAAAACAUAAAUAGCACAAGAUACUGCUUCUGCCCAAAAGGACUUAGGAAUACCUUCGGAGUGCAUCAUAAACCUCACCAUAUCCAUCACAGUCCUAUUCUUCCUUUCUGCCACACCAUUUUGCUGAGGUAUAUAUCUGGCUGUCAUUUGAUGUUUUAUACCUGACAGGUUGUCGGCCUAUGUAAUAAUAAAACCUGCUCAAACUAAAAGUAAUUUCUGUAGAUAGCGGUGAGUAGGGUCGAAUCCACAGAGACUGGGAAUAAUUAUUUCUUUUCAAAUUCACAGUGACAAGGGGGGUGUUUUUAUAUCAGGGGUGACAAUUUAAACAAUUCAACUAAAAGUAAAAUAAUAAAAAUAAAAUAGCCAACUAGAAAUUAAAUAACAAUUUAUUAAAAUCAAAUGAGGGAUAAUUAAGGAUCUAGCCAAGAAAUAACUUCAGCAAUGGUUUUCCUAAUUGAUCAUCGAUGCAAAGCCAAUUCCAAUUAUUUAUUGAUAAAUAGGUUAUAAGUGCCAAACAAGCGAUGACAGUCAACCCCUCCUUACUGUAUCGGUGAUCAAGAUACGCCCAUUAAUCACUGCUCUAAUUAGGAAAUAAUCCUAGGUACGCCUGUAAGAUUUAAUUCCCCCAUCGCCUUACGUAUUAAAGGAGCCCUAUUCUAACCAAAUAACGCACUACCAGGGUUAUUUCAAAUUAGCCCGCGUAUCCCCUUGGCACGAAUCCAAUCAUGCCAGUUAUCACUAUUUUGAGGCAAUUAAACAAUUACAGAUUUAAUGUCCCAAUUGACAAUAGAUUAUCAAAUUAACUAAUUAUCCGGAUCCAAAACAAUCAAUUAAUUAAACAAUCAUAAGCACUGCAACCAAGGAAUAUGCGAAUACUAAUAAAUAAAUAAAAAGAUAAAAUGAAAUCGAUCUCACAAUUUUUAGGCGAACCAAAGCCUCCGUUGCUCCUUGACUAGAGUGAAGAAAUUUAGUUCAUAUUUGAUGAAUAAAACCCAAACAAAAUUGCAACAAGAGUUGUCUGCCCAUGCGAAGGAAGAAAAACAAUCAAAAGCUACAAAGGAAAAGUCAAAGGCCGAUGCUUCAUUCCUCCUGACAUGCGCAGGGGGCAACCACAAAAGACGAAAGGAAAAAGUCAAAGAAAGCUAAAGGAAGUCUAUUGUUUUUCCUUGUCAUCACCAACGAGAGAACUCCUACUAAAAAGCUAAGAAAGGAAAAAUCAAAGCUACUCUGAUGCUUGGCUCCUGUGCGGCGGCCCCCUUGCGGAGAGGACGAACCCUCCAGCCCUGCUUUCCUUCUCUUCUUUUAUGCUGUCUUCCACAAAUUACUGGAGAGGUUCAUGUCUUGAUAUUCCAAAAAUACUCCUAGAUGCCUGCUACUUGAACUCUUUUCUGAUGACUGUCAAAUACGCAUUGGUUAUGGUAUUUUCGUUCUACUCCCUGAAUUAAAUGCAAAUUACGAAAAGUGAGUAGAAUCUAAUAAUUAAUCCAUAUCAAGUCAGGUAAUAGGGGAAAUUAAUAAUAAAAUAAAUGACAAAAUUGCAGCCUAUCAAUUCCCCCCACAACUAAACCAUGCUUGUUCUCAAGCAUAAGAACAGUAAAAAAACCCCAAUAUUUAACAAUGGCUAUUGCUCUAUUUACCAUAUUUCUAAGAUAUCAAGAAAAAUAUAUAUCAAGCAUCGGUGAUCAAAAUCCAAGAAACAUCACCCCGGUUAGUUUCUAAACUACAAACUUCUCUAAUUUUAGGUUAACUAAUCUAAGAAAAAGGAAUGACGUAUAACAUUUAUCAACAAAUGGUCCAACUAUUAACCAAAAUCUCAACAUUAAAUUCAUAAAUCGGCAAAUUGACUUUUAUUAUACACUAACACAACUUUCACUUUUUUUUUAUCACAUUUUUCUACUUUUCUCUUUUUUUGACUUUUUUCUUCUCUUUUUUUUUCUUUGCUUUUCUCAAUAGUAACAAAAGACUUAGUCGCUAGCCAUUGGAACCUUUUGACGCGAGCUCCGACAUUUUUAGAUGAAGGAGCCCGGUUACUUAGCUCCUAUCGCUACGUGACCACGUACUCAUAGUAAUUACUACUUUUUGACACGAAAAUCGACACUUUUGGUGAAGAUCCCCGGUUAUUUGGUACUAAAGACUAGCGGAGUACAGCUAACUCUUAUUCACAGUUAAAUAACACAAAAACUCAAAAUAACAUAAAAAUCAAAAGAGAAUUUACAUCAGCUAGCCUUAUUUUCAAACAUGGAGAACUGAGCUUAAUAACCGGACCAAUUCACAUGAAAAUGCCAACAAUCAUUCCCUAUGCCUAGAAAAGUUAAUCCAGAAAUUAUAAAAGUAAAACAAUCAUCGAUAUUCACCAAAUAGAUGUUUUUUGACUCAACCACAUUAAUUUGAUACCAUUUUAUUAUUAAAACAUGGCAAUAGCAGAAUUAGAGACAACAAUCCAACAUAAAACUUUGGUAUUCAUUAAAAAAAAAAUAAACGAAAACUAGACAAAUAACAAACUAGAAAUAAAAGAAGGACGUCUGAAAACUAAAAACUGGCAUAGCUGUCCCUCCCCCCACACCUAAAUCCUACAUUGUCCUCAAUAGAGGAGGGAAUAAAGCAAUUAAAUUGAAAAGGACAACGAAACUUCCCUCUCGAGUGGCUAAGGGGUAGGCGGGAACGGCGGAGGGAAAUCGAUGUGGUGAGGCAUCAAUUCAACCAGCAAAUGCACAACUCUGUCCAUCCAAAAUCUCAACAAAGUCUCCAAUAAUGUGCUAAAUCCAGCAAUAUCAGUUCAGGACUUUAGUAAUAGCAGCGCAGUCACAAGCCCUUGGCAGUCAAUCAGAUCUCUAACCAAAUAGAGUUAACAAGUACCCGCACCCUUACCAUUGGUGCAAAUUGCAGUCCAAAAUCAAUGAGAUUUCUAUAGCAGAGCAGAUCAGUAGUAAAGCAAUAGCCCCAAGUAUUAAUCUAGUCACAAGAGAGUGAAUGUGCCACCAACGGAGCAAUAUCAGAGCAGAGCAAUUGCUAAUAAUGUCUCUCAGUUAUCAAUAAUUGCAAAAUUCCAACCCACCCAAAAAACUCAACAAUAGCACCCAAAAGCUCAACAAUUGCCCCCAGCAGUCAACAAGUCAGGCAACAGUAGUGCAGUAAUUCGGCAAUAACGACUCAAUAUAUAACCUCAACUGGCAAUCAGGCGUCCACCCACAAAAGCAAGUGAAAUUAUCUCAACGACCUAAUGGUUCACCACACAGAAUUCACUUCCACCCAACGAAACAGUUGAAGUCACUAAGAUGAACACGUUAGUCAACCGUCACAGAAAAUUCUAACAAGCAAACCAGCUCCUAACAGGACAAAUUAAGCAGCACAGGCUCUCGAUUCAAUAGGCAAUAUCAGAAAUAAUUUAACCAAAACCUCAGUAAUCGAAACACUAGCAGAGAUGCCUUUCAAUGAUCAAUAGACAAUUGCAAAAUUUCAGCCCACCCAAAAUUGCAACAAAUGGCUCCAGUUGGCCAGUCAAUUUCUUAACUCAAGAUUAGUAAUCUCAACGAUAACAAUUUAGAAAUUUGGCAAUAAUAACUCAGACAGCCAAAUAGAGAUACCCAAUUGAGGUCCAAUUACCCCACCAAUACCACUGGUAUAGCAAACUAUGGAAGAGAAAUCACACACUACCAAUACCAGGCCACCGAUAAACCAAAAUACAAACUAACACUGCUAACAAUUGAGAAUCGCAACAAUCAAAACACAAGCAAAGCCGCCUCCCAAUUAUCAAUAGACAAUUUCACAAAUCCAGCCCACUCAAAAACUCAACAAAUGUAACCAAAAGUUCAACAAACAUUCUCAAGAGUAUGGCAAACUAGUAAUGAACAAGAUCUGGGUCAAAUAUCACAACCCGUACCACUGGUUUACCACACAAUUGAAGGAAUAACCCCCAACGGCCAACAAUACCAAGUAUAGAAAGACCAGACAGCACCAGUGAAUAUUAAAAAAUUGGGGGACAAAUUCCAAAUACCUCCACCGAAGAAAGUAGCCAAGCGAUACUCCUGAUAGAGAAUCAGUAGCGCGCGUCAGGCGGUGGACCAAGCAGCGGGCUGAGUUGCGGGACUGGGGCGGAUGGCGACGCGAGGAGGGAGAGACGCGAGCGGCCGGCGGUGGUCUGUGGCGCGCGACUUCGAGCGGCGCACGCUCAAGUAGCGUGCGAGGUUGGACGCUACCGCUAGGGCUGUUGGCAGCGUCCAAGCGCUUCAGUGGUGGUGUUGGCUCGUGAUGGAGCUGCGGCGGAGCUGGUUGUGUGAGCAGAGAGGGAGCAGCGAGCUAGAGUGGUGCGCGAGCUAUGGUGGAAGCUCGCUGAGGUAGAACGAGCAAAAGGGGUGGCGCGCGGUCGGAGGCUCGCACGGUGGACCUGCGACGGGCCAGCGGCUGCUCGAGUGGAGAGAGAGGGAGCUGGUGAGAGCUGCGGCGUGAAUAAAAUGGGCGAGGUUGGAGUGAGAACUGCGAGUGGAGUGAGCGAGAGAGAGCUCUGGGAGCUCGCGGCGGGCGUGAACAAAGUGGGCGGCGGCGGACAAGGCUUUGUGGUUUUCGACUGAGAGAAGAGUAACAGGGGACUCAGAGAUACCUAAAGGGCAACUCGGAAACAGAGGGACUCAGAGAUACCUACCCACUGCCCAACGGUGUCGUUGGUGACAGUGGGUAGCGGAACCGGCAAGGGGCGGCGGUCGCAACUAGGAGAGUAGGGGCUGCGAUGAGCUGGUGGAUGUGUACCAGCGAGGUGGAGAGGCGCGCGAGGCUUGUUACUGCGACGAGCUGGGUUGCCACAGCUGGAGUGCGACGGCGGCGAACGAGGUGGAUGAAUCGCGCGCGAUGGAAAGGAGCAGCGACCGCCGCUGUUGGCGGCCGUGGGCUGACAGAGUUGGCUGUGGACGACGCGCAGCACACGAGCAACGGCGGUGGUGGUCGUGUGACUGUAGGCAGGGGGCAGCGUGCGUCAUCGCUCGGCGUUGGUCACGGGUGAAGGAGAUGGCGGCGUGCAUGAGGUAUGCUCAGCCGAAAGAGAAGAAGAAACAGGGGAGAAGAAAGAAAGAAAGAAGAAGAAAGAAAGAAAAAGAAAAAGAAAAGGAAAGAAAGGAAAAGAAAAAGAAAAUAGUAUUUGUGUUUUUUUUUCUUUUUUCUUUUAUCUUUUUUUUUGCUUUUUCGUUUUUUAUUUUCAUUUUAGAAAUUUUUUUUUGUUUUUACGAAAAGACUCCCUUUUUUUUCUCCUUGUUACUUACUUGAAAAUUUUGUUUUUUGAAAUUUUUUUUUAAUAUAUCUUUUUUUUAUUAUUAUUGAUAAAAUUUAUUUUUGGACUUCAAAAGUAGGGAUUAACAGAAAAUCAAUAACCGUUCUUGAAUUUUUUGGAUACUUACCUUUCCCGCGAAUGUGACGUGGGUACGAAAGCACGGAAUGAGGAGCUCUCCAAGUGACUUGACGCGGGCACGUCAUGAGGGCAAGAACCCCUUCUGACGAUUCUGACCGUGAGCUCUUCAUACGUCAUAACGUGGGCGCGUCAUGUCAGAGAGAUGCCUGUAAAUCAUCAAAAACGAAAAUUGAAGCAAAAAAUCAGUCAAAUAGAAGGAAAAAUAUAUUUAAACUAACGAACAAAAAUGAACAAAUAACUAGAAGAAAUUGGGUUGCCUCCCAAUGAGCGUCUUUCUUUAAUGUCUUUGACUAGACAUUAUCAUAUUUUGUUUAUGGAGGAUAAAAUCUCGUGGCUCGUCUUAAUGUUUCAUUCUCUAUAUAGUCCUGAUAGCUCUCGUAAAUAGAGUAAUUCUUGAGCACACGAGUUACGGGCUUCCAUGGACUAGUAAAUGGCGCCAAACAAGUCAUCGAUAAUUUGCAUUCUCCACUCACUCCUCCCUCACAUGCAUUUAUUGGUCCAAGAUAUCUUGCCAUCGCCAUUCUUAAAUUUAUUCCUGUCAUGAAAUUCAAGAUUUUCUGGUAUAAUAAAAUCAAUUUCAUUAACAGGAAUUGAAGAAUAAGAGUCAAGAGAAUAUUGAUUAAGGAAUGGAGGAAAUGUCACCGCAUUUGGAGGUUGUUCACUGGAUUCAUUCACUUGGACGGGUUGAUAUUGGGGGCUCAUUUUUUGCACAUCAACUUCCUUUUCAACUGCAUCUUUAGAUUCGUCUUCUUGAAACUCUUGCAGUUCCAUGUCAUUUGACCGGAUAAUUGCACUCUCAUCUUCUUCAAGGUUGAUAUUGGUUUGUGAGGGCAAUUCUUCAAGAUGAGAAGCUAAUCGCGUUAUCCUGGAUGUCAAUAGAUGUACUUGAUCUGCCAUCCCGGAUGUCAAUAGUUGCACUUGAUCCGCCAUCUCUUGUAUCUCUUGUUGAAAUCAAUAUGAAUUAGCAGUUAGCAAUUUCAUCAUUUCUUCAAGAGACAUACUUGACACGGAGGAUGAUUGUUGAGACUCUUGCUGUUGAAAAUCCAUUGGCCCGAUCGCAUAAUUAAAAUUGAAAUUAUCUCACCAUCCUUGAUCAUACCUGUUUGGGUAAAGGUCAUACCACGUUUUAAAUCGAGGUGAAAAAUCUCCAAAAGUAUCAAUUGGAGCACUUAGAUUAUCUUGAAACGCGGGGCAUGUGUCGGUUGAAUAACUUGAGGCAAAAUAAGUCCCACAAUUUGCAACAGCCCAUUGAUCAUUAGGAAAAACAUGAGUCUCAUAACCCCAUUCAGGAAUAAAAUUUAGUCUAUCAUCAAAAUACGGAAUGUUAGCAGCCAUAAGCUAUAUAAAAAAAUAAGAGAAAAAUAAAUUAAAAAUGAAAACAAGGUGAACUAAAAAAGAAACAAAUUAAUCUGGCACCAGUCCUCGGCAAUGGCGCCAAAAAUUAACAGGUUGUCUGCCUGUGCAAUAAUAAAACCUGCUCAAACUAAAAGUAAUUUCUGUAGAUAGCGGUGAGUAGGGUCGAAUCCACAGGGAUUGGGAGUAAUUGUUUCUUUUCAAAUUCACAGUGACAAGAUGGGUGUUUUUAUAUCAGGGGUGACAAUUUAAACAAUUCAACUAAAAGUAAAAUAAUAAAAAUAAAAUAGUCAACUAGAAAUUAAAUAACAAUUUAUUAAAAUCAAAUGAGGGAUAAUUAAGGAUCUAACCAAGAAAUAACUUCAGCAAUAGUUCACCUAAUUGAUCAUCGAUGCAAAGCCAAUUCCAAUUAUUUAUUAAUAAAUAGGUUAUAACUGCCAAACAAGCGAUGACAGUCAACCCCUCCUUACUGUGUCGGUGAUCAAGGUACGCCCGUUAAUCACUGCUCUAAUUAGGAAAUAAUCCUAGGUACGCCCGUAAGAUUUAAUUCCCCAAUCGCCUUACGUAUUAAAAGAGCCCUAUUUUAACCAAAUAACGCACUACCAGGGUUAUUUCAGAUUAGCCCGCGUAUCCCCCUGACACGAACCCAAUCAUGCCAGUUAUCACUAUUUUGAGACAAUUAAACAAUUACGAAUUUAAUGUCUCAAUUGACAAUAGAUUAUCAAAUUAACUAAUUAUCCGGAUCCAAGACAAUCAAUUAAUUAAACAAUCAUAAGCACUGCAACCAAGGAAUAUGCGAAUACCAAUAAAUAAAGGAAAAGAUAAAAUUAAAUCGAUCUCACAAUUUUUAGGCGAACCAAAACCUCCGUUGCUCCUUGACUAGAGUGAAGAAAUUUAGUUCAUAUUUGAUGAAUAAAACCCAAACAAAAUUGCAACAAGAGUUGUCUGCCCAUGCGAAGGAAGAAAAGCAAUCGAAAGCUACAAAGGAAAAGUCAAAGGCCGAUGCUUCAUUCCUCCUGACAUGCACAGGGGGCAACCACAAAAGACGAAAGGAAAAAGUCAAAGAAAGCUAAAGGAAGUCUAUUGUUUUUCCUUGUCAUCACCAACGAGAGAACUCCUACUAAAAAGCUAAGAAAGGAAAAAUCAAAGCUACUCUGAUGCUUGGCUCCUGUGCGGCGGCCCCCUUGCAGAGAGGACGAAGCCCCCAGCCCUGCGUUCCUUCUCUUCUUUUAUGCUGUCUUCUGCAAACUACUAGAGAGGGUCAUGUCUUGAUAUUCCAAAAAUACCCCUAGAUGCCUGCUACUUGAACUCUUUUCUGAUGAUUGUCAAAUUGGCAUUGGUUAUGGUAUUUUCGUUCUAUUCCCUGAAAUAAAUGCAAAUUACGAAAAGUGAGUAGAAUCUAAUAAUUAAUCCAUAUCAAGUCAGGUAAUAGGGGAAAUUACUAAUAAAAUAAAUGACAAAAUUACAGCCUAUCAAUACCACUUUCCGCCAAAUAGUCAUCACAAACAAGAUAUUCAGUGCCUCUGUCAGUUCUCAAAAUUUUAAUAAAGUAGCCACUCUGCUUCUCUACAUAAUAUUUGAACUUUUUAAACACAUCACAUGCAUCAGAUUUAUUUCUUAAAAAAAACACCCAUGUCUUCCUAUUGAAAUCAUCAAUGAAGAUAAUAAAAUACUUACUAUCACCAUUGGAAGGAACUUCAACUGAGCAUAAAUCUGAAUGAAUCAGUUCAAGCGGUUGAUUGGCCCUCCAAGCCUUGCCUUUUGGAAAAGGAUCCCUGUGCUUCUUUCCCAAAAUACAAGACUCACACUUCUUAUCAGGAAACUCAACAGACGGCAACCCAAUAACAAAUUUCUUUUUUGCAAGAAAUUUCAAACUCCCAAAAUUCAAAUGCCCAAAACACAUAUGCCAUAACCAAGAAUCAUCACAAGUCAUGGAAUUAAAGCAAGGUAAAUCGCCACAGUUAAGAGAAAGAGCCCACAAACGACUACGGUUCAUCUUUACCUUGGCAAUUAAUCCCAAUUUUUCAUCACUUAUGGUGCCAUUACCAUAUUUAAAAUGCAGGUCAUAACCUUUCUCAGACAGUUGUCCUAAACUCAACAAAUUAUGAUAUAAACUUGGCAUAUAGAAAAUAUCAGAAAUAUAAUUCGAAAACCCAUCUUGCAAGAUAAUUCUGAUUUUUCCUUUUCCUAGAACAGGUACCUUUUCAUUAUUUCCAAAUCUCACAGAUACAUGAAAAGAUUCAUCCACGUUAGAAAACAUCUCCUUUUUACCACACAUAUGAUUACUACAACCAAAAUCAAUAAACCAAUCAUUCUUCAUAGACUCUUCAGCUGUAGAACUAGAAAACAAUAAGGUCUCCUCUCUAUCACUACUAUUUUCUGCCACUUUAACAUGUACCUCUUUAUUAGACCAACAUUCAUUUUGAUAAUGAUCAAUUUUACCACAAUUAUAACAUUGGACAUUAGAUCUAUCACGCCUUUGAAAAUUAUUUCUUUGACUUUGCUGUUAACUGUUUUUCUGAUCCCUAUUAGAAUUAUUUCUGGGCUGGUAAGAAUAAUUACCUCUUCCAUGACUAUGAAAGUUACCUUUGCCUCCACGUCCUCUACCUCUGAAGUUCUGGCCCCUUUGAUUUGUGUCCAUACGAUUCACCCCCUCUUUUCCUUUUGGGUGAUUCACCUUGGCUUGUAACACCUCCUCUACUGUAUCUGAUGGCUGCUGAUUUAGGGACAUCUCAUACGUUAGCAAUUCACCUUCCAAUUCAGCAAGUGACAAAUUGUCAAGGUCCUUUGUGGCUUCAAGGGCCGUCUUCUUGGUGUGAAAUUUGGCAGUUAGAGAUCUUAGAACUUUUUCAACCACUCUAACCUCUUCCAAAUUCUCACCAUUGGACUCCAUAUCAUUGACAAUUUCUUUAAUUGUGCCAAUAAAAUCUUUAACUGACUCUGUGGAUUUCAUUUGGGCCAACUCAAAUUGUCUCCUAAGUUCCUGCAAUCUGAUUUUUCUCACGUUAGCAGCUCCUUGAUUUGAGUUCACCAAAACUAUCCAAGUCUCUUUUGCCGACUUUGCAUGUAUAAUUUUUUUGGCAACAUGCAACUGGACUUGAGUGUUGAGAUAGUACAUUGCCUUGCAAUCCAACUGUCUAUUUCUCUCUAAUUCUUUAAUUACAUCGCUUGAUAAUUCCAUACCUGCGACCGAUUCCGUAUGUCCUAUUUCAACUAUAUUCCAAACUGCAAUAUUUUGGAAAAAAUUCUUCAUCAUCGACCUCCAAACCUCAAAAUCGUUUUUACCGUCGAAGAUAAAAACACGACAAUUGUGCAAAUAAUGCGGAUCCAUACUUUAAUUUCAUGAACAAACUCCAAACCCCAAUUUUGCAAACAAGCCCCAAGAUCAAAGCCUGGAGCUCUGAUACCACUUUGUAGAAAUCUAACCCACAGGAUAACAACAAAUAAACCUCACUCAAUGAAUUAAUUAGGCAGCGAAAGAGGAAUAAAAAGGGAUAAGCAAUAGACUAUUUAUGACAAAGCGAGGCAACGAAACAAAAGCAGAACUAUGAAAAGCUUCGGGAGGCAAAACCAAUAUUUCUUUACAAGUCUCUCGGCUCCUUUCUAUGUUACACACCGGCAGACUAGUACUACACACACACAUACAUAUAUAUAUAGGCACCAAGUCUCCAUAGUGCUCAGGGAUUUUGUCCUCACCAUCUAAUAAAUCAAAGACCACAUUGGAAUUGGACAUCAAGCAUCCUAGUUAGACUAGAACUCAACUAGCUAAACGUAAACCUGAACUAUACUAAUUCCAACCAACUCCAAUUAAGAAACUAACAAAUAAUAAUCUUGAUUUAAUUCCUACAUGUUCUUUCGUAAUUCUGAUAGACUAGUUAAACUUUGUGAAUUAUUUAUAAAGCAAUGAAUUACGAGCGACUCUUGAAAUUUUCACAGUACUAGAUACAGUUUCUCCUUUUGCUACCUCUAUUUUUUUUUUUUUUUGGAUUCUGAAAAUUGAUCUCUUGUAAUAUCUGACAGAUUUUGAAGUAAGAUUCUGAUGUAACUAUUUGCCAUUCAACAGGAUAGGUGAUUAAGUACAUCAGAUUUACCUGUUAGCCAUGUAAAACAGAAUGUAUGAAAUAAAUUUUAAGAGAGAGAGAGCUUGUAACGAUGAUAACUAUAAUUAUUCGUCUCACAGAAAUAUCAAAUAAUAUUGGAAGUUGACUUGACUAUGCUAAUAGGUGACUCAGAAUAAGGUAAGCAAGGGUAAUGUACCUAUCUAAUUUGUUUUGCUACAAGUUUUUUUUUAAAUUUUAUUUUGGGUGGGUGGGAGGGGAGGGGAGUUCUUCUUGGGUUUAAUCAACAAGUACAGAAAAGCUGGCGGUGUUGCUUAAGACAAUUGAAGUUGCGGGGGAGGUUGUUAAGACAAUUUGAUUUUUAAACCAAUCUUCAACACAAACUAAAACCAGAAACUCCAUACGUAGUUAAAUUAAAGAUCUUCUUGCCUGCGAUAUAAGGGCUGGGAAUGGAACUUGUGGUAUACAGAACAUAUUAGUUGCCGCACAUCAUGCCAUCUACUAUGAUAUUCCACAUCGGAACUCGAAAGAGGAGAGUAAAGAUAUAUGACGUUCAGCCCGUCGAAUAAUCAAUAACAUUGGGUUAAUUUAGCUUUUAUUGGGCCAGUCCAGCAGGCACGGACCAUUACAAAUAGUAUCAGAGCGAAUUGUGUGUGGUUUCUAUGUGAAGUGAGCCUUUCCAACUAACAAUUAAAGAUUUUAGUCUGAAAUCUAAAGUUUGAAUCCAUUAAACUAUUGAAUUGUUAAGUAUUAAAUAUAAUACAUUUGAGUGCAUGUCAGAUUCAGUGAUAAGUGAAUAGUUUAUCACUUAAUUUUGGAAACAAGUUUUACCUAAAAAAUUCAGUGCUACUUAAUUUAUUCAGAUGUUUAAUUUUUUGUUAUCAGACGGUUUGAAUAUGUUAACAGCUGCUUCCAUUAAGUUUAAGUGCUGAAUUGAAUUAUCAAACAUGAUCUAAGUAAAAAAUAUAAGGAACUAAGUGCUAUACGGGACAAAACCCCAUAUUAGAUGGGGUCACCUUUAGAAUUCGUAUGAGUUAUCUCUAGAAUCCGCAUAUGACUAAAUAAUCAGUUGGAUUGCAAUGGAGUCCUCUUAACAAUCUAGAAUCCGCACACGAUUAAAUGAUCAGUUGGAUUGCAACGGGGUUUUCUUAACAAUAAGUCAAGUCAGUUGUGGAAAACAAAUGGGACGCCAUAAACUGCACUAUCCACAAAUUAGAAAUAUGAAAGAGAUGGAGUCAGCCAAAGUGAGGCUCAUGAAGCUUAGAAUUCUGAUGCUUGCCUAUUGGGCUGUCACACUCUUUGCAAGAUUUUGUAGCUGGUCAACAUUGUGACCUCCUAGAACAGUUAGAUGGUAGGCCUAUAACCGCAAGGAUAGAGCAGGAAAACAUUAGUGUAUGUGAAGUGUCAGCUUUGGAAACUAGGGUCUACUUGCGUGGCUGGUUUUGGCAAAACUCUAGUGUAACCCUUCCCAAAACACUAAGACACAGCUAAAAUAAUGUCAGCACAAAAAAACACAUGGAAGUAAUAUUAAAAUAUUACACAAGAUCAACGAAAGCACGUGAGGUUAUUCAAUCAAUCUAUUAAUUUUCUUCUGUCACAACUCAACUCAACUCAACAAAUUCUUCAACUCAAUAUAACAAGAGUCAACUCAAUUCUCUAAUUGGAUAUGAAACAAGCAUCACAUAUAUGUAGGCAAUAGGUUACCAUAUAACUAAAGACUCGAGUGACUUCCACCGACUUGGACUAAGAAACCAAUUACACUUAGAAAACCAACUAAUCAAGGAUUCGGACUUGACUAUUCACCGACCAAAAUUCAAGGAAACUAACAAGCGGACAGCUGACUAAAACUUUACCAUGUAAGUGGAUAUAGUAACAACUUUAAUCUAAUAAUCUAAACAAAAAAAUGAAGUAAACUUGGUUUAAUUUCCUUCAUUACCUUUCUUAAACUAAACUCAUCAUUAUGGUCAAUUCCAAUACCAUCUCGAACUUGAAUCUAUAUGAAAAGCUUUGUUGUUAUAUAGAUCAUAUGGAAUCUCAACUUACAAUUGAUCUUCAGUUUCAUCUUCUCCGGUGGAAGUAGACGAAACUUAUACUUUUUGAAUAAUUUCUUCGUUUGAUCGGUCUUGCCAAAAAAUUCAAACAUGUUCACCUAUGCUUCAUUAGAUACUCCAUAAUUUAAUUCGUCCACGCCACCAAGAAAAUUUCAUGAAAUCACAAAAUCAUGCUUUCCACCACCAAAAAUUUCAACAUCAUCAUGAACUUAUUUUGAUUCAUCCAUACCAAUGCCCACAUUAGUUUCAGCAAUGCCACAAUCUUUAACUAAUUUGUCCACGUCACAAUUGUUCUUAACCAAUUCUAUCGCUUGAUUUUUCUCGUCAAAAUAUUCAUCAAUCCCGAAAAAAUUAACAAUUUCUAUGUUGCGAUAAGCUUCAAUCACAUCUUUAAUCUGAUGAAUGAUUUCACUUUCUUUCUCAACCACUUGUGAAAUUCCUUUUGAACAAAAUUUUCAUCUUCAUGGGCACCCACAACUUCUGUAAUUUCUUCUUUCUUUAUCUCAUCCAAAAAAAAAAUAUUUUUCUUCUUUCUCAUCACAAAUUUUUUGUCAAUCAUAACUACAAUAAGAAUUUGUCAAAAAUUUUCAAACCUCCUUUGCCGUCUUUGCAUGUAUGAAUCUUUUCGCUACAUGCAAUUGAACUUGGGUGUUGAGGUAGUAGAAUAUCUUGCAAUCCAACUGUCUAUUUCUCUCUAACUCUUUAACUAAACUACCAAUAAUUCUGCACCUUGUGUAGGUUCCUUGAACCCCUUUUGAAUAAUAUCCCAAAAUCCAAUAGUUUGAAAAUAUCUCUUCAUCCAACUCCAAACAUCAGAGUCCUUUUUACCAUCAAUGUUAAAAAUGUCAUAACAUCAAAAUGUUAUAAAUAACACGGAUUCAUAUUUUAAUUUUACAAAUAAGCCCUAAGUUCAUAGUCUAGAUGUCUGAUACUACUUGUUAGCACAAAAGUCACGCAUUAGAAGUAACAUUAAAUCUUAUACAAGAACGACGAAGGCACGGGAGGUUAUUCAAUCAAUCCAUUAAUUUCUCUCUAUCUCGUAACUCAAUUCAAUAAAUUUUUCAACUCCAUUUAAUAAGACUUGAGUAAACUUAACUCUCCAAUUAGAUAUCAAACAGGCACCACAUAUACAUAGGCAAUAGGUUGCCAUAAAACUAAAGACUAAAGGAACUUCCUAAACCGAUACCAACUUGGACUAAGAAACCAAUUACACACAUGAAACUAACUAAUCAAGGAUUCGGACUUGACUAUUCACCGACCAAAAUUUAAGGAAACUAACAAGUGGAUAGCUGACUAAAAUGUUACCAUGUAAUUGGUUAUAGUAAUAACUUUAAUCAAUAAUCUAAACAAAUAAAUGAAAUAAGCUUGAUUUCAUUUCCUUCAAAUAACACACGGAAAACACCUAGAACACCCAAAACAACCCAUCAACCACUCACCCUCCAUCCCCUCCUUCCUCUCCCACCCAAGUCCCCUUCAUCAACCCUUCACCUCUCCUGCCUGCCACCAGCUCCCUAGUCACUUCUCCCACUCACGUGCUCGCCAAAAAUUGGGAUGUUUUUAUGUGGCUGCGAGUAAUAUGUAAUGGUAUGAUCAUUGAAGUAGUACACCAUCACUCAACUAAAGCAAACCAUUACAACUAAUAAUUCAUUGGCACCAAUUAAAGGGCAGUUCGACCGAUGACAGGUGCCGAACCUGUACAAUAAUAAAUACCUACUCGAGAAAAAUACAAAUUUUGUAUAUAGUGGUGAGUAGGGUCGAAUCCACAGGGAUUGGGGAUAAUUCGUUUCUUCUAGAGUUCAAAGUAUGGGAGUUUUCAGGAUUAAAUGCUAACUAAAUAAAUGAAAUGCAGAAAAUAAUUAAUUAAAAGAAAUAAUUGGGAGAACUCUAGCCAAGGGUGCACUUCAGAAAUGGUUCAUCCACUGAUCAUUGAUUCCCGCAUAAUUCCUACAAUUACUAAUAGAUUGGUUAUAGUUGUCAUGCACACGAUAAACAACCAACCCUUCCUUAAUUUCUCGGUAGUUAAGGUACGACCGUUAACUAUUUCUCUAACCCAAAAAUAACCCUAGGUACGACCGUAGGAUUUAAUUUCUAAAUUGCAUUAAUAAUUAGAAAGACCCAAUCCUAACUAACAAAUACGCUACGAGGGUUUGUUUAAGUUAGAUCAUACGUUUCCCUGACAUAAACCCAAUUACGCCAGUUGCUACUGAGAUAGGGAUAUUCGAACAAUUACGGAUUCAAUUACUCCUAAUUAGCGAAAUAGCCUAUAUGAAUAAUUAAUUAUUGCGCACUAAUCAAUCAUACACACGAGCUAUAGCAAUUAAAAGCAGGAAACAUAUAAAUACCAAUAAAUGAAAGAAAUAAUUAAAUAAAUUCGAUCUCACAGUAAUUGUCGAACCAAAUCCUCAGUUGCCCCUUUAACUAGAAUUGGAGAGUUAGUUCUCCAUUAAUGGAGAACCAUCCAUGCGAAUGGUUAGAGAAAGAGGCCCCCAAGACUUGACUUCCACCAUUGAUUGAAAGAAAGAAAAGAUCGAAAGCCUAACAAGUAAAAGCCUCCCCAGCCGAGAGCUUGCGGAGCAGACCAUGAUGAAUUAAUCUCCCCUCCGUCAAUGUUGCCAACCAACUCUUAAUCACGCGGGAUCCGGCUUUUUUUCCCUCUCAUUUGUUUUGUUUCCUAUUCAGCUUCUACUACUCAUUGUUCCUUUCCAAACGUGAAAGAAGGAAUAAAAAUAGACUAGCCUCCUUUUUUUCUUUUCUAAGAAGUAGCAAUCAAAAUGGGAGUCGGCCUUUUCUUUCCGUAUUUUCUAGUUUCCCAAAUACAUUGAACUUCCUAAUUUUCCUAAGAAGAAGAUAUUUCCUCCUAAUCUAAGACGUUUCCCAACUGUAUUUGAAAACAUGCUUCGUAAGUCUUCGGCUUGAACUAGGAAACUGCCAUCCGUGAACCCCGUCAUCUCUAGACUUGACAGUAAUUCUUGGAAAAUUACCCCUUUUAUCACAUGUUGCUCAUUUUCCUACAAUUGGCACCAUUAUACCAAACAUAAGUAGAAUCCGACAAUUAAAAUAAUGUUUGGCUAAAAUCAAGGGAAGAAUAAUAAAAAUUUGGCAACAAAUUAUGACUUAUCAACCGAUACAACUAUUAUUGGUUCAACUGAUUUGCCUCUAACAUAAAUGUAACAACUUAUAUUUCAUUAGUUCCUUUAAUUAAUGUCCUUAAGACACUAAUCAAGACACAUCCAAGUGCAAUUUAACAAACUAGUAAUAAAGCAUGUGUUUUUGAUAAAGCAAUUAUUGGGCACAUUUUGCACUGUUAUUUUGUCAUAAUUUUGGCAACUUACUGUGCUAAAUAUUGAGAUUUUGCUAAUAUUUCAUAUUUGUAUGAAUUAUAGGUGGUUGGUGUAAAAAGUGUUUUCACGAGGCAAAUUUUCAGAAGACUCUCUAUUUCAUGGCGUGCCCACGCCAGAAACUGAAGAGUUACACCUAAAAGCUGGAUCCGCGAGAUUGGUUGCAGCGCAAAGUGGGCAAUUAGGAGGUUGGGUCCACGUGGACCGGACGCAUGGGAUUAAAACCCCAAAAAAGCAAAGCUUUGCAGAGGACCCUUUGUGGAUUGCUCCUGGCGGCUGCAAAAGGCCAAAAACCAAAAGAAAGCCAGACUCACUUUUUAAUUGAUAGAUUAGCUUUUAGCUUUUGCUUUUUAGGGUCAGACGUCUUCUUUUUCUUGGGACUUUUUGCACUAGCUUUAGACAAUUAGGGAGUAACUUUCGUUUGCGAACCCUGGAAGACGAAUUGAAGUCUGCCGUCUUUGUUUCGUUUAUCUCAGACGCCUGUCGUGAGACAGGGGCUUUUACCUUUUGCUUUGGUACAAACACGAAACAAAGUGAAGCUAGAAUUUUUCUUCGGGUCCGUUGUUAUUCCGUCUCUCCCAGAUUAUUGGUAAAUAAUUGGAUGUUAUCAAUUAAAUCACGGGAGAGUGAUAUGAUGAGGAGCGGCUAGUUUUCUCCUCUACCCAAAGGUCGACGCGAGGGCGCGGUCCAUAACAUCUGUGAGAUCUAAUCGAAUUUUCAUUAUUUCUUUCAAUUCAUUACUAUUCAUGCGUUUCCUAGAUUAAUUGUUCAUGGGUAUUUUAUUAAUUGAGUAUCAACGGCCGAAUAUUUAAUUUAAUAUAAUAGCCUACUGCCACGUUAAUUAAAUUGAAUCCGUAAUUGUUCGUUUAGUUGACAACUAGUGGCAACCACCAUAAUUGAUUUUAUGUUGGGAAAAUGUAAGAUCUGACUUAAAUAAACCCUCUUAGCGUGUUUAUUGGUUAGGGUUGGGUUCUUCUAGUUUUAAUGCAACUGGAUAAUUAAAUUCCUACGGUUGUAUCUAGCGUUGUUUUCUGGUUAGAGAAGCAGUCAAUGGUCAUACCUUGACUGUCGAAAAAGUAAGGAAGAACUGGUUGUCAGAACUUGUUGAUAACUAUAAUCAAUCUAGUGACUGAUGAAUGAAAUAUCUUUGCAUCGAUGAUCAUUUAAUUGGACCGUGCCUGAAAAGUUGAUCCUUUGGAUAGAAUUUUAUUAAUUGCUAUUUUUACUAAAUUGAACUUGUUGAGUUAGCUCUUGAAUUUUAUUUAUUUCAUUUUUAUUUUCAUCCCAUUAAUUAUCCCCCUAUUUUAUUUUAUUAACUUGGAAAGAAACAAGUUCCUACCUGUUCUCUGUGGAAUCAACCCUACUUGCCAUUGUAUGCAAAUUUAAUAUUUUUAUAGACAAUUCUGGUAUAUCGAAUCAAGCAAACUCUUCGGGAACAGGGUGAAUCAAGUAACCCAUUGCACACCUAGGGUCCCUGCUCCAAUAUUCGGAUUUGUUCUAUAAUUAAUUGUGGUGGUAAUUAGGACUUUUUAGUAAUUAUUAUUGCAUAGACUCGACACCUGUCAAUUUUUGGCGCCGUUGCCGGGGAACGGUGUUUUGGUUAAUUUUGUUUCUUUCUAAGUUAUUUUCUUUGGAUUUGUCUGACAUUUUCUAGUUUAUGCCUCGUUCUUCUCGUACAGGCGAAUUGAUUUUCGAUCCAGAAGUAGAGAAGACUACGCGCCGAACUAAAAAAGAGACUAGACAGCUCAGGGAGGAGCAAUCUAGCAUUGCAUCUCAGGGACUUGAUCCUGAGGUCGAAUCAACAGAUUCAAGUGGUGAUAAUUCAAGUGAUUCAGGCCAAGAGGAUAUCCGUAUGGCAAACGCAAGAACACUAAGGGAGUUGGCUGCUCCGGAAUUGCCCCAGCAGCCUUUGUGCAUCACGUUUCCAAGUCUAGCGGAAAAUACCUCAUUCGAGUUGAAGUCAGGAUUGAUUCACCUCUUACCCUCAUUCUAUGGCAUUUCGGGGGAGGAACCCCAUAAACACAUCCUGAAGUUCGAUUUGGUAUGCUCCAGUAUGAAACCUCCAGGAAUUACUAAGGAGCAGAUUAAACUUAGAGCUUUCCCUUUCUUCCUCGAGGACGCAGCUAAGGAUUGGUUAUACUACCUACCUGCAGGUAGUAUCACAACAUGGGCUCAACUGAAGAAGAAAUUUUUGGAAAAAUUCUUCCCUGCAUCCCGGGCUGCAAGUUUGAGAAAAAAAAUUUGCAGCAUUAAGCAGUACCCUGGAGAAUCCCUAUAUGACUAUUGGGAGAGGUUCAAUAAAUUGUGUAUUAGAUGCCCACAGCAUCAAAUUAGUGAACAACUAUUGAUCCAAUACUUUUAUGAGGGACCUCAGUCGUCCGAUAGGAGUAUCAUUGAUGCUGCAAGCGGGGGAGCACUGGCAAAUAAGACCCCGAGGGAAGCAUGGCUGCUCAUUGAAGUUAUGGCAGAGAAUUCUCAACAGUUUGGCUUCCGUGAGAGUAACCCUACCCGCAGGGUUAAUGAGGUGGAGACGACAUCUAUUCAGCAGCAGUUGUCGGAGUUAACAUCUUUUGUUCGACAAUUAGCUGUGGGGAAUGUGCACCAAGUAAAAGCCUGUGGAAUUUGCACAAAUGUGGGCCACGCCACUGACUCAUGCCCUAUGUUGUAAGAGGAUGGGUUGAACAAGUGAACAUGACUGGAGGCGUGUCCACGCCUCGUAGGCAGUACGAUCCAUACUUCAAUACGUACAAUCCGAGUUGGAGAGACCACCCCAAUUUCAGCUAUGGUAAUAGGCCGCAGAAUUCAUUCUCCAAUUGUCUACCAGGAUUUCAGCAACCUUGGCAACAAAAGUCUCAACUCUCGUCCUCCAACUCAGGAAGUUCCUUGGAGGAAAUUGUCAAGAGUUUGGCUACGACUACCACUCAACUCCAGCAAGAGACUAGGGCCCUGGUUGCAAACACUACUCAGUUCCAGCAGGACACCAGAGCAGGCAUGAAAGACAUGGAGAUUUGAAUGAAUCAAAUGAUAACUACCAUUAAUCGCCUGGAGUCCCACAUUUAUGAGAAAUUGCCAUCACAACCCGAGGCAAAUCCCAAAAAUGUAAUUGCCAUGACAUUAAGGAGUGACAAAGAGGUGGAGGGAUCUAAGUUAACGAUUUCGAAAAGCAAAAGUGAGGAGGAGAUAGAAAACGGAAUUGAAGAGAAAGGGCGCAUUCGCGAAGAGCCUAAGGUAACAUCUAUUCCUUCUAUCCCUAUUAAAUCUAAUCUAGCUCCUUUUCCUUGCAGGUUAGAAAAGACAAAGAGGGCAGAAAAGGAAAAAGAAAUCCUGGAUGUAUUCAGCAAAAUUCAAGUAAACAUCCCCCUAUUGGAUGCGAUCAAACAGGUACCCAAGUACGUAAAAUUCUUGAAAAACUUGUGCGUUAACAAAAGAAAGCUAAGGGGUGAUGAAAGAGUGAUGAUAGGAGAGAAUGUAUCAGCUGUACUUCAAAGAAAACUCCCACCCAAAUGCGGGGAUCCAAGUAUGUUUACUAUUCCCUGUAAGAUUGGCCAUUCUAGUAUCAAAAAUGUCAUGAUAGAUUUAGGGAUUUUUAUUAAUGUGAUGCCUAAGUCAAUCUAUGAUUCCCUAAAUUUAAAAUCUUUAAAAGAAACGGGAAUAAUAAUUCAAUUGGCUGAUCGUACAUGUGCUUAUCCGGAUGGGAUAGUUGAAGAUGUUUUAGUCCAAGUAGAUGGAUUAAUUUUUUCCUGCUGAUUUUUAUGUGCUUUACAUGGAUGAUAGAAGUGCUCCAAAUCCAUUACCGAUUAUAUUAGGAAGACCAUUCUUGAGUACUGUCCAGACUAAAAUUGAUGUUAGUAAGGCUACUCUCACGAUGAAAUUUGAUGGAGAAAUAGUCCACUUUAAUAUUUUUGAUACAAUGAAACAUCCUAUUAACUCUCACUCUGUGUUUGCUAUUCAUGCUACUGAUCCCUCUGUGUAAGAAUUUUCUGAGUUUACUUGUAGGAGUAAAUUCAAAAUUGCUGCGAACAAGUAUCAUGGAAUGAAAGCAAUUUAUGAGGUGAAAAUGGGUAGAAAAUUAAGAAAAAAAUGUUGCAUUCAAUGGCUAUUUGGAUCCCGGAGGAGGGCCACAGAUUAGAAGAAAAAUUGAAUUACAUCCAAACUGAAGAGCGGUGUACAGUGUCUAGUCAAAAACAUUAAAGAAAGGCGCUACUUGGAAGGCAAUCCAAGGAUUUCAAUUGUGUUUUAUUUCAUAUUUGUGUGUUCAAGAUCAGUGAGUUUAGAUUCCUAUUGACAAACAAUCUUUAUUGUAGGUCAUGAGUGUUUCUGUGUAGUUUUAUUCUAGGUUGGGGGCAAAAAUUUGUGGGCAGAAGACUUCGACCUCCAAGGCGUGCCCACGCCUGCCAACCUUUGCAACAAUGAAAGUCAAAAAAAAAAAAUUGAUUGACCAGGACCUUCUCUAACCCCACUUUUCUACUUUUCUCUUUUCUUGUCUUGUCUGGUCUUUUUAAUUUCCUCUGUCUUAGUUUCUACUUUUCAAUUUCCUUUGUUUUGUCUUAGUUUCAGUUUCUUCGUUUCCUCUUUUCUUGUUAGUCCGCCGCGCAUAGCGCGUCGCCGUGGCGUGCUCCUUUUACCAUGCUCCUCCUGCUGGGGAUUCUCAAUACCGUGCCCUCCAAGAUUCUAUCAGUGAAAUAGGUGAGCGAGUUGAGGGACUAGAGGACCGUCUUAGAGCGUUACGGGUUUUUUUCCGUAUUCAGAUGGAGAAUCAGGCAACUUUCUUUGCUCAUAUUGGAUUUCUACCGCCUCAUCCUCCUCCUCCUUAGUGUCUCGUUGCACCAUCUCGGUAGUCAGGGAAGUUUCGCCCCCUUUAUCCUUACACUUUAUUUAUUUUUGCUACAUUGAGCACAAUAUAGGUUUUAGGUGUGGGGGGAUGGUUUCUAUUAUUUCUUUUUGUUUCUAUUAUUUCUUUUUGCUUGAAAAAGAGAAAAAAAAUGAAAAACAAAAAAAUAUUUCAAAAAAAAAAAGUGCAGUUAGUUGCCUUUCUUUUUAUUUCUACAGUUGUUAACUGUUAGAGCAUGUUGCUAUGAUGGAUUGCACAAUCAGGGUGCACGGGUAUGUGGUCAUAUAUGCUAGCCAUGCAUUUUGGUUUUCUUUGGCAAUAUCGGUGAAUGUUGAACAUGCUGGACUUGACCCAUUCUUGAAACUUUUGGGAGCUUUUGAGCCAUGUACGAGCACGUUAUUCUUGUUUGCUUCGUUUGUGUUAUUGAGUGGGUAUCACACAUGGCAUUGGCAUUCUAGAACUUGCUAUUUUAUACAUGUCGAGGCCACAUUUUGUUGAACUAGAUGCAUCUGAAAUGAUAAGGGCAUUUAGGAUCUAACAUUCUUUAACUUUCUACAAACCAUGCCUUCAUCUUGUCUCCUCGUAAUGAACCUAUUUGAGCUUUUAUCCUUCGCUAUUGUUUGAUUAACCGUAUUUGAUAACCCAUGACCUUUUUAGACUUUUUUGUUUAACCUUGUGCCGUCAAGAGAUGUCUGAAUUCCGUUGUUUGUGCAAGGCAAAUGAAUCUAAGGUGGCAAGUGUUGUCGGAAUAGAAGUUGUAUGGUGCUCUGUGCAUCUGAGAUAAAAAAAAAAGGGGAAGGGGGAGAAGUCGGCAAUGAGCUGGUGGGCAGAAGACUCCAGCCUGCAAGGCGUGCCCACGCCUUGCAAGACAUUUGCUCCAUUAAAAAAAAAAGAAAAAAAAAGAUUGUCAGCAGAAGACUCCGGCCUACAAGGCGUGCCCACGUCUUGCGAGCCGCUUGUUCAAAAAAAAAUUAAAAGAAAAAAGAAAAAAAAAAGAUAAAAGGGGAAGAGUUUCGGCACUUGCACAGUGGAAAUGGCAAAUGAAAAUGCCUUGCUCGUGAAAUUUCUCUGAUGAAGCGUUGUGGUGAUGUGGUGGAUAUUAGGCAUUCUCUUGAUACACUACACCUUAUUUUUACCUUUUUAUCCCGCCUUUUACCUAAACCCCAUUACAACCUUAUUAAAGUCCCUUUGAUUUGUGUAUUUAGUUCACUUGCGAGUGGUGGAGAUGUGAUAAAUGUGCAAGCCUAUGGUAAUGCCAUUCCGUGAUGUUGAUUUGAGCAUUCCUAGUAUUCAUAUAUUUUCUUUGAAUUACCACUUGUCCGGUGUGCUCUAAUUUUGGAAACAUUGUCAGGGAUCUGAGAUGUUUGUGUUAGUACAAAUUACUACAUGACCUUUGCUCUCUUGGUUGUACUUUUGAGCUCCGAAAUGCUUGAGGGCAAGCAUUGUUUAGGUGUGGGGGGAUUUGAUAGAGCAAUUAUUGGGCACAUUUUGCACUGUUAUUUUGUCAUAAUUUUGGCUAUUUACUGUGCUAAGUAUUGAGAUUUUGCUAAUAUUUCAUAUUUGUAUGAAUUUAUAGGUGGUUGGCGUAAAAAGUGUUUUCGCGAGGCAAAUUUCCAGAAGACUCUCUAUUUCAUGACUUGCCCACGCCAGAAACUAAAGAGUUACACCUAAAAGCCGGACCCGCGAGAUUGGUUGCAGCGCAAAGUGGGCAAUUAGGAGGUUGGGUCCACGUGGACCGGACGCAUGGGAUUAAAAUCCCAAAAAAGCAAAGCUUUGCAGAGGACCCUUUGUGGAUUGCUCCUGGCGGCUGCAAAAGGCCAAAAACCAAAAGAAAGCCAGAUUCACGUUUUAAUUGAUAGAUUAGCCUUUAGCUUUUGCUUUUUAGGGUCAGACGUCUUCUUUUUCUUGGGACUUUUCGCACUAGCUUUAGACAAUUAGGGAGUAGCUUUCGUUUGUGAACCCUGGAAGACGAAUUGAAGUCUGCCGUCUUUGUUUCGUUUAUCUCAGACGCCUGUCGUGAGACCGGGGCUUUUACCUUUUGCUUUGGUACAAACACGAAACAAAGUGAAGCUAGAGUUUUUCUUCGGGUCCGUUGUUAUUCCGUCUCUCCCAGAUUAUUGGUAAAUAAUUGGAUGUUAUCAAUUAAAUCACGGGAGAGUGAUAUGAUGAGGAGCGGCUAGUUUUCUCCUCUACCCAAAGGUCGACGCGAGGGCGCGGUCCAUAACAUCUGUGAGAUCUAAUCGAAUUUUCAUUAUUUCUUUCAAUUCAUUACUAUUCAUGUGUUUCCUAGAUUAAUUGCUCAUGGGUAUUUUAUUAAUUGAGUAUCAACGGCCGGAUAUUUAAUUUAAUAUAAUAGCCUACUGCCACGUUAAUUAAAUUGAAUCCGUAAUUGUUCGUUUAGUUGACAACUAGUGGGAACCAUCAUAAUUGAUUUUAUGUUGGGGAAACGUAAGAUCUGGCUUAAAUAAACCCUCUUAGCGUGUUUAUUGGUUAGGGUUGGGUUCUUCUAGUUUUAAUGAAACUGGAUAAUUAAAUUCCUACGGUUGUAACUAGGAUUAUUUUCUGGUUAGAGAAGCAGUCAAUGGUCGUACCUUGACUGUCGAAAAAGUAAGGAAGAACUGGUUGUUAGAGCUUGUUGAUAACUAUAACCAAUCUAGUGACUGAUGAAUGAAAUAUCUUUGCAUCGAUGAUCAUUUAAUUGGACCGUGCCUGAAAAGUUGAUCAUUUGGAUAGAAUUUUAUUAAUUGCUAUUUUUACUAAAUUGAACUUGUUGAGUUAGCUCUUGAAUUUUAUUUAUUUCAUUUUUAUUUUUAUCCCAUUAAUUAUCCCCCUAUUUUAUUUUAUUAACUUGGAAAGAAACAAGUUCCUACCCGUUCUCUGUGGAAUCGACCCUACUUGCCAUUGUAUGCAAAUUUAAUAUUUUUAUAGACAAUUAUGAUAUAUCGGAUCAAGCAAACUCUUCGGGAACAGGGUGAAUCAAGUAACCCAUUGCACACCUAGGGUCCCUUCUCCAGUACUCGGAUUUAUUAUAUAAUUAAUUGUGGUGGUAAUUAGGGCUUUUUAGUAAUUAUUAUUGCACAGGCUUGACACCUGUCAAUUUUUGUGUUUUGCACGUGAACAUGAUGCUUUUAUAUUUUUUUCCCUUAAAAAUUUUUAGAAAAUCAAUUAUUUUGAAGGAAUAAAUGUAAUUGAGACAAAAAAAAUAUGACAUUUUAUAUUUAUAUUGCUUUAUAUUUUUCUGAACUUAGUUUUCCCUAACUAAACAUAAAUGCACAAGUAAUAAAUCACUCUUUGUUUUAAGAGCACUUUUAUUUUGUAACAGUAUGAAUAUUUUUGUCUUUUGGUUAAAUUUAGAUGACCUAAAUGUUCUUUUUUAUGCCAUCUAAGUUUACAUUUUUAAUUUUUUGAAUAAUUUAUUGCUCCCUUUAAGUUAUUCUAUGAAUUGUUUAUUAGUUUUGGUGAGAUUUUCUAAUAAUUAUUAUUUUUUGCUAAUGGUGGAUUGUAAAAUGAUCUAUAGUGCUACUAUAAUUAUAGUAGUAUUUAAAUAUAUUGAAAUUCCAUUGUUUGAAUUUAAAUAGCUUAACUUUAGAGAGAAAUAUUUUGAUUUGGUGAAACCUAUUUGUAUUUCUCACUGAUGACAUGCUUUAUGAAUAUAGAGUUUCUAUGAUUAAAAAUUGUAAGACAUUAAGACUAUUUAUUAUAUAAUAGUUAAAUUGAACUCGGAUAUAUUUUUAUUCACCUUUGAAAUACUCCUUGAAAUUGAUAUUUUAUAUAAAAAAAAAAUUUGGAUUAAUUCACCAUAACUCAAAGGGAUGUUUUAGCUGUGUAAUUAUUAUUAUGAUUAGCAUUGAUGAAUAUAAUAUUCAUUAAUUGUGGUUUAAUAUAUUAGUUGUUACAAGAAUAUGAUUGCUAAAGUCCAUUAAAUCUAAUCUUUAUUGCAAUUUAAAUAAAUAAAUUCCUAACACAAAACUCUUUGCCUACCUUGGCACUCCAUUUCCUAUUUUAUUUUGUAUUAAAAUUUUUUACUCAAUAGUAAUAUAUGCAUAUUAAAAAGAUACUCUUAAGACUUAAUUAACUUGUAUCCAAAAAAUUAAAAAAAAACAUGGUACUUUUUAAGAGACUCAUAGUACCAAUUUAUUAUGUUUUGUUUCAUGUUUGAAGCACUCUAACUUAGAUUUUGUAAAUAAAAUUUGUUGUUCUUUCUUUUGUAAAUAAAAAGUAAGGAAUCUUUCAUAUUCGUAACUGCUAGCCUAUUUGAUAUUAUUUAUUAAUGAUGAAAUACAAUGCAAUUUAUCCAUUUAUUAGAGAGGAGUGUAAUUUUGGUAUCAAAAAAAUUAAUAUCAUUUUUGUUACAUUAUUGACCACUAAAAUUCACCAUAUUUUUUUAAAAUUUAUAAAUAAAAUUUAUUCUUCUUUUUUUCUUUAAUUCACUAUAACUCAAAUUCUAAUUGUUCAAAUUAUUUUCUAAUGCUUCAAUUUUUAUUCUAAUUACUCAUAUUAUUGAAGCAAUUGGUAACAUUUUGUUCAUUUCAUUAAUAUCAUAACCGAAAUAAAAUGACUGUAAUUAUUAGACAAAAGGGUACUUUGGUCACAGCAAAAACUAAGACCAACAAAAAAAUGCUUACACUUUAGAUUGUUUACACUCUAUUUGCCUAAACUAUCCAUUGUUUUAUUGGGAUUAUAGAUACAGAUAGAUAGAUAGAUUAGUUUGCUAGUUUGCCAAGGUAUUAAAAGGCAUCAAUAGCACCUAUCGCAACAGAUUUAUGUCAUCAAUUGGACAAGGUAUUGAGCUUUGUAGGGGUGGCAAUUCCCGAUGCAACCUGAAAACACGACACGAAUCUAAUACGAAAUUAAUGAAUUUGGGUUUAGAUUUUGAGGAUUCGGGUCAAACCCGAUAAACCCAGAAAAAAAGGUCAAAAUCGAGUCCAAAUCAGAUUGACCGCUAACCCGUUUCUGAAAUAAAAAUAAAUAAAUAAAUAUUAAAGACUUAUCUAAAGACUAAAUAGUAAAUACCACUACACAUCAAAACAACAAUUCACACACUUGACUUGGUCGGCCAUAUUAAUUUGUCUAGCUUGUAGGUGGACUGUUUAAGCAGCAUCCAAGGAACAAAUUUUGAAAAGUUGCCUCAAAUAGUCAAAUGUUGUCACCUGAUCCUCACUCGAAGCCAAAAUCUUUCUUCCUCCUAAUAGUUCACUACUUCACCUAACCUAAAUCUUUCUUCCCCUUUUCUUCUAAACGGUAAAAUCGGAAAGGGCAGCCUUGCCCUUCACCAGUUCACCUCACGGUCCUCACCUCAUCACCUAUCAGUAGCAGACGAUGGUUAGAAGCAAGCAACGGCUUUUCUUCCCUAAGGUCUGAGCAGCAAGCAAUUCCUAAUCUAGAUCGAUUAUUGAAGAAGCGAAAAAGUUAUGCAGAAUUGGAUGCAACCUGUCUUGGUUCAUGGUAUUCAUUUUGAAAUUUAUAUAAUCACAAUUAAAACACAAGUAGAAUUUGGACAUCCGUUAGGACUUAGGAGGCACUCUAUGAGUUACUUAUAAACUCUUUCUUAUCAAGUUUAAUAAUCAUUGCAUUCUGCAUUCGUGUGGCUUCUGGAAUAUAGGUUAUUAGACAGCAUCAUUAUGAAUGCUGUUGUUGCUGGUGAUGAGGGCCGAAGCAUUGGUUGGCCUUGGAGCACCACUUUUGUUGUGAUUUAAUAUCAUGUGAAUUGUAAUAUAUUGACUCUAAACUUGUAUUUGAUUGGCAACCUUUUGUUUAGAUUGUUCUAACUGAAUUUGUUUGACUUGUAUAAAGUUGGAGUUAUUAGAUUUGGAUUGAUGAUGUAUUACAUUAUUUCUACUCUUAUGGUGUCUUUUUUUAGUUUGGAAUUGAUUCUGUUAAAAAACACAGCCGAUUAAUCAAUAAAAUUAAAUUAAAUUUCGGAUCAUUUCGGAUCAGCCCGGUUGAUCCGUCAAUCCAGAUAUUUCGGGUUCAAGUCAGAUAUUCUGACCCGUUUCGAGUUGACGGGUCAAAUUUGAGUCAACGAGUUUUUGGUUUUAUUCGGGUCUCAAUCCGACCCGUCACCCAAGAGCUUUGCACGCUAUUAAUGGUUUGACCAAGUGUGUCUCCAUGUUUCAAAUACUAUUUGGUUAGUUAUUAGAAUGAUGCAUCCCAAACUUCUUUUGCAACUAAUGUUGAUAGCCAAAAAGCCAAAAUCGGGCCUUAUCGGGGGCUGCAGUGAUUAAAGAAAAUAAUUUGUCGACGAGUACUUUUUCCAUCCUAAUGUCGCCGCAGACAAUGUGAAUGCAAUAGUACUGUCCUCUAAACCUUUACCAACAGUUAAAAUCCACACAAUUUGUCUGAUCAAAAUUGUAUAUUUGUAAAAAUUAUAGCACUCCAAGAAACGAUACUGACAGGUUGUCAGCCUGUGCAAUAAUAAAACCUGCUCAAACUAAAAGUAAUUUCUGUAGAUAGCGGUAAGCAGGGUCGAAUCCACAGGGACUGGGAGUAAUUGUUUCAUUUCAAAUUCACAGUGACAAAUGGGGGUGUUUUUGUGUAGAAGGUGACACUCAAAGAAAUUCAAAUAAAAUCUAAGAAACUACUAAAAAUUAAAUAACAAAAUAUUAAAAUCAAAUGAGUAAUAAUUAAAGAUCUAGCCAAGAAAUAACUUCAGCAAUGGUUCACCUAAUUGAUCAUCGAUGCAAAGCCAAUUCCAAUUAUUUAUCAAUAAAUAGGUUAUAACUACCAAACAAGCGAUGACAGUCAACCCCUCCUUACUGUGUCGGUGAUCAAGGUACGCCCGUUAAUCACUGCUCUAAUUGAGAAAUAAUCCUAGGUACGCCCAUAGGAUUUAAUUCCCCAAUUGCCUUACGUAUUAGAGGAGCCCUAUUCUAACCAAUAACGCACUACCAGGGUUAUUUUAGAUUAACCCGCGUAUUCCCCUGACACAAACCUAAUCAUGCCAGUUGUCACUAUUUUAGAGCAAUUAAACAAUUACGGAUUUAAUGCCCUAAUUGACAAUAGAUUACUAAAUCAAUUAAUUAUCCGGAUCUAAGACAACCAAUUAAUUGAACAAUCAUAAGCACUGCAAUCAAGGAAUAUGCGAAUACCAAUAAUUCAAAGGGAAAGAUUAAAUUAAAUCGAUCUCACAAUUUUUAGGUAACCCAAAGCAUCCGUCGUUUCUUGACUAGAGUGAGGGGAUUAGCUCAUAUUGGAUGAACUACGCCCGCGGGAAAUUUCAGCAGAAGUCACGACCAUUGUCUGCGUUUCAGGAAGUUGCAAUUCGUCGAACAGAAAGAACGCAAAUGAAAGUCUCAAGCAGCAAUUGAAUCUAUUUAUUAUUCCCAGCAUCCGUAUAGCAAAACCACUCCAGCAGUACAAGGAGGAAAAGUCAAAGCUAAAAGAAAAAGUUGCUUCCUCCUCACAUGCGUGGAGAAAAGCCAAAGGAAAACUUAACAAGAAAAGUCCAAGUCAAGAAGAGUCAAAACAUUUCUGCUAAGCUACAGCCGAGAAAGCUAAGAAAAAACUCGCCGCCCAACUUCCUUCUUUUUACUCCUUUUAAUUGCGGCGCCCCUCAGCAGAACCAAGCCCUCCCAGGUGUCCUUCCCUCGCGGAAUUUACCAAAAUGGGCGUGAUAUCUUCAUUUCCAAAAAUACCCGUUGGACAAGCUCUAUCAUCUGCAUCCCUUUUCUGUCAAAUUGGUACCUGUUAUCAUAUUUUCGUUCUACUCCCUGAAAUAAAUGCAAUUUACGAAAAGUGAGUAGAAUCUACUAAUUAAUCCACAUCCGGUCAGAUAAUAGGGGAAAUUAAUAAUAAAAUAAGUAAUAGAAUUGCUACCUAUCAAUUCCCCCCACACCUAAAUCAUGCUUGCCCUCAAGCAUAAGAAAAGGGUACAGACACCAAAAUUUGAUGACGGUCAUUGCUCUAUCUACCAAAUUGCCAAGAUAUCCAGAAAAAUCAUAUAUCGAGCACUAGUGAUUAAAAUCCAAGAAGCAUCCCUCCCGGUUAGCCCCUAGACUGCAAAUUCCUUCAAUUUCCAGGUUAACUACUCUAAGAAAAGGGAAUGGCACACAACAUUUAUCAGCUAAUGGUCCAAAUAUUCACACAAGUCUCCAUAUUAAGUCCAUAAAUCGGCAAGCCUUCCCAUUAUUUAUUCUCUCUUUUUUUUCAUUUUUUUUCUUUCGUUCCCUGUGUUUUUCUCUUUUUUUGUUUUGUUUUUUUUAAAGCAAUAAUAAUUAACACAAAAAGACUUAGUCUUUAGCCGUCGGGGCCUUUUGACGCGAACUCCAACAUUUUUAGAUGAAGGAGCCCGGUUACUCAGCUCCUACCGCUAUACGACCACGUACUCAUAGAAAGCACCACCUUUUGACGCGAGAAUCGACACUUUUAGGUGCAGAUUCCCGGUUACUCAGUAGUAACUUAAUAGCGGAGUACAGUCAAGCUUAUUCACAGCCAAACAAUGCACAAACGCAAAAUAACAACACUAACAACUAAGCAUAGGAGCAGCUCGCCUCAUUAUUGCCAAACAUGGAGAACUGGAGUCAAUAUUGGACCAGUUCACAUUAAAAACACCAACAAUCAUUCCCUAUGCCUAGAAAAGUUAACAAAGAAAUCAAAAGAGUCAAGCAGUCCGAUAUUCACCAAGGAGAUGUCUUGGACCCAACCACAUUAACCCGAUACAUACUUAUUUUAAAAACUUGGCAAAAGUAGAAUUAGAGUCAAUAAGCCAACAUCCAAAAAUUUUGUCCUCUUUUCGUUUUCUGUUUUUUUUUUCUCUUUUUUUUUUGUUUUUGUUUCUCUUUUUUUCAUUCGCAGGAGAGAUAAGCACCAAGAAGAAAGAAAGAAAAUGAGCAACUAGAAAUAAAACUAAAAACUAAAGAAAACUAAAAACACUAGCACCCUUUUAGAUCCCCCCACACCUAUAGGACACAUUGUCCUCAAUGUGACAAAUAACCAACAAAAGUGGGUGAGAGGACAGCAACACUUCCCUGAAAUCCGGUCAAAGAGGUGGGCGAGGCGGAGCUGGAGGAGGAAAGCCCGUAUGAUGCAGAAAUUGCGCCAAAUUCUGUGCUAUGCCAGCUACAUUGAGGUCGACGUUGAGCAUUCGAGCCUCCAAAUUCUGAACCUGCUCUCGGAGUUGCUGCCAUUCAUUGGUCCCAGGUGGUGGAGGUGGCGCAGAAGCAGAGGUAGAUGGCCCAGCAGUGUCCUCGGCCGACCCAGGGAAUGAAGAGUGCCCCGCCUGUGUUGAAGGCCGCGUACCCGGAGCUCGAACUAGGCCCGGAGGGGUAAACUGGUGGAAACCAUUGGGCAGGCGCUCGACGACUCCCAUUUUCUCUAAGCAGUCCACGUCCAGGAGCUCCAUCUCGAAAGCCAAAUGUAAGUCGUGGUCCUCCAGAAUAAGAACUCCCAACUGCGUCGCCAAGUGGGUAAUGUAGGACCCAAGAAUCAGAGGUUUGUUCUUCUUGGUCAAAACAGUCUUGAACUGUGCAGCCAACCAACACCCCAAGUUGACCUUGAUAUUGUUCUUCAUACUCCAGAGGAAGAAAAACUCAGGUCGAGAGAGUAUACCAGAGCUGUCCUUGCGCCCUGAGUAGCUGUAGGCUAAGAAUCGCUGAACGUAUCGGGCACCAGGAUCUUUAAGAAAGGAGCUCCUAGACCUAGAAGGGUCGUAGCGGUGCCGAUCGACUGACAUUUCCUCCCACACAUCAUGGUAGUGGGAGAGUAAUGGCUCUAUGUAAUCACAGGCACUCCCCGCAUACUCCCUAGUUUCAGCAUACUCUCUCGUGAUAAAUCCAAAUGCCAGAUUGAACUGGGUAAUGGAGAAGUUGAACUCCCUACCCAUUAGACGGGAAUGAAUGACAUUUGGUGUAUCAACGGUGUAUCUCGUAGGCAACUCGAACUCAAAGGUGGAGUAAAACUCCCGAAUCAGCUCAACAAAAGCAGGGCAGGAGAUAUCAAGAUACGGGCACCACCCAAUGGAGGUAAACAUCUGAUUGACCUCCUCCCGUAUACCCAGGGCAGUCAUAGUGAUUUUGUGACAAGAUUUGCAGGGUAUAAUACGCCUCUCACAGACCUUAGCGUAUCUCUGCCGAUCGGCGGGUCUGGUAAACGUUAAGUGCCCCCCAAAGUGAGCAGGGGUAUCUACCUGAGCACCCCUACCCCUACCCAAACGGGUUCGAACACUAGAAGAGGAGGGUCGGUUGGUAGGUGAGUUGACAGGAAUAGAGGUUGGUAGGUGAGUUGACAGGAAUAGAGGCUUGUGGAGGGGGUUGAGACUGAGAGGUCCUAGACCUAGAGGAGGAUUUUGGUCUCACCAUUUCACCCACAGUCAACUGGAACAACAAGAUACAGAAUUUCCCACGCCCAGUGCAACCAGCAAUUACCGAUGGAAUCAACCAGCAAAUGGACAACAGAGCUACCCACAAAUUUAUACCAAUUUACCAACAAAGCAACAAUGGUACUCAAUAACCACAGGAUGCCCAACUAUUAACCACAACUAGCAACUGGCAAAGGUUAUUUAAUAAGCAAGGAGAUUAUCCAAGUCACUCAGUAAUCAAGCAAACGUUGUCCAUCCAAAAAUUCCAACAAGCAGCCCAAUUAGUGAAACAGCUAUAAAAGAUCAGAACAGAUGCUACCUAUGGCCCCCAAUCCAGCAGUCACAGCAGAGUAUACAAUUCCAAACUUACAAAGUAAGUCAAGCGACACAGGAUUUCAGCUCAAUAUGCAAUAUUCGAAGUAACUGAAGCAAAAACCCCACAAAACCUCAACAAUUCCUCCAGCAAAGCAAGCAAAAUAGACCUUAACAGGGUAACAUACGGCUGCAGUAUUUAAGCUCACCCCAAAAUUUCAACAAGUGGCUCCAGAUGGCCAGUUAAUUGCACAAUUACAGCCAACCCACAGGAAUGAGCAAUUCUAAGCAAAAACAAUCUAACAAGUACCACUGGUGAAAAUCGCACACGGCCAAAAUACCAACUCUUGACGAACCCAGAUAGCAUUAAUCAAUUUAGGAGAAAUUGGGGAGCAAGCUUCAAAUACCUCCGCCAAUAUCUUGGCAGUCGGCGGACAGGGCAGACGGGUCAAAGCUCCACGCAAGUGAAGUGCUCGCCGCUGGUUGGGUCGCCUUGCGCAGGAGAGCUGUCUGGCAGCGAUUGCGGCGGCAGUCCAAGGGCUGGCUGUCGCGUGCGGCUGUGGUGGCGUCUGAAGUGGGUGUGCGCGGCUGGGCAAGGGAAAACCAGACAGCGGCGGCGUGGGAAGCUGUCUGUCGCGGGCAUGCGCGCGAGCUAGUGGCGCUCGGCUGUGGGCAAGAGGCCGCGACGCUGGAGAGAGGGCUGGUGGGUCGGCGGCGCAGGCUGGUGACGACUGGUGGAGCUCGAUGCGAGGGGGACAGUAGCGGCGGAGCGCGCGAUUGGGGCGCGCGAUGGGAGAGGGAAUUUUAGCCGUAGAGCAGAUCUGGUGGUGGAGGAGGUGCGCCAGUGAGCGGCGGACAGGGGGUCUUCGGUCGACAGAGAAGAAAAAGAAACAGGGGAGAAGAAAGAAAGAAAAGAGAAAGAAGAAGAAAGAAAGAAAGAAAAAGAAAGAAAAGAAAAGAAGGAAAAAAAAACAGAAAUUGUUUUGUUUCUUUUUUCUCUUCUCCAGGCUCCAUUUAAGCCAUGGUGAUGAUGAUUUUUUUUUUUUUUUUGAAAAUUAUUUCAUUAUCAGUAUAUAACUAGUAUAUAUAUAUAUAUAUUAUUUUUCUUUUUUUUUUUCUUUUGUUCAACUUUUUUUUUUUUAAAUCCUUACCUUUCCCGCGAACGUGACGCGGGCACGUCAAGAGAGCAAGAGAGCUCCCAGAAGUUUCUGAUCGUGAGCUUCCUGCACGUCACCACGCGGGCGCGUCAUGACUGAAGGGCACCUAUAAAUCAGCAAAAACGAAAACUGAAACCCAAGAUCAGUCGAAUUCAAGGAGAAAACAUCUAAACUACCACACGAAAAUGAACAAACAAUUAAAAGGAACAAUUGGGUUGCCUCCCAAGGAGCGCCUUUCUUUAAUGUCUUUUGGCUAGACAUGGUAAAGUGUCACUGAUUAAGACACGGUGGUGCGUCUAGAUGUACUGUCUCCACUUCUCCACCUGAAAAACUUUCGUAAUAGUGUUUGAGACGGUGUCCAUUCACCACAAACUUGUUGUCUGUCUUAGCACUUCGGAUUUCGACUGCACCAUAUGGAAAAACGUGAGUAACAAUAAAAGGUCCAAUCCAACGGGAACGUAGCUUACCUGGGAAUAGCUUGAGCCUUGAUUGGUAUAGGAGGACCUUCUGACCAACUUCAAAUGUUUUUCUUGAAAUUUGUUGGUCAUGAAAUGUCCGGCUUCUCUCCUUAUAAAUUAAUGCAUUUUCGUAGGUUUCGUUCCGGAUCUCCUCUAAUUCCUGCAAAUCUAACUUCCGUUGGGCACCGGCCUCCUCUAAAUUCAUGUUGCAUUGCUUAAUCGCCCAAAAAGCCUUGUGCUCAAACUCCACUGGAAGGUGACACGGCUUCCCAAAUACUAACCUGUACGGCGACAUCCCUAUAGGAGUCUUAUAUGCCGUUCGAUAGGCCCAGAGUGCGUCCUCCAACCUUUGACUCCAGUCUUUCCUAUCGGGGCGCACCAUUUUCUCCAAAAUGGAUUUAAUCUCCCGAUUCGAUACUUCCGCUUGACCAUUAGUCUGCAGGUGGUACGACGUCGAGACCCUGUGGAGUACACCAUACUUGCGAAACAACGCAGCAAUGGUUUUGUUGCAGAAGUGCGUUCCCCUAUCACUGACAAUAGCUCUUGGCAUUCCAAAUCGCACAAAAAUAUUAGCCCUGAUAAAAUCUGCAACUACUUUCGAGUCAUUAGUCCUAGUGGCCUUAGCCUCCACCCAUUUAGAUACAUAAUCAACUGCCAGCAAAAUAUAUAUAAAAUCAAAAGAAGUAGGAAAAGGCCCCAUGAAAUCUAUACCCCAAACAUCAAAAAUUUCAACAAAAAUCAACGGGACUUGGGGCAUUUGAUCUCUACGGGCUAUAUUACCUACCCUUUAACAGCGAUCACAUGACUUACAGAACACAUAGGCAUCCCUAAACAAUGAAGGCCAAUAAAAUUCACUUUCUAAAAUCUUGUGAGCAGUUCUCUUGGAUCCAAAAUGACCUCCACAGGCAAAAGUAUGAUAGAAAGCUAAAAUCGAUUGAAAUUCCACUUCACUUACACAUCUCCGCAUCACUUGAUCUGCACAUCUCUUCCAUAGGUACGGGUCAUCCCAGAUAAAAUACUUGGCGUCGCUCUUCAAUUUAUCCCUCUUCGAUUUUGGCCAACCUGCAGGAAAAUUACCAGUUACCAAAUAAUUGACCAGAUCAGCAUACCAAGGCAAUUGAGAAUUUAAAGAAAAUAAAUGCUCUUCAGGGAAUGCAUCUUUCAACGGCUCGCUCUCCUCCCCAACUGGUAAGCGACUCAAAUGGUCUGCUACUAGAUUCUCUGAGCCUUUUUUAUCCCUUAUCUCUAAGUCAAAUUCCUGCAGUAGCAAUAUCCACCUGAUGAGCCUCGGUUUGGCAUCUUUCUUGGUCAUCAGGUACCUUAAUGCUGCAUGAUCAGAAAAUACAAUUACUUUAGCACCUAGCAAAUAUGACCUGAAUUUCUCUAAAGCAAAAAUUACUGCAAGAAGCUCCUUCUCAGUAGUGGAGUAAUUCAGUUGAGCUCCAUUCAGUGCUCGGGACGCAUAGUAGAUGACGUGAGCCGCCUUUCCUACUCUUUGCCCCAGUACAGCCCCAACAGCAUGAUCACUGGCAUCGCACAUGAUCUCAAAUGGCAAACUCCAAUCGGGGGGCUGGAUGAUUGGGGGUGAAGUCAACAGUUCCUUCAACUUGUCGAAGGCUCUCUCACACUUGUCAUCAAACUCGAAGGCUACAUCCUUUUGCAAGAGUUGGAACAACGGGGCCCCAAUUUUUGAAAAUUCCUUGAUGAACCUUCGAUAAAAACCUGCAUGUCCAAGAAAAGAACGCACCUCCCGCACAUUCACGGGGUAAGGCAAUGCAGAAAUAACGUCUAUUUUAGCCUUGUCAACCUCAAUGCCCUUAGACGAUACAAUAUGACCCAGGACUAUCCCGUGCUCAACCAUAAAAUGACAUUUUUCCCAAUUAAGCAUAAGAUUAAUCUCUAUACACCUUAUCAGGAUCAAUUUCAGGUUAUCUAGACAUGUAUCAAAACUAUCACCAUACACACUGAAAUCAUCCAUGAAAACUUCAAUUAUUUUCUCCACAUACUCAGAAAAAAUACUUACCAUACACCUCUGGAAUAUUGCAGGUGCAUUGUACAACCCGAAUGGCAUUCGUCUGUAGGCAAAGGUCCCGAACGGGCACGUGAAGGUUGUCUUCUCUUGAUCCUCUGGUGCAAUUGCUAUCUGAAAAUAUCCUGAAAAUCCAUCCAAAAAGCAAUAGUAAGCCCUACAAGCUAGACGUUCAACCAUCUGGUCAAUGAAAGGGAGAGGGAAGUGGUCCUUUUUAGUGACGACGUUUAGCCUACGGUAGUCUAUACAUUGCCUCUAUCCAGUGGGUUUGCGCACUGGCACGAGCUCACCCGUUUGGUUGGCCCCACCGUCACCCCUGCCUUCUUUGGGACUACCUGGACCGGGCUCACCCAAGGGCUAUCUGAUAUUGCAAAAAUAAUCCCCACAUCUAGCAAUUUCAGAAUUUCUUUCUUUACAACUUCCAUCAUGAGGGGAUUGAGUCUCCUUUGAGCCUGCCGUACAGGUUUGGCAUCCUCUUCUAGUCUAAUCCGGUGCAUACAGAUGGCCGGGCUGAUCCCCUUAAUGUCUGCGAUUGUCCAACCUAUCGCCUCUUUAUGCUCUCUAAGGACCCGGAUCAGUUUCUCCUCAUGGGUUUUUGACAGUGCCGAUGAGAUAAUCACCGGGAGUGUCUCAUUAUCACCCAGAUAUGCAUAUUUCAGGUGCUCUGGUAGAGUUUUCAACUCCAGUACAGGUGCCUGCAUCACAGAUGGCAAUACCCUCUGGUGAGGUUCGGGAGUAAAAAUAGGUAAGACUUCAUACCUUUUCGUGGUGGUCUGCAAUGAGUGUAAUGCACCUAUUGUGCAUUUUAGAUCCUCGCUCCACUCCACCUCAGGAGUUGUCUCCAACUCGAGGUUCUUUGUUAGAGCCACCUCUAACUCAUCCCUGCCAACAGUUUCAAACACUUCCUGCACUACAGGGUCAAUAGCACUCACAGAGAAAACUGAACUAAAGUUGGAGUUUGAGGGAUAUUUCAUAGUAUCAAAGAUAUUGAAAUGGACAAUUUCCCCAUCAAAUUCCAUGGACAAUGUACCCUUGUUAACAUCAAUUUUUGUCUGUACUGUACUCAUAAAGGGUCUACCUAAUAACAACGGUGAGAAAUCAGGGGAGUGAUCAUCAUCCAUAUCAAGUACAUAAAAAUCAGCUGGAAAUACCAAAUCAUUAACUUUUACCAACACAUCUUCAACCAACCCAUCAGGGUAUGCGUUAGUUCGGUCAGCUAAUUGAAUGAUUAUUCCAGUUUCUUUUAAUGGACCUAAUUUCAGAGAAGCAUAGAUAGAUUUAGGCAUGACAUUAAUUGAUGCUCCCAGAUCCAACAUGGCCCUUCUAAUCACAGUAUUACCUAUCCUACAGGGGAUAGUAAACAUACAUGGGUCCCCGCACUUGGGUGGAAGCUUUCUCUGCAGGACCGCUGACACAUUCUCCCCAACAAUGACCCUCUCAUCUCCCCUCAACCGCCUUCGGUUGACACACAAGUCCCUUAGGAAUUUGGCAUAUUUUGGUACUUGUUUGAUCGCGUCUAACAGGGGGAUAUUUAUCUCGACCUUGCGAAAAACCUCCAAAAUCUCCUUCUCCUUAUCCUGUUUCUUUGAUUUUUCCAACCUGCUAGGAAAAGGAGGCGGGUUAGUUUUAACUGUAAUUACUGGGUCUGGAAGUACCUUUGGGUCUGCACCACUGCUGUCCUCCCUCUCGAGCUCAUUUUCGAUCUUUUCCUCAUCUUUAUCCUUAGGCAUCACAGGUUCAAACCCCUGAAUUUCCUUGCCGCUCCUCAGGGUCAUGGCGCUCACAUUCUUCGGGUUCAACUCAGGUUGAGAUGGCAGCUUCCCUUGGUUCUGGGAAUCCAAACGGUUGAUUGUUGUGGCCAUUUGACUUAUCUGAUUCCCUAUGUCCUGCAUUUCGGAGUCAGUCCUUUGCUGAUUUUGCAUAAUGGUUGCCUCCGUCCUCUGCUGAUUUUGCGCCAUGGUUGUCAUCAUUUGUUUCAUCAUCUCCUCCAAAGAUGGACCAGAGCUUGGGGACAGAGGUGGUCGGGGUUGGUAUUGCUGCUGGUACCCUGGUGGCUUAUUUGGCACAAAGUUAGACUGCCUGUUCGGUGCGAAGUUGGGCUGCAUAUUUCCCCCAUAACUGAGAUUCGGGUGGUCCUUCCAGCCGGGAUUGUACGUGUUCGAGUACUGGUCAUAGGGCCUUCUUGGCGCGGGCGCGUGACCAGUCAUGUUCACCUGUUCUGCAGUUUCUUCCUGAAGCAUUGGGCACAUGUCUGCAGAGUGACCCAUACCAGUGCAAAUCCGGCACACCCUGGCCUGAGAUGCAUUCCCUACAGCCAGUUGCCUAACAAACGAGGUCAACUCAGUUAGCUGCUGCUGCAUAGAGGACGUCUCUACCUCAUUCACCUUACGUAUUGGGACGUCCUCUCUCGAACUGAAUUGUUGUGAAUUCUCUGCCAUCCCCUCUAUUAACUCUCGUUCUUCCUGAGGGGUUUUGUUCACCAGUGCCCCUCCACUUGCAGCAUCAAUUAUGCUCCUGUCUCUGAAAAGGAGCCCCUCAUAAAAAUACUGUAUGAGCAACUGCUCACUUAUUUGGUGCUGGGGGCACAUUCUGCACAACUUCUUGAACCGUUCCCAAUACUCAUAGAGUGACUCCCCUGAGUGCUGCUUGAUCCCGCAAAUUUCUUUCCUCAGACUUGCAGCCCUGGACGCAGGAAAAUAUUUAUCUAAGAACUUUUUCUUCAAUUGGUCCCACGUGGUGAUGCUACCUGGCGGUAGGUAAUAUAACCAGUCCUUUGCAGAGUCCUUCAAGGAAAAGGGAAAUGCCCUCAUUUUUAUCUGCUCUUCUGUAAUGCCCGGGGGCUUCAUACUGUUGCACACGACAUCAAACUCCUGCAGAUGCUUAUAUGGCUCCUCACCUGGUAAACCAUGAAAAGAGGGUAAAAGAGAAAUCAGACCAGAUUUUAACUCAAAUGAAGUGUUUUCACUCAAACUCGGGAAAGUAAUGCACAAAGGCUGCUGAUUUAAAUUAGGGGCAGCCAACUCCUUUAAUGUUCGUGCAUUAGCCAUGGGGAUUUCUUCUUGCUCCGGGUCACUCGAAGUGUCACCAAAUGAAUCUGUUGGUUCAACUCCUGACUCAGGUCUCUGAGAUGUAGCACUGGAGUGCUCCUCUCUGAGGUGUCUUGUUUCCUUUCUCGUUCUACGCGCGAUUUUCUCUACUUCAGGGUCAAAAAUCAAAUCACCUGUACGAGAAGACCGAGGCAUACACUAGAGAAAUACCAGAAAAUUAGAACAAAAAUGAAUUUUAAAAAAAACAAAUAAUAACGCCAGUCCCCGGCAACGGCGCCAAAAAUUGACAGGUUGUUAGCCUGUGCAAUAAUAAAACCUGCUCAAACUAAAAGUAAUUUCUGUAGAUAGCGGUAAGCAGGGUCGAAUCCACAGGUACUGGGAGUAAUUGUUUCAUUUCAAAUUCACAGUGACAAAGGGGGGUGUUUUUGUGUAGAAGGUGACACUCAAAGAAAUUCAAAUAAAAUCUAAAAAAUUACUAAAAAUUAAAUAACAAAAUAUUAAAAUCAAAUGAGUAAUAAUUAAAAAUCUAGCCAAGAAAUAACUUCAGCAAUGGUUCACCUAAUUGAUCAUCGAUGCAAAGCCAAUUCCAAUUAUUUAUCAAUAAAUAGGUUAUAACUACCAAACAAGCGAUGACAGUCAACCCCUCCUUACUGUGUCGGUGAUCAAGGUACGCCCGUUAAUCACUGCUCUAAUUGAGAAAUAAUCCUAGGUACGCCCAUAGGAUUUAAUUCCCCAAUUGCCUUACGUAUUAGAGGAGCCCUAUUCUAACCAAAUAACGCACUACCAGGGUUAUUUUAGAUUAACCCGCGUAUUCCCCUGACACAAACCUAAUCAUGCCAGUUGUCACUAUUUUAGAGCAAUUAAACAAUUACGGAUUUAAUGCCCUAAUUGACAAUAGAUUACCAAAUCAAUUAAUUAUCUGGAUCCAAGACAACCAAUUAAUUGAACAAUCAUAAGCACUGCAAUCAAGGAAUAUGUGAAUACCAAUAAUUAAAAGGGAAAGAUUAAAUUAAAUCGAUCUCACAAUUGUUAGGUAACCCAAAGCAUCCGUCGUUUCUUGACUAGAGUGAGGGGAUUAGCUCAUAUUGGAUGAACUACGCCCGCGGGAAAUUUCAGCAGAAGUCACGACCAUUGUCUGCGUUUCAGGAAGUUGCAAUUCGUCGAACAGAAAGAACGCAAAUGAAAGUCUCAAGCAGCAAUUGAAUCUAUUUAUUAUUCCCAGCAUCCGUAUAGCAAAACCACUCCAGCGGUACAAGGAGGAAAAGUCAAAGCUAAAAGAAAAAGUUGCUUCCUCCUCACAUGCGUGGAGAAAAGCCAAAGGAAAACUUAACAAGAAAAGUCCAAGUCAAGAAGAGUCAAAACAUUUCUGCUAAGCUACUGCCGAGAAAGCUAAGAAAAAACUCGCCGCCCAACUUCCUUCUUUUUACUCCUUUUAAUUGCGGCGCCCCUCAGCAGAACCAAGCCCUCCCAGGUGUCCUUCCCUCGCGGAAUUUACCAAAAUGGGCGUGAUAUCUUCAUUUCCAAAAAUACCCGUUGGACAAGCUCUAUCAUCUGCAUCCCUUUUCUGUCAAAUUGGUACCUGUUAUCAUAUUUUCGUUCUACUCCCUGAAAUAAAUGCAAUUUACGAAAAGUGAGUAGAAUCUACUAAUUAAUCCACAUCCGGUCAGAUAAUAGGGGAAAUUAAUAAUAAAAUAAGUAAUAGAAUUGCUACCUAUCAGAUACUCUUCUUGGACAUAUCCCCGGACAAUCAGAUUGCUUAAAGAGUCAAUAUGAGAAACAAUCAGAAUUGACCUAAAUUCUACAAUAAUUAUAAAUUGAAAUACCUUAACGUCAACAAUAAUUUUUAAGUAAUCUCGUGGUACAAGUAUUUUUUUUUUAAUGAUGAUGAAACGGGGUCUAAUUGAUAAAAGGGAUAAUUUCAGAAACCUCCUUUGAAGUUUUUGACAAUUUCACUUAGCUCCCCCCAAUUUUAGAAAAUCACACUAUCCUCCCUCGGUUCAAUAAAGUGACUACAAUGCCCUUUACUUAAUAGAUAAUUUACCACAUAUGUGGGUUACAAAAACCAAACCAAAAGUAAAAGAAAAUAUAAAAACCUGCAACAAUUCGUCAUCAUCCCUAAUCCUACUUUAACUAACAACAGUUUCUUUUCUCUUUCACUCACUUUUUUUCUAUUUCUUAUGAUUCUCUCCUUCCUACUUAUAACCCAACAAUCUCUUCCAUCCAUCAACUACACCACCAUGCAAACCUACUCGAAGUGUUUAUUUCUUGUCUAUUUCUCUCUUUCAUGGUACUUAACUAUUAGCCCCUUGUUUAUAACUUGCAUAUAUUAAAUAAUCAAAAUUUCCAAAAUAACAAAUUGAGGGAGCAAAUAAAAAUUUCAUGGUCAAAUUAGAUGGAGAUGAUGAAGAUGGUUGUGACAGAGAGGGAAAAAAUGAAAUUAAUGGGCUAUGGUUGGAAGAGAAAAAGGGAUGACUCUAGAUUAUGUUAUUAUGUCUAUUACGCACUAGAAUCUAAUAUCUGUAUUUAGUUUCAUUUUUGUUUGAUUUACAAGUAUUGGUGGUGGUUUGUUAUAAAGAUUAGUUUCUCUGUUUCUAAUGCCAUUGGAGUAUGGGUUUGCGCUUGGCAUAGACAUCACUAAAUUGGGAUUUUAGUGAUAUCAAAAUUGAUAGAAUUUGGGAAUUAAAUAGGAGUUUGCUUGAACGGUUGAUGAGAUUUUGGGCUUACAAUUAUCAUGGAAGCAUAGAAAAUUUGGAUAAAAGUAUUUGUUACUUUUUUUUGGUUAAAUUGAUCACUAAACCUUUUUUUCACUUUCUUUUGAUGUUAUGAUAUUGCAUAAGGGUAUUUUAGGAUACUUAAGUAUAAUUCUAGUCUAAUGGAUCUAUAAUGUUACCUAAAUAGUAAAAUCAAGGGAGGUUAGUGUAAUUUUCUAAAAUUGGGGGAGCUGAGUGAAAUUGUCAGAAACCUCAAGGAAGGUUUCUGAAAUUAUCCCUUGAUAAAAUGCUUUACUGUAUCCAACAGGUCCUGACUACAAUGUAUUUCUUUUUUCUAUUUGUUUUAAGUUGAUUGGAUUGUCAAUGGCGAAAUCAAAUGAGCAGUUAUUGGUCUGCGAAGAUUGAAAAACUUAGCCCAUCUUGACCUUUGCUUUCUAAUUUCCAAGCCGCAUAUAUGCAAGGACUUGCAAGUCUUCAGCAAAGAGCAAGAAAAGGGUUAUAACACAGGACCAAACUGGCUAUGAUUAUAUUCAUAUUUUUUUCUAAACAAUUUGUUGAUACUUCUAGCGCCAUAGCAAUUCGUGAAAUCUCUCCAUCACAGUGUCCAUUUCAUGUUUGUCUUUUUAGAAAAAGGGAUAAUUUCACAAACCUCCCCUGAGAUUUAUGACAGUUUCACUUGGUUCCCCUUAAGUUUUACAAAUUACACUAACCUCCCCUGUCACCAUAAAAUCACUAUAAUGACCUUCACUUAAUAAAUAAUUCAUAGUAUAAUGAAAUUAAAUUAAAAAAGAAAAAAAACAUGACCUCUUUAACUAUCCUAUUUACAAGUUACAGCUAACGAUGAUUGUCUCUCACUUACUAUCAUUCAAUUUUCAUCCAUCAACCUUUCCUCCUAUAAUUCGCUUUCAAAUUACUACCCUAUAAUUGUAGCCAAUCACACCACAAGUGAUCCCUCAAACUCUAUUAUAUAUUCUUAUUCCUCCUUUCUUCUCUUUGAAAUUGCCAAAUCACAAGUUUAAUCGAGGGAUUAGAUUUGAUGAUUAAAGUAAAAUCCAAUUUCAUGGACAAAUUAAAAGGAGAUGAAGAGGCACACAAUAAUAAUGGAACAAAUAAUGCAAUCAUUGGCCAAAAGAGGAAGAGGGAUUGAAAUUGGUAAAUUUGCUGAUUUGUCUAUUAUCUAUCCAAAAAAAUUUUUAAGAUGUUAAUAAGUACAUUCAUAUUUCUUUUUAUGCUUGACAAUUAUUGUUAUGGUUUGGCUAUCGAGAUAGAGUUUCUUAUCUGUAUUUAAGACGUUAACAUGCUUGAAGAUUUAGUGGUAGGCUAGAUUAUUUUGUUUUGAGAAGGUGUGGGCAUUGGGUUUGAUGUUUGGGGUGUGACUAGUUGUAAAUAGAUUUUGGUUUUUUUGGGAAAAUGAAUUUCUUAAAAAACUCUAUAGUUAUAAUGAUGUCUUUCCCUUUUUUUUAAACUUGAUUAAUUCCAUCCAUGUCUAAAUCUCCCUUAAAGAUUUUCUUCAAGGCCAUAAUUUGGUUCACAUAGUAGGCAUUAAGCCACUUAUAUGGAACCAAAUCAUGGCAUCCUAUGUUGAAAAUUAUGCAAAUAUAAGGGCAGUUGAUUGUGAGUUUGACCACUCCAUGGAAUCAUAUGGUGAGAAUAUUUCUGAAAAAUGGAACAAAUCUUCAGAAUUGAAUGCAUGCUUUAGGAGAAGCAAUUUUAUGACUAUGCUGAUGGAAUUGCUUGGGUUUAGAAUUUGAAAUUAGACUAUUUGUUAGAUUGGUUUGUUAGUACAGUGGGUUUAGUUGAAUUAUGAAACAAAGCAAUUGUCAAAAUAAAUUUUUUAAUUUUUGUACAAAAAGGGUAGUUUAGGAUUUUUGAGAAAAAAUUUAGGCUUUUGGGCCUAUAUUAUUAUAUAAAUAGUAAAAGUAAGGGAGGUAUGUGUAAUUUAAUAUACCUGAGGGGAGGUCUCUGUAAUUGCUAGAAACCUCAAGGGAGGUUUCUGAAAUUAUCCCCCAGAAAAAUAGUUUAUGGAACAUCCAGUAGCUCGUGUAAAAAAAAUUGAAAGAAAAAAAAAAACAAAUGCUGUGCAUGUCCCAAUGUCUUUGGCACCUUCUGAAAGUUUUCAAUAGCGGAUUUAAACUUAAGUCAAUUGUUAAAGUGUUAACGAACCAAUUAGAGGCUAGUCAGUUUGACCGAUACAAUUGUUAAAGUUUGGCCUUAUUUAGAAUUGUAGUGGCUUUAGAAAUUAAUUUGUUAUUGGAGCUUUUUUUUGGGGGGUCAUUGGAGCUUGCUGUAUAGGAACUUAAUUAUUGAAAUAAAGUGUUCAAACAUGUAGUAAAGACAUAAUUUAGUGAACUGGAGAGUGAAUUGAUAGUUGGAUUAGAUAUUGUUCAUAUGUGCAACUAGAUGUUAGUGUUCAGCUUACUAUUUGUGAUUAUGAGUUGCAAUUUUAGCGAAUUAUAAUGCCUUAAUUACAUAUUGCCCACUUGUAGUAAGCGGUCAAUAGUAGUUUACUCUCUAUUUACAUGAAAUACACAAAAUGCUUACUGUGACGGCCCCACCUCCCCCUAGGGCGUACCCCAGGGUUCGGCGGACCGCCUGCCCAACUCUCGUCAGGACUCACUCACUCGUAUCUUGAGAAAUUAACUGGCAUCCAUAGAAAAGUAAAUAACACGGAAAUUCAAGCUUAUAAUAUACAUUGAUGCCCAAACCAAGAUACAAAGCUUCUAUACACAAAAAUAUUUCAUAGCAGCUACACUUCAAGUACAAAUCACCCUAGUUGAGAUAUAGCGCGAGUACAAAUUCAAAAUUCAAAAUAACUAGACUACGCUAGCCUGUACACGUCUCACGCCUCGUUCGUACCCCCUGUAAUGAAAACAAAUGGCGUGGAAUGAGCUAAAAACCCAGUGAGAUUCCAAAUAACAAAUUGACCAUUUUUAAAAGUACGAAUAUCAACGUAGCAAAUUAAUGAGCAUCAAGAGUUCAUAAAAGUGAACAAUAAUACUUCAUGUAGCAAAUCUCAAAGUGAGCGAGUGUAAAAGUUUUUCAGAAGAAACAAUAAUCUAAUAAGCAAUAAUCAUUCCAAAGUAUAAGGAUACGGAUGGCUCUCAGAAGCCAAAUUCCCAUUGCAUCACCAGAGUUUGAUCGAGUAAUAGUUGACACUCCGUCAACCUUCAAGUAAGUAACCAAUCCAGUAGAGCACCACUUACACUACUCUCCGUCCACCAUUCACACCCCCUAUUGGGCCCAAAAUUCUCAAUAAACACUGGUGAUAAUAUUCGAAUAUACCGAUUAGUCGAGGAGAUAACACUCCACUCGACAUCACUAACUACCCAUGGUUCGUUAUCUAAUCGACCAAACCCUUGUCGGCUCGAUUCGAUUAACUAGCCAGUGGGGUUUGGGUUCCCAAGAUUGUUGAUGAGAUAAAAUCUCCAACCGAUUGAAUCAAAAUAAAAGUACGGAGACGGGAAUGAGAGGCACCUCCCACUCCAAUUGAGUGUGGUACAUACUGCUGCUCCGCACUUACAACUCAAGUACAAGUAUAUCAAGUUAAUUGCAGCAAUGAACAAGUAUAUAUCAUAUUAGGGCAAGUGCGAUAAAGUACACUCUUGUCCGAUCAAACAAAUGACAUAUCAUUAAAUCACAUUGGUCAAGUAUUGAAAACAAGUGUCUAGUUCAAUCAGGCAUUUGAAAGCACUCACCAAAAGUCUAGUGCCUUUUCAAAAAUCACGUUCCAGUCCAACUCUUUGGUUGGAGUCCGAAUUUGCGAUAAAAUAUCAUUUACGAAUGUAAACCUUUCUAGAGUUCAAAACAUAGGAGUUUCGCUUCAAGAAAAUUAAGUAAAUGCAACUCGGGAUGUAGUAUUCAAGAUACUUAUCAAAUCUCGAAAAAAAUUCAUGCUCGCUCGUUUAAUUUUGAUAAGGAAGCGGUUAAAACUUUAGAACUCCCAUUGGAAUCGAAAGAACAAGAAAAACAUAUUUCAAUUAGUCGUUAUUUCCAUUUUCCAAAGGGUACAAGGUUCGGCCGAAUUCCAACUUAUGUAUCUUGAUAAAAGAGGAUGCAAAUAUAUUAGAUGGUUCAAGUGGUAUUCGCCCUCAAGCCUUACUCAAGUCGCAAGUAUAUCUACCUAGUCCUCGAGCGUAAAUUUGGGCAGCACGCCCUUUGUAUUUACCUAUUUUCCAUCCAUUUAUGGUUUCAUUGUUUUCCUCAAUCAAUCCCAACAUUACACACAACAUAAAUGUAUUACAAUAGUCAUUCAAUAGGCUCAAUGUCAUAUGAUUACCAAACCAAGCUAGAAAAAUUGACCGGAAAUGAAGUUUAAGGCCUAAAAUCAAAGGCAGAUUUGACGUUGUUUUGCGUAACGGACACAACCGAAGCUACGCUUAUCGGAUUGAGGUGAAAUUUAUACCUUUUCGAAGCUAAGACAAAGGCCUACAACUUUGGUGAAGAUAGCUCAGUCCAGUUUGUAGGAUAUCUAGGUCAAAAGUCCGGAUUGCAAAACCAAAAUCUCACAUUUGGGCUAGUUAACCACACUAUGCGUAAAUGACAAUAACUUAGGCUACCAAAGUCUAAUUGAGUUGUUUUCAGUUGCGUUGGAAAGCUAAAACAUAGGUCUAAAAGUUUUAUGUUUUGGCCAAAGACUGGUUUGGAACAGAUCAAGAUGAAAAAAGCAGCCAACAUGAGAAAAUGUUAAAACUGUCUGCUGGACACUACCUAGGGCAGUCUCAGGGGUAUUUUUGUGUUUUCAUGAGCUACAGUGUUCAGAUUUGGCUGAAAUUUUGUAGGAAAUUAUAAAACAUCAUUUUCUACAACUUUUAUGUUUUAUACUAAGCCUGAUUCGGCCUCUAAGAUGGUGAACUAGAACCAGGCAGAACAGGGUGCAUACUAACUUCAAUUCUGGAAAUUUGCUACAAUCAAGAUAUAAAUCUCAUUUUUAGCUUGAACCCAUCACUACCACCUCUUAUACCAACUUAUAUACAUCAUAUACCACCCAUACAACAAGUAUGAUAAGUGAAUCAUUCAAACCCUAACUCAAAUUCAUCACCCCAACCAUCCAAAAUCACUUGAUAUAAGCAUUACAACCACAAAUACAAGCUACUAAGCAACUCCAACAUGAUUAAGGGAAAAGAAAAGAGUGGUCAGCCAUAUUACCUCAAAAACAAAGUUUUCUAGAGUUAUCCUCCACUUCUUCUCGAAAUUUUGGGUUCCUUAAGCUUCCCAAACUCUCAAACUAGUAAUUAAUCGGUUUAGUUUUUCUUGUUUUCACUCAAAUGAAUCAAACUCAAGAUGAAAUGGAGUUUCUUCCCCUUGCUUUUCUCUCUCUCUCUCUCUCGGCCAAGACAACCAGAAAAUGAUGAAGAAAUGGAGCCAAAUGAAGAUAAGAAGGCAAGACAAUUAGUUUGGUCAAAGGCCGUUAGAUGGCCAACAAGUGUCUCCACCAACUUCCACUCAUUUUUUUUCUCUCUCUUGGUCAAGAAUUUUGGCUGCCUUGACGGGCAUUUUGGGGUGAUUUUUGUUGAUAUCAAAAUAAGGAGAUGAAGGUAAUAAAGUAGUGUUCAAGUGGUAUGUUCAAUCGGUAGUGCGCGACACCCGUCGGUCCGAGCCGAUUUUCCUUAAAUCGCGUAUACUAGAGGUUUAACUUAUAAUUCACUAGUUUAUUAGUAUCACUUCUAAUCACACACUUAACAACACCUAAAACUCACUCUUAAUCACCAAAUUUUUAUCGCACUAGCGGGUCCCACGUCUAUAAUGCGUUUCAAAUUUAAUGUACACUAACUUAUACUAGGAAAAUGAUUUAAAACUAUACUCGCUUAUCAAAAUGCAUAGAAACUUUAAUAUUUUAAAGGCAAGUAUAAAAAUGUAGGCAAAAAUAAAAAUGCCUAGAAAAUGUGAAAAUUUUCGGGUUCUCACACUUACUAAUGACUAAUGCCAAACAUUUUAACUACUAGGAAAAUGCACCUGUAUUGCACGUGUUUGAUCAUACCAAAACUUGUCUUACUUUCAUCUAUAUUGUGAAAGACUCAACUCAGAUUUUGCUAAAAAAGCCUCUGAUUCAUUGCAUGCCAAACAUGGUAGUUUGAAGCAGCAACCAAGGCUCAUUAACCAACAAGCAAUGCAAAACCUGUAAUUAUGCUGUAUAAGUGGCUGUAAUUCAGUAGAACAAGGAGAAGUCACUUGAUAUGUCUUAGAUAGGAGCUAAAUGCUUCUCCAUUAAUCUUAGAGUUUCAGCCUUUAUUGUUAUUGCUAUUGUAGAAUCUUGAGAGCCCAAAGGGGUGAAUUCCAAUAUUCCUAACCAUUUUUUCAUUGGGUUAAUUAAGAUGCAUUCGAAAGAAUGAUGACAAGUCAACCUUUCGACUGCCCUUGGGAACGGUAAAUAUAUGACAUGCUCCUUGUAAUAUUAUAAAUCAGCAAUACCUGUCCCUUUUCUUUUGGUAUCAUCCCUUGCUUAGAGGCCCUUGAUUUGGUUUUUGAGCAUCACUGCUUGUAGGAUAAAAUGUCACAGUGGAAGUGAGAAGCAGAGUUAGUUAGAAAGGCUAUUUUCAUCUAGGCAUUCUAGCUGUAGAAAUGGCAAGCAAUACAAAUAACCUUAUUACCUAAUAAAUCUCAAUUGGAAGAAAUAUAUUUUGGCCUUAGAUAAGCAUGGAUGGCUUACUAACCAUUUUCUUGCGUGAUUUUACACCUUUAUGUCUCUACUGUGAAAUAAGAAACAUGGCUUAAAGUACUGAACUGUGUCCAGUUGUAAUUCUUUCAUUUGGUAGAACUGACUCCAAAACUAUCAAAGGCAUUCUUGGCUUUCUUUGUAUUUCAUCAGUACGAUGUUGGUUGUAGGGGGAUUGUGAAGAUUUGCGCCGAAGAUUUAAUGAUGUUUUACUUAAGAGGCCUAUGACCAGAAGAUUUUUUCUGCACUUUCUUUGUAAUGGUAGUGCUAUCCUUCCAUACUACUGCUGUUUAUAUUCACUGGAGAAAAAAAAACACGUACAUGUUAUAGGACAGAUGUCAUUUGAGUUGGAUAGCUUUUGAUACGUCUUUCUAUUUCUUAUCUUUUAGAUAAAAUAGCACAAAACAUUCUAUACAUUUCGCCAAAAAAUUUUUACAUCCUCAAAUUUAAAAUGCUAAUGUUAAAUUCCUUAAAAAAAUAAACCAGUCCAAUUUGGACCAAACCUCCAAUUCCAACCAUCUUUUGUCAUGAAACCACACUUCUGUUAGCAAUAAGUUAUCCAGAAGUCCUUUGAAGCCAUUUUGAAAACACCCAAUUUUUUUUUAUUCUCCCUCUGGCUUUAGAAUGAGUAUCUAUUCACUCUCAAACACAAAGGUUCAAAGUUCUUCACCAAAACAUGCUUCAUUUAUGCCGGAUUUUGCCAAAAUAAUCAAAUAACCAAUGUCUUUAGAUUACCUUAUUCUUUAUAGGCAAACCGAAAGAGCUUUAAUUAUAGAGGAAUAAGUUUUGGAUUAUUUGGUUGUCUGUUGAUUUUGUCAAAGCCCAAAACUUUGACUAUUGUGGCAAAAAUUUUAGUUCCACAUCGGUGGGAUUAGUUGUAGGUGCAAGGCUUGAGAGUUAUAAAUUAACUCUCAAGCCUUCCAAAUAAGAUGUACCAAAGAAAAAGAAAAAGAAUUCAUUUGUAAUUCUUUCUUCUUCCAAAAAUUAUUAAGAGCGGGUCGUUUAGGCGGUACUCGGAGAUUAGGCAAAAUUGGCCGAACUCCGUUAUCAAUUUUUCGAGUGCGUUCUUUCCUUAUCUCUUUUAUUUAUUUCGCAUUUAUUUAGAAGUUUCUUUUCUAUUGUAGUAUAGUAUUCAAUAUAUUUGUCGGGUUUAUUUGUAGUAUUUUAUACGGUUCAUUUGGGUGUAUUUUCUUAUUCGUGUGUACGUAUUAUUUAUGUAUACACGGGUUUAGUUAUGAUAAUACACCGUGCACGUAAAUUCUGUCUCGGAGACUGGGUUUUAAGUGGGAUCGCUUGUGACCCCUCCAGCCUUUUCUGAAAAUUUACUUGGAAUGGUAAUUCUGUCUAAGGAGAUUGUUUGACGAUCUUUCCUGAGAAUUACUGAAUCAGUUUAAUCAGUAGUUGAAUUUUUGAGUGGAAAAUUACCCGAUUUUCCCAACAAGUGGUAUCAGAGCCGAAGGUUCGUCCUUUGGCUUGUCUGUAAUUUGUUAUAUAUUGAAUACUAUCAUUUUGAGUCUGUAAUGGCAUCAAACGAUUCCAUGUCAAGAAUUACAUCUGGGGCAUCGGCUUCCUUGUCCACAUGGUCGAGGACUCCAAUGUCAAGUUCGAAGCUGGCGGUCGAGAUAUUUGACUGUACUGGUCAUUUUGGCAUGUGGCAAUGCGAGGUCAUAGACUCCCUUUUUCAACAGGGACUUGACAUUGCCAUCGAAGAAAAGAAACCAGAUGAUAUAGAAGAGAAAGAGUGGAGUAUCAUAAAUCAAUUGACAUGCGGAACUAUUCGAUCAUGUUUGUCCAGAGAGCAAAAGUAUGCUUUCAAGAACGAGACUUCUGCAUGGAAGUUGCGGAGGGCAUUAAAGGAGAAAUUUCUGAAGAAGAGUGGUCAGAAUAAACUCCUAAUGAAGAAAAGAUUGUUCCGAUUCAAUUACCAAUCAGGUACUACUAUGAAUGAACACAUCACUAUGUUUAAUCAGUUAGUAACAGAUCUGUUAAAUUUAGAUGUAAAAUUUGAAAAUGAAGAUUUGACUUUGAUAUUGUUGCCAUCCUUUCCUGAUGAAUUUGAACAUUUGGAAACUACGUUACUUCAUGGGAAGGAGAAUGUGUUUUUAGAUGUUGUAUGUUCUGCUUUGUAUAGUCAUGAAUUGAGAAAGAGAAUAAAAUGAAAAAUAAAGUAAUUACAGCAGAUGAAGCGUUAGUGGCAAGAGGUCGUCAACAAAUCCAAUCAAAGGGAAGAAGAGGAAAGUCCAAAUCGAAAAAUAGAGUUGCCAAAGAUGAGUGUGCUUUCUGUCGUGAGAAAAGGCACUAGAAGAAAGACAGUCCAAAGUUGAAGAAGAAAGGGAAAACUUCGCAAGAUGUAAAUGUUGCAGAGUGCAAAAGUGAUGCCGAAUCAGAUUUCUCUUUGGUUGUAUCACCUUCAAUAUCCUAUCCAGAUGAGUGAAUUUUGGAUUCAAAUUGUACCUACCAUAUGUCUCCCAUGCGGGAGUGCUUCUUUGAAUUUGAAGAACUUGAUGGUGGAGUUGUUUACAUGGGAAAUGACAAUCCUUGUAAAACAGUUGGGAUAGGUUCAAUCAAGUUGCGUAAUCACGAUGGAUCCACCAGAAUCUUGAAAGAUAUUCGGUACGUGCCGAAUUUGAAGAGGAAUCUCAUCUCCUUGGGGCUCUUGGAGUCAAAAGGCCUAGAAGCGAAGAUGCGAGAUGGAAUUCUUAAAGCAACUUCGGGAGCACUUGUGAUGUUGAAAGGUGUGAGAAAAAAUAAUGUGUAUUACUACCAAGGUAGUACAAUUGUUGGGACAACAGUAGCAGCAACAUCUUCCAGUAGCAAGAAGGACGCGGAGACAGCAAAGUUAUGGCACAUGCGAUUGGGACAUGCUGGUGAAAAAUUCUUGUAAAAUCUUGCCAAGUAAGGAUUGUUGAAAGGUACGAAAACUUGCAAAUUAGUAUUUUGUGAGUAUUGUAUUCUGGAAAAACAAAGAAGAGUGAAAUUUGGCACUGGCAUCCAUAAUAGCAAGGGUAUUUUGGAUUAUGUGCACUCAGAUGUGUGGGGACCUACCAAAACUCCAUUCCUUGGAGGCAGGUAUUAUUUUGUCACUUUUAUUGAUGAUUUUUCCAGAAGAGUUUGGGUGUUUACUAUGAAGAACAAGAAUGAAGUGCUAGGAAUUUUCCUUAAAUGGAAAGCUCAGGUUGAAAAUCAGACGGGAAGAAAGAUCAAGGUUCUCCGAACAGACAAUGGUGGAGAAUAUAAGAGUGAUUCCUUCCAGAAGAUAUGCCAAGAGUGUGGCAUAGUUCGACACUUCACAGUUAGAAGAACACCGCAGCAGAAUGGGGUAUCAGAGCGUAUGAACAAGACACUAGAGGAGAAAGUACGUUGCAUGCUGUCUAAUGCUGGGUUAGACAGAAAAUUUUGGGUUGAGGCUGUGACAUACGCUCAACAUCUCGUCAAUCACUUGUCAUCAUCUGCAAUCGGUAGCAAGACUCCAUUAGAGGUAUGGUUUGAAAAACCUGCAUCAGAUUAUGAUUCUUUGCAUAUUUUUUGUUCUACUGCAUAUUAUCAUGUAAAUGAAUCAAAAUUGGAUCCACGUGCAAAGAAGGCUCUCUUUAUGGGCUUUAAUACUGGAGUUAAGGGAUACCGUUUGUAGCGUCUAGAAGCAAAGAAAAUCAUUAUCAGCAGGGAUGUUACCUUUGAUAAAUCUGCCAUGUUGAAUAAGGUAACACAAGAUGAGACCAGUGGUACUCCGUAAUAGGUGGAGUGUACGCCGAAACAGGUAGAAUUUGAGCAAAUAGUGAGCCCAACAAAUAGCACCAUCAGUGACUCUCCCAUGGCAGAAGAGGAGUCAGAUGAGAAAGAGGUCUCAAUCCACGAACCUCAAUAGCAACAAGAGUCAAUUGUCGUUAAUAGGUCAAGACGAGAAAUUCAAAAACCUGCUCGUUUUGCUGACAUGGUGGCCUAUGCACUUCUAGUUGUUGAUGAUGUUCCAACCACCUUUUCUGAAGCAGUUCGAAGUACAGAAAAUGGUAGAUGGAAAGAUGCUAUGGAAGAAGAGAUGCAAUCUCUUCAGAAGAACAAGAUGUGAAAUUUGACGCAACUACCGAAGGGCAAGAAGGCAAUUGGAUGCAAAUGAAUAUUUGCAAAGAAAGAAAGAUUUCCUGACAAGAAUGAUGUUCAUUAUAAGGUAAGAUUGGUGGCUAAAGGCUACACUCAAAAGGAGGGAGUUGAUUAUAAUGAGGUAUUUUCUCCAAUUGUUAAACAUUCCUCUAUUAGAAUUUUGUUGGCCUUGGUAGCAUACUUGAAUUUGGAGCUAGCUCAACUUGAUGUGAAGACCGCGUUCCUUCAUGGUGACUUGAAGGAGGAAAUCUAUAUGUCUCAGUCAGAUGGAUUCAAAGUUGCUGGUAAAGAGAAUUGGGUUUGUAAGCUGAGCAAAUCGUUGUAUGGAUUGAAACAAUCACCGAGGCAAUGGUACAAGUGAUUUGACCAGUUCAUAAUGGGUCAGAAGUACACAAGAAGCAAAUACGAUCACUGUGUGUAUUUGCGAAAAUUACGAGAUGAUUCCUACAUCUACUUACUUUUGUACGUUGAUAAUAUGCUGAUAGCAUCAAAGAGCCAAGUUGAAAUUGACAAAAUGAAGGGUCAGUUGAGUAAAGAGUUCGAGAUGAAGGAUUUGGAAGAAGCCAAGAAGAUUCUCGGCAUGGAGAUAAGCAAGGAUAGAAUGAGAAGCAAGUUUUGUCUGACACAGAAGCAGUAUUUGAAAAAGGUACUACAACGAUUUGGUAUGAAUGGAGAUUCAAAACCUAUAAGUACUCCACUUGCUCCUCAUUUGAAACUUAGUAACAUAUUAUCUCCAAAGACGGAUGAAGAGCGAGCAUACAUGGCGAAAGUCCCGUAUGCUAAUGCAGUUGGUAGCUUGAUGUAUGCAAUGGUGUGUACUAGACUCGACAUUUCACAAGCAUUUGGUGUGGUAAGCAGAUUCAUGCAUGAUCCGGGCAAGGGUUAUUGGUAAGCUGUGAAAUAGAUUCUAUGGUAUAUCAAAAAUACUGUAGAUGUUGGAUUUGUUUUUGAACAGGAUAAAUCACUUGGUCAAUGUGUAGUUGGAUAUUGUGGUUCUGACUAUGCAGGUGAUUUGGAUAAGCGACGUUCUACAACUGGCUACUUGUUCAUGUUUGCUAAGGCGCCAGUUAGUUGGAAGUCUACUUUGCAGUCAACGGUGGCUUUGUCUACAACGGAGGCAGAGUAUAUGCCGAUUACAGAAGCUGUGAAGGAGACAAUUUGGCUUCAAGGAUUGCUUGAAGACUUGGGAGUUGGUCAAAAAUAUAUUGACGUGUUUUGUGACAGUCAGAGUGCUAUUCACUUAGCGAAGAACCAAGUCUUGCACGUAAGAACGAAGCACAUUGAUGUUCGCUAUCAUUUCGUGUAGGAAAUUCUCAAAGAAAAGGAGAUUUUUCUCCAGAAAAUUCAGACUACGGAGAAUCCUGCAGAUAUGGUGAUCAAGGUGGUUACAAGGUCCAAAUUUGAACAUUGUUUAGACUUGGUCAAUAUCCUGCAUAUUUGAGUUGGCGCCUGAGGGUGCAAAUUUGAAAGCACCGAAGGACCAUUUGUUAAUUUUUUUUGAAGGAGAAGAUUUGUAUUUUUGGUAGGACUAGAAAUUAUGUCAAGGUGGAGAUUUGUUGAUUUUGUCAAAACCCAAAACUUUGACUAUUGUGGCAAAAAUUUUAGUCCCACAUCGGUAGGAUUAGUUGUAGGUGCAAGGCUUGAGAGUUAUAAAUUAACCCUCAAGCCUUCCAAAUAAGAUGUACCAAAGAAAAGAAAAAGAAUUCAUUUGUAAUUCUUUCUUCUCCCAAAAAUUAUUAAGAGCGGGUCGCUUAGGCGGUGCUCGGAGAUUAGGCAAAAUUGACCGAACUCCGUUAUCAAUUUUUCGGGUGCAUUCUUUCCUUAUCUCUUUUAUUUAUUCCGCUUUUAUUUAGUAGUUUCUUUUGUAUUGUAGUAUAGUAUUCAAUAUAUUUGUCGGAUUUAUUUGUAAUUUUUUAUACGGUUCAUUUGGAUGUAUUUUCUUAUUCGUGUGUACAUUAUUUAUGUAUAUACGGGUCUAGUUGUAAUAAUACACCGUGCACGUAAAUUCUGUCUGGGAGACUGGAUUUUAACUGGGAUCACUUGUGAUCCCUUCAGCCUUUCUUGGGAAUUUACUUAGAAUGGUAAUUCUGUUUAAGGAGAUUGUUUAACGAUCUUUCUUGGAAAUUACUGAAUCGGUUUAAUCACUAGUUAAAUUUUUGAGUGGGAAAUUAACCGAUUUUCCCAACAGUCAACUCAUGUUCACAUGACAAAUCCUAUAACUUGCAUAAGAAACAAAAAAUCAAGAGGAGUAUUUUGACUCUUGGAAUAUAAUGAUUUUAAGUUAAUAUAAUUAUUUAUGUGAAUCGACAACUAUCUUAUUACAAUUUUAGUUGAUACCCAGUAGAGGUUCUGGAUUUGAAUUUCUCUUUCUCCUUCCUAUUUCUUAAAUCUCAACUCUCAGCUAAUAAAAAAUUUUUAAAAAAAUGUCUCAUAGUUAAUUCUAUAAACAAAUCAAAGUCACUGCCUUUAAUAUCAAUCCAAAAUAUUCCAAAUUCAUAAUAUGGGAUUUAAUUUUUAAUGACCUUCAAUUGAUUGGUUAUGGUUUGGAUAGGUUAAGUUAACUUGCUCAGAUAUAGAGUUAAGGCUAAAUUGUAAAACAAACACAGUUCUUCAAUUUUUUUUUCUUUUCUUUUCUAAGCAUGGGGCUAAAUUAUUGAAAGAAAUUAAAAGAUAGUAUGAAUUAAAAAAAAGUAAAAAAAUUGUACCAAUAUAAUUAAAAUCCAAGAUUUGUCUAGCAAUAGCUCAAAGUGUGAUAAAAUGUGUAUAUGAUUCGAAAACUACUUUUUUUGUGGAAGAUGAAUCCUAAAAUAAUAAUAGAAAUUUUUAUUAGAAAAUGAAAGAUAUAUUGAUAGAAAUGAAUGUAAUCGUGAUCUUUAGUUUUUGUGAAUGAUUAUGAGAGUAAGAUACGUUAUAAGAGUUAGAUACGUAGAAUUGUGGAAAUUAUAAUGCAAAUGGGCUUCUAAAUUUUGGAUAUGUAUUUUUCAUAGCAGUGAGUUCCUGAGUCAUGUGGUAAGUGUCAGACGUGGUUUACAAUUUGCAAUUGCGAUUUUGCAAAGGUCGUAAAUAUCUAUUAGUUAAAAUUAUGGAGUUAUGAUUUUGUAAGUUAGUGAGUCACUUAAAUUGGAAAAGUGAAAAGGGAUGCUGAGAAGGAAUAAGGAUUACUGAAUUAAAACAAAUCUAAAAUUGUGGAGGGUCAUUGUUAAAAAUUUUCCCUCCAAUACAUAUAGAUAUAGAUAUAGAUUUUCGGCUAAAAAUUCUCUGGAUUGAACUAAUUCUAAUAUGGGCUGGUUUAUGAAUAUCAUAUGGUUAACUUAGCAUUGUAGAGAUAAAAAUCAUCAACCUUAAACAAUCCCCGUAGAAAUCCUAAAUUUUCAAAAUCAAAAUAAAUUCUUUUUCACGGUAUACAUUUUAAGUGUCAAGCUUUGUAUAAUCUGAUUAUUAUGUCAAAGCAAGCACAUGAAGAAGGAAGAAAAAAGAGUCAAAUUCUCAAACCAAAAGGUCCAAAAUUCAUAAACAAGUAAUAUGCAUUUAACCAAGGUGCCAAUCAAACUAUUCAGUCAUGAAUAUAAUCGAUAGAUUAAAAUACAACAUUAAAUUAUUCAAGCAACAACAUAAGAGAGGUUUUGAAUCAUACAAGUUUUCACUUUAGAUAUGAUUGUGGUAUUCUGACCAAUCAGUCAGUGAUGGGUCUUCAUCUAGCAUUGCAGCCAGAAUUUUUAUUUUCCCCUAAGUUCUCUUUUUCAAUGACUUUUGCUCGAAUCUUAAUAAACUCCAAACUCUCUGUGUAAAUUGACUUCUAGUUUAAAUCAUCUAAGUCAUAAAAUGAGACUUUGUCUGAUUUAAUACAGUCCAAGUUUAGUUCACUAUUUGAUACAUUGACAUUUUUUAAGUUCUCUUUUCAAUGACUUUUACUAGGCUAAUUUCUCAAAAUAUACGUUAAAAGAAAAAUCCGUCAAAUGUAGCUCUGACGGGGAACUUUUCUCAAACUAUACCUGCCGUGCUGAGCAAAAAUAAAAUUUUUAAAUCGUUCCGGCACAAUUUUUAUUUUGGAAAAGUCAGCCGCUGCUGUGCUGACUCUAAUUUUUUUUUUUAAAUCUGUCUGUCCCCUACCGUGCCCAGUUAGCACAGCAAGGAGACAAGCGGUCAAAAAAAAAGAAGCCAGACGCCUUUGUCAGCCUUUGCAAAAAAAAGAAGCCAGGCACCUUUGUCAGCCAUUGUCAGGUGCCUGCAAAGGCUGACAAAGGCCGACAAAGGCCAUGUGACGAGCAUAGGUAUCGUACGCAAAUUAUUGCCUAAUUUCCACCGCUACCGUGUCCAAUCAGCACGGUAACGGUGAGAUUUUUGCAAAAAAAAUUCUAGCCGUUCAUCCUAUUCAUAUGAACGGCUAGAUUUGAUUAAAUUCGCUAUAUAAUGGUUUGUUAUGGCCAGUUUUGCUCGCUCACUCUCAUUUCUCAUUCUCCUCCGAAGCUACUCUCUCGCUUUCUCUCAGUCUCAAAUUUGAACUCCUUCUGGUUGGAUUCGAAAUCUAUGAAAUCGGCACCGAGGUUAGGCAGUUUUGCUGGAGGCUCAAAUGCGCAAGGCUUGAAAAUUUGUUGGCCGAAACUGUCUUUAAUAGAUUGGUAGUAGUAGAAAAUCUGUCGGCCAAUUUUGAUAGCUUGCAGAAAUUAUACUCAGACAGGCAGCUACAUUACCAGGUUAAUUGGUGCAGAAUAGUGAAAAUUGAUUGUCUGAUUAUAGUUAAAAUUUUAAUAAUUGGUUUUAAAAAAUUGAGGUUGAUUGGUGGAUAAUAAUAUUAAUUUGUACAGAAAAGUUGAUUUGCUACUAAAGUGAAAAUCGAGGGUUAACAUCAGGGACAAACUGUUGGUAUCGCCGUGUUACAUAAGACCGUCAUGCUAAUCCAUUGCGGUGCUGAUAAAGGCAGAAUUUUUUUAUAGUACAAUCGUAUUCGUACAGGUUAGUAAUUUAAAUUAUUAUUAUAUUAGUUAUUAAUUACAUUAUUUAUAUUAUGUUAAUUAAACAUGUAGCUUAUUUAUGUAUUUACAUGUUAUAUUAUACUGUCAUCAAAUGAUAUUAAUUAAACAUGUUUUCUACAUAGUGUGUUGUUGUUAUACUAUAUUAAUUAAUAGUUAAUGUAAAGUGUGAUAAAUUUAUUUAUAAUUUUAUAAUAUUGAAGUGCUAAAAAAGAGUUAACUAGUGUAUAUAGUGCUAUAGUGUUGUCGACUACGACUUAUAUAAAAUUAUAUAAUUUAUAUAGAAUUACUAUAUAAUAUAAUUCAUGUAGAAUUACUAGAACAAUUAAUUAAAAUUAUUGGUUUUUACAUGCAUAAAAUACAUUAAUUAACUAAACAUAAGAAACCUGCCCGUCAAUCGAAGUACGACCUUGUCGUGCUACGGGACAAAAAUUUUGCCUUUCACCAUACAUUAUUUAAUCAAUAAUUUAAUUCUUACCAAAAAUAGAAGUUGGACUACAUGUGGCUUUUUACAGCCCAAAUUCCAACAGGUUUAUCCGAUUGUAAAUAUUUUAACUCACGAUCAAUUGUCAUGACAAGUGACGAGAACAAUAAAAAAGAAAAAAGUUAUAAUCGGCAAAUAUCAAUAAAAAAAGUUUGGGGAAGAGAUUGAUAUAGAUGAAGAAUUCCUAUAUGUAGGACUUUUGUAAGAUAUCAUAUAUGUUGCGUGCGAGGUAAAAAUGUAGUUAAAAAACAUAUAGAAUGGAAGAUUCUUGGAAGAUGCAAAAAUGUUGUCUCGAAAAAAAUAAUGAUCCGAAUUGGUUGUGUUAUUACGUACGCCAAGCCAAAGUAAUUACAAUAAUUAAUUCCUGCUUAUUGGAAUACAUGAAUCCUUCUUUAAUUAACAACUAUUAUGCAUUUAAUAAUAGUUUAAUAAUAAUACAAAAUUUAAGUAAAAAACAAAUGGGAUAUUUACAAUACAAAAGGCAUCUGGGGACAUGAAUAAUGAGGUUAGGUUAAUGUAUUUAUUUUAAAAAUUAAUGAAAUGAAGUAUAUUUAGGAUUAUGGUUAAAAUUUAGUUUAAUUAGGUUAUUUUGAAAAUUAAAGUGAUGAAAUUUAUUUAGGAUGGCUGUAAAAUUCUAGUUUACUAAGAUUAUUAUAAAAAUUAUAUAAUCAACUAUUUUUUUAAGAUUAUAGAUAAAUGAAUAAAGAUAUAAUCAAUUUACUCGUUACUUGUGAUAAUGAUUACCAGUUAUAUUUGAUAAUUAUGUUCAAUAUUUUACGGUAACCAAGCAUGUAAAUAUAUAUGUUCAUUAAAAAGUUUAUAACACCUUGCUACUUAUAUGUAAAUUAGGCUUAAUAUGUCGAACUGUACAGGAGCGCAAAUAGUUGGUGAUUCGGAAGAUGCAAUGCUAAAUGGUGGCCGCCUAAAGAUGUCGUCUAUGUACAGACGGUUGACUACGCCAGUACCGCCGGAUGCACCCGAUUCGGCAGUAUGCUCACAUCUACAUAUUGAUUUUAUUGGGUGGUCUACUAUUCGGGGAUUCAUGCGGGAAUCUUGUUAGUCUGAAUUGGUUAGAUUAUGUUCGAGAAUUGGAAGCGAUAAGGGAGUACAGUUGGGGGUCAGCGACUCUAGUCUGUUUAUACUCACGUGUGUGUCACGCUUCGCGUGCUUCUACUACUACCACAGGUGGCCCUUAUCUAUUACUCCAAAUAUGGGCAUGGGAACGGAUUCCCAGCAUUCGACCGGGUAUGCAUCCAGCGCCUGAGACUGGUGAAUUUCCGAUAGUGGUAGAUGGGCAGCCGAAUGUACAGGGGUUGAUCCGCCGGGUAGGCGCAGCAAAUACUAUCAGGAGUAUAUUGCAUUGCUACGCAUGGAUGAGGUAAUAUACAUGUUAUAGCUUCGGUUAUUAUUUGCUAAUAUACACCAUUCUUUGCGAAAAUAAAUAAUUACUUUUUGUUAUGACAAUUCAUAUGGAUGCUGUACAGUGAUGAAAGAUUGGCCGCACUACCACGAUACUGCAGACACGGCGAGCGCAUUUCACGGGUCAGAGUUCCCCUCGUAUUUUGGUACAUUAUUGAGUUUCACUGUCCAGAUCGGGUCAUGCGUCAGUUUGGACUACUUCAAAAUAUUCCCGAAGUUGUUAACACAAAUCUGAACGGGGUUUAUCAGCUCAAUCUGUCUGGCUAUCCUGGAAGGAAUUGAGCCCAAUUUCAUAGGGGGUGGAAACAAUAUUAGAAUGCUCGCGCAAAUGCGGAGGUCACAGGUCAGUUUGCUAAUACAUUCAUGCCAUCAAAUGAUUACCUCAAAUGGUAUCACGAGCACACUGUUCUAUAUAUUUCGAACCCUAGUGACCAAAAUCCGUAGAUGGGCCAAAUGCUUCAGGGAGUCUCUGGACAAUUUGAGUAUAUGGUAUGCAUUUACUUGAGACUUCUGUCAUUGGGAACGUUUUUUAGCAUAGGUGCGUUAAACAAUUAUUCCUAACAACUGGCCUAAAAUUUUUUGUUACAUAUGGGUGCUAUGCAGCGUAUUGGUCAGCAGACACAGGAUGCUAUCAAUGUUGAUGAUAUCGGUGACAUUGCAUAUCCACGUCUGUUGACCAUCAUGGAUGGUGCAUAUGGUUCGAUGCAAUACCUCUGACGUUUUGAUCGUAUGGUUGUAGGACAAUCCGAUCUAUUCGAUUUUGGGCACCCUUCGGCAUCAAAUGUCCCAUUUCAGACUCCAGGUCGACGAGUUCCAUCUCAAACAGGACCUUCGUCUAGUCGUGGUAGACAUAGGAGACAUGGUCAGCACGAUGGAUCAACCGUUGCUGAACCUAGCGUUCAAGUCACUGGAAUGGAUACUCAUCAUCUGCACACGUCUCCGGUUCAGCAAUUCACCACAUUCGAAUUUUCACCAAUGCCGGGUGUAGAUGCAGGGAUGGCUGCACACUUUCAUGUAUCUGGGGACAUGUUUAUUCCACCGCCGGCGUCGAUGACCAUUGGUGCACAAGCAACACCGUUGCAACAAUUUCAUCCAUUUGCUGCACCACCAACGCCAGUUGUAGACAUGCAUGGAUUUGAUCCACAAUUUCCUUCUUCAUCACAGUUACCUCCAUAUGAGCAUGUCCCCAUGACAGGAGACUUUUCUUCCCCUGCGGCAUUACACCUUAUAUUUACUUUUCUUAGUGGAACGGGAGGUAUUUCUUCAUCGUUGGAGCUUCCUGAUUAUUACAGUUUCGGACUGCCAUCGCUUUUUCCAUCUACCGGCCAACCAAGUUAUGCAUCCAAUCAUGUAUCGACAGGAGAUUUUGUCACCUAUCGUUCCACGAACGAUUCUGAGAGCAGCGAUACUUCCAAUGCGUUUCCAGGGAGGAUCCGCCGUUCCGUGAUUAUCCGAAUCAUCCUAGUGUCGUUCUUGACAAGCGUCAAAUACGACGACCGAAGAGAUUUUGCUGCCCUUCCACAAUGCUGCAAAAUGUUGGUAAGGGUAAGGGCAAGAGUUAAGGCAACAUGCGCGCUAAGCAUUGACUUUGUAAAUAAUGACUGUGCUAGGUAGUUAUCUAAUGAAUGCUACUUUCCUUAACUUUAAACUUCAUCUACGUUUAAUUUCAUUUCCAUCUCAAACCCUAAUUACUUAAAUCCUAAACCCUAAAUACAAAAGUGCAACCCUAAAUACUUUAUUCGAUGUCAUUAAAAAGAAACCCACUAACGUUGCAAAGCAAAUAAUAAACUAAUGUUACAAACAUAAAUGGCGGAUUAAAGAGUUUAGGACAAUCUUAAUGACAAAGGCAACAAAGAUUCAUGGGGGCUAAAGUUAAAAAAUAAAAAAUUAUGGGUAAAAAUAUAAAUUUUAAAAUCUAAGGGCCCAAAUGCAAAUUCUGUAAAAAUCACUUUUUUUUACUAACCUUUUAUUCAUUUGCUACUCAAAUUUAGGCUAAUUGGACUACCAAAGUGAUUUACAAAUCUACAAACAAAAGAUUAUUCAUACUAGUUUCUAAAGUUGUUAAAUUAAAAUCCUAAACUUAAUAAAUUUACUUAAACCCCAAUUUAUACCUGAAAAGUCAGAAUUAAUUCACCAAAAUACACAUUAACAUCAUAAAGAUAGGCUAGGACUCCACAAAUGAGAAAUUAUAUCCAUUUUUUGCAAAUCUUGAGGCCCUAGCAUAAUUAUGCAAAAGUUAGGGGACAAAUUAUAAAUAUAUUUUAUGGACUUAGAUGAAAAUCAUUGAACAUAAGAACACAAUCAAAUUUUCAGAAAAUUAAAGAAUGCCUAAAACACAUAAAAUAUCUAAAACUACAUAUUAAAAGAAAAACAAAGGAAAGAUAAAAACAAAAGCUUGGUCCAUAUUCCUUAACCCAACCGAGUUCCAUAACAAAUUUGGACAUUUGGCUGAGGCGUCUGAUCCAAACAGAAAUUACCUACAUGAGUCUAAUACAAUGAAUGUAAGCCCAAAUGAAAUAUACGAGUAAGUCCAACUCAAAACUAAAGUAAUUAAAUUUAAAACCUAAACAAGGCUAUGCUCUACCCACUGAUGAAGGCCAAAUAUUAGUCCAUGAAUAACUCCCAAAUUUAAGCCCAAUAGAAUUUUUUUUGUUAUUUUCUAAGAAACUAGCCCCUAAGUCAGAGUAUUUUUAAAAAUAUAUACAUUGAUUACUUUAAGUAUACACAAAACAAAAGAAAGGAAAACCCCUUGUCGUAAUUUGAUAAUGGUUUAUUGAUUUACAGAUAAAAUUAGACAACAAUUAGCGUUAGCCUUGUUAUUAAUUUGAAAUACUAAACCCUAAAACCCUAAACCCUAAACUCUAAAACCCUAAACCCUAAAACCCUAACUUUAAAACCUUAACGCAAAAACCCUAACCCAAAAAUCCUAAACCCUAACUUUAAAAACCAAUUUCCGUAAAAACUUUUUUUUUGCCACAGUCAGCACGGCAGCGGCCUGCAAAACUGCUGCUACGUCUGGAAGUGUCAGCCGCUACCGUGCUGACUGUGCACGGCAGCGGCUGACACCUUCUGACCAGCACUGAAAUUUUUGCUGAGCUUCUGACCGGCUGACAGCUUCUGAUUGGGAAGGAAAAAUUCAUUUUGGCAGGUAUAGUUUGAGAAAUACCCCCUGUCAGAGCUUCAUUUGGCGGAUGUUUUUUUUUUAUACGUAUAUUCUAAGCAAUUAACCUUUUUAUUGGGAUCUUAAUGGAUUCCAAACUGCCUAUGUAAUUUGACUUCUAGUUUCAAUCAUCUUGUUAUAAAACAAUAGCUUGUCUCCGAUUUAGGGCUCGUUUGGAAUUGCGGUAAUUUAUUGAAAAGUAUUUCCCUAGCAGAUCUUUAAUAAAAGUACUUGUCAACUGUUUAAAAUAUUUUAAAUAUAUUGUUUGGAGACAUAGUUCAAUAAGUACCGAUUAUAUUGGAUAAUAUAUAAUUUGAAAAUUUUUAAAAGUGUUUAUCUCUUUAUUUGGUUUAUAACAUAGAAUAAGAUGAUUAAAUUUGAUAUUUUAUUUUUUAAAUCACAAAAGCUACUCUAAAAGUACCAAAUUUGAGUUUUUGGUAAAAAAAUUUUAACACAAAAAUCUUUACUCCUAAUUUUAUGGGAUGAUAUUCACCAAACAAUUUAAAAAUACUUUUAACAUCUAAAAGUACUUUUUUACCAAAAGUAUCGCAACCCCAAACGGGCCCUUAAUAGAGUCCAAAUUUAGUUCAACUUCUUAUCAUGAUGCAAUUAGUGAGUGGAAAAAUUCGGCCAUUAUUUGAUACGUUAACAUUUCUAAUUAAGAAUUUUUAGUUUGAUAGGAGACGGGGAGUAAAAUUGUAGGAGUCCUUUAUAAGUAAAAUUGUAAGAGUCCUUUAUAGAGUAAUGAGUAGGGACUAAACGAUAAAUCAUCCAAGAGACUUUCUAGAGUGUGUGUGUGUAUAUAAUAUAUAUAGAGAGAGAGAGAGAUUGGUCGAUGGUCACAAAUAUGCCCCUGCAAUCAUAUAAGUUUUAUCUUUUAAGUUUAUUCUCAUUUUUCUUUUUUUUUUCUUUUCUUUCUUUCUGUUUUGACCCUUUUCUUUCUUCAUCCUUUAAUGUCGUAAUGCUUUUUAUUUUCUCUUAAUAUGUGUAUAUUCAAAAUAAAACUUUUGAUUGGCUAUAGCUCAUUCAAUUUGUUGUCUGCUCCGGUUUUUAUUUCUUUCUACAAAACGCCAAAACCAAAGAUAGAGAGUUUGUAUGGAGAAGAGAUCAACAGAGGAGGCAUAAAAGGGGACAAAAUUUUAACAUUUUUUCGGCUAUAAUCACAUAAGACUGUGAACUUUUGUUAAGAAUAUUUCUACGAUAUUUUCAAGGUCUAAAUUUUUCCUUGGAAGCCCUAUGUCUAGACAUGGGAUGGGUGUAGACUUUGUAUCUCUAAAUAUUGGUUUCAACUUAAUUGAUAAUAUCUUUUAGGACUUUAUAAUUUCUAGAAUUAUUUGUCUGGAGAAAUAGAAUUUCAUGGCACACAAUUUCACUUGAAGACAGGCCGUUUGUACAAAAUUAAAAGACAAAUAAUUAAUGGUUGUGUUUAGUCAUCCAACUUGUGACUUGGGAAAUAAGUUAGUGUCUAAAUUGUGCCGUACAACUUGAUGAGAUGGUGUGAAACAAUUUUAACCAUUGAAUUUUAAAAAACCAGUGAUGAUGAUAAUGACCUGAUGAAGAUCAAAUUCAGUUGUUGAUGCUGUUGUGGUCCUUGUGGGUUUCAAUUAAUUGGAUCAUUUGUUUAGUUCAUUGGGCUGAGGUAUUAUAACAAACUCUUGGGUUGUUUUUGUUGGACUGGUCCAAGUUUUAAUGGCCUUUCACAAUUAUUUUUUGCUUUUGGGAUACAAAUUCAAUGUAUGCCAAAAUUUAAAAGGGCCAUCUGAAAUUAUUUUUGGGAUUAUUUGGGGCUAAUAUAAUUAGUGGGCCGAAUGGUGCAGUUAACGGUUAAAAAAAAGAAAGGGAAACUGACUUUCUGGGCCUGUGCAUGUAGGGCUUUUGUUCUUAUAGUGGACAUUUUGUUUGUUCUGUAAUUGAACUUUUGGAUCAUAAAGCCCAACUUGAAAAUUCCCAGCUAAUCAAAUAUGUUUAGAAACCGAAAUAUGUUUAAAAAUACCCAAUUUAGAGCUGUAUACAUCCAAGAACUUAUUUAAAGGCUCGAUUUUAUUAUAACAACCAAAAUUUUAACAAAUGAACUCAACAACACUAUUAAAAGUCCAAGUUUGCUUAUAUCCAAAUUAAAUAAAAAGAAGCCUUUUUUAAAGAGUAGGCUUAACUCUAAGGUUAAACCCAAAUUCAAAUCCAACUCGAACCAAUAUGUUCCAAUUUAUAUCCAAAUAGAAACUUUUUUUUAUAGAUAAUUGGAUUAAAAUACUUUCUAAAAAGAGAGGUCUUUUCAAAAGGGGAAACUUUUCAAAAUGGAAAACUUUCGGAAUAGGGAAAUCUUCAUUUCUUUUCUUUUCUUAGAACCCUUUUCAGUUACUUGUUAUAAAAGGUUGACAUGUUUUAUAGGAUUAUUUAAGAUAAAAAUAAGUAAAUGAAAUAGCAUAUAUGAACUAAUUAAGUCAUAUAUAUUAUUGGCUAUAAGUUGGAAGCAAGAUUGCAUAUCUUUAGAAGAUAAAUGAAGAGGUAAAUAGAUUGGCGAUCGCGUUCUAAGAAUUAUACAGUAAGGUGUUUAAUAGGUGUGUUAAAUGAAGAGUUUGAAAUUCUUAAGUUAGGGUUGUAUAAAUUAGUAAUGAUAAUUUGAAAUAUUUGUAGAUUUUAAUUUUAGUGACAUUAUCAUUUUAAAGUAAUUGUAAAUUUUAGUGAAUUUUUGUAAGUUAUAAUCAAGAUGUCUAGUUUUCACGAGAAUACAGUCUCACGGGUACGCCAUGUGAUGUUGCAAAUUUAGUCCAUGGACCCAAAUUUGGAGUGAAGCGUCUUCACAGACUAGUAAGUGAGCAUUGGUUUCUCCAUAAACAUUCCAAUUGACUUCAGAAAAGGAAAAAAUAAAAAAGAGGAAAAGAAAGAAAGAAACAUGUGCUUAUAUAUAUACAUACAUAUAUACAUAUAUAAUUCUACAGUCUCUACAAUUCUGAAUAAGGCCCAACAAAGAGACUUACAAUAUCAUCAAGGCAGGAAAUGUAGGGACUUAGUAAAAAACAAGAACAAGAUGGGCAGAAUGAGAUCCCGUGAUUAGUUUCCUCUACAAAUCUGCAGUUGAGCCUACGUGCCAACAAAUAUUUUACCUGAAAAAGAAAAAUAAAAUAAGUAGAUAGAGUAAGAUUUUGAACUUAAAAAACACGAAACUUCAUUUGUACAGGAAAAAAAGUGAAAAUCAGUAAGAAAACUGAACAAUAAAUAAAAGUGAAAAUCAGGAACUCUAAAUCUCUGAAUACCUGAUGCCAUCACUGCCUAUUCUCACAAGGGGAAUCUCUUCAAUCACGGGCCAGUAGUCUCCUCUAUCCAUCAAACACCUUUUCUCAAGAAGUGGGCAUUGAUAAAUUAGUAGAGUUUGAAGCGGAUUACGCAGCGAUUCCUUUGGUAGGGAUCCAAGCUUGGGGCAGUUAAAGAUAUGCAGAUAUUGAAGAGCUGUAAGACCUCGCAAGAACGUGGAGAGCGAUUUCAGAUUUGGUAAGUCACCAAUGGCGACGGACCUAAGAGUUGGAGGAAGCAAAGCCAAUCCAUCAUCGCCACUACCAGAAAAUGAUUCCAGCUCUGGAUAUCCACUGCAGAUGCUGAAACUUUCAAGAUACGUGAGUCUGUUGAGUCCCCAUUCUGACAGGGGCUUCAGCUGUAAGUUUUCUCCUGCCCCUAUGUGAAGAAACUUCAGACUGGGAGGAAAAUCUCCUUGUGGAAAUAGAGAUCUUAGUCUUCCCAACCCACUGGGCAAGUAACUAACAUUUUUGCAUCUGUCCAAGGAAAGAUAUUCCGAACUUGGACUGGGCAAUUGAUCCAGAUGAUGAUCACAAUCGCUGAUAUACAAAGACCGGAGACUUGCAAAACAAUAGACUGAACCAAGCAUUGUCCUCAAAUUCAGAUAUGGGCAACCAACGAUUUCCAGUCUCUCAAUCGAUGUGCUGGUGUCCUCAAUGACAAUCUCUGGAGUAAGGUUCAGUUUCUGGCACUGCCAGAUCUCAAGAUUCCUAAGCUGAGGGAGGAGCAACUUCUCCAUUGGCAAGCAACUGAGGGCUGAGCAUCUGCUUAUUUGCAAUGUGUUAAGACCAGAUAAUGUAGGCAAAGACUGGAGAGCACUGCAACCUUUUAUCUCAAGAUAUUUGAGCGUUGGUAAGACACCAAGCUCCUCCAAGGAUGAAAGCUGUGAACAUUCUGAAACAACUAAAGAUUUUAGCUGCACAACGUUUAUAGUGUUACUUGAGCCCCACAGAUUUUUCAGUUGACGGCAUUCAUGUAAUGUGAUAUCUUCAAGGCCUGAUGGAAACUGCUUGAACACAUCCUCGAGGGAUGCGAGCCCUAUAAUCUGCCGAAACUCCAAUUUGUAUAAUGAGGUCAAAUUGUGAAAACAUUUCGCAAUUCCCAGCGAGCACUGUUUUAACUUUAGUUCAGAGAGUGAAGGAAGAUGCAAAACAGGAAUGCUUUUCAACUCUGGGCAGCAACUUAUACAGAGCUUUCGGAGCAGAGGGAAGUGGCAUUCGUUCUCUCCUGCUGAACUUAAGCAAGUCCAUUCCUCCCAUUGUGGCAUGUCAUUAAAUGUUAGACUUUCAAGCGAUGGAAAGGAAAAUUCCCAAGAGCAAUCUUUGCCACAAAACUCCGUACCUACUGCCUUCACCCCAAGCAUGCUUUGAAUGCUCAAAUCCUUGAGCGCAGGCAAUUGCCCGAGUGAUGGUAAACACUUGCAGUAUGUACAACCUCUAAGGCUUACUUUUACUAAUUUAGUAAAUGAAGAAUCCCCCACCCAGGAAGAGAAUUUGUCUCCCCUAUAGAACUCAAUUUCAAGACUCGUUAGGUUUGUGUAUGGUCGUAGCGCCUCAAGCAAAUCUUGUUGAAGAACUUUACUCAGAGAAUCAUCAUAUUCACUAUUCCAUGCCAAUACUAUGUUAUCAAGGUCCCUCUUGUUCUUCAAGUUGGCAUCCCGUGCUUCUUGAACAUUCGUAACAUUUUGCAACUCCAGAAUGGCGAGUGACCCUGCCAGUAAGGACAAGUUCCCCAAGUCAUUCAGCCUGAACCCACCAUGUUUGCUCACAACCACUUUGGAUAGUGUCUGCAAGCUCGUCAACUGAUCAAUCCCUGAAGGCAUCUUACACAAUUGACUAGUAUUGGAAUUUUCAAGAUGGCGCAGGUUAAUUAAUUUUCUAAUACCUACCGGUAAGUUAAUCAGCUCCCUGCAGUUGCUCAAACGUAGUGUUUGUAAAUUGCAAAGAUUACUCAAUGAUUCAGGCAACAAUUUCAGCCAAGUACCAGACAAAUUCAGGUACCUUAGAUGUAUUAAUUCACCGAUGGAAUUUGGUAGAUCAGAGAUAGCAUAGCCACUGAAUGAUAGCACCCUUGAGUAUCGCAAUUCCAGCAAAAGUUCUGCUACGACCUUUUUAGCGAUGUAAAACGGCAAGCCUUCAUACUUGACAAAAAUGGGCAAUGGUAGGAAACUUCGCAAAUGUUUUGCUUUCUGAAGAGUUUUAAACUUUUGUGUAGCUCCAUACCCUGAACUUGUGAAUGAUGCGUACCUAACCUUGUCAAGGAUCGUGCAUUUGAUGUUCUCUUCCAAGUCGUCUGUCAGUCUGGAACAAAAAUCUCCAGCAACAUAUCUGGCUAGAUCGUUAAUAAGGUCAUGCAUCACAAAACGUGAACUAGUGGAACUAGACUGCUGGAAGAAGGACCUCAUUAGUAGCUCCUUAAAAUAAUUGUCCCCUAUGUCCUCCAUAAGUUCGCUUGCUUUUGACUCCUCGAUAAAACCCUCUGCCAUCCAGAGCAAUACAAGCUCAUAUUUGUCAAACUCAUAGUCCUUGGGAAAUAUGGAGCAGUAAGCAAAGCACGGUUUUAGGUGGGCAGGAAGAUGAUAAUAGCUUAAUCUUAGUGCUGGAAGAAUGUCACUUUGAUCCUCUUUUAUUUCCCAUAUCUCACUGUUCAGUAUAUCCGUCCAUUCAUCUGGGGUCGAUCUAGCACGCAACAACCCUCCAAGAGUCUUCACGGCCAAGGGCAAGUUCUUACAUUUCCUUACAAUACUCCUACCAAUGCCUUCUAGAUUGGGGUACCUGUCAAAAUUUGUCCUUCCCAGUGCAUGUCUUGCCAGUAAGCAUAAGCUGUCAUCAUCUGUCAACUCCUUCAGACUAUAUCCAGCAGUGGAAGACACUACUGAUGCCACCCUAUGAUUCCGAGUGGUGACAAUUAUCUUGCUCCCAGAUGAACCAACUAGAAAUGGGCGGCACAGGAUGUCCCAGUCCUCAUAUUUUUCAUUCCAAACAUCAUCUAAAACAAUUAGAAACCUCUUCCUGGUCAAGGCCUCACUCAGUUUCACUUGAACCAUAUUCAGAUCCUCAUAAUCACAGCCACCCGCUGUGAUUGCUUUAAGGAUUGUCUUUGUUACCCCAAAAAUGUCAAAAUCAUCUGAAACACAAGCCCAAGCCUUGGAAUCGAAAAAUUUGUUGACUCUGUCAUCAUUGUACACCAUUUGAGCAAGAGUUGUUUUACCAAUCCCUCCCAUGCCAACAAUUGGUAUCACAACCACUUUAUCAUCACUCGAUUCAUUUGAAAGGAGCAAUUUGAGCAGCUCUUCUUUGUCAUUCUCUCGACCAUAAACAUAAGACUCCACUAAGGAAGUUGAUGGCAAUCUAUCCCUAGUUUUGUUCGGCCUCUUUGCUACAGUCUCUACCAAAUGGAGGAUAUUGAUUUGUUCUUUCAGGCUCUCCAAUCUUCUAGUUAUUUCAUCCACCUUGGGAGCCAUAUUUCUGUUGAACUUAUAAUCUUUAACAGAAAAUUUUGUACAACAGGAAGGGAUUUUAACCUUUCUUACCUUGCUAGUAGAGCCUUGAGCUUCCAGCAACCUUCUUCGACAAGCUUCUGUGGAGAAUUCGUCAAUCACAUCAUCCAUAUCAUAUGCCAAAUCCUGAAGAUCAUCUAGCCACUGCUUCACAGCAAUCCUCAUAUUCUGCUUGUCCUCUGCAUCAUCAAGCACUACCUGAAUCAGGGAUAGCACUUGGCUCCAUCGUUUCAGCUGAGUAUCUAAGCCUUCUGAGCGCGCAAGUUUCUUCAAAUCAACAGAAGCAAGCUUGUCAAAUAUCACCUUGAUGAUUGCACCAAGAAAGACUUCUAUCAGUGCCAUUUUGUUAUCUAAUCUUUGUUUCCUUUUUUUUUCGGGAUUAUCUUUUGUAAGUAAGCAACAAGAAAAAUAAAACUUAUGAAAACUCAAAAGGGGAGAUAAGAUUGAAAGGUAGAAAAAAAGCAGUUUCUUCACCAGAAAUGGAUCAGUGCCAAAUACUUGCCCCAGUGAUUUUUGAACUGGUGAGGAAAAAGUUUCUAAAAGCACGUCAUCAAUUUUUAAAUUAGCUCAAAUAAGAUAAGCUUUUAUAUGUUGAAGUUGACCAACAUGCUUAAUUAUUUUAUGUCAAUUUGUGUAAUUUGAUUGUAUUCCAAGACAUCAAAUUAAUUAAUUAUCUAUAACAUGAAAUCAUACUAAAUACAGUUUCUCCUUUUGCUACUUCUUUUUUUUUUUUUUUUUGGAUUUUGAAAAUUGAUCUCUCCUAAUAUCUGACAGAUUUUGAAGUAUGAUUCUGAUGUAACUAUUUGCCAUUCAACAGGAUAGGUGAUUAAGUACAUCAGAUUUACCUGUUAGCCAUGAAUUGUAAAACAGAACGUAUGAAAUAAAUUUUAAGAGAGAGAGAGAGAGCUUGUAACGAUGAUAACUAUAAUUAUUCGUCUCACAGAAAUAUCAAAUAAUAUUGGAAGUUGACUUGACUAUGCUAAUGGGUAAUGUACCUAUCUAAUUUGUUUUGCUGCAAGUUUUUUUUUUAUUUUAUUUUGGGUGGGUGGGAGGGGAGGGGAGUUCUUCUUGGGUUUAAUCAACAAGUAAAGAAAAGCUGGCAGUGUUGCUUAAGACAAUUGAAGUUGCGGGGGAGGUUGUUAAGACAAUUUGAUUUUUAAACCAACCUUCCACACAAACUAAAACCAGAAGCUCCAUACGAAGUUAAUUUAAAGAUCUUCUUGCCUUCGAUCUAAGGGAUGGGAAUGGAACUUGUGGUAGACAGAACAUAUUAGUUGCCGCACAUCAUGCCAUCUACUAUGAUAUUCCACAUCGAAACUCUCGAAAGAGGAAAGUAAAGAUAUAUAACGGUUGGCCCGUUGAAUAAUUAAUAACAUUGGGUUAAUUUAGUGACAGGUUGUCAGCCUGUGCAAUAAUAAAAACCUGCUCAAACUAAAAGUAAUUUCUGUAGAUAGUGGUGAACAUGGUCGAAUCCACAGGGGGACUGGGAGUAAUUGUUUCUUUUCAAAUUCACAGUAACCAGGGGGUGUUUUUGUGCAGAGAGUGACAAUCAAAUAAAUGCAAAUAAAAUCCAAGGAACUACUAAAAAUUAAAUAAUAAUUUACUAAACUCAAAUGAAUGAUAACUAAGGUUCUAGCCAAGAAAUAACUUCAACAAUGGUUCACCUAAUUGAUCAUCGAUGCAAAGCCAAUUCCAAUUAGUUACUAAUAAAUAUGUUAUAACUGCCUAACAAGCGAUGACAGUCAAUCCCUCCUUACUGUGUCGGUGAUUAAGAUACGCCCGUUAAUCACUGCCCUAAUUGGAGAAUAAUUCUAGGUACGCCCGUAAGAUAUAAUUCCCCAAUUGCUUUACGUAUUAGAGGAGCCCUAUUCUAACCAAAUAAUACACUACCAGGGUUAUUUUAGGUUAGCCCGCAUAUUUCCCUGACACAAAUCCAAUCAUACCAGUUGUCACUAUUUUGAGACAAUUAAACAAUUACGGAUUUAACGUCCCAAUUGACAAUAGAUUAUCAAAUUAACUAAUUAUCCGGAUCCAAGACAAUCAAUUAAUUAAACAAUCAUAAGCACUGCAACUAACGAAUAUGCGAAUACCAAUAAAUAAAGGAAAAGAUAAAAUUAAAUCGAUCUCACAAUUUUUUAGGCGAACCAGAGCCUCCGUUGUCUCUUGACUAGAGUGGAAAAAAUUAGCUCAUGAUUGAUGAACAAAACCCACAGGAAAUUGGAGAGAAAAAUGCAACCAUCAAUUGGAAAAUGGGUAAACUUGAUUCGAUGGAGUGCUGACUAGAAAGAAAAGCUACAGGAAGUACUUAAUUGUUUUGCCUCUCCUAACAUACGAGGAAGAGACACUACUCAAAGCUAAAGAAAAAGACAAGUCCCCCAAAAAGCUAAGCUAAAAGAUGAAAACCACUAAGAAGAAAUAUAAGUCCAGUUCUCUGCUCUCCUUGUGCGGCGGCCCAGCACCAAGAAGAAGCCCUCAAGCCGUCCUUCCUUCGCAGAAUUUACCAAAAUGGGCGUUACAUCUUCUUUUUCAAAAAUGCCCCUCGGACAAGCUUUAUCAUUUGGAUUCCUUUUCUGCCAAAGUGGCACCUGUUAUCAUAUUUUCGUUCUAUUCACUGAAAUAAAUGCAAAAUACUAAAAGUGAGUAGAAUCCAACAAUUAAUCCAUAUCGGGUCAAGUAAUAGGGGAAAUUAAUAAUAAAAUAAAGGAGAAAAUUGCAACCUAUCAUUUAGCUUUUAUUGGGCCAGUCCAGCAGGCACGGACCAUUACAAAUGGUAUUAGAGCGAAUCUCGUAUGGUCUCUAUGUAAGGUGAGCCUAGGUCAAGUGGUGUGGUUCCAACUAACAACUAAGAGUUUUAGUUUGAAAUCUAAAGUUUGAAUCCAUUAAACUAUUGAAUUGUUAAGUAUUAAAUAUAAUACAUUUGAGUACAUAUCAUAUGAGAACCCAAAAAUUUUCACAUUUUCUCAACAUUAUUUUAUUUCUUUGCCUACAUUUUAUACUUUCCUUGGAAAUAUUAAAAUUUCUAUGCAUUUUUACAAGCAAGUGCAAUUUUAAAAUUAUUUUCCUAAUAUGAAUUAGUGUACGUUAAUUUGAAGUGCGUUAUAGAUGUGGGACCCGCUAGUGUGAUAUAAUUUUGGUGACUAAGUGAUUUUUGUGCUAAGUGUUAUUAUUAUACAAGGUGCUAGAGGAUAAUUAGAGAUUUGUUAUAUGAUGUAACCAUUGGAAGCCAAAGGAUUAGAGAAAACAAUAGAAGGGCCAAGUGGUGCAAACCCAUUGGAGGUUGGAUUUUGACCUCAUUUUCAUCUUUACUAAAAACCAAAUUUUGACCCAAAAUAUCUUCACUUUUCUUGCUUCUUGGCCGACUCUCUUGAGGGGAGAAACAAGAGAGAGCUCUUCAAUUUCUUGCUUCCAAACUUGUUCAAAUCUUGUGUUUUAGCCAAUCAAAUUUGAAACUACACCAUACAAGUGCUCAACUAGGAAGUUUGAUGGUUUUGGUGGAGUUGUUUUGGAGGAGGAAAGACUAAACCACUAUCUUCUUGUGGUUUUAAUGUAUCUUGCCAAGAAAUCUCUCUUUACUUUUAAUACUAGAUUUGUUGCUAGCUUAUUUGUGGUUCAAGGGUGCUCGUAAUGCUUAUAUCAAGAGAUUUUGGAUGAUUGGAGUGAUGCAUUUGAGUUAGGGUUUGAAUUAUUCCCCUCUCAUACUUGUUGUAUGGAUGGUUUAUGAUGUAUGUAAGCUUGUAUAAGAGGUUGUGGUAGUAAUUUAAGCAAGAAAUGAAGAGAUUUCCCUUUUAAACCCCAAAUUCCAGAUUUCAGGAAAUCUUGUUUUCAGUUCUGUCCGUUUCUGUUUGCCUAUGAUAGAGGCCGAAUUAGGCUUACCAUAAAACAUAAAAGUUGUAGUAUUAUGUCUUAGCUUUCCAACGCCACUGAAAACGCCUCAAUCGCACUUCGGUAGCCUGAGUUACUGUCAUUUACGCAUAGUGUGGUUAACUGACCUGUUUGUGAGAUUCUGGUUCUGUAAUUCAAAAUUUUGACCUAGAUACACUACGAACUGGACUAAGUGGUCUUCAUCAAAGUUGUAGCUCUCUGUCUUAACUUAAAAACGGUAUAAAUUGCACCUCAAUCCGAUAAGCGUAGCCUCGGUUGUGUCCGUUACGCAAAAUAACGUCAAAUCUGUCUUUUGUUUCUUGACUCAACCUUCAUUUCCGCACAUGUUCCUAGCUUGAUUUUGUACUUGUAUGACUUGGAGCCUAUGGAAUGGCUAUUGAAAUGAAAUGAUUUUGUGUGUGAAUUUGGGAUUGAUUGAGGACAAUAAUGAAGCCAUAAAUGGCUGGAAAACAGGUAAAUACAAAGGGCGUGCUGCCCAAAUUUACGCUCGAGAACUAGGUCGAUGUACUUGCGACUUGAGUAAGGCUUGAAAGCAAAUACCACGUGAACCAUCUAGGGUAUUUACGUCUUCUUUUAUUGAGAUAUAUAAGUUCGAAUUUAGCCGAAACUUGUACCCUUGGAAAAAAUGAAAUUUACGACUAAUAGAAAUACGUUUGCUUUGUCACUUCGACUCAAUUGGAGAUUUUAAAGUUUUACGAGUGAGCAUAAGUUUUACAAAUAUUUUACUUAUGUUCUUUGGUUUCAAUGUACUCUUUUCACUAUCAAAACCAUAUUUAUAUUUCAUACUAGUACGUAUUCGAAUUUUCUUUGAAUCACUUAAAUCUUUGAUGGUUGAAACAUAAUGUGUUCUUUUGAUUAUAUUAGGGUUCAUCGGUGACUGACGGUAUUAUCCGGCAGGAUAUUUUGGAUAUUAUUUUGCGUAAAUAGGUGAGUGUUCCUUGUUUGUUUUAUUUUCAUUGACUAUGUGGCUUGUUCUUGAUUAUAUGACUUGUUAUGAAUGAAUGAUAACAUGUUAAAUGUUUUCAAUGAUUACUUAAAAUGAGUUUUCUAGGCGAGUGUGUAUUUUAUCGCACUUGACCUAAAUGAAUGUGAAAUUUUCAAUGAUUGAAUGAUUAUAUGUGCAUGAAUGUAAGCCUCUCGGCUGAACUGAGCCCUGCCCUUCGUUACUGAUUGACUCGAGCCAGAAGCGGACUCGGUCGGGCGAUUUAGUGACCCUGGGUGAACGUUUGGUAUACUCGAGUAUUACCUUGUAAUCUGGUGGAGCCUGGCCAACGUCCAGGAGGGGGUGAAAUGAAAUGAAUGAACGAAUAUCAAUGUAAAUGAAGGGUUUUACUUAUCAAAAUGCAUUUUCAAACGAUAGGAGGAAUAAGGAAAUGAAAGGAGAAUGAAUGAAUGGCUCCAUGUGAGCAUUUAUCCUUUUAAUGAAUGUUAUUAUUGAUUUAUAUUGUCAUGUUUCUUGAAUUACUUGCUAUCUAUGGUUAAUGUAUUGAACUCAUUGUUUGUUUAUGUGUUUGGAACUUCACUGAGCUUUUAGCUCAUUCCGUUAGUUUUGUUUUCCUUAACAGGGGAUGUGAGCAAGGACGAGAACUCUGUAUAGACUAGCUUAGUCUAGUUCUUUGGAUUCUUUUGUAACGGUUCUCGCCCUAGCACUUGGCAAGGGUGGAUGUAUGAGGAAUUGGGAACCUUUGUAUAUUUGAAGUUUGUAAUUCCUUUGGAGAUAGGAAUGUAUAUAAGUUUAUGUUUUAAGUUUGGGAUUGUUAUUCGCUUGUUUUGUAAAUUUUAUCUUCAAUUCCUUGAGGUGAAUGAUUGAGUCCCGGCGAGAGUUGGGCAGACGGUCCGCUGAACCCUUUGGUUCGCCUUAGGGUAAGGUAGGGCUGUCACAUAUCACAUCUAGUGAUAAGUGAAUAGUUUAUCAUUUAGUUUUGAGAGCAAAUUUUACCUAAAAAAUUCAAUGCUACUUAAUUUAUUCAGAUGUUUAAUAUUUUGUUAUCAAACGAUCUAAAUAUGUUAACAUCUGAUUACAUUAAAUUUAAGUGCUAAAUGAAAUUAUCAAACAGGAUCUAAAUAAGAAAGUAUAAGGAACUAAGUACUAUAUGGGACUAAACCCCACAUUAGACGGUCGCCUUUAGAAUUCGUACGAGUUACCACUAGAAUCUGCAUAUGACUAAAUAAUCAGUGGGAUUGCAACGGAUUUUUCUUAACAAUCUAGAAUCCGCUCACGAUUAAAUGAUCAGUUGAAUUGCAACGGGGUUUCUUAACAAUAAGUCAAGUCAUUUGUGGAAAAUAAAUGGGACGCCAUAAACUGCACUAACCACAAACUGCACUAUCCACAAAUUAGAAAUAUGAAAGAGAUGGAGUCAGCCAAAGUGAGGCUCAUGAAGCUUAGGAUUCUGAUGCUUAUGGGAUGAUGUAAGCUGCUUGCCCAUUGGGCUGUCACACUCUUUGCAAGAUUUCGUAGUUGGUCAACAUUGUGACCUCCUUGAACCGUUAGAUGAUAGGCCUAUAACCGCAGGGAUAGAGCAGGAAAACAUUACGGUACGUGAAGUGUCAGCUUUGGAAACAAGGGUCUAGCGUAACCCUUCCCAAAACACUUACAGACACGGCUAAAAUAAUGUCAACACAAAAAAACACAUGGAAGUAAUAUUAAAAUAUUACACAAGAUCGACGAAAGCACGGGGAUUAUUCAAUCAAUCUAUUAAUUUUCCUCUCUCACAACUCAACUCACUCAACAAAUUCUUUGACUCAACUUAACAAGGCUCAACUCAACUCUCUAAUUGAAUAUGAAACAGGCAUCACAUAUAUGUAGGCAAUAGCUUACCAUAUAACUAAAGACUCGAGUGACUUCCACCGACUUGGACUAAGAAACCAAUUACACUUAGAAAACCAACUAAUCAAGGAUUCGGACUUGACUAUUCACCGACCAAAAUUUAAGGAAACUAACAAGUUGACAGCAGAUUAAAACGUUACCAUGUAAUUGGUUAUAGUAACAACUUUAAUCUAAUAAUCUAAACAAAUAAAUGACGUCAGCUUGAUUUAAUUUCCUUCAAAUAACACACGGGAAACACCUAGAACACCCAAAACAAUCCAUCAACCACUAACCCUCUCCUUCCUCCCCCACCCAAGCCCCCUGCGCCAACCCUCUGCCGCCUCCUCCACCUCCCCUGCCUGCCACCAGCUCCCCAAUCACUUCUCCUACUCUCAUGCUCGCCAAAAAUUGGGGUCUUUUUAUGUGGUUACGAGUAAUAUAUAAUGGUAUGCUCAUUGAAGUAGUACACCAUCACUCAGUUAAAGCAAACCAUUACAACUAAUAAUUCAUUGGCACCAAUUAAAGGGCAGUCAGCUUGGACACUCAUCAAGACACAUCCAAGUGCACAUAGUUAGACAUUUUCACAAACUAGUAAUAAAGCACGUGCUUGCACGUGAACAUGAUGCUUUUAGAUUUUUUUUCCUUUAAAAUUUUUAGAAAAUCAAUUAUUUUAAAGGAAUAAAUGUAAUUGAGACAAAAAAUAUGAUAUUUCAUAUUUAUAUUAUUUUAUAUUUUUCUGAACUUAGUUUUCCCUAACCAAACAUAAAUGCACAAGUAAUAAACCACUCUUUGUUUUAAGAGCACUUUUAUUUUGUAACAGUAUCAAUAUUUUUGUCUUUUGGUUAAAUUUAGAUGACCUAAAUGUUUUUUUUAUGCCAUUUGAGUUUAAAUUUUCAAUUUUUCGAAUAAUUUGUUGCUCCCUUUAAGUUAUUCUAUGAAUUGUUUAUUUGUUUUAGUGAGAUUUUCUAAUUAUUAUUAUUUCUUGCUAAUUGUGGAUUGUAAAAUGAUCUAUAUUGCUACUGUAAUUAUAAUAGUAUCAAAAUAUAUUGAAAUUCCAUUGUUCGAAUUUAAAUAGCUUAACUUUAGAGAGAAAUGUUUUGAUUUGGUAAAACUUAUUUGUAUUUCUCACUGAUGACAUGCUUUAUGAAUAUAGAGUUUCUAUGAUUAAAUAUUGUAAGAUGUUAAGAUUAUUUAUUAGAUAAUAGUUAAACUAAACUUGGAUAUAUUUUUAUUCACCUUUGAAAUACUCCUUGAAAUUGAUAUUUUAUAAAAAAUAUAUUUUUUUUCUUAAUUCACCAUAACUCAAAGGGAUGUUUUGACUUUGUAAUUAUUAUUAUGAUUAGCAUUGAUGAAUAUAAUAUUCAUUAAUUGCAGUUUAAUACUAUUAGUUGUUACAAGAAUAUGAUUAAUAAAGUCCAUUAAAUUUAAUCUUUAUUGCAAUUUAAAUAAAUAAAUUCCUAACACAAAACUCUUUGCCUACCUUGGUACUCCAUUUCCUAUUUUAUUUUUUAUUAAAUUUUUUUUACUCAAUAGUAAUAUAUGCAUAUUAAAAAGAUGCUCUUAAGACUUAAUUUAUUUGUAUCCAAAAAAUAAAAAAACUCGUGGUACUUUUUAAGAGACUCAUAUUACCAAUUUAUGUUUUAAGAGACUUAGAUUUUGUAAAUAAAAUUCGUUCUUCUUUCUUUUAGUAAAUAAAAAGUAAGGAAUCUUUCAUAUUCGUAACUACUAGCCUAUUUGAUAUUAUUUAUUAAUGAUGAAAUAAAAUGAAAUUUAUCCAUUUAUUAGAGAGGAAUGUAAUUUUGGUAUCAAAAAAAUUAAUAUCAUUUUUGUUACAUUAUUAACCACUAAGAUUCACCAUAUUUUUUAAAUUUAUAAAUAAAAUUUAUUCUUCUUUUUUAUUUAAUUCACUAUAACUCAAAUUCUAAUUGUUCAAAUUAUUUGCUAAUGCUUCAGUUUUUAUUCUAAUUACUCAUAUUAUUGAAGCAAUUGGUAACAUCUUAUUCAUUUCAUUAAUAUCAUAACCGAAAUAAAAUGACUGUAAUUAUUAGACCAAAGGGUACUUUGGUCAUAGCAAAAACUAAGGCCCAAAAAAAAAUGCUUACACUUCAAAUUGUUUACACUCUAUUUGCCUAAACUAUCCGUUCUUUUAUUGGGAUCAUAGAUACAGAUAGAUAGAUUAGUUUGCUCGUUUGUCAUGGUAUUAGAAGGCAUCAAUAGCACCUAUAGCAACAGAUUUAUGUCAUAUAUUGGACAAGGUAUUGAGCUUUGCACGCCAUUAAUGGUUUGACCAAGUGUAUCUCCAUGUUUCAAAUAUUAUUUGGUUAGUUAUUAGAAUGAUGCAUCCCAAACUUCUUUUGCAACUAAUGUUGAUAGCCAAAACCAAAAUGGGGCCUUUGGUGUCUGCCAAACUAUCAAAAAUAAAAUUUAUAUUAAUACCUACUCUCUAAACUAAAUGAGUAUAGUGGUGAGUAGGGUUGUCUUCUCAGGGAAGUGGUAAAUUUAUCACACACAGAGAAUUUGGGGGAUUUUAGAAUGGAAGACAAAAAGGACAAAUUAAAGAUGUAAAGGUACUGAAUUUUCAAUCGCAAGAAAGCACAGUAGCUAAAGAAUAUAAAAAACAAUUAAUUGACACAACCUAGUCAAGGAGAUAAUCUCGGUACCGGUUCACACAAUUGAUCAUAGAUACCUGAAUUAAUUCACAUGUUCGCAAAUAAAUUGGUUAAAGCAAUUCAACAACACCACCAAUCUCUCCUUAAUUAUAUGGUAGUCCAGAGACGCUCUUAAACUACCCUCUUGUAAAUUAGAUAACCCCAAAGACGCUCGAAAGAUUUGAUCUAUUCACAGCUUUAGAAAUUAGAGAAACCCAAUUCUAGUUAACAAACACACAUGCGGGUUCAUUUAAACUAGAUUAAUUAUUCCUACGGCACCGAUUAGACUGCUUGCAAGGCAAUGAAAUUGUCCCGUUCGCCACUAAUUUAAGACAAUCAAGUGAUACGCACCCCUGUCCUAAUUGGCAGUAUACUAUUCAGACAAUUGAAUAACUGACCACAUUAAUCCAAUAGAUCUAAACAAUAAUAGGCUAUUCAAAUAAGGAAUAAUUAAAUACUCACAAACGCUGAAUUUAGAACAAUCAAAAUGAUCUUACAAUUAUUCGUGCACCGGACCUUGAUUAUUCCUCAACUAGAUAAAAGAACCUAGCCUGAUCUCAUGCCGUUGAUGCAAUUCCACGUUUUUAUGGAGUUUAGUGAUUGAAAAAGUAGUAAAAAGGAUGCAGCCGCUAACUUGCGUUUAGGAGAAAAAAACCAAAGAUAAAUGUCAACAAGAUCCAAAGAUCCCCUCCUAGUCUAUUGCAGUCUUGCUUUUAAAGUCUUUCUGUCGCCUCCUUGCUUGCCACAUCAGAGUUUGUUUCUGAAAAAGAUUGGUUCCUUAUUUUCCACCUUGAAUUGCUGUCAAAAGUCUUCUCUGACUCUAUUUCCUAAUCCCACACAGGUUCAAAAUGUGUCUCCAAAGAAUAGCAAUAGCUCUAGGGAUAGGACCCGCGAUCCAUCUUUUUAACGCAGCUCUGCAGUCUCUGGCGUGGGCACGCUCUGAAAGGACUGGUCUUCUGGAAAUUUACUUCUUUUUGCCACUUUUGACCUUAGUUGCCUGUGGGUAACACAAAUACCCAAUAUGAGUAUAAACCCAUUACUCUGCAUAAUAAUUGGCCAAAUUUAGGACUAAACAUCAAUGUAAUAAACACUCAACUAUCGCCCUAUCAGCCUUAUCGGGGGCUGCAGUGGCUAAAGAAAAUAAUUUGUUGAUAAGUACUUUUUCCAUCCUAAUGUUGCUGCAGACAUUGCGAACGCAAUAGUACUGUCCUCUAAACCUUUAUCAACAAUUAAAAUCCACACAAUUUGUCUGAUCAAAAUUGUAUAUUUGUAAAAAUCAUAGCACUCCAAGAAACGAUAUUCUCGUUGGACAUAUCCCCGAACAAUCAGAUUGCUUAAAGAGUCAAUAUGAGAAACAAUCAGAAUUGACCUAAAUUCUGCAAUAAUUAUAAAUUGAAAUACCUUAGCUUCAACAACAAUUUUUAAGUAAACUCAUGGUACAAGUAUUUUUUUUUUUUUUAUGAUGAUGAAACGGGGUCUAAUUGAUAAAAUGCUUUACUGUAUCCAACAGGUCAUGAGUACAAUGCAUUUCUUUUUUCUAUUUUUUUUUAAGUUGAUUGGAUUGUCAAUGGCGAAAUCAAAUGAGCAAUUAUUGGACUGCGAAGAUUGAAAAGCUCAGCCCAUCUUGACCAUUGUUUUAUCGCUACAAUGCUAUAAAUGGGCUGACUAAUUAGGUCUCAAACUUUCUAUACUUGGUCAGUUAUUGGAAUGAUACAUCCCAAAUUCUUCAGAACUAUUUUGAAAAGCCAAAACCAAAGUUUGGCCUUAUUUAGGAUUGUAGUGACUUUAGAAAUUAAUUUGUUAUUGGAGCUUGCUGUAUAGGAACUUAAUUAUUGAAAGAAAGUGUUCAAACAUGUAGUAAAGAUAUAAUUUAGUGAACUGGAUAGUGAAUGGAUAGUUGGAUUAGAUAUUAUUCAUAUGUGCAACUAGAGGUUAGUGUUCAGCUUACUAUUUGUGAUUAUUAGUCGCAAUUUUAGCAUUGUGCCUUAAUUACAUUUUGCCCACUUGUAGCUAGCGGCCAAUAGCAGUUUACUCUCUAUAUACAUGAAAUACACAAAAUGCUUACUAAUGACUAAUGCCAAACAUUUUAACAACUAGACUAAAAAAAAAAAAGACUAAUGCCAAACAUUUUAACAACUAGAAAGUGCAGGUGCACUGCACGUGUUUGAUCAUGCCAAAACUUGCCUUACUUUUAUCUAAUAUUGUGAGAGACUCAACUCAGAAGAUUAAUAUUUUUGCUAGAAAAGCCUCUGAUCCAUUGCAUGCCAAACAUGGUAGUUUGGAGAAGCAAGCAAGGCUCAUUAACCAACAAGCAAUGCAAAACCUGUAAUCAUGCUGUAUAAGUGGCUGUAAUUCAGUAGAACAAGGAGAAGUUACUUGAUAUAUCUUAGACAGGAGCUAAAUGCUUCUCCAUUAAUCUUAGAGUUUCAGCCUUUAUUGUUAUUGCAAUUGUAGAAUCUUGAGAGCCCAGGAAGGGUGAAUUCCAAUAUUCCUUUCCAGUUUUUCAUUGGGUUAAUUAAGAUGCAUUCGAAAGAAUGAUGACAAGUCAACCUUUUGAGUGCCCUUGGAAACGAUAAAUAUAUGACAUGCUCCUUGUAAUAUUAUAAAUCAGAAUACCCGUCCCUUUUCUUUUGGUAUCAUCCCUUUCUUAGAGGCCCUUGAUUUGGUUUUUGAGCAUCACUGCUUGUAGGAUUAAAUGUGAAGCUGUAAGUGAGAAGCAGAGUUAGUGUUAGAAAGGCUAUUUUCAUCUAGGCAUUCUAGCUGUAGAAAUAGCAAGCAACACAAACAACCUUCUUAUUACCUAAUGAAUCUCAAUUGGAAGAAAUAUAUUUUGGCCUUAGAUAAGCAUGGCUGGCUUACUAACCAUUUUCUUGCGUGAUUUUACACCUUUAUGUCUCUACCGUGAAAUAAGAAGCAUGGCUUAAAGUAGUAAUUCUUUCAUUUGGUAGAAUUGACUCCAAAACUAUCAAAGACAUUCUUGACUUUCUUUGUAUUUCAUCGAUACGAUGUUGGUUGUAGGGACAAUGUGAAGAUUUGCGCCGAAGAUUUAAUGAUGGUUUACAUAAGAGGCCUAUGACCAUAAGAUUGUUUCUGCACUUUCUUUGUAAUGGUACUGCUAUCCUUCCAUACUGCUGAUGUUUAUAUUCACUAGAAAAAAAAAUUAUCACGUGCACUGCAUGUGUAUAAUUUAUAAAAUAAUUUUAAAAACUGAAUUAAGAAUUUUUGUAAUAUUUAAAGGAGUGUUCUUGUAGGACGAGAAAAUGUUAUAGGACAGAAGUCAUUUGAGUUGGGUAGCUUUUGAUAUGUCUUCUAUUUCUUUCUUUUAGAUAAAAUAGCACAAACAUCCUACACAUUUUGCCAAAGAAUUUUUUUAUCCUCAAAUUUAAAAUGCUAAUAUUAAAUUCCUAACAAAAAUAAACCAGUCCAAUUUGGACCAAACCUCUAACUCCAACCAUCUUUUGUCAUGAAACCAUAUUUCUGUUAGCAAUAAGUUAUCCAGAAGUCCUUUGAAGCCAUUUUGAAAACAUCCAAUUUUACUUUAUUCUCCUUCUGGCUUUAGAAUGAGCAUCUAUUCACUCUCAAACACAAAUGUUCAAAGUUCUUCACCAAAACAUGCUUCAUUAUGUCGGAUUUUGCCAAAAUAAUCAAAUAACCAAUGUCUUCAGAUUACCUUAUUCUUUAUAGGCAAACUGAAAGAGCUUUAAUUAGAGAGGAAUAAGUUUCAGAUUAUUUGGUUGUCAACUCAUGUUCACAUGACAAAUCCUAUAACUUGCAUAAGAAACAAAAAAUCAAGAGGAGUAUUUUGAUUCUUUGGAACAUGAUGAUUUUAAGUUAAUAUAAUUAUUUAUGUGAAUCGACAACUAUCUUAUUAUAAGUUUAGUUGAUACCCCAAUAGAGGUUCUGGAUUUGAAUUCCUCCCGGUCCUUCCUAUUUCUUAAAUCUCAGUUCUCUCCUAAUAAAAAAUUUUAAAAAAAUGUCUCACAGUUAAUUCUGUAGACAAAUCAAAGUCACCACCUUUAAUAUCAAUCCAAAAUAUUCCAAAUUCAUAAAAUGGUAUUUAACUUUUAAUGACCUUCAAUUGAUUGGUUAUGGUUUGGAUAGGUUAAGUAAACUUGCUCAGAUAUAGGGUUAAGGCUAAAUUGUAAAACAAACACAGUUCUUCAAUUUUUUUUUUCUUUUCUAAACAAGGCGCUAAUAUUAUUGAAAGAAAUUAAAAGAGAGUGUGAAAUAAACAAAAAGUAAAAAAAUUGUACCAAUAUAAUUAAAAUCUAAGAUUUGUCUAGCAAUAGCUCAAAGUGUGAUAACAUGUGUACAUCAUUCGAAAACUACUUUUUUUUUGUGAAAGAUGGAUCCUGAAAUAAUAAUAGAAAUUUAUAUUAGAAAAUGAAUGAUAUAUGGAUAGAAAUGAAUGUAAUCGUGAUCUUUAGUUUUUGUGAAUGAUUAUGAGAGUAAGAUACAUUAUAAGAGUAAGAUAUGUAGAAUUGUGGGAGUUGUGGAAAUUAUAAUGCAAACGGGCUCCUAAAUUUUGGAUAUGUAUUUUCCAUAGUACUGAGUUCCUUAAAUUAUGAGUUGCUUAUAACUAUGAGUCGUGUGCUAAGUGUUAGACGUGGUUUACAAUUUGCAGAUGCAAUUUUGCAGGGGUGGUUAAUAAAUGUUAGUUAAAAUUAUGGAGUUAUGAUUUUAUAGGUUAGUGAGUCACGUAAAUGGGAAAAAUGAAAAGAGAUGCGGAGAAGGAAUAAUGAAUUAAAAUAAAUCUAAAAUUGUAGAGGGUUCUCGUUAAAAACCUGCCCUCUAAUACAUAUAGAUAUAGAUAUGGAUUUUCGGCUAAAAAUUCUAUGGAUUGAGCUAAUUCUAAUAUGGGCAGGUUUAUGAUUAUCAUAUAGUUAACUUAGCAUUGUGGAGAUAAAACCGACCAUAUAAAGACGGAUAACAAAGCAAAUAAGAGACACAGAAGAUUUACGUGGUUCGGUCAAAUUGACCUACGUCCACGGGCGAGGGAGGAGCAAUAUUUCUACUAUGAAGAAGAAAUACAAAAGCCGUAGGAAAGUGGUUCCUAGGCCAAUAAGGCACUUACAAAAGAGUUUAGAAAAUAUUCCUAAACUCAAAAUAAGAGAGCCUAAAAUAUUUGACUGAAUGGGCUAAAUGACUUAAGAAGCUAAUAGCCCAUAUAACUCUCUUAAGUGGUGCAAUCAAUUCCUUCAUAAGGCUCCCUUAUUUAUAGGAAACCAAAGGAAGAAUUCCUUUGGCUUCUACCGAUGUGGGACGAAGCACCAAAAGCAUUUGUUCAACAAAUGUGGCUUCACAAAAAUAUCAAUUUUUAAAAAAGGUAUGUGUAAUAUUGGUAUCAAUAACACUUCUUUUGCACUUCUUCUAUUCCCUUUCGUUCUUUUUCUGUACCUAAGACCAUUGGAAGUAUGGUCAGGAAGUUGGUAAAAAUCUGAUAUUUUUAUAGAUGCGGUAUGUAAAGAGCCUUCGUGUAUCCAUUGCCUUUUGCUUAUGUGACGUUCUCUUUUAUGUUGUAUAUGAAUUAGAUUUUCAGUUUUUUGAUUAAUUCGUGGUUUACCUUCAUGUGAUUUUAAGAUUGUAUUUUUCAGUUUUAGUGGGUUUUUUCAGUUUUUACUCUUUGGGUGUUAAUGAUUGGUCGAAAUGAUUUUUGGUUGUUAAUGUUUGGUGUAAAUGAUUGAUAGAUAGUGCUCUUCCAAUUGGUGUCAAUGCUAAAUAAUGGUAUUUCAAUUUAAAACUUUUUUGGUAAUGUGGGCCUUAAGUUUUGUACUAGCUUUAUGAUUUUAGAGCUUGUGUGAUUAAUAGUGAAAGUAAUAACGAAAUUGGCUACAUUUUUAUUGAUGUUUGAUAUAUUCUUUAAACUUGGAUAUUGUAUAAAUGUAGAUGUCAUCAUGGAGAUGGACAUCAUCAUCUUCAAAUUUUUGUUCUUGUUGUUUCUGGAAGAACACCGUGAAAAGCUUUAAGGGUCAAAAGAAGUUGUUGAGUCUAGAGUAUUAUAAUUCUCAUAGACAUCAAUUGUUAGUUGUCAGUUUUGCUUGGCUUCCUCUCAUUAGUUGCCUGUGUAAUGAGUGAUUGGAAUAUUAGAAAAUGUAUUUCUAAAGCUUAGGAGAAAAAAAAGAAAAUAUUCUUUAUUGACUACAUGAAAGAAGACAUUUGAAAUUAUUUUAUAAGAAGUUCCGUGUAAUAAAAAAAAAUGACUACCAUGUUCUUAAUUAUCAAACAAUGAAUGCCCACUUAUACUUUUGCACCGACUGCAAAAGUAUGCUUCUAAUUACUCAAAUCAUUUGGUAGUGUUUUAUUCUAAUUACUCAUAUUAUUGAAUCAAUUGGUAACAUUUUAUUCAUAUCAUUACUGUCAUAACCGAAAUAAAAUGACUCUAAUUAUUAGAAAAAAGAGUACUUUGAUCACAGCAAAAACUAAGACAAAAAAAAAAUACUUACACUUCAAAAUUGCUUACAUUCCACUUGUCUAAACUAUCAAUUGUACAGACAGAUAGAUAGAUAGAUUAGGCAUCAACAGAACCUAUAGCAACAGAUUUAUCUCAUAUAUUGGACAAGGUAUUAAUGAUUUGACUAAUUGUAUCUCACAUAUUAUUUGGUUGGUUAUUCUUAUUAGAAUGAUAGAUCCCAAACUUCCUUUGCAGCUAAUGCUGAUAGCCAAAACCAAAAUGGGGCCUGCAGUCAUUAAAGAAUAUAAUUUGUCGAUAACUACUUUUUCAUCCUAAUGUCGUUGCGGACACAAUAAAUUCAAAUGACCAAUUAUUGGUCUGCGAAGAUUGAAAAGCUCAGCCCAUCAAAUGAGCAAUUAUUGGUUUCUAAUUUCCAAGCCACGUAUAUGCAACGACUUGCAAGUCUUCAGCAAAGAGCAAGAAAAGAGUUAUAACACAGGACCAAACUGGCUAUGAUUAUAUUCAUAUUUUUUUUUUGAGCAAUUUAUUGAUACUUCUAGCGCCAUGGCAAUUCGUGAAAUCUCUCUAUCACAAUGUCGAUUUCAUGUUUGUGAACUGGUACAAGUUCGAGACUUCAUUGCAUGUCCCGAUGUCUUUGGCACCUUCUGAAAGUUUUCAAUAGCGGAUUUAAACUUAACUCAAUCGUUAAAGUGUUAACGAACCAAUUAGAGGCUAGUCAGUUUGACUGAUACAAAUUAGUUUGCCACACAAUUAGACAUUUUCAACCAAUUUGUCAGUUGACAAAAGAGCAUGAGUAGUACUUCUAGCAGUAGGUCUAACUCAUAUACAUUCAACAAAUUAUUGAGCUUUGCAAGCUAUAAAUGGGCUGACUAAUUAGGUGUCAAACUUUCUAUGCUAGGUCAGUUGUUGGAAUGAUACAUCCAAAUUCUUCACAACUAUUUUGAAAAGCCAAAACCAAAAUUUGGCCUUAUUUAGAAUUGUAGUGACUUUAGAAAUUAAUUUGUUAUUGGAGCUUUUUUUUUUGGGGUUCAUUGGAGCUUGAUGUAUAGGAACUUAAUUAUUGAAAGAAAGUGUUCAAACAUGCAGGUAAUGAUAUAAUUUAGUGAACUGGAUAGUGAAUUGAUAGUUGGAUUAGAUAUUAUUCAUAUGUGCAACUAGAUGUUAGUGUUCAGCUUACUAUUUGUGAUUAUUAGUUGCAAUUUUAGCGAAUCAUAAUGCCUCAAUUACAUAUUGCCCACUUGUAGUUAGCAGUCAAUAGCAGUUUACUCUCCAUAUACAUGAAAUACACAAAAUGCUUACUAAUGACCAAACAUUUUAACAACUAGGAAAAUGCAGCUCCAUUGCACGUGUUUGAUCAUAUCAAAACUCGCCUUUACUUUUUAUCUAUAUUGUGAGAAACUCAACUCAGAAGAUUAAUGUUUUUACUAGAAAAGCCUUUGAUCCAUCGCAUGCCGAAGCAGCAAGCAAGGCUCAUUAACCAACAAGCAAUGCAAAACCUUUAAUCAUGCUGUAUGAGUGGCUGUAAUUCAGUAGAACAAGGAGAAGUUACUUGAUAUAUCUUAGACAGGAGCUAAAUGCUUCUCCAUUAAUCUUAGAGUUUCAGCCUUUAUUGUUAUUGCUAUUGUAGAAUCUUGAGAGCCCAGGAGGGGUGAGUUCCAAUAUUCCUAACCAUUUUUUCAUUGGGUUAAUUAAGAUGCAUUCGAAAGAAUGAUGACAAGUCAACCUUUCGAGUGCCUUUGAAAACGAUAAAUAUAUGACAUGCUCCUUGUAAUAUUAUAAAUCAGCAAUACCUGUCCCUUUUCUUUUGGUAUCAUCCCUUUCUUAGAGGCCCUUGAUUUGGUUUUUGAGCAUCACUGCUUGUAGGGUUAAAUGUGAAGCUGUAAGUGAGAAGCAGAGUUAGUGUUAGAAAGGCUAUUUUCAUCUAGGCAUUCCAGCUGUAGAAAUGGCAAGCAAUACAAAUAACCUUCUUAUUACCCAAUGAAUCUCAAUUGGAAGAAAUAUAUUUUGGCCUUAGAUAAGCAUGGCUGGCUUACUAACCAUUUUCUUGCGUGAUUUUACACCUUUAUGUCUCUACCGUGAAAUAAGAAGCAUGGCUUAAAGUACUGAACUGUGUCCAAUAGUAAUUCUUUCAUUUGGUAGAACUGACUCCAAAACUAUCAGAGGCAUUCUUGACUUUCUUUGUAUUUCAUCGAUACGAUGUUGGUUGUAGGGACAAUGUGAAGAUUUGCGCCGAAGAUUUAAUGAUGGUUUACAUAAGAGGCCUAUGACCAUAAGAUUGUUUCUGCACUUUCUUUGUAAUGGUACUGCUAUCCUUCCAUACUACUGAUGUUUAUAUUCACUAGAAAAAAAAAAUAAAAAUCACGUGCACUGCAUGUGUAUAAUUUAUAAAAUAAUUUUAAAAACUGAAUUAAGAAUUUUUGUAGUAUUUAAAGAAGUGUUCUUGUAGGACGAGAAAAUGUUAUAGGACAGAAGUUAUUUGAGUUGGGUAGCUUUUGAUAUGUCUUCUAUUUCUUUCUUUUAGAUAAAAUAGCACAAACAUCCUACACAUUUUGCCAAAGAAUUUUUUGUCCUCAAAUUUAAAAUGCUAAUAUUAAAUUCCUAACAAAAAUAAAUCCAAUUUGGACCAAACCUCUAACUCCAACCAUCUUUUGUCAUAAAACCACACUUCUGUUAGCAAUAAGUUAUCCAGAAGUCCUUUGAAACCAUUUUGAAAACAUCCAAUUUUACUUUAUUCUCCUUCUGGCUUUAGAAUGAGUAUCUAUUCACUCUAAAACACAAAGGUUCAAAGUUCUUCACCAAAACAUGCUUCAUUUAUGCCGGAUUUUGCCAAAAUAAUCAAAUAACCAAUGUCCUCAGAUUACCUUAUUCCUUAUAGGCAAACUGAAAGAGCUUUAAUUAGAGAGGAAUAAGUUUCGGAUUAUUUGGUUAACUCAUGUUCACAUGACAAAUCCUAUAACUUGCAUAAGAAACAAAAAAUCAAGAGGAGUAUUUUGACUCUUUGGAACAUGAUGAUUUUAAGUUAAUAUAAUUAUUUAUGUGAAUCGACAACUAUCUUAUUAUAAGUUUAGUUGAUACCCCAAUAGAGGUUCUGGAUUUGAAUUCCUCCUCCUCCUUCCUAUUUCUUAAAUCUCAGUUCUCUCCUAAUAAAAAAUUUUUAAAAAAUGUCUCACAGUUAAUUCUGUAGACAAAUCAAAGUCACCACCUUUAAUAUCAAUCCAAAAUAUUCCAAAUUCAUAAAAUGGUAUUUAACUUUUAAUGACCUUCAAUUGAUUGGUUAUGAUUUGGAUAGGUUAAGUAAACUUGCUCAGAUAUAGGGUUAAGGCUAAAUUGUAAAACAAACACACUUCUUCAAUUUUUUUUUUCUUUUCUAAGCAAGGCACUAAUAUUAUUGAAAGAAAUUAAAAGAGAGUGUGAAUUAAACAAAAAGUAAAAAAAUUGUACCGAUAUAAUUAAAAUCUAAGAUUUGUCUAGCAAUAGCUCAAAGUGUGAUAAAAUGUGUACAUCAUUCGAAAACUACUUUUUUUUUGUGAAAGAUGGAUCCUGAAAUAAUAAUAGAAAUUUAUAUUAAAAAAUGAAUGAUAUAUGGAUAGAAAUGAAUGUAAUCGUGAUCUUUAGUUUUUGUGAAUGAUUAUGAGAGUAAGAUUCGUUAUAAGAGUAAGAUAUGUAGAAUUGUGGGAGUUGUAUGGAAAUUAUAAUGCAAACGGGCUCCUAAAUUUUGGAUAUGUAUUUUCCAUAGUACUGAGUUCCUUAAAUUAUGAGUUGGUUAUAACUAUGAGUCGUGUGCUAAGUGUUAGACGUGGUUUACAAUUUGCAGAUGCAAUUUUGCAGGGGUGGUUAAUAAAUGUUAGUUAAAAUUAUGGAGUUAUGAUUUUGUAGGUUAGUGAGUCACGUAAAUGGGAAAAAUGAAAAGAGAUGCGGAGAAGGAAUAAUGAAUUAAAAUAAAUCUAAAAUUGUAGAGGGUUCUCGUUAAAAACCUGCCCUCUAAUACAUAUAGAUAUAGAUAUGGAUUUUCGGCUAAAAAUUCUCAGGAUUGAGCUAAUUCUAAUGUGGGCUGGUUUAUGAUUAUCAUAUCGUUAACUUAGCAUUGUAGAGAUAAAAAUCAUCUACCUUAAACAAUCCCCGUAGAAAUCAUAAAUUUUCGAAAUCAAAAUAAAUUCUUUUUCUAGGUAUACCUUUUAAGUGUCAGGCUUUGUAUAAUCUCAUUAUUAUGUCAAAGCAAGUGUAUGAAGAAGGAAGAAAAACAGAGUCCAAUUCUCAAAUCAAAAGGUUCAAAAUUCAUAAACAAGUAAUACGCAUUUAACCAAGGUGCCAAUCAAACUAUUCAGUCAUGAAUAUAAUCAAUAGAUUAAAAUACAACAUUAAAGUAUUCAAGGAACAACAGUAGAGAGGUUUUGAAUCAUACAAGUUUUCACUCUAGAUAUAAUUGUGGUAUUCUGACCAAUCCAUCAGUGAUGAGUCUUCAUCCAGCAUUGCAGCCAGAUUUUUUUUUUUUAAGUUCUCUAUUUCAAUGAUGUUUGCUCGGAUCUUAAUAGACUCCAAACUCUCUAAGUAAUUUGACUUCUAGUUUAAAUAAUCUAUGUUAUAAAAUGAUUCCUUGUCUGACUUAAUAGAGUCAAAGUUUAGUUCACUAUUUGAUAUAUUGACAUUUUUAAAGUUCCCUUUUUCAAUACUGGGAUCGUAAUGGACUUCAAACUGCCUAUGUAAUUUGACUUCUAGUUUCAAUCACCUAUGUUUUAAAACAAUAGCUUGUCUUCCAAAUUUAGUUCAACUCCUUCUCAUGAUGCAAUUAGUGAGUGGAAAGAUUCGGCCAUUAUUUGAUACGUUAACAUUUAUAAUUAAAAAUUUUUGGUUUGACAGGAGACGGGAACUAAAAGUGUAGGAGUCCUUUAAUUCACCCAUGUUUAUUGAAUAUAAUUUAUAUAGACUGUUAUAGAUAUUGAGUAAGGACUAAAAGGUAAAUCACCCAAGAGACUGUUAUGUGUGUGUACUCUAUAACUUAUAGAGUACACACACAUAUAUAUAUAGAUUGGUCAAUGGUCACAAAUCUGCCGCUGCAAUCGUAUGAGCUUGUGUUUGGAAUGGAGAGGAGAUCAACGAAAGAGGCAUAAAAGGGGACAAGAAUUCAACAUCCUUUCGGCUAUAACCACGUAAGACUAUGAACUUUUGUUAAGAAUAUUUCUACGAUAUUAGCUUUUCAGGUUUUAAUUUUUUCCUUAGAAGCCCUAUGUCUAGAUCUGGCGCAUGGGUGUAGAUUUUGUAUCUCUAAAUAUUCGUUUCGACUUAAUUGAUAAUUUCCUUUAGGACUUUAUAAUUUCUAGAAUUAUUUGUCUGGAGAAAUGGAAUUUCAUGGCACGCAAUUUCACUUGGAGCCAGGCCAUUUGUACAAAAUUAAAAGACAAAUAUUUAACAGUUGUGUUUAGUCAUCCGACUUAUGAGUUGGGAAAUAAGUUGAAGCUGCGCCACUGCUGGUGAAUCAAAAUUUGGGUAAAUCCGAUUUCAAAAAAAUUCAGUGAUUUAAAUUGUGUCAUACCUAGGGGUGUGCAACGAAUUCGAAUUCGGUAAUUUGGAAGUUUGAAUUCGGCAUUUUUCGAAAUUUUGGCAUAGGAAUUACCGACCGAUUUUGAUUUCAAAUUAACUAGUUCCAAUUUCGAUUUCGAUUCCGAAUUAAAUUCGGAAUUCAGAAACCUUUUUUCCCUUUUUUUUCUUUUUUGUUAGAUGUAUUGCUAUAUAAUAUAAAUUUUAUAUUACAUAUAUUAUAAAAAUAUUAUUAUAUAGAAAAAUAUUAUUAUAUAUAUAAAUAUGUAUUAAUAUACAUAUUAUAAAACGGAAUUGAAAUAAAAAUAUAUAGUAUUAUAUAAAUAAAUAAAUAAAUAUUAAUAUAUAUAUUAUAAAAUGAAAUUGAAAUAAAAAAUUCUGAUUUUGAUUUCCGAUUUCAAAAGCUCCAUUACCAAAUUUGAACCAAAUUCGCAUAAUUCGAAAUCGAAAAUUCAGAUUUCAAUGCCGAAUUUCGAAUUACCGAUUUCAAAAAUUCUGAAUUCAAUUCGAAUUCAGUAGGUAAAUCGAAAUUUUUCGAUUUUGCACACCCCUAGCCAUACCACUUGAUGAGAUGGUAUGAUACAAUUUUAAGCAUUAAAUUUUUAAAAACCAAAUCUAUCCAGUAUAACCUUCGGGGUAAUGAUGAUAAUGACCUGAUCAAGACCAAAUUCAGUUGUUGUCUUGUUGAUGCUGCUGUGGCCCUUGUGGUUUCAAUUAAUUGGAUCAUUUAAUUAGUUAAUUGGGCUGAGGGACUCUAGCAAACUCUUGGGUUGUUUUUGUUGGACUGGUCCAAGUUCUAGUGGCCUUUUAGAAUUGUUUUUUGUUUUUGGGAUCCAAUAUCAUUUGGGCCAUCUGAAAAGGGCCAUCUGAAAUUCUUUUGGGAUUAUUAUUUUGGGGCUAAUGUAACUAGUGGGGCGAAUGGGGUGGUUAAUGGAAAAAAGAAACUUUCUGGGCCCAUGCAUGUAGGCUUAUGUUCAAACAGUGGACAUUUUGUUUCUUCUGUAAUUGAACUUAUGGAUCAGAAAGCCCAAUUUAAAAAUUCCCAACUCGUCAAAUAAGUUUAGAAGCCAACAUAUAUAGCAAAUAUUUAAAAGCUCAAUUUUAUUAUAAUAACCCAAAUUUUAAUAACAAAGAGGAAAAGAAAGAAAGAAACCUGUUGUUAAUUAAUGAUUGUAUAUAUACAUAUACAUACAUAUGUGUGUACAUGUAUAUAUAUGUAUAUAUAUACACACACAUAUGUAAACCUGUUGCAAAAACUAAAAAGAAAAAUAUAUACAUAGACACGUAUAUACCCGCUGUAGAUCACUGCCUAUUCCCACACAGGGAAUGUCUUCAAUCACGCGCCAGUAGUCUCUAUCCAUCAAACACCUUUUCUCGAGAAGUGGGCAUGUAUCAAUUCUGAGAAGUUUAAGCUGAUUACGCAGCGAUUCCUUUGGUAGGGAUCCAAGCUUGGGGCAGCCAAAGAUACGCAGACCUUUAAGAGCUGUAAGACCUCGCAAGAGCGUGGAGAGCGAUUUCAGAUUUGGUAAGUCACCAAUGUCGACGGACCUGAGAGUUGGAGGAAGCAAAGCGAAUCCAUCAUCACCGCUACCAGAAAAUGAUUCCAGCUCUGGAUAUCCACCGCGGAUGCGGAACCUUUCAAGAGACGUGAGUCUGUUGAGUCCCCAUUCUGACAGUGGCUUCAGCUGUAAGUUUUCUCCUCCCUCUAUGUAAAGACCCUCCAGACUGGGAGGAAAAUCUCCCUGUGGAAAUAACAAAGGACUUGAACAAAAAGACAACUGCAGAGAUCUUAGUCUUCCCAACCCACUGGGCAAGUAACUAACAUUUUUGCAUCUGCACAAGUAAAGACGUUCCAAAUUUGGAGUGGGCAAUUGAUCCAGAUGAUAAUCACAAUCCCUAAUAUCCAAAGACCGGAGACUUGCAAAACUGUAGACUGAACCAAGCAUUGUUCUCAAAUUCAGACAUGGGCAGCCAAAGAUUUGCAGUCCCUCAAUCGAUGUGCUGGUGUCCUCUAUGACAAUCUCCGGAGUAAGGUUCAGUUUAUGGCAAUCAAAGAUCUCAAGAUGCCUAAGCUGAGGGAGGAGCAACUUGUCCAUUGGCAAGCAACUGAGGGCAGAGCAAAAGCUUAUUCGCAAUCUGUUAAGACCAGAUAAUGUAGGCAAAGACUGGAGAGCACUGCAACUUUCUAUCGUAAGAUAUUUAAGCAUAGGUAAGACACGUGUAGUACUUGAGCCCCACAAAUUCUUCAGUUGAUGGCAGCUGCGUAAUGCGAUAUCUUCAAGGCCUGAUGGAAACUGCAUGAACACAUCCUCGAGGGAUGCAAGGCCUAUAAUCUGCCAAAACUCCAAUUUGUUUAAUGAGGUCAAAUUGUAAAAACAUUUUGCAAUUCCCACCGAGCACUCAUCUAACUUUAGUUCAGAAAGUGAAGGAAGAUGCAAAACAGGAAUGCUUUUCAACUUUGGGCAUCUACUUAUACAGAGCUUUCGGAGCAGAGGGAAGUGGCAUUCGUUCUCUCCUGCUGAACUUAAGCAAGUCCAUUCCUCCCAUUCUGGCAUGUCAUCAAAUGUUAGACUUUCGAGCGAUGGAAAGGAAAAUUCCCAAGAGCAAUCUUUGCCACAUAACUCGGUACCUACUGCCUUCACCUCAAGCAUGCUUUGAAUGCUCAAAUCCUUGAGCGCAGGCAAUUGCCCGAGUGAUGGUAAACACUUGCAGUGUGUACAACCUCUAAGGCUUACUUUUACUAAUUUAGUAAAUGAAUAAUCCCCCACCCAGGAGGAGAAUUUGUCUCCCUUAUAGAACUCAAUUUCAAGACUCGUUAGGUUUGUGUGUGGUCGUAGCGCCUCAAGCAAAUCUUGUUGAAGAACUUUACUCAGAGAAUCAUCAUAUUCACUAUUCCAUGCCAAUACUAUUUUAUCAAGGUCCCUCUUGUCCUUCAAAUUGGCAUCCCGUGCUUCUUGAACAUUCGUAACAUUUUGCAACUCCAAAAUGGCGAGUGACCCUGCCAGUAAGGACAAGUUCCCCAAGUCUUUCAGCCUGAACGCACCAUGUUUGCUCACAACCACUUUGGAUAGUGUCUGCAAGCUCGUCAACUGAUCAAUCCCUGAAGGCAUCUCAUGCAAUUGACUAGUAUUGGAAUUUUCAAGAUGGCGCAGGUUAAUUAAUUUUCUAAUACCUACUGGUAAGUUAAUCAGCUCCCUGCAGUUGCCCAAACGUAGUGUUUGUAAAUUGCAAAGAUUACUCAUUGAUUCAGGCAACAAUUUCAACCGAGUACCAGACAAAUUCAGGUACCUUAGAUGUAUUAAUUCACUGAUGGAAUCUGGAAGUUCAGAGAUAGCAUAGCCACCGAAUGAUAGCACCCUUGAGUAUCGCAAUUCCGGCAAAAGUUCUGCUAUGACCUUUUUAGCGAUGUAAAACUCGUCGCUGCCAUCCUCGGCAAAAAUGGGCAAUGGUAGGAAACUCCGCAAAUGUUUUGCUUUCUGAAGAGUUUUAAACUUUUGUGAAGCUUCAUACCAUGAACUUGUGAAUGAUGCGUACCUAACCUUGUCAAGGAUCGUGCAUUUGAUGUUCUCUUCCAAGUCGUCUGUCAGUCUUGAACAAAAAUCUCCGGCAACAUAUCUGGCUAGAUCGUUAAUAAGGUCAUGCAUCACAAAACGUGAACUAUUGGAACUUGACUGCUGGAAGAAGGACCUCAUUAGUAGCUCCUUAAAAUAAUUGUCCCCUAUGUCCUCCAUAAGAUCACUUGCUUUUGAUUCCUCGAGAAAACCCUCUGCCAUCCAGAGCAAUACUAGCUCAUAUUUGUCAAACUCAUAGUCCUUGGGAAAUAUGGAGCAGUAAGCAAAGCACGGUUUUAGAUGGGCAGGAAGAUGAUAAUAGCUUAAUCUCAGUGCUGGAAGAAUAUCACUUUGAUCCUCUUUUAUUUCCCAUAUCUCACUGUUCAGUAUAUCCGUCCAUUCAUCUGGGGUCGAUCUAGCACGCAACAGCCCUCCAAGAGUCUUCACGGCCAGGGGCAAGUUCUUACAUUUCCUUACAAUACUCCUACCAAUGCCUUCUAGAUUGGGGUACCUGUCAAAAUUUGUCCUUCCCAGUGCAUGUCUUGCCAGUAAGCAUAAGCUUUCAUCAUCUGUCAACUCCUUCAGACUAUAUCCAGCAGUGGAAGACAUUACUGAUGCCACCCUAUGAUGCCGAGUGGUGACAAUUAUCUUGCUCCCAGAUGAACCAACUAGAAAUGGGCGGCGCAGGAUGUCCCAGUCCUCAUAUUUUUCAUUCCAAACAUCAUCUAAAACAAUUAGAAACCUCUUCCUGGUCAAGGCCUCACUCAGUUUCACUUGAACCAUAUUCAGAUCCUCAUAAUCACAGCCACCUGAUGUGAUUGCUCUGAGGAUUGUCUUUGUUACCCCAAAAAUGUCAAAAUCAUCUGAAACACAAGCCCAAGCCUUGGAAUCGAAAAAUUCGUUGACUCUGUCAUCAUUGUACACCAUUUGAGCAAGAGUUGUUUUACCAACCCCUCCCAUGCCAACAAUUGGUAUCACAACCACUUGAUCAUCGCUCGAUUCAUUUGAAAGGAGCAAUUUCAGCAGCUCUUCUUUGUCAUUCUCUCGACCAUAAACAUAAGACUCCACUAAGGAAGUUGAUGGCAAUCUAUCCCUAGUUUUGUUCGGCCUCUUUGCUACAGUCUCUACCAAAUGGAGGAUUUUGAUUUGUUCUUUCAGGCUCUCCAAUCUUCUAGUUAUUUCAUCCACCUUGGGAGUCAUUUUUCUGUUGAACUUAUAAUCUUUAACAGAAAAACUUGUACAACAGGAAGGGAUUUUAACCUUUCUUACCUUGCUAGUAGAGCCUUGAGCUUCCAUCAACUUUCUUCGACAAGCUUCUGUGGAGAAUUCGUCGAUCACAUCAUCCAUAUCAUAUGCCAAAUCCUGAUGAUCAUCUAGCCAGUGCUUCACAGCAAUCCUCAUAUUCUGCUUGUCCUCUGCAUCAUCAAGCACUGCCUGAAUCAGGGAUAGCACUUGGAUCCAUCGUUUCAGCUGAGUAUCUAAGCCUUCUGAGCGUGCAAAUUUCUUCAAAUCGACAGAAGCAAGCUUGUCAAAUACCACCUUGAUGAUUGCACCAAGAAAGACUUCUAUCAGUGCCAUUUUUCACUCUUCUUUUUUUUUUUUUCUCCGGAUUAUAUUGUGUAGGUAAGCAACGAGCAAAAAGUCUGAAAACUUGAAAGGGGAGAUAAGACUGAAAGAUGGGAAACUACAGAUUCUUCACGGGAAAAUUGAUCAGCACCAAAAUAUUUCAACUGGCAAGAAAAAAGUUUCCAAAGCACGCGUCUUCAUUUCUUAUGUAGUACUAGUAGAUUUAUUUUUCUUUUCUGUAGCACUAUAUUAUAUCAUCAAUCAUUAAAGUUUACGGGAGGGAGGUACUUUUGACAUAGAAUGAUUGGUGCUCUUACGUGUAGUUGUUGUACUUCAUUUACAACAUAGUGUACAUUUACAAAUGCACUUGUAUUUAUGCAUAACACGAAUAAAAUUUUAAGUACCACAAAAUUGUAUAAGAGUACACUAUAUUAUGUAAAAAGUAUAAUAACUAGACAAUUGCAACAAAAUUCAAUUGUACCUGGUCUAAAUUUGACCAUUUUCCUUAGUUGUUUAACGUUAAUUAGUGUAAUUUGGUUGUAUUUUAUGGCACAAAAUCAAUUAAAUAACUAUAACAUCAAACCACAUAAGUAGCUGGUAUAUGUUGUUUCCAUAAUUAUAAUUUUUUAAAAAAAAAUUAUUCAAAACGCCGUUCACAUUUUGUACAAUACUUUUUUUCGCCCUUCACUUUCAAAAUAUUAACUUUAUGUACCUUAUAAAUUCAGGUCAGCAAAAUUUGGUCCCAACCAAAGUUUCUAACUACUUUUUAGUCUAAAAUCACUACGUGGCUCAUAUAUAGUUAUUUUUUAUGUAUAAAAAAAAUUAGAUUUCAUUUUUUUAUUGAUAAUAUAUAUUAUGUCACAUCUCACUUUUUUGAAAAAAUUGAAUAUAUUUUAGAUCAAAUCCUAUUUUUAAAGAAAAACUGAAUAUAGAUCUGGUCAUUUGUUUAACUAUAAAUGGGAUUUAACAUUUUUGCCCUUAAAAAAAUGAACCCAAAUCUCUUAAUUACAUUCCCUCUUCUCAAACCACUCAACCCAUCCCUCUUCCUUCUUUCUCCCCUCUCCCCAACCAUAUGUGGGCUAUGCGAGGAAUGAAAAAAUUCAUUUAGCGAGAUGUGAAAAACGUUUUAAACGAUUUCCUCCUUGUUAUUUUAUAUGCCAAAGGGCAAUAUCCUACAAUUACUCCAAUAGUAUACGUCCAAUGGGGCCAUUAUUUGAGCUGUCGAAAUUCAGAGGAGACUAUCACCUCUGAAGUCUGAACUAAACGGGUGCAAUUGCACCCGUUAGAAGAAGUUUCCUAGAAAUCCUGGACUUCAAGAGCAGGCGAGGGUUUCAAAUCUCCCACCUAUACAAAAGGACGGAUAUAUUUAUAAAGUUUGUGAUAUAUUUAUAAAGAAAGAAAUUUAGAAACAUUGUGAAAGUCCCAUCUGAAUUAGCAAAAUUAAUAUUCUCUCCAUCUCAUUUUAUUAGUUACAGUUUCUCCUUUUGCUACUUCCAAAAUGUUUUUUUCAUCAAUUUGGACAAAAAUAUAUCUUAACGUCUUAAAAUUUUUUGAAGUAAGGAUGUGAAGUAACCAUUGAUUAGUAAACAGGAAAGGUGAUUAAUUAAGGAUGUGAAGUUUGCAUUUUCUUUAAUUGAAUGCAUUUGUCUAUUCCUUUUACCAAUGAAUUGUAAAAUAAGAUAAAUUAAAUAAAAGGAUAAAGCUUCUAACCAAAACCCUUCUUUUGGACCCAAACAAAAAAAGGAUAACUAUUCUUCUCAGAGAAAUAUCAAAUUAUAUACCUAUUCUUCUCAAAAAAAAAAAAAAAAAAAAACCAAAGUGUAUAGGAAGUUGACUUGACUUGACUAAGAGCUUAAAUCUUAAUCCUAAAAGGUAAGCAAGGGUCAUAAUAUUAUCAAUCGAAAUUAGCGUGUUAAUUUGUUUGAAUACAUCUUUUGGUUGGGUCUUCUGAGACUUGUUGAACAAAUGAAGAAACAGCCUUAAGAAAUGGGUAAAUUACUAAUAACUUCUAUGAUAAUUACUAAUAACUACUCAUGUAUAUAACUCUUGAAUGAUUAUGUGGAUAAAUGUAAAAUAUUACAAGGAGAAAAUCACAAUUAGGUUAUAAGUAAUUUAUGCUAAGAAAAUUGAAGUUACCUGCAGAGUUGGGGUGGGUUUUGGUGUGUGUGUGGUUGUGUGUGUGUGUUUCCGGGGGGGCGGUUGGGGGUGGGGAGGCAGAGGAAAACUAAUCAAACCACGCUUCUGAACAUUGACAAUAUAUGCCAUGUACAAAAUAUGGAUUUAAAAUGAAAGGAUGUAGAUUUAACUUGAGGAAUACAUAAUUUUGGGUUUUUAGGAGCCUUAUGCAUACAAAUGAGACUUCUAACACAGCAGCCCCUCAAAGAACCCAUUGGAUAAUCUUUGCAGUCCCAAUCGGCCAAUUCUUGCCCAGCCAAACCGCGCUUCCAAUAUCAAAUUAUAUUGGAAGUUGACUUGACUUUGCUGAGAGCCAAACCCUAUAAGUCAAGCAAGGGCCAUACAUUAACGCGUUAAUUUGUUUUGGUACAUGGAGUGGGUAGGGAUGGCAACGGGGACCCCUCCCCCGCCCCCGCCCCGUUGCCUAUUAAUUCCCCCCGUCCCCCGCCCCGCCGCCCACUCCCCCGUCCCGCCGCCCCCCCGCCUCCCACUCCCCCCGCCCCGCCCCGCUUCCCCCGCGGGUGCCCCCGUGGGGUUAAUAAAAUUUUUCCUGCGGGAUUAAUAAAAUUUUAUUAUAGUUAAAUUUUAAUAAAUAAUCAAGUACUAAAAUAUCAACACUUCAUCAAGUUAUUAUUCAUUGUAAUUUUACAAUUGAAACUCAUAAAAACAAUCAAACAAAAGUUAUUUGAAUACAAUCCAAUAUGAUGAAAUAAAUACAACUAAAAUAGUCAAGUUUUCACUUUUGGUACAAAUACAAUCACUAAUUCAUUAUUGUGUUUGUGCUUUUUUUUUGAGAAAAAAGUGUUAUUCUAUUAAGUGUAAUUAGAAAUUUAGUAUAAAUGUAUUAGUAAAUUUAGUAUAACUAAUUAAUAAAUUCUAUUAGUAGACAUUAGAGGUGGCAAUUUGUCCCAAGUCCCAAUUGGUUACCCAUGCCCAUUGAGACUUUGGGCGGGAUGGGUAUUGGAAUUUGAUAUUGGGUUUAAAAUGGGACAAAUCCCAAUUGUACCCAUUAAUUGAUGGGAAAUUUUGGAAAAUGCUUGGGUACCCAUUGGGCUCAAAUAGCAAGGGCUCCGUUUGGAUUAACUAUUUUUGGGGGGUGUUUUUGAAAUAUUUUAUUGUAGUAGUGUAUAUGAAAAAUUUUACUAUAAACUUUUUUUGAAAUAUUUGAUAUACUAAUAUGGAUGGGAUGUUUUUUUAGUUAUUGUAUAUUACUGUAACAUUGUAUUUGAAAAACUUAUUUUUUGAAAAAAUAACCAAUCCAAACGGAGUUUUAGAUUCAAAAAUUAUCUUUAACAAUUUUUAUAGUCAUGAUUGUAUAUCUAUCUUUUCCUUUAUUUGUUAAUCCAAUUUUUGGUGAUAAUCCUGAGUAUAAAGCACUUGCAUGUUUAUUUAAUAAAACUAAAAGAAAUUUAAUAAAUCAAAAAUAUUAAAAUUAUAUAAAAAAUAAAAAUAAAUUAAAGGAAAAAAAUAUGUAUAAAAUAGAUUUGGGUAUUGGGCGAGAUCAAUCUAAACCCAUCCCAAAGUGAUCCCGCCCAAGUUAGUCCCAAAACAUAUAUGGGUAAGGUUGGGCCCAAACCCAUAUGACUCGGUUCCAUCUUAAACCCAAGCAAAUCCCGCCCAUCCCGCCCAUUUUGCCACCUCUAGUAGACAUGUCUAAUUAUUCGUAUCAUUGAUAAUAUCAAUUAUAUUACAUACACUAAUAUACAUUAUAUAAUACAUCUAACUAAUAGUAUUAUUAUCAUAAGUUUAUAACUAAUUAAAUUAUAUAUUAUAUAUAUUUAUAUAUAUACACUUUUUCUUUUGCGGGGGGCGGGGCGGGGGAUGGGGCGGGGGUAUACUCCCCCGUCCCCCGCCCCGUUACUAAACGGGGGGAAAAAAUUCCCCCCCGCCCCCGCCCCAACCCCCGCCCCAAGAGUCCCCCGCGGGGCGGGCACCCGCGGGCACCCGCCCCCAUUGCCAUCCCUAGGAGUGGGGCUUCUUCUGAAGUUUUUGCAUAUAAUCCCCUGUAAAUUAUGUAGAUAAAUGUAAAAACUACGAAAGAGUAAAAUAUAUAUUUCACUAAAUCAUAUGAAAGGUAAACAAAUAUUAUGAUUUUAUCACACGUAUUUUUACAGCAUGUCUAACAUUAUUCGAUAGCAUUUUCAUUUAUUUUUUACUCUACAUAAAAUUACAGAGGAAUAUUAUGAAAUUAUGAAUAUGUUAAAACCUUAGGAGAGUCAUGUAACAAUAUAUUGAACCACAAUAGGCUUAUUAGUAAUUUACACUAAGAAAGAUGAAGUUGCGGGGAAGAGAGGGACUAAAUGAAACCCCCCCCCUUUUGAACAUUGAUAAAAUAUGCCAUAUAUAAAGUAUGGAUUUAAAAUGAAAGGAUGUAGAUUUAACUUUAGGGAUACAUAAUUUUGGCUUUUUUAACUUUAAAAAUACUAAAUUUUGGCUUUUUGGGAAGCUUCUCUUGCAGAAGAUGCUAGUAAGAGUCUUUUGAACUACUUAAAACAAAUUAUAAAUAUCUUUGUGAAAGUAAAACUAUUAUUUUUUAUUGUUUCUCAAAACAGCUUUUAACUUCUCAAAACAUUGAAAACAAGGAUGAUUUUUCAUUGUUUCAAACAAAGUUUUGAAAUUAUUUCAUAUUUGAAUUCCAAAACUACUCAAACGUAGUUGAGAAUAAGCUCCAAGUAAAUGUUAAAGUUGCAAAUAAGGAAAAAUGGCAAUUGUACGUAGUAUAUUUAGAAGGUUGGCUAUACCAGUUGGGGAAUAUCUUGAUCUAGUGAUUAAGAUCAAGAUCCCAAAAUUAGAGGUCAUGAGCUCCAAUCCUCUUACGCCCUCCCUCCUAUUAAGUCCCACUCUCAUAUUUAUUAGAGGUGGCAAUUUAUCCCAAAUCCCAUUGGGUUACCCAUGUCCAUGGGGACUUUGGACGGGAUGGGUACUGGAAUUUGAUAUUGGGUUUAAAAUGGAACAAAUUUCAAUUGUACCCAUUAAUUGAUGGAAAAUUUUGGGAAAUACUUGGGUACCCAUUGGGCUUAAAUAGCAAGGGCUCCAUUUGGAUUAGCUGUUUUUGGAGGUAUUUUCGAAAUAUUUUAUUGUAGCAGUGUAUAUGAAAAAAUUUUACUAUAAAAUUUUUUUGAAAUAUUUGAUAUACUAAUAUGGAUGGGAUGUUUUUUAAGUUAUUGUAUAUUACUGUAACAUUGUAUUUGAAAAACUUAUUUUUUGAAAAAAUAGCCAAUCCAAAUAGAGUCUUAGAUUCAAAAAUUAUCUUUAACAAUUUUUAUAGUCAUACCAGCGAAUAUAAUCUAGCAGUCUUCCUAGUCAUUAUCCACAAGAAUUUCCAGCAUUUCAGUCAGUUUAGACCAGUCAUCCUUGGACAAUGAUGAGGAUAAAUAUUCAACACCCUAAGUGCCUUGGCCAUCUUGAUAUAUGUUGGAAUAUGGUUGUAUAUCUAUCUGUUCCUUUAUUUGUUAAUCCAAUUUUUGGUGGGAAUCCUGAGUAUAAAGCACUUGCAUGUUUAUUUAAUAAAACUAAAAGAAAUUUAAUAAAUCAAAAAUAUUAAAGUUAUAUAAAAAAUAAAAAAUGAAUUAAAGGAAAAAAAUAUAUGUAGAAAAUAGAUUUGGGUAUUGAGCGGGAUCAAUCUAAAUCCAUCCCAAAGUAAUCUCGCCCAAGUUAGUUCCAAAACACAUAUGGGUAAGUUAGUCUAAAUAAUAUUUAUCAUAAAUGAUUGAUCAACUAUUUUACUUUUACCUCCGUAGAGUUAUCAGCUAUUUUUACUUUUCUCCUUUGAGUCAUGAUUUUUAAUUUUUUGCAUCCUGAAGUUACACAUCUAUUAAACAUUGUAUUACGUACACAGAUAUGGACAGAAAACGACAGAAUUUUCCUUGUGAAAGGUGACAUUCGAUCUUGUAGGUUUUCCGUAAUUGUGUAAGUAUUUGAGGUAAGUAUUUUAGCAAGUUUUGAUAACCAAAUGAUCGAAACAGAGAAUUUAUGAACUAAUUAACCAUACUAAGGAAGAAGACAAGAUUCACUUGUUCUAAACCUUAUAUCUUAAUGCAACAAGUCGGUUAGGCGCUUGACUAAACCUUCAAUCUUUUAAAUAAACGCCCUCCUCAUGUAAUUUCUCAAAUGUUGAGUCAUGACAAGGUGAAGAUAGAAAUUAAAUUAAAGAUUCUAAAAAUUUUUAAAGAUUCUUCUAAAUUAGAAUAGUUUACAACAUAUAGAACUUUGAACUCCAAAUUUCAAAUGAUUCUGACUACGUCUAUUCUAAAAAGAGUAACAACCUUUUGUAAAGUGGCAAAUAUUAAAGAUGUUAGUCACAAUUCAAUUAUGUUAAUCAAAUCCGUCCAAACCCAUCUCUACAAAUCAGAAUAAGGCCCAACAAAGAGACUUACAAUAUCAUCAAGGCAGGAACGGUAGGGACUUAGCAAAAUACAAUCUGCAUUCUAGGCGCAUAGGCUUGCCGAGCGAGUUGAGCCUACGUCAACGUGCCAACAAAUAUUUUACCUGAACAAGAAAAAUAAACCCAAGUUCAGGUACAGGUACAGGAUUCGAACUAUAAACUAAGUGCCCUCCCAAUAAACUAAUGCAAUAAAAAAAAAUAAACUAAUGCAAUAAAAAUAUCAACUUGAUAAGCUAAUGCAAAGAAAUCAUGGAACACGAAUAUAUUACCUUACCAUCUUAAGUGAAAAGAGUGCACACAGCUUAAUCAGAAUGAUAAGAAAAAAAGUGCAUCGAACCCGAUCUGCAUAAAAAGACACAGGCUGAAAGGUCAAAGAAUCAAUUUAACAUGGUAAGCAAAGCACGAUUGACAUCUGAGUUUCUUCUCAAGCUAGUUAAAAGUGAGAAAAAUUAUUUACUGGGCUUUAAAGGAGGAAAUUACUAAUAUAAAUUUCACAUGACACAUAAAAGUAAUAUGAUUCCUCUAUUUGAAUUUCGACACUUCUUUUCCAUUCAAGAAAUUUGUUGGAGUCAACAAAAAAAAUUUUGGACAAUAAUUUUAAGUGAAAAUCAGUAAGAAAUCUAAAUCUCUGCUUACUUGAUGCCAUCACUGCGUAUUUCCACACAGGGAAUGUCUUCAAUCAUGGGCCAGUAGUCUCCUCUAUCCAUCAAACACCUUUUCUCAAGAAGUGGGCAUUUAUUAAUUACUAGAGUUUGAAGCGGAUUACGCAGCGAUUCCUUUGGUAGGGAUCCAAGCUCGGGGCAGUUAAAGAUAUGCAGAUAUCGAAGAGCUGUAAGACCUCGCAAGAACGUGGAGAGCGAUUUCAGAUUUCGCAAGUCACCAAUGGCGACGGACCUAAGAGUCGGAGGAAGCAAAGCCAAUCCAUCAUCACCACUACCAGAAAAUGAUUCCAGCCCUGGAUAUCCACCACGGAUGUAGAACCUUUCAAGAAACGUGAGUCUGUUGAGUCCCCAUUCUGACAGGGGCUUCAGCUGUAAGUUUUCUCCUGCCUCUAUGUCAAGAAACUUCAGAGUGGGAGGAAAAUCUCCUUGUGGAAAUAACAAAGGACUUGAACAAGAAUACAACAACAGAGAUCUUAGUCGUCCCAAACCACUGGGCAAGUAACUAACAUUUUUGCAUCUGCACAAGGAAAGACGUUCCAAACUUGGAGUGGGCAAUUGAUCCAGAUCAUAAUCACAAUCCCUAAUAUCCAAAAACCGGAGACUUGCAAAACUGUAGACUGAACCAAGCAUUGUUCUCAAAUUCAGACAUGGGCAGCCAACGAUUUCCAGACUCUCAAUCGAUGUGCUAGUGUCCUCUAUGACAAUCUCCGGAGUAAGGUUCAGUUUCUGGCAAUGUCUGAUCCCAAGAUUCCUAAGCUGAGGGAGGAGCAACUUGUCCAUUGGCAAGCAACUGAGGGCUGAGCAACUGCUUAUUUCCAAUGUGUUAAGACCAGAUAAUGUAGGCAAAGACAGGAGAGCACUGCAACUUUCUAUCUUAAGAUAUUUAAGCAUGGGUAAAACAGCAAGCUCCUCCAAGGAUGAAAGCUGUGAACAUUCUGAAACAACUAAAGAUUUUAGCUGCACAAGGUUUACAGUAUUACUUGAGCCCCACAAAUUCUUCAGUUGAUGGCACUCACGUAAUGUGAUAUCUUCAAGGCCUGAUGGGAACUGCAUGAACGCAUCCUCGAGGGAUGCAAGCCCUAUAAUCUGCCGAAAAUCCAAAUUGUUUAAUGAGGUCAAAUUGUAUAAACAUUUUGCAAUUCCCACCGAGCACUUUUGCAACUUUAGUUCAGAGAGUGAAGGAAGCUGCAAAACAGGAAUGCUUUUCAACUUUGGGCAUCUACUUAUACAGAGCUUUUGGAGCAGAGGGAAGUGGCAUUCGUUCUCUCCUGCUGAACUUAAGCAAGUCCAUUCCUCCCAUUCUGGCAUGUCAUCAAAUGUUAGACUUUCAAGCAAUGGAAAGGAAAAUUCCCGAGAGCAAUCUUUGCCACAUAGCUCCGUACCUACUGCCUUCACCUCAAGCAUGGUUUGAAUGCUCAAAUCCUUGAGCGCAGGCAAUUGCCCGAGUGAUGGUAAACACUUGCAGUGUGUACAACCUCUAAGGCUUACUUCUUCUAAUUUAGUAAAUGAAGAAUCCCCCACCCAGGAAGAGAAUUUGUCUCCCUUAUAGAACUCAAUUUCAAGACUCGUUAGGUUUGUGUGUGGUCGUAGUGCCUCGAGCAAAUCUUGUUGAAGAACUUUACUCAGAGAACCAUCAUAUUCACUAUUCCAUGCCAAUACUAUGUUAUCAAGGUCCCUCUUGUUCUUCAAAUUGGCAUCCCGUGCUUCUUGAACAUUCGUAACAUUUUGCAACUCCAAAAUGGCGAGUGACCCUGCCAGUAAGGACAAGUUCCCCAAGUCAUUCAGCCUGAACCCACCAUUUUUGCUCACAACCACUUUGGAUAGUGUCUGCAAGCUCGUCAACUGAUCAAUCCCUGAAGGCAUCUCAUGCAAUUGACUAGUAUUGAAAUUUUCAAGAUGGCGCAGGUUAAUUAAUUUUCUAAUACCCACCGGUAAGUUAAUCAGCCCCCAGCAGUCGCGCAAACGUAGUGUUUGUAAAUUGCAAAGGUUACUCAAUGAUUCAGGCAACACUUUCAACGAAGUACCAGACAAAUUCAGGUACCUUAGAUGUAUUAAUUCACCAAUGGAAUUUGGUAGAUCAGAGAUAGAAUAUCCACUGAAUGAUAGCACCCUUGGGUAUCGCAAUUCCAGCAAAAGUUCUGUUAUGACCUUUUUAGCGAUGUAAAAGUCGCCGUCAUACUUGCCAGAAACGGGUAGGAAACUCCGCAAAUGUUUUGCUUUCUGAAGUGUUUUAAACUUUUGUGAAGCUCCAUACAUUGAACUUGUGAAUGAUGUGUACCUAACCUUGUCAAGAAUCGUGCAUUUGAUGUUCUCUUCCAAGUCGUCUGUCAGUCUGGAACAAAAAUCUCCACCAACAUAUCUAGCUAGAUCGUUAAUAAGGUCAUGCAUCACAAAACGUGAACUAGCGGAACUUGACUGCUGGAAGAAGGACCUCAUUAGUAGCUCCUUAAAAUAAUUGUCCCCUGUGUCCUCCAUAAGAUCACUUGCUUUUGAUUCCUCGAGAAAACCCUCUGCCAUCCAGAGCAAUACAAGCUCAUAUUUGUCAAACUCAUAGUCCUUGGGAAAUAUGGAGCAGUAAGCAAAGCACGGUUUUAGAUGGGCAGGAAGAUGAUAAUAGCUUAAUCUUAGUGCUGGAAGAAUAUCACUUUGAUCCUCUUUUAUUUCCCAUAUCUCACUGUUCAGUAUAUCCGUCCAUUCAUCUGGGGUCGAUCUAGCACGCAACAGCCCUCCAAGAGUCUUCACGGCCAAGGGCAAGUUCUUACAUUUCCUUACAAUACUCCUACCAAUGCCUUCUAGAUUGGGGUGCCUGUCAAAAUUUGUCCUUCCUAGUGCAUGUCUUGCCAGUAACCAUAAGCUUUCAUCAUCUGUCAACUCCUUCAGACUAUAUCCAGCAGUGGAAGACAUUACUGAUGCCACCCUAUGAUGCCGAGUGGUGACAAUUAUCUUGCUCCCAGAUGAACCAACUAGAAAUGGGCGGCGCAGGAUGUCCCAGUCCUCGUAUUUUUCAUUCCAAACAUCAUCUAAAACAAUUAGAAACCUCUUCCUGGUCAAGGCCUCACUCAGUUUCACUUGAACCAUAUUCAGAUCCUCAUAAUCACAGCCACCUCGUGUGAUUGCUUUAAGGAUUGUCUUUGUUACCCCAACAAUGUCAAAAUCAUCUGAAACACAAGCCCAAGCCUUGGAAUCGAAAAAUUCGUUGACUCUGUCAUCAUUGUACACCAUUUGAGCAAGAGUUGUUUUACCAACCCCUCCCAUGCCAACAAUUGGUAUCACAACCACUUGAUCAUCACUCGAUUCAUUUGAAAGGAGCAAUUUCAGCAGCUCUUCUUUGUCAUUCUCUCGACCAUAAACAUAAGACUCCACCAAGGAAGUUGAUGGCAAUCUAUCCCUAUUUUUGUUCGGCCUCUUUGCUACAGUCUCUGCCAAAUGGAGGAUUUUGAUUUGUUCUUUCAUGCUCUCCAAUCUUCUAGUUAUUUCAUCCACCUUGGGAGCCAUUUUUCUGUUGAACUUAUAAUCUUUAACAGAAAAAUUUGUACAACAGGAAGGGAUUUUAGCCUUUCUUACCUUGCUAGUAGAGCCAUGAGCUUCCAUCAACUUUCUUCGACAAGCUUCAGUGGAGAAUUCGUCGAUCACAUCAUCCAUAUCAUAUGCCAAAUCCUGAAGAUCAUCUAGCCAGUGCUUCACAGCAAUCCUCAUAUUCUGCUUGUCCUCUGCAUCAUCAAGCACUGCCUGAAUCAGGGAUAGCACUUGGAUCCAUCGUUUCAGCUGAGUAUCUAAGCCUUCUGAGCGUGCAAAUUUCUUCAAAUCCACAGAAGCAAGCUUGUCAAAUAUCACCUUGAUGAUUGCACCAAGAAAGACUUCUAUCAGUGCCAUUUUUCACUAUUCUUUUUUUUUUCUCCAGAUUAUAUUGUGUAGGUAAGCAACAAGCAAAAAGUCUGAAAACUUGAAAGGGGAGAUAAGAUUGAAAGAUAGGAAACUACAGGCUGUGUUUGGACUAAUAAUUCAAAAUGGUUGCGGAACAGUAACUACUUUAUCUGUUUGGAUGUGGACAUAGAAGUUAUAAUUAGUUUCAUGAGUGAAAUUUUUACCUACUAUUCAUUUCCCAAGAAUCCACCCAUUUUAUUUAGAUUCCUUGUAUGUUUCACUAACAAAUGCAUAGGUAAUCAUUGGUGUUUUAUGAGGAUGAAAAGCAAAAGAAAACUACCGGCCUCUUUAUUGCUCUCUUUCAUCUGAUCUCCAUCCUUCAUUUUCGUAGUGACCUGCAAUGCUUGGGUCAUCCUUUCAGAAAGGUUAACUGUUAGCUUUGGUGAAUUAUCGAAGGAGAUGCAAUUUGAUCUAUUUGUUGACGUGCAAUUGACUAAUCAUUCAUUGUUAUUAGGGUUAACAACAUAAAAGCCCCUGUGAUAUAACUAUCAUACAGAAAAGUCCCCUGUGAUUUUAUAUCAUACGCGUCGGUACCCCAUGAUUUGAAUUAUUCUGAAAAAUCAACGGAAAUCAUUAUAACAGACAAAGCUGAGUGAAAAGACGAAAAUACCCUAAUGAUAUCAGUGAAAAUUGCAGAAGUAAUUUCGGGCAAGGGCAUGGGCCAGGCGGUCAGCAGUGUCUUGACCCGAGACUCCACCAUUGUGGACCCAACAAAGCGAGGUUAUCAAGAUUGAGCUCUUCGGUCCAAGAAGCGUGGCGAUGGGAGAGGAGGCGGUUUUCCGAAGGAACUUCUCGGCGAUGGCAGCAGCUGCUACGGCGGUGGCGGAGGAGGAUGAGGAUGAGGAAGAGUCUGAUACGUCAAGUGCUGCCGCGGUUGGACUGGGGUCGGGUGGGAUGAGGAGGAAAAAGAGGAGGAGGGCCGCGGGGAAGGUGGCGGCAAAAGGGUAUAGGAAGUUGGCGGAGACGAUAGGGGGAUUUGCAAACAUAUAUGAGAGAGUAGAGGAGGCGAAACAGAGGCAAAUGGUUGAGUUGGAGAAGCAGAGAAUGCAGUUUGCCAAGGAUUUGGAGAUUCAAAGGAUGAAGCUUUUUAUGGAAUCCCAGGUCCAGCUCAAAAAGCUUAAGCGAUCUAAGCGCAAUUCACCAUCUGGUGGUAAGUUUAUCUGUGCAUUUGCAUAUUGUCUCAAGUAAUGCUGGCAAUGUUACAUGACUAGUUUCAGCCUAGAGUUUCUUGGGUUUCUUGACGAGCCUCUCCUCCACCUCUUCUCUCCAGUUGUAAGCGGGCUUGCUCUCUCUCCUCUCGUUCCUCAGUUGCCUUCUCUCCCUGGUCGUUAGUUGCUUUUCAAUCACGGACUCUACAGUCGCCGAGAUCGUGAAAGAAAUAAUGGGACUUCGGAGCUUAUUGAAGGCUUUGGAGUAAUGGGUGGACGGGGAAAGAAAGAGAGGGCAAGGACUCCAUGUAAGAAGCCUUCGCUGCAGCUCUAUCAUCCCUAUUAGUAUCUCGUUAUUCAAUCUGAUUUUGAUCUGGUUUUGUUUUCUUGGCACAGAUGGCUUGUGUUUCUGCUAUUUUGGUGUAUGUUUGGUUUUGGGUCAACUAGCAAUUUGGUAGAUGAAGGGUAAAAUAGGCAUAUCAGGUGAAAGUCUGUGAUAGAAAUCUAUUUUUCGCAAGAAACAUACGCCUUUCCAGUGCGUUUAAUACAAACGCCGUACAUUUGACGAUUUCCGUCGACUUUUCAGAAUAAUUCAAACCAUGGGGUAUCGACAUGUAUGAUAUGAAACCACAGGGGGCUUUUCUGUAUAAUGGCUAUACCACAGGGGGCUUUUAUAUUGUUAACCCUUGUUAUUAUUAUAUGCAACUUUAAUAAAGUGGCCAAGAUUGAUAAAGGAUGAAGCUAUUGAAGCGGUGGUGAUUUAUUGGUCGUAGAUAUUGGUUACAAGAAAAUGUUUGCUUAUUGAGACACUAUUCAUGAAUCAUCCAUUGGAUACUUGCCUUCAAUAAUUUCUGGAAGGUUACAACGUGUGAAUGUUUUAAAAAAGGGAUAAUUUCGGAAACCUCCCUUGAGGAUUCAUGAAAUAUCACUUAGCUUCCUUGAUGUUUUCAAAAUCUCACUUAGCACCCCUCGAAUUGACAUUUUGGUAACAUUGUCACCCUUCUAACCAAAAGUAACAUUAAAAAAUUCAUGUUUGAGGAGAGAGAUUAUUUUAGUGCCUUUACUACCCUUAGGCUAUAGAAAAAUGAACAUUUUACAAACCAAGGAAAAAAAGUACUAAAUUGGAACCAUCUUAAAAGUGAGGGGAUGAAAAUUGAUAAGAUUUUAUGUUACAGCCAAUAGUCAUUUCUAUAGUAGAGAGCAGUGUUGUCAAAAUCGCGAUCCGGAUUGUAGGAUCGUACGAUCCUACGAUCCGGAUAACCAAAAUCGAUCCGGAUCGUAUUCAGAGUCGCAAAUUGUAUUAAUCUACAUAGGAUCGGUAGGAUCGUACGAUCGUACGAUCCUACAAUUUUUUGCAAAUUUGUGAAAUACGAGACUCCAUUUUGCAAGUAAAUGAAAAUAUUUGUGGUAGGUUUGUAAUUUAUCAAAGAAUUGCAGCUUUUAAUUGCAAUUUUUGCCUCAAAAAGUCAAAAAAGCUCAUAUUCUUCUCCUCUACUCAGUCAUCUGUCGUUGACUCGUUUCUUUAUUCUUCAUUUCAACCUUCAUUUUUCAGUUUUCACUUCUUCUCCACCGCUGCAACUCCAACCAACCAACCUUCAUUGUUACAAGAGUGCUUCAGCUCACAUAGAUUAUUGUUUGCUUACUAUUGAUUGCAAUAGCUAAGCAUUUCAUGCAAGAUUGAGUUUCUGAUAUCUUGAGAACUUUAUUUCAGCAGAUAACUUUUUCUUCUUCUUAGACAAGGUUGUAAGGUGGCUUUGUGUCCAAGAAGUUCAUUCCUUCAGCCGAAAAAUAUUGGGUGUCACUCGAACUUAUGAUUUCCUGGCCUUUAUUUUUGUUCUUAAGCUAGAAAGGUGCAUUAAUUGCCCAGAUUUUCCUAUUUAGACCAGAAAGAUGGGCUGCCGUGGACGUAUGCUUUUGAACUUUUUGUUAACAAGUUUGAAAAAUCUAAUUUCUUCUAAAUUUUCAGCUCAAAUCAACAUUUAGCCUGGCUUUUCUCAUAGUAUUACUUUGCAAUGGCUAUAAUUGUGAAAAGAAAAAUGCUAUAUAUUUAUUACUUAUCAGACAGUAAGUAAAAAAUACUAUAUAUUUAUGAGUAACUUAUUUAUUUAAUAUCUUUUAGAAUGUACAAAAUGGUAUAUAAAUCUGAAAUUCAUUAAUUUAGUAAAUUUAGAAACUUUUGGUGGAAUCUUACGAUCCUACGAUCCGAUUCUGUGAAACUAAAAUCGAUCCUACGUAGGAUCCCGAUUUUACAAACCUUGGUAGAGAGAGACAGUAAAAGCAUAUAUUUUUUAAACCAUUUCAAUAAAUAAAACCCUCCAUAGCAUUGAAGGCAAUUAGCAUGUAAAAAUCAUGCAUUUGAGCCAAAAAAACUCAGCAAUAGAUGAAAUUCAACUUCAAUAUCAUACAGAGAAUUUACUCAAAAUAAACGGACUUUUUUUAUGGGCAUGAAAUAUGAAAAUUUUAUUAUAAAAAACUCAGAAUUUGAAAAACUGCAGUUCGGAGUAUUAGUUACUUUAUUUCUCUUGCGCUCUACAUGAAUAGGAACAAAUAAAUAAAUAAAGUUGUGAAACACAAAAAAAAAGGAAAAAAAGAACCUGCAACUAUUUUUCUCCAAAUGCGCUGAAUAUUUCAUUGAUUAAAUCUUAUAUUUCAUUGACAUUUAGAGAAAGAAAAACAAGUUUAGAAAAUUUAAAUAUGAGGGUAUUAUUGACAAUUCAUCACCUUUGAUAUUAGCAUAUGACCCUACUAUCACUUCAAGGGUGUUAAGUGAGAUUUUGAAAAGUUCAGGAGAGCUAGGUGAUAUUUCAUACAACCUCAGGGGAGGUUUCUGAAAUUAUCCCUUUAAAAAAAUAAUACAAUAUGUGAAAACGAUUCACUAAUAGUUUCUCGAUAGAGCUUAAUUGGCUAUACUUGUCAAUUUGCUGUUUGAGGCUCCACUUCACAUCUAUAAAUGAAUGCAAUAAUUAGCAGGACAUUUAUAAAUGAAUGCGACAACUGUCAAGAUGAAAAUUAUAUAACUGUGAUGUGUUUGCUGGUUUUAUUAAAAUAAAAAAAUACAUAGGACAAAAAAAAGAAUUAGAAUUAUCUUUUACAUUGAGUUCAUGUCGUUGAAAUAACUUGUGCGGUCGAUGCAUGCUUGUAAUAUGUGUUAACCUUUAUGAAUCCCACAUAAUGUUUGUUUGGCCUGAUAAAUCAUUUUUUAUUGUGCUAAUAUUGCAAACGAGUUUUAGAAAUUUUGCUGCAAAUUUAUCUUCUCAAAAUAACUCAACCAAUUUGAUUGGGAUCAAAAAAAUUGUGGGCUAAGUUUUUUUGUUCGAAUAAUCACAUAGGUACAAACCAAUCCCUAGUGGACUCAAAAUUCUAGACUCUUUAAGAGUUUCUAACCAAGCAGUAAAUAGCCAAGCAUCUAAAAGUCAUUUGUAAGCAUAAAGUUCCAUUCUACACCAAGCAGUAAUGGCUGACCCGCAAAGUGCGGAUCGGGUCAGUCAAAUGGUGAAUGGGACGGAUACCCGACCCACACCCACCCCUAGUGGCUCGUGCUAUUGUAGGUGAACACUACUUUCCGAUGACCUGAAAGGGAAAGUUGACUUCAUGUAGCAUUCAAACCACACGCAGUUGCCAUCAGUAAACGCCUCCAUUUUUAGUGCACAGCAAAAGAGGCAAACUAAUGAGCUGCGCAGGAGGACCCUUCAAAGAUGAUAGCACAAAUGGGCAACGAACAAGCAGCAUUACUUGUGGACUUGAAACUAUACAAUCACACGAGCAUUAUCUCCACCUUGAUCAUCAAGUCUUUCACGAAUGAUCAAAAAAACAUGUAAAACUUGCUAAGCUUCUCAAGAUAUUUUACAUAAAAAGUUGAGAUUUUACAACCCGGUUUGCACCUACCAUCCACACAAACUAAAACCAAGGACUCCGAACAAAGUUAAAUUAAAGUUCUUCUUCCCUGGGGAAUGGAAAAGGAACUUCUAGUAGACAAACUAUCUUUGCUGCAUCAUACAAGGAGAGUACAUGGGGCUUUCCUAACAGCAAGUCAAAUCAUCUGUGCAAAAGAAAUGAGACGCCAUAGACCGCACUGUCCAGCAAUAAAGAAAGGAGAAAAGGUAUAUGCAAGAGACAGGGUCCGCCAAGAUGAGAAUAAAGUCUGGAUCAGCCGGUCUGAUCAUGAAGCUUAAGAAUUCAGAUGCCCACGGAAUUUUCUAAGCCGCUCUCCUAUUGGGUUGUCACACUCUUUGCAAGAUUUCGGGGCUGGUCAACAUUGUGACCUCGUAGAACAGUUAGAUGGUAGGCCAACAACUGCAGGGAAAGAGCAGGGAAAGAUAAUUAUCCGCAGAAGUAUCAGCUUUUAUAGCAAUGAGAAACAAAACCGCAAUUCUUGAGAAGGUCUACCAACAAAAUAAAAGAAAUUUUACAGCCUGUACUAUAAGCCAAAUAGUUAUCAAGAUGUGUCAUAGCUCUUUCCAAAGAUGACAAAAACAAAACGAGGAAAUCAAAGGUUCAACUGCACAACAUAACCAAUUGUAUAUACACUCGCUCAAUCAAAAACAAUACUCAACCUAAAGUGUUGCAGUAAAAUAUAGAAGAGUGCAACUAUUGGCUCCCUUAGAAUCUUUGAGAUUGAAUUCCCUUUGUAAGACAGUUACCUUAGGGCACGGAUAAAAUUAACAUAGUUGCUGUUGAUCAUAUGGUCUACUUUACCCAGACAAAUAAAAAUCAAAGACUUGCAGAGCUUGCAGACUUUUCAUAGUUCUUGGGCUUAAUAUUCAAGCUGCUCUGAGAGUUGAAAUCAUUAUUAAAUAGUUUAACAAUUUGGUACCUAAAAGUUCCUAAAAAUAGCAGCAUUUAGGUUCCCAGAGUAAAGAAGAUCCAUACUGCCAAAAUCAUCCUUCAUCCAACUCAAUGAAUAGUUAACACAAGAAAAGGUUCCCAAUAAAAGUGGGCAAUUUACCUGCAAUGGAAUUACAUUAAGUACAGGCUGGAGACAGUCUUCAACAUGAGGAACUUCAAUUACUCGACAAGAUCCACCAACUGAUACAGAUGCAGAAUCUCCUUUCGUGCACAUAACUAUUAGUCGACCUUUCCUAGCAUGAAGUUGCUGAAUGACUGAUUGUUGUUUGCUGCAGCAAAAAGAGAUGUUUAUGGAAUAGAUAAUAAUAAACACGAAACCACUAGUUUAUCAAAACAUUCAACUAACUGAAACAAGCAUCACGAGUAGCAAUCACAACAAUUGGAAGCUUGUGAUCCACUAAUGCUAAAGGUCCGUGUUUCAUUUCACCUGCAAGAAUUCCCUCACUAUGCAUAAGAGCAACCUCCUUUACUUUCAAGGCGCCUUCUAGAGCUGUUGCAUAAUUAUAUCCUCUUCCAAAUACAAGAAGUGAUUGUUCACUAAUGAACAGUUCGGCAAGAUCUUUCAUUUCCUCAUCCAGCUUGAGAACCGCUUUCACUUUGCUGACCGUUUUCAAAAGCAUAAUAUAAUAGAAUUAGAUACCUCAAAAAAUAUAUACUAGAAAGCACACUUUUGUAGGCAGAAAAACUAAAGAAUGUUGUAGCUGCAAUGCAAGAAACAAGCAAGAUGCAUACUUGGCAAGUCUAAUAGACCAUCUAUUAUUGCUUCUCUCGUUUCAUUUGAAAUCAUGUCUCCUCCAACAGCAAGAGCCAACAUUGCCAUAACUACAAUUUGACUGGUGUAUGCCUGUUGAUCAAGGCAACAACAUAACAAGUCACAUAAUAGUAAAACCAAAAGAAAAAAGAAUAGAAGGAAAUAGGCCAAACACAAAGUGCCAAUUACUUGCCUUAGUACUCGCCACACCUAUUUCACAACCAGCCUUAAUAUGCACAUCGCAGUGGGUUUUCCUAGCAAGCGCACUUCCUACAGUGUUUGUGAUUCCAACGCAUAAUGCACCAUUUUCUAAAGCAUAAUCUAAUGCCUGUAAAGUAUCAGCAGUUUCACCAGACUGACUGAAAAAAACAGCUGUGUCUUCCCUGUAUAUUGGCCCCUGCCUAUCCACUAAAUCACUAGCAACCUCCAGCGUAACCGGAACACCUUUAUACAGGAGAAAUCAGUGUAAGAAUCAAUUUACUAGAUGUCAUCAUCCAUACAAUAUAGCAACAGCUAACAACUAGUACCGGUCGAUGUAUUUGUGCUCCAAAUAUAGUUCCUCGAACAGCAUUUUCUAAAUGAACCAGAGCCAACUAGAAUUGAUCUUGUAAAAGAUCCGCUACAGAAUGAAUACAUUUAUUUUUCGAAUGAUUCAUAUAGUCAAGUGUACCCAUUCCAAAUUUUAGUCCAAUCAAAUGAUCGGCGGCUGCCAAUAUAUCUCAGGAAGUAUGGUCUGGAAGUUGGUCAAAAUCUGAUAUUUAUAUAGAUGCGGUAUGUAAAGAGUUUUCGUGUAUCCAUUGCAUUUUGCUUGAGUGAUGUUUUCUUUUAUGUUGUAUAUGAAUUAAAUUUUGGGUUUUUUGAUUAAUUCGUGGUUUACCUUCAUGUGAUUUUAAGAUUGUAUUGUCAGUUUGAGUGGGUUUUUUCAGUAUUUACUUUUUGGGAUUGGUUGUUAAUGUUUGGUGUAAAUGAUUGAUAGAUAGUGCUCUUCCAAUUGGUGUCAAUGAUAAAUAAUGGUAUUUCAAUUUAAAACUUUUUUGGUAAUGUGGGCCUUAAGUUUUGUACUACCUUUAUGAUUUUAGAGCUUGUGUGAUUAAUAGUGAAAGUAAGGACAAAAUUGGCUAUAUUUUUAUUGAUGUUUGAUAUAUUUUUUAAACUUGGAUAUUCUAUAAAUGUAGAUGUUAUCAUGGAGAUGGAUACCAUCAUCUUCAAAUUUUUGUUCUUGUUGUUUCUGGAAGAACACCAUGAAAAGCUUUAAGGGUCAAAAAAAGUUGUUGUUGAGUCAAUUGUAUUAUAAUUCUCAUAGAUAUCAAUUGUUAGUUGUCAGUUUUGCUUGGCUUCCUCUCAUUAGCUUCCUCUAAUUAGUUUCCCGUAUUAUGAGUGAUUGGAAUAUUAGAAAAUUUAUUUCUAAUGCUUAGGAGAAAAAAAGAAAAUAUUCUUUACUGACCACAUGAAAGAAGACAUUUGAAAUUAUUUUAUAAGAAGUUCGGUGUAAUAAAAAAAAAUAUGAUUACCAAGUUCUUAAUUAUCAAACAGUGAAUGCCCAUUUCUACUUUUGAACCGACUGCAUACUCAACUAGAUAAUAAAACAUCAAUGGUUAUAGGAAGCAUUAAAAAAGAACAUGAGAAUAUUAUUCUAAUUACUCAAAUCAUUUGGUAACGCUUUAGUUUUUAUUCUAAUUACUCAUAUUAUUGAAUCAAUUGGUAGCAUUUUGUUCAUAUCAUUACUGUCAUAACCGAAAUAAAAUGACUCUAAUUAUUAGACAAAAGGGUACUUUUUUUUUUUUUUUGUCGAAACGAUAGGAAAUUUCAUUAUCAAAGGCCAUAAUACAUGUACGAGCAACGGCUCGAAGGAACUGCACAAAAAGUGUUCAGCGAACACUGAGGAAAUUUCUUUCCUCAUCCACAAUUAUGCUUAAAGCAUCUGCACUCAGUAGUCUACUGUCUAACAUAUUUUCCUCUCUUUCCAAACCAAAAGAGCACAUACAAAAUAGUCUCUUCAGACUUAGAAUAUCCUCCAGCAAUGUAGCCAUCUUGCUAUCUGUUGGUCGUUGCUGUGUAAGCUGUUUCCAUAGUUCUUUGUUGCAGAAAUUGAGACGUACCUCUCUCCACUGCUGCUGUACAGCUUUGCACAGAACCAAUUUUAAUGCCAGAGCUUCGUCUAAGAUGUUGCUCCCCAAACUUCUCUCUGUCAGCUUCCAAUCUGCAAUUUUAGUGUUUGCCGCAUUCUUUGCUGUGACUCCUAUGCCAAAGGCGUUCUGCCCUUGUUUCUUAACUGUUGCCACUUGUAUAAUUAAGGCCCCUUCAUUUCCAUUGCUCUGUCCUUGGUGAACAUUGGUAUGAACUGUUUCUUCUGUACUCUUUUUAUCCCCCUACUGAUGUUCUACCCCUUGUUCCAUCCAUUCUUUGUGCGCACGUUCUACUAUUCUCAAUGGUGCUAAUCUAAUUGAGUUCUCAUAUUCCCUCUUGUUCCUAUCUUUCCAUACCUGCCAUAAUAUAUUUGCUGUCAGGCCAAUAUGCUCCUUCCCUUCCUGUCUAGUUCUUGCUUCUGUAAUUCUCAUCCACCAUCUCUUAAAAUCACCCCUCUGAUCAUUUGCUCCAUCCCACUGAAUGGGGGCUGAUUUCCAUACUUCCAGUGCAUGUGGACAGUUGAGUAACAUAUGUUCUAUGGUUUCUGGAGCCUCGCCACAGGUUGAGCAAAUAGGGUCCCCUACUCCUGUUCGCUUUCUCACUGCCUCCCUGACUGGUACUGCUCGUUUAAUACACUUCCAGAUGAAGUGCUUGAUUUUGUGCUUAAUGUUGAGCUUCCAUAACAUAUUCCACAUCUGAACCAUUUGCUGGCUUCCUUCUGAGGUGCUUGUUUCAGCUCCCUCCAGGUUGCACCUUCUUCUGCUCAUGCCUUUCUCCAUCAACAAUUUGUAUCCUCAGUCGACUGUGUAAUCCCCUCCAGCUUCUGGUUUCCAGUAGAAACUAUCUUCCCUCCCUGAUAAGCUUAGAGGGAUGCGGAGAAUCUGCUCAGCAUCUUCUUUGUUGAAAUAUCUGAAGAUAACAUUCCUGUUCCAUCUCUGCUGGCAUAUUAGCUCAUCAACCAUCUUUAGCUCACAGUUACUUGUUCGGCAUGUUGACAGCUUCCCCGUGGGUGUCUCAGGUAACCAUUUAUGGUCCCAGAUUUUCGUGUUCCUACCAUUUCCAAUCCUUCUAAUCAGUCCUCCUUCUAUUAAGCUCCUUGCUCCCAGUAAUCCUUGCCAAAUCCAUGAUGCAUUUUUAGGGAGGGUGCAUUGUAGUAUGGAUUCCUGAGGGAAAUACUUGGAUUUUAAAACCUUACUGACCAGAAGAUUUGGGCUGGUUAAUAUCCUCCAUAACUGCUUACCCAGAAGUGCUUUGUUGAAGGCUUCCAGAUCCUUAAACCCAAGGCCGCCUAUGUUCUUGUGUACUACCAUUUUGUCCCAAGAGAUCCAGUGCAUGUUGUUCCUUCCCUCAGAUCCACCCCACCAGAAAUUGGACAUCAUGGUGCUAAUGUCUUUGUAGAGUGAUCUGGGCAGCUUAAAGCAGGACAUAACAUACGUAGGCAUGGCCAUUGCAACUAAGACAAAAGGGUACUUUGAUCGCAGCAAAUACUAAGACAAAAAAAAUAUUUACACUUCAAAUUGCUUACAUUCCACUUGUCCAAUGACGGAGCUAAGGGGGGCUGAUGGAGUCCAUGGCCUCCCCUAACUUUUGAAAAUUUUAAUUUAUAGUGUGUAAAUAUACGUGUAAAAUAAAGUUGGCCCCUCCCCCUAAUUUUUUACAAUUUUAGUUGUUAUUAUAAGAGUUUAUAUAUAUAUAUAUAUUAUAUUUUUAUAUGAUAAUGAAUCGCAAUCUAAUUGAUGAAAUGUUUUACCUGUAUCCCACAAGUCAAAAAUACAAUAUAUUUCUUUUUUUUUUUUUUAAGUCAAUAGGAUUGUCAUUGGCGAGAUCAAAUGAGCAAUUAUUGGUCUGCGAAGAUUGAAAAGCUCAGCCCAUCUUGACCGCCGCCUUCUAAUUUCCAAGCCACAUAUAUGCAACGACCUGCAAGUCUUCAGCAAAGAGCAAGAAAAGAGUCAUGACACAGGACCAAACUGGCUAUGAUUAUAUUCAUAUUUUUUUUUUCUAAGCAAUUUAUUGAUACUUCUAGCGCCAUAGCAAUUCGUGAAAUCUCUCUAUCAAAUUUCGAUUUCAUGUUUUUCUGUCCAGAAAAAUCGAUUAUGGAACAUCCAGUAGCUCGCGUAAAAAAAUUUAAAAGAAAAAAAAACAAUUGCUAUGCAUGUGCCAAUGCCUUUUGCAACUUCUGAAAGUUUUCAAUAGCGGAUUUAAACUUAAUUGUUAAAGUGUUAACGAGCCAAUUUGAGGCUAGUCAGUUUGACUGAUACAAGUAUUAUUCAUCUUAAGUGCACACAAUUACACAUUUUACUGUCCCUUACACAUUAAGCUGCAGACAUUGCGAACACAAUUGUACUGUCCCUUAAACCUUUAUCAACAGUUAAAAUCCACACAAUUUGUCUGAUCAAAAUUGUAUAUUUGUAAAAAUCAUAGCACUCCAAGAAACGAUAUUCUUCUUGGACAUAUCCCCGAACAAUCAGAUUGCUUAAAGAGUCAAUAUGAGAAACAAUCAGAAUUGACCUAAUUUCUGCAAUAAUUAUAAAUUGAAAUACCUUAGUGACAAGUGUCGAGCCUGUGUAAUAAUAAUUACUAAAAAAUCCUAGUUACCACCAUAAUUAAUUAUAGAACAAAUCCAAGUACUGGAGCAGGAACCCUAGGUGUGCAAUGGGUUACUUGAUUCACCCUAUUUCCGAAGAGUGUGCUUGAUCCGAUAUACCAGAAUUGUCUAUAAAAAUAUUAAAUUUGCGUAUAAUGGCAAGUAGGGUUGAUUCCACAGGGAACGGAUAAGAAAUUGCUUCUUUCCAAAUCAGUAGAACAAAAUUGGGGGAUAUUUAAUGGAGUGAAAAUGAAAAUAAAAUAAACAAAAUUCAAAAGCUAACUUAUCAAGUACAAUUUACUAAAAAUAGCAAUUAAUAAAAUUCUACCCAAAGGAUCAACUGUUCAAGCACGGUCCAAUUAAAUGAUCAUCGAUGCAAAGAUUUUUCAUUCAUCCGUCACUAGGUUGGUUAUAACUAUCAACAAGCUCUGACAACCAGUUCUUCCUUACUUUUUCCACAUUCAAGGUACGACCAUUGACUGCUUCUCUAACCAGAAAACAACCCUAGGUACGACCGUAGGAGUUUAAUUAUCCAAUUGCAUUAAAGCUAGAAGAACCCAGUCAUAACCAAUAAACACGCUAAGAGAGUUCAUUUAAACUAGAUCCUAUGUUUCCCCAACACAAAGCCAAUUAUGAUGGUUGUCACUAGUUGUCAACUAAACAAACAAUUACAGAUUCAAUUUAGUUAACGUGACAGUAGGCUAUUAGAUUAAAUUAAAUAUCCGGCCGUUGAUACUCAAUUAAUAAAAUAUCCAUGAACAAUUAAUUCAGGAAACGCAUGAAUAGUAACGAAUUGGAAGAAAUAAUGAAAAUUCGAUUAGAUCUCACAGAUGUUAUGGACCGCGCCUUUGCGUCGACCUUUGGGUAGAGGCGAAGUCUAGCCACUCCUCAUCAUAUCAAUCUCGCAUGGUUUAAUCGAUAUCAUCCAAUUAAUUACCAAGAAUUUGGGGGACACGGAAUAACGAAGAAACCGAGGAGAAAGUCUCGUUUCACUUUGCUUCGUGUCUGUACUCAAGCAAAAUGUAUAAGCCCAGGUCUCACAAAAGGCGUACGAAACAAAAGGAACAAAAACGGAAACUUCAAGUCGUCUUCCAAGGAUAGCAACCGAAGGCUACUCCCAAAUUGUCCAGAGCUAGAGCUAAAAGUCAAAAGAAAAAGACGUCUGACUGAUGGGAAAAAAAAAGAAGAAAGAAACUAAAGCUAAUCUCUUGAUUACACGUGAUUCUGGCUUUUUAGCGUUUUGAAGCCGCCGCCAGAAGCAAAGAAAAACGUCUAGGAGCAAGACUUUGUCUAGGGGUUUUAAUUCCAUGCAUCUCUGUGGUUCACGUGGAUCUCAUUUCCUAAUUGCCUCCUACUGCUACCAAUCCCGCGGGUCCGGCUUUUGGGUAUUCUUCUAGAGUUUCUGGUGUGGGCACGCCAUGAAAUAGAGAGUCUUCUGAAAAUUUGCCUCGCGAAAGCACUUUUUACACAAAUCACCUACAAUUUAUAUAAAUAUGAAAUAUGAGUAAAAUCUCAAUACUUAGCACAGUAAGUAGCCAAAAUUAUAACAAAAUAACAGUGCAGAACGUGCCCAAUAAUUGCACUAUCACUUAGCAUUAACAAUAAUUUUUAAGUAAACUCAUGGUACAAGUAUUUUUUUUCAUGAUGAUGAAACGGAGUCAAAUUGAUAAAAUACUUUAUUGUAUCCAACAAGUCGUGACUACAAUGUAUUUCUUUUUUCUAUUUUUUUUAAGUUGAUUGGAUUGUCAAUGGCGAAAUCAAAUGAGCAAUUAUUGGCCUGCGAAGAUUGAAAAGCUCAGCCCAUCUUGACCAUUGCUUUCCAAUUUCCAAGCCACAUAUAUGCAACGACUUGCAAGUCUUCAGCAAAGAGCAAGAAAAGAGUUAUAACACAGGACCAAACUGGUUAUGACUAUAUUCAUAUUUUUUUCUGAGCAAUUUAUUGAUACUUCUAGCGCCAUAGCAUUUCGUGAAAUCUCUCUAUCACAAUGUCGAUUUCAUGUUUGUCUUUCCAGAACAAUAGAUUAUGGAACAUCCAGUAGCUCGUGUAAAAAAAUUGAAAGGAAAAAAAAAACAAAUGCUGUGCACGUCCCAAUGUCUUUGGCACCUUCUGAAAGUUUUCAAUAGCGGAUUCAAACUUAACUCAAUUGUUAAAGUGUUAAUGAACCAAUUAGAGGCUAGUCAGUUUGACUGCUACAAAUUAGUUUGCCACACAAUUAGACAUUUUCAACAAAUUAGUUUGCCAAUUUGUCAGUUGACAAAAGAGCAUGAGUAGUACUUCUAGCAGUAGGUCUAACUCAUAUACAUUCAACAAAUUAUUGAGCUUUGCAAGCUAUAAAUGGGCUGACUGAUUAGGUCUCAAACUUUCUAUAUUAGGUCAGUUAUUGGAAUGAUACAUCCCAAGUUCUUCACAAGUGUUUUGAAAAGCCAAAACCAAAGUUUGGCCUUACUUAGAAUUGUAGUGACUUUAGAAAUUAAUUUGUUAUUGGAGCUUUGUUUUUUAGGGGGUUAUUGGAGCUUGCUAUAUAGGAACUUAAUUAUUGAAAGACAAGUGUUCAAACAUGUAGGUAAAGAUAUAAUUUAGUGAUUGAUAGUUGGAUUAGAUAUUAUUCAUAAGUGCAACUAGAUGUUAGUGUUUAGCUUACUAUUUGUGAUUAUUAGUUGCAAUUUUAUUGAAUCAUAAUGCCUUAAUUACAUAUUGCCCACUUGUAGUUUGCAGUCAAUAGCAGUUUACUCUCUAUUUACAUGAAAUACACAAAAUGCUUACUAAUGACCAAACAUUUUAACAACUAGGAAAAUGCACCUGCAUUGCACGUGUUUGAUCAUACCAAAACUUGUCUUACUUUUAUCUAUAUUGUGAAAGACUCAACUCAGAUUUUGCUAGAAAAGCCUUUGAUCCAUCGCAUGCCAAACAAGCAAUGCAAAACCUUUAAUCAUGCUGUAUAAGUGGCUGUAAUUCAGUAGAACAAGGAGAAGUUACUUGAUAUAUCUUAGACAGGAGCUAAAUGCUUCUCCAUUAAUCUUAGAGUUUCAGCCUUUAUUUUUAUUGCAAUUGUAGAAUCUUGAGAGCCCAGGAGGGGUGAGUUCCAAUAUUCCUUUCCAUUUUUUCAUUGGGUUAAUUAAGAUGCAUUCGAAAGAAUGAUGACAAGUCAACCUUUUGAGUGCCCUUCGAAACGAUAAAUAUAUGACAUGCUCCUUGUAAUAUUAUAAAUCAGCAAUACCCGUCCCUUUUCUUUUGGUAUCAUCCCUUUCUUAGAGGCCCUUGAUUUGGUUUUUGAGCAUCACUGCUUGUAGGAUUAAAUGUGAAAGUGGAAGUGAGAAGCAGAGUUAGUGUUAGAAAGGCUAUUUUCAUCUAGGCAUUCUAGCUGUAGAAAUGGCAAGCAAUACAAAUAACCUUCUUAUUACCCAAUGAAUCUCAAUUGGAAGAAAUAUAUUUUGGCCUUAGAUAAGCAUGGCUGGCUUACUAACCAUUUUCUUGCGUGAUUUUACACCUUUAUGUCUCUACCGUGAAAUAAGAAGCAGGCUUAAAGUCCUGAACUGUGUCCAAUAGUAAUUCUUUCAUUUGGUAGAAUUGACUCCAAAACUAUCAAAGACAUUCUUGACUUUCUUUGUAUUUCAUCGAUACAAUGUUGGUUGUAGGGACAUUGUGAAGAUUUGCGCCGAAGAUUUGGUUUACAUAAGAGGCCUAUGACCAUAAGAUUGUUUCUGCACUUUCUUUGUAAUGGUACUGCUAUCCUUCCAUACUGAUUGAAUAGUAUUAAUAAUAACUAUUGUAUUAGACAUAAUUUUAUAAUUGUAAAAAAUAUAAGUAAUGAUAUAAUCUUAGGAACACCUUUUUUAAUUCAAAUAUAUCCUUUCUCAGUAGGACAUGAAGGUAUUUCUACUAAUAUUAUGGGAAAAAUUAUUACUUUUAAAUUUUUGACUCCAAUAAAACAAAGAGAAUUACAAAUGUUACAAUCAUCCUCUAUAUAUAAAACAAUAAAUUCAAUUACUAAGGUAAAACAACAUAUAAAAUAUAUAAAGGAAGAAAAAUCUUAUUUAAAAAUUGAAGAACAAUUAAAAGAAAUAAAAAUGCAAAAAAGAAUUUUAGAGUUAGAAGAGUUAAUUAAAAAAGAAGUUUGUGCAGAAAUUCCAAAUGCCUUUUGGGAUAGAAAGCAACAUAUGAUAAAAUUACCAUAUGAAAAAGAUUUUAAUGAAAAAAAUAUUCCAACUAAAGCAAGACCUAUACAAAUGAAUAGUGGAAUUACUAGAAUUUUGUAAAAAAGAAAUACAAAUAUUAAUGGAUAAAGGAUUAAUAACCCCCUCAAAGUCACCUUGGAGUUGUGCAGCUUUGUAUGUCAUGAAUCAAGCAGAAAAAGAAAGAGGAGUGCCAAGAUUAGUUAUUAAUUAUAAACCAUUAAAUAAAGUAUUACAAUGGAUAAGAUAUCCAAUUCCAAAUAAAAAGGAUUUAUUGAAUAGAUUAUAUAACUCAAAAAUAUUUUCAAAAUUUGAUAUGAAGUCAGGAUAUUGGCAGAUUUUAAUAACCCCUGAAGAUAGAUAUAAAACAGCAUUUACAACACCCUUUGGCCACUAUGAAUGGAAAGUAAUGCCGUUUGGAUUAAAAAAUGCGCCUUCCGAAUUUCAAAAUAUAAUGAAUGAUAUAUUUAAUCCUUAUAAUUCAUUCAGUAUAGUCUAUAUUGAUGAUGUAUUAAUAUUUUCAGAAUCAUUAGAACAACAUUUUAGACAUUUAAAUAUAUUCUUAAAAAUAGUUAAGAAAAAUGGAUUAGUUGUUUCAGCAUCUAAAAUGAAACUAUUUCAAACUAAAAUAAGAUUUUUAGGACAUAAUAUAGAUAAAGGAACAAUAAAACCAAUAAAUAGAGCUUUAGAAUUUGCAAAUAAAUUUCCAGAUGAAAUAAAAGAAAAAAAUCAGUUACAAAGAUUUUUAGGAUGUUUAAAUUAUAUUGCGGAUUUCUUUCCUAAAUUAAGACAAGAAUGUUCUAUACUAUUUGAUAGAUUAAAAAAGAAUCCUAAACCAUGGACAGAAGAACAUACUCAAAAGAUUAGAUAUCUUAAAGAAAAGAUUGAAUCAUUACCAUGUUUAUGUUUACCUCAUCCUAAAGCUUUUAUGAUAGUAGAAACGGAUGCAUCAGAAUUAGGAUAUGGGGGGAUAUUAAAACAAAGAAUAGAUGAUUCAAAAGAAGAAUUAGUGCACGAUACCAUGCCAUUUUGUAAUCUUGAUAAGUAAAUCCAUCUGGAAUGAAUCUGACUGAGAAAGAUUUCUUUGAAUAAAGAGAAGUUCAUUCAUUAGGAGAACAAACUUUCAUGAUUCAAAAGAAGAAUUAGUUAGAUUUUAUUCAGGAAUAUGGUCAGGACCACAAAAGAAUUAUUCAACUAUUAAAAAAGAAAUUUUAUCUAUAGUAUUAUGUAUAUCAAAAUUUCAAGAUGAUUUAUACAAUAAAAAUUUUUUAAUUAGAAUAGAUUGUAAAUCAGCAAAAGAAGUUUUACAAAAAGAUGUUCAAAAUAUAGUUUCAAAACAAAUAUUUGCUAGAUGGCAAGCAAUUUUAUCAGUAUUUGAUUUUGAAAUAGAAUUUAUUAAAGGAGAAAAUAAUUCUCUUCCAGACUUCUUGACAAGAGAGUUUUUACAGGGAAAUGGAACGUGAAACCCACAAAGAAUAUAUUCGAAGAUUACGAGCUGAAAGAGACAAUCCUCUUCUUCAAAGAAAAGAUUCAAAUAUUUCCCAUAGACAUUUCACCUAUUAUAUUAAAAUCUCUGAAAGAGAAAUUCAACCCAUUCCCUAUCAUCAAAUUCGAAACCAUGAUAUAGUACAUAUUAGACAUAGCUAUUGGUCUGCCACUACUCCAAAAGAACAAGUUUUUCUUUUCAAAAGACAAAUCAAUUCCUAUAUCAUUUUCAAAGACGUCCUCAAAAAAGCCGGUCACUAUCAAGAGGAGAUUCAAUACUAUAACAACCAAAUCCAACAGCUUCGAGAGAAACUCAAUAAAAUUAUUUGUUAAUUUUGGAGGAUCAUGGAUUCAAAAGGAGGAAACUCUAGACCAAAACUCCUCAAGACUAUGAGAUGAGUAUUACUCCUGUAACUCAAAAUAGAUUCCAAUUAUUGCAAGAUUUUCAAGAUAAAGUCUUGAACUGUGUCCAAUAGUAAUUCUUUCAUUUGGUAGAAUUGACUCCAAAACUAUCAAAGACAUUCUUGACUUUCUUUGUAUUUCAUCGAUACGAUGUUAGUUGUAGGGACAUUGUGAAGAUUUGCGCCGAAGAUUUGGUUUACAUAAGAGGCCUAUGACCAUAAGAUUGUUUCUGCACUUUCUUUGUAAUGGUACUGCUAUCCUUCCAUACUGCUGAUGUUUAUAUUCACUAGAAAAUAAAUAAAUAAAUAUCACGUGCACUGCAUGUGUAUAAUUUAUAAAAUAAUUUUAAAAACUGAAUUAGGAAAUUUUGUAGUAUUUAAAGAAGUGUUCUUGUAGGACGAGAAAAUGUUAUAGGACAGAAGUCAUUUGAGUUGGGUAGCUUUUGAUAUGUCUUCUAUUUCUUUCUUUUAGAUAAAAUAGCACAAACAUCCUACACAUUUUGCCAAAGAAUUUUUUUGUCCUCAAAUUUAAAAUGCUAAUAUUAAAUUCCUAACAAAAAUAAACCAGUCCAAUUUGGACCAAACCUCUAACUCCAACCAUCUUUUGUCAUGAAAGCACACUUCUGUUAGCAAUAAGUUAUCCAGAAGUCCCUUGAAGCCAUUUUGAAAACAUCCAAUUUUACUUUAUUCUCCUUCUGGCUUUAGAAUGAGUAUCUAUUCACUCUCAAACACAAAGGUUCAAAGUUCUUCACCAAAACAUGCUUCAUUUAUGCCGGAUUUUGCCAAAUAAUCAUAUAACCAAUGCCUUCAGAUUACCUUAUUCUUUACAGGCAAACUGAAAGAGAUUUAGUUUCGGAUUAUUUGGUUGUCAACUCAUGUUCACAUGACAAAUCCUAUAACUCGCAUAAGAAACAAAAAAUCAAGAGGAGUAUUUUGACUCUUUGGAACAUGAUGAUUUUAAGUUAAUAUAAUUAUUUAUGUGAAUCGACAACUAUCUUAUUAUAAGUUUAGUUGAUACCCCAAUAGAGGUUCUGGAUUUGAAUUCCUCUUUCUCCUCUCUAUUUCUUAAAUCUCAGUUCUCUCCUAAUACAAAAUUUUAAAAAAUGUUUCAUAGUUAAUUCUGUGGACAAAUCAAAGUCACCACCUUUAAUAUCAAUCCAAAAUAUUCCAAAUUCAUAAAAUGGUAUUUAACUUUUAAUGACCUUCAAUUGAUUGGUUAUCGUUUGGAUAGGUUAAGUAAACUUGCUCAAAUAUAGGGUUAAGGCUAAAUUGUAAAACAAACAAACAAACACGUUCUUCAAUUUUUUUUUUCCUUUUCUAAGCAUGGCGCUAACAUUAUUAAUGAAAGAAAUUAAAAGAGAGUGUGAAUAAACAAAAAGUAAAAAAAAUUUGUACCAAUAUAAUUAAAAUCUAAGAUUUGUCUAGCAAUAGCUCAAAGUGUGAUAAAAUGUGUACAUCAUUCAAAAACUACUUUUUUUUCGUGGAAGAUGGAUCCUAAAAUAAUAAUAGAAAUUUAUAUUAGAAAAUGAAUGAUAUAUGGAUAAAAAUGAAUGUAAUCAUGAUCUUUAGUUUUGUGAAUGAUUAUGAGAGUAAGAUACGUUAUAAGAGUUAGAUAUGUAGAAUUGUGGGAAUAGUGGAAAUUAUAAUGCAAACAAGCUCCUAAAAUUUGGAUAUGUGUUUUUCACAGUAGUGAGUUCCUUAAAUUAUGAGUUGGUUAUUACUAUGAGUCAUGUGGUAAGUGUCAGACGUGGUUUACAAUUUGCAGAUGUGAUUUUGCAGGAGUAGUUAAUAUCUAUUAGUUAAAAUUAUGGAAUUAUGAUUUUAUAAGUUAGUGAGUCACGUAAAUUGUAAAAGUGAAAAAGGGAUACUGAGAAGCAAUAAGGAUUACUGAGUUACAAUAAAUCUAAAAUUGUAGAGGGUCAUUGUUAAAACUUUUCCCUCCAAUACAUAUAGAUAUAGAUACAGAUUUUAAGCUAAAAAAUUCUCUGGAUUGAACUAACUCUAAUAUGGGCUGGUUUAUGAUUAUCAUAUCGUUAACUUAGCAUUGUAGAGAUAAAAAUCAUCUACCUUAAUCAAUCCCCGUAGAAAUCAUAAAUUUUCGAAAUAAAAAAAAAUUCUUUUUCACGGUAUACCUUUUAAGUGUCAAGCUUUGUAUAAUCUCAUUAUUAUGUCAAAGCAAGCACACGAAGAAGGAAGAAAAACAGAUUCCAAUUCUCAAAUCAAAAGGUUCAAAAUUCAUAAACAAGUAAUACGCAUGUAACCAUGGUGCCAAUCAAAUUAUUCAGUCAUGAAUAUAAUCAAUAGAUUAAAAUACAACAUUAAAAUAUUCAAGGAACAACAUUAGAGAGGUUUUGAAUCAUACAAGUUUUCACUUUAGAUAUAAUUGUGGUAUUCUGAUCAAUCAAUCAGUGAUGAGUCUUCAUCCAGCAUUGCAGCCAGAUUUUUUCUUUUUUGAAGUUCUCUAUUUCAAUGACGUUUGCUCGGAUCUUAAUAGACUCUAAACUCUCUAAGUAAUUUGACUUCUAGUUUAAAUCAUCUAUGUUAUAAAACAAUAGCUUGUCUUCCGAUUUAAUAGAGUCCAAAUUUAGUUCUACUUCUUAUCAAGAUGCAAUUAGCGAGUGGAAGGAUUCGGCCAUUAUUUGAUACGUUAACAUUUGUAAUUAAAAAUUUUUGGUUUGACAGGAGACAGGAACUAAAAGUGCAGGAGUCAUUUAAUUCACCCAUAUUUAUUGAAUAUAAUUUAUAUAGACUUUUAUAGAUAUAGAUAUAGAUAUAUUGAGUAAGGACUAAUAUCAUCCAAGAGACUGUUAUAGAGUACAUAUAUAUAUAUAUAUAUAUAUAUAUAUAGAUUGGUCAAUGGUCACAAAUUUGCCCCUGCAAUCGUAUGAGUUUUAUCUUUUAAUUUUCAUUCUUGUAUUUUUUUCCUCUUUCUUUCUGUCUUGUUCCUUUUCUUCUUCAUCUUUUAAUGUCGCAAUACUUUUUAUUUUCUCUUAAUAUGUGCAUAUUCAAAAUAAAACUUUUGAUUGGCUAUAGCUCAUUCAAUUUGUUGUAUGCUCUGGUUUUUCAUUUCUUGUUAGGAAAUUGGCUUCAUUUCUUCUAGGUAGAAUUCUUAUUUUGUGUGGAAGUAACUAGUUUCCUAAUUGGUUUUAGUUACUUGAAGUAGUAAUCAAGUAAAGCCCUAUUUAGCUGGAUGUUAUUUCCUACUCUAUAUGAGUUUAGGAAAUAGUAUUGGUUUCCAAUUGUUAUUUGGUUUUUUUGCCAGUAAUAUUAUCUAUAAAUAGGUGGGUUGACAUACUACAUAAAGUACACACAAAGACACACAAGGAGACACAAAGGGCAUCAUGUAGCCUUAUACAUGGGGUGUGAGAGAGGGUUCUUGGGAGAUGAGAUAUGGUAUACAAGAGUUGGGUUUGGGUUCAAGUUAUAUUCUUGUAUAGGGUUUUCCUCUCAUAAUAAAUAACAUGUUUCUCUCUGUGGACGUAGGCUCAAUGGUGGAGUCGAACCACGUUAAAUGUUGUGUGUCGUUUAUCUUUCAUGCUUGUGGCUUGUUUCUCAUUAAAUUGUUAUACACUUGAUAUCUCAAUAGUUAUUUGUUCCGCACCUGGAUCCUAACAUUUCUUUCUACAAAACUCCAAAACCAAAUACAGGGAGUUUGUGUGCAAGAGUCUUGGGAUGGAGAGGAAAUCAACAGACGAGGCAUAAAAGGGGACAAGAAUUCAACAUCCCUUCGGCUAUAACCACGCAAGACUAUUAACUUUUGUUAAGAAUAUUUCUACGAUAUUAGCUUUUCAGGGUGUAAUUUUUUCCUUAAAAGCCCUAUGUCUAGACAUGGCAUGGGUGUAGAUUUUGUAUCUCUAAAUAUUGGUUUCCACUUAAUUGCUAAUAUCCUUUUGGACUUGAUAAUUUCUAGAAUUAUUUGUCUGGAGAAAUGGAAUUUCAUGGCAUGCAAUUUCACUUGGAGACAGACCAUUUGUACAAAAUUAAAAGACAAAUAAUUAAUAGUUGUGUUUAAUCAUCCAACUUGUGAGUUGGGAAACAAGUUGAAGCCGUAUCACUACUGGUGAAUCAAAAUUUGGAUAGAUCCGAUUUUCAAAAAUUCAGUGAUCUAAACUGCACCAUACCACUUCAUGAGAUGGUGUGACACAAUUUUAAAGAUUGAAUUUUUAAAAACCAGUCGGAGUGAUGAUGGCAAUGACCUGAUGAAGAUCAAAUUGAUCAGUUGUUGAUGCUGUUGUGGCCCUUGUACGUUUCAAUUAAUUGGAUCAUUUAAUUAGUUAAUUGGGCCGAGGGAUUAUAGCAAACUCUUGGGUUGUUUUUGUUGGACUGGGCCAAGUUCAGAAAAAGAAAAGAAACAUGUGUUUAUAUAUUUAUAUAUACACAUACUUAUAUUUGUAUACAUACAUACAUAUAUAUAUACACAUACAUACAUCUAUAUAUAUGUAUGUAUGUAUGUCUACACACAUGUGUAAACCUGUUGUAAAAACUUAAAAGAGAAACACGUGAUAAUAUAUACACAUGUAUAAACCUGCUGUAUGUGUCUAUUUAUAGAUUACUGGUAUUGUUAAUAACUUAAUAUUCAUGUUAGCUAUAUUGUAUUAUCGUGUAUUGUUCAUUAGUAUUUUCUCAAAUAUUAUACAUUACUAUAAAAAGCCAACAUUUCAUCUUGCCGUCCACGCCAAAAUAGAAGAAGCUAGAUUAUCUAAAAUAGCACACCACCAUCCCGCAUCAUUUCUAAAAAAUUUAAGACAAGCAAAAGUAGAUUUACUUUGGCAUAAAUACUCUGAAUUAAAAUCAAUAGAAAGACAAAAAUUAGAAGAACAAGAAAAAUAUAAAAAUAAAAGGAAUUUUUGUAAUAAAGUUUGUAGAACAUCUGAUUAACAUUUGAUUAAUCACGUAAGACUUUAAUUGGAGCCGUAAAAGUCCAACCACUAGAGUGUAGUCCAACAUAGUCCAACAUAGUGUAGUCCAACAUAGUCCAACAUAGUGUAGUCCAACAUAGGUCUUUAAUUGGAGCCGUAAAAGUCCAACCACCAGUUUUUUGGUAUCAAAGCUUGCCUUCCCGGUGAGCCUGAUUCCUUAAAGUCAAAGAUAGAUAAAAGAUUAGAAUACUUAGAUCUAGAAAUAAAAAAUAAAUCUAGGAAUAUAAUAACUUUAGAUAAUCAUAAGCAUAUUUGUUAUUUUCAGAACACCUAUAAACAUACCUUACAUAGUAAAGAAGAUAAAAAUUAUAAUAGCCUUAUUGAUCUAGUAAUAUCUUUAGGGGAGUCUUUAGAGAAACAUAAAGAAAAUAAUUCUCGGAUAAUAGAAAAUUUAUUAGAAUCAAUAAAAAAUAAAAAUAAAGUAAUAAAGACGCUAGUAGAAAAUCAGGAUUACUUAAAGGAACAAAAUAAUAAAAUAAUAAAAAGAAUAAAAUAUUUAGAAGAACUAAAACAAUUAAAAAUAGAACAUAAAAUUAAUACAGAAAAAAUAACUAAAGAAGUAUUAGAAGAGAUAAGACAAAAAUCUGUAGAAUUAAAACAAUCUUACAAUCAAGUAGAAGUACUAUUACAUAAAAUAGAAAAAAUCAUAUUAAGUUGAUAUAUGAGUAGUAAUAGUAAUAAGCCACUUCCCUCACAUUAUGUCUUUUAUCCAGAUUAUCUAAAAACAUUAGAAGAAUUAAAAUAUUACCAUCAAGACUCGUUAGGAUUAACAGAUUAUUCAGGAGCUAGUGCAUCAGAUAAAAUAUAUCCUAAACAAAAUAACGCUAUAAUAGCAUUAUUAAUAUCCUUACAUAAAAAAGUAGAUACAAUAACAGAAAAGGUCAGAGUCCUACAAAUAGAUAAGUUUGAAAAAGAUUUGGAAGAAAUAACGGACCAAUUUAAAAGAUUACCUGUAACAAAGAAAGAAAGUAAACCACAUCUUAGUAAUAUAUUUUCAGUAAAUCCUAAACCACAAAAAUUUUAAGAUGGCCAGUAGAACAUCAUUUUCAGGACCUAGUAGAACAGUCAACGAAAACACACAAGUAGGAACUAGUGUAUUAAAUAUAGGGAGACAAUUAAGAAGGAGUAGGAGCAUGCAUUUAGAAGAAGCAAUAGACGUCGAUAGAGACUUGGAAAUAUACAGGAAUAAUGAAAUAAGUUUAUUAAACCCAAGAACCUUGUACUCAGUAGGAUUUCUUAGAAGUAAUACAGGAUUAUUUAGGCAAAGCAGAGAAGAACCUGUAAGCGCAUUAAGUAACCCCGUAAAUCUUAGAAUGAUAACACAACAAAGCAUAAACCAAAUCAGAAGACAGUAUACAUAUAUGCAUAUAGGAUUAAUUGUUAUAGGAAUAAAAGGACUAACAAGAAAAGGAUUGGGGAAAAAAGUAUUAUUAGCAGUAUUAGACAAGAGACAUAAAAAAGUAGAAGAUGCAUUAAUAGCCAGUAUAGAAGUAGAUAUGAAUCAAAACGGAGGAAUAUUUUAUUGCAGCCCAGAUUUUAUGAUAACCUUAGAAGAUAUAAAAAAUUUAGAAAUAGGAAUACAAACUAAAGGAUAUGAAAAUUUUCAAGGAGAUAAUUUAACAAUAAGUAUCGGAUUUAUAGGAAGAUUAACAAAUAGUAGUAAGACCAGAUAUAAGGUAGAAAUAAAGCCAAUAGUAGAGGCUAUGGCAAGUAAAGGAAUAAAAUUAAUAAAACCAAUAGAAGUAAGUUCAGAAAACUUGGCAGGAGAAGAAUGGGAGAUUAGUAAAUUUGUAGAAGAAAAUAAUCCAAUAAUACCAAAGGAUAGUAUAAUAUAUAAAAAUAGUCAAGGAAAAACAAGCCUUAGAUUUUUCAAUUAUGAACCAACAGCUUUAGGAACAGAUAAUGAAGAAAUAGACAAAUCUGACAUAGAAUCAGACCUUAUCGAAAUAAAUUUAUUAGAAGAAGAAUUAAUAGAAAUAGAUCAUAGGAUUCUUUAUCCAAAAGAAUUAAAAAUGAAUUUAACAAAAAAAGAGCUAUUUGAUUUAGAAAGAAAAUUGGAAGCAAAUGGACAAAUAGCAUUAAACGAAGUAUUAUACUAUGAUAAUAUAGGAAAUAUUAGGGUGAAAAUAGAAGAAGAUAAUUCUGAAGAAGAUAAUUUAGAAGUAGCCAGCAUAAUGUCAUAUAGAGAAUUAAUGGACCAACAACAACAAAGUGGUGAAAGUAGUAAUAGGUCAACAGAUAUGCAGACUGAUACUAGUCAAACAGGAAAUGUUAGAACAUAUGAACCAGGACAACCACCUAGAAUAGUCUAUAAUGAAUAUAGAGAACCAGAGGAAAAAUAUAGUUCUAGGGGAAAAAGAAGACCAUUAGAAUUAGAAAUAAAAGAGCAUUCAGUAGAUGAAGGAAAAACUUUAAUGUUAACAUCUUACGAUCCACAAAUGAUAGAAGAUGUAAUAGGAAGCUGGAAAGCUAGAGUAGUAAGAAAUUAUAUACAAAAAGGAUUCGAUCAUAACGUAAUAGAGAUGUAUACAUAUUUAGAAACAUUUUUAGGAGGAGUAGCAAGAGCAGCAUGGGAAGCAUUUAAACAAAAAUUCCCAGAUAGGUUACAACAAGAUCAGGCACAUGGAGUCAAUCCCAUGAAUUUUGUUAAUCGAGUAGAAGAAAUUCUGUUAGCAACAAGUCCAAAUAGAGGAGGAGUAAUGACACAGAUAGAAUCGGUAAGAAAACUAGAACAAUUAUCAAUUAGAAACUGGAAAUAUAUUAAACCUUUUUUACAAGACUUUUUAUAUAGUUGUUUAGCAGGAUGUUUUUAUGAUGAAGGAAUAAUAGAAAAAUUAUUUGCAAAAUUACCAGACGAUUUAGGAAAGAAAAUAUAUACCUUAUACAAAGCAACGCCUAUGGAACCAACAUUAAAAAAUGUAAGUACGGCAGUAAGAUUUAUAAUCAAUAGACUAGUAGAAGAAUGUACUUUUAUAAAAAUACAAAGACAAUUAAAAGGAGAAUAUAGUUUUUGCUCAGAAAUAUACACACCACAAAAAUAUGGAGAAAAAGAUAAAGAUAAAAGAAAAUAUAGAAAGCCUUAUAAAAAUUAUAAAAGAUACCCUAGAAAACAAUAUUAUCUUAGGAAAAGCAAAGCUAGAAAACCAUUUCUCAAAAAAGAACACCAUGUUAGAAGAUAUAGACCAGAAAGAACUUAUGGAAAUAGAUUAUCUUGUUUUAUUUGUAAACAACCAAAUCAUUUAGCAACAAAUUGUCCACAAAAACAUAACUCUUUUAAUAGAGAAGCCCACUUAAUAGAAUUAUUUUCGGAAGAUUUAAUAGAAAUAGAUGAUAAUAUACUAGAGACAGAAAGUAUUUAUAGUAUAGUAUCUGAAGACUUAAAUUUAACAGAUUUUAUAGAACAAGAAGACACAAGUUUUAUAGAUGAAAUUUUAGAAAAAUCAGAAAACAAAACUAUCAUGGAUAAUAUAUAUUUAGAAGAAAUGAAAGAAGAUUUUAAAAUGUUAGAAGACUUAGAACUAGUUGAAGUAGAGUGUAUCCAUAAAUGGGAACAUAGAAAAGGAAAUUAUAGUAAACCAUGUUAUAACUGUAAUAAAUAUCCGUCAAUAGAAUUAAGGUUUCAAUGUCAGCUAUGUUAUAUAGAAGGAUGCAAAUACUGUUUAGAAAAACUUGCACAGGAAUAUGUUUUAAUAGAAAAUAUUAAAAAAGAAAAAACUGAAGAAAAUCUGCCUUUAGAACAUUAUUUAGAAAGAAGGAUAAGAAUUUUAGAAAAUAAGGUUGAACAUUUAGAGCAAAAAAUAGAAAAAUUAAAUAAGGGAAAAACAAUAGAAAGCGAAGUAUCUAUUGAAAACAUAGAUCUAGAAAUCUUUCCAGAAAUAGAAGAAAUAAAACAUAAUUAUGAUCUAGAAUUAUUACAAGCAGGAACAUCAAAUAUAACAUCCAUAGAAGUAAAAACUCGAAUAAAAAUAGGAGAUUUUGAAACACAAUUAUUAGCAGUAAUAGACACAGGAGCUAGUAAUAUAGUAAUCCAACAAGAGUUAAUUCCAGAAAAAUAUUAUGAGAAAGCAUACCAUAUUAGAACAGCUAGACAAAUGGAUGGAAGUACAUAUACAUAUGACACAGCAUUACAUAAUUCUUUAUUAUUUUUUGAAAUAGAUAGCAUACACUGUACACAACCAUAUCCUGUAACAGAAAUAUAUAUUAGAAGUUUUCCUUAUCAAAUGAUAUUAGGACUAUCAUUUAUUUUACAGGCAUAUCAUGGCAUGAUUCUUACUAGAACAGGAUUAACAUUCCUUAGAGAACAUUUUUUACCAUAUAAUACUUUUUUAACAAGCAAUAAAUUUAAAAUAAAUAAAGAUAAUAAAUUUACAAGACUCUUAGGACUAGAAGAAAAAGAUAAUUGUAAAUGUGAUAUAAAAGGUAGCUGUAAGAAUGAUUCAACCCAAGAAUAUAGGGGGAAGAAUCAGAAAACUAAUUCUUUUGACAAUAUGGAGAUGACUGGAGAAAGGCCUUUAUAUUCGUCACAAAGAAUUCAAAACUGUUUAGAAGACAAAGAAUUUGAAGAAUAUUUAGAGAUAGAAAAUUAUGACACAAUAGAAACUAUUUUAAAUAAUGAAAAAUUAUAUGAUCUGUUAGAAACAGGACAUAGAGAUAUAGACCAACUAAUAAGUGAAUUAGAAAAAUUAGAAAUUUUUGGAGAAAAUCCAACUAUUCAUUGGGAUAAGGACAAAACAGAAUGUAAGUUAGAUAUUUUAAAUCCAAAUUUAAAAAUUAGCACAGCAAAAAUAGAAGCUAGUAAUGAUGAUAUAAAAGAAUUCGAAAUGCAUAUAGCUGAUCUAAAUAAGUUAAAAAUAAUUAGAAGAAGUACUAGUCCACACAGAAGUGCAGCAUUUAUAGUUAAAAAACAUAGUGAAAUAGUUAGAGGAAAAAGUAGAAUGGUAAUAAAUUAUAAAAGAUUAAAUGACAAUACUAAAGAAGAUAGCUAUGAUAUACCAGAUAAAAAUGAGUUAAUAAAUAGAAUCCAAUAUAGAUAUAUUUUUAGUAAAUUUGAUUGUAAGUCAGGAUUUUGGCAGGUAAAAAUGCAUAAAGAAAGUAUAGAAUGGACAGCUUUUACAUGUCCUUUAGGACACUAUGAGUGGCUAGUAAUGCCUUUUGGGUUAAAAAAUGCACCAGCCAUAUUUCAAAGAAAAAUGGAUAAUAUUUUUAAUAAAUAUAAAGAUUUUGUCAUAGUAUACAUAGAUGAUAUAUUAGUAUUUUCAAAAAACAAAGAAGAACAUGUAAGCCAUCUAAAAUUAGUUUUCUCAGAAUUUAUUAAACACGGAAUAAUAAUCAGUAAUAAAAAAGCACAAUUUUUUAGAAAAAAUAUAGAAUUUUUAGGAACAGAAAUAGGACAAGGAAAAAUAAAAUUACAACCACAUAUUUGUAAAAAGGUUUUAGAAUUUCCAGAUAAGAUAGAAGAAACAAAGAAACUUCAACAAUUCUUAGGAUUAUUAAAUUAUGCAAGACCUUUUAUUAAAAAUUUAAAUAAUCUAGUAGCACCAUUGUAUAAUAAAACCUCUUUAAAAGGGCAAAAAUUCUUUAAUAAAGAAGAUGUCAAACUAAUACAAGAAAUUAAACAAACAAUAGGCAAUUUACAUGAUCUAAAAUUACCAUUAGACACAGAUUACUUGAUAAUAGAAUGUGAUGGCAGUAGUACCGGAUGGGGAGCAGUUCUUUUUGCAAAACCAAACAAAUAUAGUAAUAAAAACAAUGAACAAAUCUGUAGAUACGCUAGUGGUAAAUAUAAGGAAAAAGGCAAUAGAAGUAGCAUAGAUAAUGAAUUAUUAGCAGUAAAAUAUAGUUUGGAUAAUUUUAGACUCUUUAUAAUCAACAAAUCUGAAAUAACUAUUAGAACAGACUGUGAAGCAAUAAAAAAGUUUUUUGAUAAACAUAAUGAAAAAAGAAGUUCUACUAGAAGAUGGUUAAAUUUUGUAGAUAGUAUUAUUGGUAAUGGAUAUAAAGUAGUUUUCGAACACAUUAAAGGUAAAGAUAAUAAUUUAGCAGAUUUUUUAUCACGACUUUUUAACAAUUCUUCUGAUCUCUUAGCAGAUGGCAUAUAACUUCCAGAAAGUCAAAAUUGGCCAGUGGGAACUUACAAAGUACCCUAAAGGUACAAGUCUACAUUUCCAUAGCCAAGAGGAAGGUAAUUUAGAAGACAUCCAGCAGGAUAUCUUAAAUAACCUCUGGAAUAGCAGAAAUAGCACUGAUAAAGUUAGAAAUCUUAAUAUCUUAGCAUUUUAUUUUAGUAAUCUUCCAAAACAAAGUUUUUCAUAUUAUGUAGUGGUAAAAGAAAAAAAACCUGGAAUCUAUUCCAAAUGGAUUUCUGUUAUAGAACAAAUAAAUCAUUUUCAUAAUCCUUUAUGGAAAGCAUUUCAUAGCAUACAUGAAGCACUAGAAUUCGCUAGGCAUAAUAUAGGAACAACAUUUUAUGUAGAUCCUAAGGCUAGCAUGGAUAGCAUGAGGGUGCCAGUAUAUCAAAAUACAGAUGCCCCUAGUAGCAGUAGAAAUUAUCAAUAUGCAUUAGAAAAAGAUAAUACAAAUAGAAUAGAAUUUUGUAGACAUUGUAAGAGCAUGGAGCAAGCUAUUAGAAGUUUAAAUUUAAAGUGUAGAAAUUUUGAAGAGGAAGAUCUUUCUCAAAAAGAAAAGAUAAAAUCUUUAACUGAACAACUCAAAGAAAUGUAUAAGAUCUCCGGCUCACAGGGAGGUACUAUUCUCUCACAAAUUUCUGAGAUUGGGGAGCUCAAAGGAAGGCUGUCUCAUACAGCAUCUCAAAUGGCCAGUUCUUCAUCCGGCCCAAUAAAACAGACAAUUUUUAUAAAAGAAAAGCCCCUUUCAGAAAGACCAUUUGAAUUUCUUAAGCCCAGAAUAUCCUUUAAACCAUAUCACCUACUUAGUUUCCUCCCUUUACAUAUCCAAGAAAUUAUUAGCCAAAAAGCCCAAGCCCAAUAUUAUUCAAAAUUAAUGGCAGUCCAACAAUACUUUUAUGAAAUAGCAAAAAGACCCAAUUAGAAAUACAGCAGCCAUUAGACUACAUCCAUCUUUCUUCAUCGACCCAGAAAAACAUUGCCCAAACAAUCCAGAAGCCUGUGACCACCAGAAAAUAAAUAGCCAUUGUAUACAUACACUCAGUCAUUUUUUCCUCAGAGCAACUAUUAUCUUAUCAAAAUAUUCAUCCCCAAAGAUACUAAGGGUAAAUGGGGAAAGAGUUAUUUUAACACCACAAUUUCUUAUGGAUGCCGGAUUUCUGGAAAAAAUUAUUGUUACAAAUCCAGAAGAUACUCAUUGUCUUGGAACUUAUCUCGGAUACUUCAUCAGAAAAAUGUUAGACUAUGGACAGUGGGCAACUGUACAUAUCAAAUCCGCGCCAGCAGAAUGGAUAGGACUUUUUGAUAUAGAACCAGCAAUACAUAGAAUGAUGAUUACAGUCAGCAAUAUACCACCAGCAAGGAGAACGACAGAAGAACUAGAAAAAAUCAGCAGCAGUCUAGUGGAAUGUCCAUUAGAAUUAAAAGAACAAUUGAUAAAUGCUAAAAUGAUCCAAUUAGCUUACAGACAUUUCAUAGAUCAAUGGGAACAUGGGAUUAGAUUAGUAUAUGAAAAUAAGAUACAAAAGAUAUAUGUCCCAUACAGGUUUAAGUUAGAAAAAGAUUUCACUAUAAGCACCAAUUAUCCAGAAGUUUUUGAAAAAUAUUUAGAAGGAUAUUAUAUGAGCUCAGGAGCAAGGCAUUUGGAUAUAGAAGCAGAUGAAGAAUAUAAUGAUGAUCAUUAUUGGGAAACAAUGGGACCAGAAGAAAUGAGCAACAUCGAGAAUAUGAUGGAAGGAUAAUUCUUCGGCCAUCUUGUCCAAAGCUAUAUGUAUAGAUUGGUCAUAAAGCUUUUAUUGUAUAGUUUGGCCAAAUUACUUUUUGUAUAGGACGGCCAUAGAACUUUUUAGCCUUUAUUAGCUGACAGCCACAUUGUAUAGAUAGGCAAUAUUGAUUUGAUGUUUUUACGGAUUUCAGUAGGCUUUAAGUCCGUAAAAGUUUACAUCCACGGACUUUUAGUAAAAAAUUUUAAGUCCGCACAGUUUACAUAAGAAGUCUAUAAAGGCAUACGUCCCAAACCAAUGUUGGGUACGAUGCACUUACAUCCUGUAAAUUAAAGCAUUCAAUAACAAACUCCAAUUUCAUACGUUCUUUAGCAGUUUUUUACAAGACUUUAGCUCUCUCAUAUUGCUAGCAUAAGACGAAAGAGAAAUAAGAAAGUAGAGAUUUAGGCAGCCAACCCUAGAUUAGAUCCAAACAACCGGAAACUCUGAAAAAGAUACCUUGUUUUUAGGAUCCUAAAAGACCAAAAGACGGUGUAGUACCCAUUAAAGCCUUUCAGUUACAAAGCAGGCGCCAGGGGAAGAUCCGGUGAGGCAAAACUCCUAAUCACAAGAUUCCCAUUUUCACAGCAUCAGAAGGAAAAUUUGGAUUUAAAGCAAGGAAGGUAAAAUCUCAGUUAUCUUUCUUAAAGUAUCUAGUAGUCAUCAAUUUCUUAAAUUCCAGUUAAUCAUCCUGAUAUUUUAUAUGAAUUUUGAACCGCCUUUUCAAUUUACAUCCACUCCAGAAAACGCAUACAGAUUAGCAUUACAAAGCCUCAGACAACCAGAUACCUAUUAUUAUUUUGACAAAAUUUUAGAGGAAAUUGAAACAACAGACCAGUGUUUAGCACAUAUACAAAUAGAAGAAGCUAGAUUAUCUAAAGUAGCACACCACCAUCCCGCAUCAUUUCUAAAAAAUUUAAGACAAGCAAAAGUAGAUUUACUUUGGCAUAAAUACUCUGAAUUAAAAUCAAUAGAAAGACAAAAAUUAGAAGAACAAGAAAAAUAUAAAAAUAAAAGGAAUUUUUGUAAUAAAGUUUGUAGAACAUCUGAUUAACAUUUGAUUAAUCACGUAAGACUUUAAUUGGAGCCGUAAAAGUCCAACCACUAGAGUGUAGUCCAACAUAGUCCAACAUAGUGUAGUCCAACAUAGGUCUUUAAUUGGAGCCGUAAAAGUCCAACCACCAGUUUUUAUAACUAUUAGAACAGAUUGUGAAGCAAUAAAAAAGUUUUUUGAUAAACAUAAUGAAAAAAGAAGUUCUACUAGAAGAUGGUUAAAUUUUGUAGAUAGUAUUAUUGGUAAUGGAUAUAAAGUAGUCUUCGAACACAUUAAAGGUAAAGAUAAUAAUUUAGCAGAUUUUUUAUCACGACUUUUUAACAAUUCUUCUGAUCUCUUAGCAGAUGGCAUAUAACUUCCAGAAAGUCAAAAUUGGCCAGUGGGAACUUACAAAGUACCCUAAAGGUACAAGUCUACAUUUCCAUAGCCAAGAGGAAGGUAAUUUAGAAGACAUCCAGCAGGAUAUCUUAAAUAACCUCUGGAAUAGCAGAAAUAGCACUGAUAAAGUUAGAAAUCUUAAUAUCUUAGCAUUUUAUUUUAGUAAUCUAUUCCAAAUGGAUUUCUGUUAUAGAACAAAUAAAUCAUUUUCGUAAUCCUUUAUGGAAAGCAUUUCAUAGCAUACAUGAAGCACUAGAAUUCGCUAGGCAUAAUAUAGGAACAACAUUUUAUGUAGAUCCUAAGGCUAGCAUGGAUAGCAUGAGGGUGCCAGUAUUUUAUAUAUACACAUACUUAUAUUUGUAUACAUACAUACAUAUAUAUAUACACAUACAUACAUCUAUAUAUAUGUAUGUAUGUAUGUCUACACACAUGUGUAAACCUGUUGUAAAAACUUAAAAGAGAAACACGUGAUAAUAUAUACACAUGUAUAAACCUGCUGUAUGUGUCUAUUUAUAGAUUACUGGUAUUGUUAAUAACUUAAUAUUCAUGUUAGCUAUAUUGUAUUAUCGUGUAUUGUUCAUUAGUAUUUUCUCAAAUAUUAUACAUUACUAUAAAAAGCCAACAUUUCAACCGGACUUGUGUCUAAAUUUGCUAGGCACCAAAAAUAACACUUUCCCUACCACUUAAAUGGUCAGUGGUGUCUAAAUUUUAAUAAAAUUAUGAUAUUUUAUUCCAAAAAAAAAAAGAAAAAAGUGGUGUGCUAUUUUUUUUUAUUAAGUAGAGAAUUUUGUUACUCAUUGUUUAAGGUAGCCAAGCUUGGUCGCUUGACUCUUAUAUGCUACGUAGGCUUGGAGGUUGGGGCCUCGUCGCUCAUCUUGAAUAGGAAAAUCAGAAACUUUCCUUCCAAUCCCAGAGAGGUAUGUGGCGUACUUUGGUACUUCAAAUAUGGCUGCCUCCAACACCGGGUUUGUUAAGGUGAAUGUAGAUGCAGCUUUAAGUACAGCAAAAGGGAGAGUAGGAUGGGGAGUGAUUGCAAGGCGAGCAGAAGGAGGGAUCCUGAAAGCUUGGGCUGGCAGUGGAGAAAGAUACACUGAAGCCAUGGUGGAGGAAGCACAUGCAAUUCGAAUAGCACUUAUUAAAGCUGGAACAAUGGGCUGGAGAAAGAUUGAAAUCCAAUCAGAUUGUAAGGGAGUCGUGGAAAAAAUCAAGACAGGUUGCAGGAAGGAUCCGAAGAUUGGAGCAAUGAUAGAAGAUAUUCUUAGGUUGGGAACUGUGUGAGGCAACCAUUACCCAACUUUUGCUAAUCAUUAUAUAUAAAUAUAUAUGUAAUCAUUAUAUAAAUAUAUAUAUAUAUAUAUAUAUAUAUAUAUAUACACAACACAUAAUACAUACAUAUAUUUAUAUAUAUAGAUAUGUAUAUAAACACACAUAUGUAAACCUGUUGUAAAAACUAAAUGGAGAAGCAUGCGAUAAUAUAUAGACACAUAUAAACCUGCUGUAUGUGUCUAUUUAUAGAUUAUUGGUAUUGUUAAUAACUUAAUAUUCAUGUUAGCUAUAUUGUAUUAUCCUGUACUGCUCUUUAGUAUUUUCUCAAAUCAUUAUAUAUUACGAUAAACAACCAAUUUUUCAACAUCCUACGAAAGGACUUGUAUAAUGAGUUUACUUAAGUACUAUUGUUAAUGUUACGGUAUUUCAAUUUAUAAUUCUUGUGGAGUUCAGGGCAAUUGUGUUUGAUUUGUUGGAGACUUUCUCACAUUGAUUUUAUAGAAAAAUUAAUUUUUUGGCAAAAUAAUCCAAAACGUAUAUCAUUUCUUGGCGUUUUGUGGCUUUUAGAAGUACAAAAUUUUGAUCAAGUAAAGUGAGAAAUUUAAUAGAAUUAAUCUUUUCUACACUGUCAGUAUAUAUAUUAACAGAGUUGAAUAAAUUUUAGAUUAUCUGAAUUUGAAUUUGAGCAUCAAAUUUUGUAAAUAUUUUAUGCAUCUAGAUUUAUUAGUGUAUAUACUGUUAGUGCAUAAAAGAUUUAUCAAUUAAUAAAGGUUUUUAGAAAAUUAGGAUUGUGACCGCAAAGGCUGCGCGAACUUUGAAAUGGAACAAGUAGUUAUCUACAGACUACAUAUUAUAUUCUACAAUCUCUACAAAUCAGAAUAAUGCCCAACAAAGAGACUUAGUGUAGGGACUUGGUAAAACACAAGAACAAGAUGGGGCAGAAAGAUCCCGUGAUUAGUUUCCUCUACAAUCUGCAGUCUAGGCGCAUAGGCUUGCCGAGCGAGUUGAGCCUAAGUGCCAACAAAUAUUUUGCCUGAGAAAAAAAAAAAAAAAAAACCCAAGUUCAGGAUAUCACUCGUCACUUAUCAGCUUUUAAUGACACAUUUUUUUUAAUCCUUCCACCACACAUUUCCUAUCCCAAUUGACUGGUAUGGGAUUCGAACUAUAAACUAAGUGCCCUCCCAAUCAUGGGCCUAUUCUCACAUUGGGAAUGUCUUCAAUCAUGGGCCAUUAGUCUCCUCUAUCCAUCAAACACCUUUUCUCAAGAAGUGGGCAUUUAUCAAUUUGGAGAGUUAGAAGCGGAUUACGCAGCGAUUCCUUUGGUAGGGAUCCAAGCUUGGGGCACUCAAAGAUGCGCAGAUAUCGAAGAGCUGUAAGACCUCGCAAGAACGCGGAGAGCGAUUUCAGAUUUGGUAAGUCAUGAAUGGCGACGGACGUAAGAGUUGGAGGAAGCAAAGCGAAUCCAUCAUCACCACUACCAGAAAAUGAUUCCAGCUCUGGAUAUCCACCAUGGAUGCCGAAACUUUCAAGAAAUGGGAGUCUGUUGAGUCCCCAUUCUGACAGGGGCUUCAGCUGUAAGUUUUCUCCUGCCGCUAUGUGAAGAAACUUCAGACUGGGAGGAAAAUCUCCUUGUGGAAAUAACAAAGGACUUGAACAAGAAGACAAGAACAGAGAUCUUAGUCUUCCCAACCCACUGGGCAAGUAACUAACAUUUUUGCAUCUGACCAAGGAAACACGUUCCAAACUUGGAGUGGGCAAUUGAUCCAGAUGAUGAUCACAAUCGCUAAUAGACAAAGACCGGAGACUUGCAAAACUGUAGACUGAACCAAGCAUUGUUCUCAAAUUCAGACAUGGGCAGCCAACGAUUUGCAGACUCUCAAUCGAUGUGCUGGUGUCCUCUAUGACAAUCUCCGGAGUAAGGUUCAGUUUCUGGCAAUGUCUGAUCCCAAGAUGCCUAAGCUGAGGGAGGAGCAACUUGUCCGUUGGCAAGCAACUGAGGGCUGAGCAUCUGUUUAUUCCCAAUCCGUUAAGACCAGAUAAUGUUGGCAAAGACUGGAGAGCACUGCAACUAUGUAUCUGAAGAUAUCUAAGCAUGGGUAAAACAGCAAGCUCCUCCAAGGAUGAAAGCUGUGAACAUUCUGAAACAACUAAAGAUUUUAGCUGCACAAGGUUUACAGUAUUACUUGAGCCCCACAGAUUCUUCAGUUGAUGGCACUCACGUAAUGUGAUAUCUUCAAGGCCUGAUGGGAACUGCAUGAACGCAUCCUCGAGGGAUGCAAGCCCUAUAAUCUGCCGAAAAUCCAAGUUGUUUAAUGAGGUCAAAUUGUAAAAACAUUUUGCAAUUCCCACCGAGCACUUUUGCAACUUUAGUUCAGAGAGUGAAGGAAGAUGCAAAACAGGAAUGCUUUUCAACUUUGGGCAUCUAUUUAUACGGAGCUUUUGGAGCAGAGGGAAGUGGCAUUCGUUCUCUCCUGCUGAACUUAAGCAAGUCCAUUCCUCCCAUUCUGGCAUGUCAUCAAUUGUUAGACUUUCAAGCGAUGGAAAGGAAAAUUCCCAAGAGCAAUCUUUGCCACGUAGCUCGGUACCCACUGCCUUCACCUCACGCAUGCUUUGAAUGCUCAAAUCCUUGAGCGCAGGCAAUUGCCCGAGUGAUGGUAAACAAUUGCAGUGCGUACAACCUCUAAGGCUUACUUUUACUAAUUUAGUAAAUGAAGAAUCCCCCACCCAGGAAGAGAAUUUGUCUCCCUUAUAGAACUCAAUUUCAAGACUCGUUAGGUUUGUGUGUGGUCGUAGUGCCUCAAGCAAAUCUUGUUGAAGAACUUUACUCAGAGAACCAUCAUAUUCACUAUUCCAUGCCAAUACUAUUUUAUCAAGGCCCCUCUUGUUCUUCAAAUUGGCAUCCCGUGCUUCUUGAACAUUCGUAACAUUUUGCAACUCCAAAAUGGCGAGUGACCCUGCCAGUAAGGACAAGUUCCCCAAGUCAUUCAGCCUGAACCCACCAUGUUUGCUCACAACCACUUUGGAUAGUGUCUGCAAGCUCGUCAACUGAUCAAUCCCUGAAGGCAUCUCAUGCAAUUGACUAGUAUUGGAAUUUUCAAGAUGGCGCAGGUUAAUUAAUUUUCUUAUACCUACCGGUAGGUUAAUCAGCUCGAUGCAGUUGCGCAAUCGAAGUGUUUGUAAAUUGCAGAGAUUACUCAAUGAUUCAGGCAACAAUUUCAAACAAGUACCAGACAAAUUCAGGUACCUUAGAUGUAUUAAUUCACCGAUGGAAUUUGGUAGAUCAGAGAUAGCAUAGCCACUGAAUGAUAGCACCCUUGAGUAUUGCAAUUCCGGCAAAAGUUCUGCUAUGACCUUUUUACCGAUCCAAAAUCCAGAGCAUUCAGACUUGCCAUAAAGGGGUAGGAAACUCCGCAAAUGUUUGGCUUUCUGAAGAGUUUUAAAAUUUUGUGUAGCUUCAUACCAUGAACUUGUGAAUGAUGCAUACCUAACCUUGUCAAGAAUCGUGCAUUUGAUGUUCUCUUCCAAGCCGUCUGUCAGUCUGGAACAAAAAUCUCCAGCAACAUAUCUGGCUAGAUCGUUAAUAAGGUCAUGCAUCACAAAACGUGAACUAGUGGAAGUGGAACUUGACUGCUGGAAGAAGGACCUCAUUAGUAGCUCCUUAAAAUAAUUGUCCCCUAUGUCCUCCAUAAGUUCACUUGCCUUUGAUUCCUCGAGAAAACCCUCUGCCAUCCAGAGCAAUACAAGCUCAUAUUUGUCAAACUCAUAGUCCUUAGGAAAUAUGGAGCAGUAAGCAAAGCAUGGUUUUAGAUGGGCAGGAAGAUGAUAAUAGCUUAAUCUUAGUGCUGGAAGAAUAUCACUUUGAUCCUCUUUUAUUUCCCAUAUCUCGCUGUUCAGUAUAUCCGUCCAUUCAUCUGGGGUCGAUCUAGCUCGCAACAUCCCUCCAAGAGUCUUCACGGCCAAGGGCAAGUUCUUACAUUUCCUUACAAUGCUCCUACCAAUGCCUUCUAGAUUGGGGUGCCUGUCAAAAUUUGUCCUUUCUAGUGCAUGUCUUGCCAGUAAGCAUAAGCUUUCAUCAUCUGUCAACUCCUUCAGAUUAUAUCCAGCAGUGGAAGACACUACUGAUGCCACCCUAUGAUUCCGAGUGGUGACAAUUAUCUUGCUUCCAGGUGAACCAACUAGAAAUGGGCGGCGCAGGAUGUCCCAGUCCUCGUAUUUUUCAUUCCAAACAUCAUCUAAAACAAUUAGAAACCUCUUCCUGGUCAAGGCCUCACUCAGUUUCACUUGAACCAUAUUCAGAUCCCCAUAAUCACAGCCACCUGGUGUGCUUGCUCUGAGGAUUGUCUUUGUUACCCCGAAAAUGUCAAAAUCAUCUGAAACACAAGCCCAAGCCUUGGGAUCGAAAAAUUCUUUGACUCUGUCAUCAUUGUACACCACUUGAGCAAGAGUUGUCUUACCAACCCCUCCCAUGCCAACAAUCGGUAUCACAACCACUUGAUCAUCACUCGAUUCAUUUGAAAGGAGCAAUUUCAGCAGCUCUUCUUUGUCAUUCUCUCGACCAUAAACAUAAGACUCCACUAAGGAAGUUGAUGGCAAUCUAUCCCUUGUUUUGUUCGGCCUCUUUGCUACAGUCUCUGCCAAAUGGAGGAUUUUGAUUUGUUCUUUCAUGCUCUCUAAUCUUCUAGUUAUUUCAUCCACCUUGGGAGCCAUUUUUCUGUUGAACUUAUAAUCUUUAACAGAAAAAUUUGUACAACAGGAAGGGAUUUUAACCUUUCUUACCUUGCUAGUAGAGCCUUGAGCUUCCAUCAACUUUCUUCGACAAGCUUCUGUGGAGAAUUCGUCGAUCACAUUAUCCAUAUCAUAUGCCAAAUCCUGAAGAUCAUCUAGCCACUGCUUCACAGCAAUCCUCAUAUUCUGCUUGUCCUCUGCAUCAUCAAGCACUGCUUGAAUCAGAGAUAGCACUUGGCUCCAUCGUUUCAGCUGAGUAUCUAAGCCUUCUGAACGUGCAAAUUUCUUCAAAUCGACAGAAGCAAGCUUGUCAAAUAUCACCUUGAUGAUUGCACCAAGAAAGACUUCUAUCAGUGCCAUUUUUCACUAUUCUUUUUUUUUUUUUCUCCGGAUUAUAUUGUGUAGGUAAGCAACGAGCAAAAAGUCUGAAAACUUGAAAGGGGAGAUAAGAUUGAAAGAUGGGAAACUACAGGCUGUGUUUGGACUAAAAUAUUUCGUUUUUUUUUAAUUGCGGAACACUAAAAUCAAAAUGAUCAUUGACUUUUCUUGAUCGAAUAAUUCAUCCCAACUUUUCAAUUCCAAAACAGUAAAACGCCAAUAGAUUUUUUAGACCGUUGUACUGUAUCAAAACAAAACGACAAAGAAGUGUGCCUAGUCUUCAUCACCCCCAACCUCUCACUAACAUGGCAUUAUCUCAGACGUGGGUUUUGUAAUUGUUCUGCCAGGGAAGUGAAUUUGUGAAAAAAAUCUUGCACUUACUAUUACACGGAUCUAUCAGAUUCUUCACGGGAAAAGUGAUCAGCACCAAAAUAUUUCAACUGGCAAGAAAAAAGUUUCCAAAGCACGCGUCUUCAUUUCUUAUUUUUCUUUUCUGUAGCACUAUAUUAUAUCAUCAAUCAUUAAAGUAACCCACGUAGAGAAGUUGCUUUUGCGUGGAAUCUGACCGCAAUGGAUGUUGUGUCCCAUUCUGUGCCAUUCUUUGUCUCAUUUUUUAUUAUAUUAUUAUUUCUUUUAUAAAAUAUCAUGUUUUAAUUCUUUUUUAUUUUCUUAACAUUCAAUAACUAUUAGUUGAAUAAAAAAUAAAUACAACAAGUUCAAAAAAGCAAUAUAUAAUAGAAAAUUAAAAAAUACAGUAGAAAAUUCAUAAAAAAUCUCAUUUUUUUAUGCAUUUUGAUUUUUUGAGUUUGUUAAAUUUUGUGUAUUACUUAGUUAAUAGCCAUUGAAUGUUAAGAAAAAAAAAACUAAAACAUGAUGUUUAUAUAAGAAAAAUAGCAAUAUAAUAAUAAGUGGGACAGGGAAUGACACAGGGUGUGGAACAGAAAAUCCGUUGCAGAAUUGAGGGAGGUACUUUUGAGCUAGAAUGAUUGGUGCUCUUAGGGUAGUUGUUGUACUUCAUUUACAACGUAGUGUACAUUUACAAAUGCUCAUGUAUUUGUGCAUGAGUUGAUGAACUCGAAUAAAAUUUGAAGUACCACAAAAUUGUAUAGAAGUACACUAUAUUAUGUAAAAAGUAUAAUAACUAGACAAUUGCAACAAAAUUCAAUUGUACCUGGUUUAAUUUUGACCAUUUUCCUUAGUUGUUUAACGCUAAUUAGUGUAAUUUGGUUGUAUUUCGUGAAACAAAAUCAAUUAAAUAACUAUAACAUCAAACCACAUAAGUAGCUGGUAUAUGUUGUUUCCAUAAUUCUAAUUUUUUUUAAAAAAAAAUUGUUCAAAAUGUCAUUCACAUUUCGUAUAAUACAUUUUUUUGUCCUUCACUUUCAAAACAUUAACUUUAUGUACCUCAUAAAUUCAAGUUAGCAAAAUUUAGUCUCAACCAAAGUUUUUGACUACUUUUUAGUCUGAAAUCACUACGUGACCCAUAUACAAUCAUUUUUUAUGUACAAAAAAAAAAUUAGAUUUCACUUUUUAUUGAUAAUAUAUAUAUAUUAUGUCAAAUCUCUUUUUUUUUUUUUAAAAAAAAUGAAUACAUUAUAGAUCAAAUCCUACUUUUUAAAGAAAAAAUGAAUAUAAAUCUGGUCAUUUGUUAAACUAUAAAUGGGAUUUAACAGUUUUACCUGUAAAAAAAUGAACCCAAAUCUCUUAAUUAUAUUCUCUCUUCUCAAACCACCCAACCCAUCCCUCUUCCUUCUUUCUCCCCUCUCCAACCAUACGUGGGUAAUGUGAAAAAUGAAAAAAUUCAUUUGGCGAGAUGUGAGAAACAUUUUGAACAAUUUUCUCCUUGUUAUUUUAUAUGUCAAACGGCAAUAUCCUACUAUUACUUUAAUAUUAUAUGGAAGGGUAUGGGUCCAAUGGGACCAUUUGGGCUGUUGACAAUUCAGAGGAGACUAUCACCUCUGAAGUCUGAACUAGACGGGUGCAAUUGCACCAGUUAGAAGAAGUUUCCUAGAAAUCAUGGACUUCAAGAGCAGGGGAGGGUUUCAAAUCUCCCACCUAUACAAAAGGGAUAUAUUUAUAAAGUUUGUGAUAUAUUUAUCAAGAAAGAAAUUUAGAAACAUUGUGAAAGUCCCAUCUGAAUUAGCAAAAUUAAUAUCCUCUCCAUCUCAUUUUAUUAGUUAUAGUUUCUCCUUUUGCUAAUUCCAAAAUAUUUUUUUCAUCAAUUUGGACAAAAAUAUUUCUUAACGUCUUAAAAUUUUUUGAAGCAAGGAUGUGAAGUAGCUAUUGAUUAGUAAACAGGAAAGGUGAUUAAGUACAUCAACGGGUCCUUGAUCAGACUUGCAUUUUCUUUAAUUGAAUGCAUUUGUCUAUUCCUUUUACCAAUGAAUUAUAAAAUAAGAUAGAUGAAAUAAAAAGAUAAAGCUUCUAACCAAAACCCUUCUUCUUGGACCCAAAAAAAAAAGGAUAAUUAUUCUUCUCAGAGAAAUAUCAAAUUAGAUAAUUAUUCUUCUAAAAAAAAAUCAAAGUGUAUAGGAAGUUGACUUGACUUGACUAAGAGCUUAAAUCUUAAUCCUAUAAGGUAAGCAAGGGUCAUAGAAUUAUCAAUGGAAAUUAGCGUGUUAAUUUGUGUACAUCUUCGUGUGUGUGUGUGUGGGGAGGGGGAGGGGGGUUCUUCCGAGACUUGUUGAACAAACAAAGAAACAGCCUUAAGAAAAGGGUAAAUUAGUAGUAACUUCUGUGAUGAUGUAUAUAACUCUUGAAUGAUUAUGUGAAUAAAUAUAAAAUAUUACAAGGAGAUAAAGAAGAUAUUGGUACAACUUAUAGGAGUGUUAAGUGUAUAUUGUGAUUUCAUCACAUGCAUUUUUAGAGUAUAUCUAAUUCAAUCGCGUUAAUUAAUGGUGUUUUUCGUCUCAUUUUUUUACUUUAUAUGAAACUAUAAGAGAGUUAUGUGAAUAUUUUGAAACGUUAGAAAAAACAUGUCAUAAUAUGCAAAAUCAGAAUUAAGUUAUAAGUAAUUUAUGCUAAGAAAAUUGAAGUUACCGGCAGAGAUAGGGUGGGGGGGGAGGGGAGGAAGAACUAAUCAAACCACACUUCUGAACAUUGACAAUAUAUGCCAUGUACAAAAUAUGGAUUUAAAAUGAAAGGAUGUAGAUUUAAAUUUAGGGAUACAUAAUCUUGGCUUUUUUAACUUUAAAAAUACUAAAUUUUGGCUUUUUGGGAAGCUUCCCUUGCAGAAGAUGCUAGCAAGAGUCUUUUGAACUACUUAAAACAAAUUAUAACCAUCUUUGUGAAAGUAAAAGUAUUAGUUUUGAUUGUUGCUUAAAACAGCUUUUAACUUCUCAAAACAUUGAAAACAAGGAUGAUUUUUCACUGUUUCAAACAAAGUUAUGAAAUUAUUUCAUAUUUGAAUUCCAAAACUACUCAUACGUAGUUGAGACCAAGCUCCAAGUAGAUGCUAAAGUUGCAAAUAAGGAAAAAUCGCAAUUAUACAUAGUGUAGUUAGAAGUUUGGCUAUGCUAGUCGAGGAGAUAUUGAUCCAAUGAUUAAGAUCGAAAUCCAAAAACUUAGAGGUCAUUAAAUCAAAUCCUCUACCUUCUUCCGCUUAUUAAGUCCCUCCCCCAGAUUAGUCAUAAAUGAUUGAUCAACUAUUUUAUUUUUACCUCCGUAGAGUUAUCAGUUGUUUUUACUUUCCUCCUUUGAGUCAUGAUUUUAAUUUUUUGCAUCCUGAAGUUACACAUCUAUUAAACAUUGUAUUACGUACACAGAUAUGGACAGAAAACAACAGAAUUUUCCUUGUGAAAGGUGACAUUCGAUCUUGUAGGUUUUCCGUAAUUGUGCAAGUAUUUGAGGUAAGUAUUUUAGCAAGUUUUGAUAACCAAAUGAUCGAAACAGAGAAUUUAUGUACAAAUUAACCAUACUGAGCAAGAAGACAAGAUUCACUUGUUCUGAACCUCAUAUCUUAAUGCAACAAGUCGGUUAGGCGCUUGACUAAACCUUCAAUCGUUUAAAUAAAAGCCCUCCUCAUAUAAUUUCUCAAAUAUUGAGUACAAGGUGAAGAUAGAAACUAAAUUAAAGAUUCUAAAAUUUUUUAAAGAUUCUUCUAAAUUAGAAUAGUUUACAACAUAUAGAACUUUGAACUCCAAAUUUCAAAUGAUUUUGUAAAGAGUAACAACCUUUUUGUAAAGCGGCAAAUAUUAAAGAUGUUAGUCACAAUUCAAUUAUGUUAAUCAAAUCCGUCCAAACCCAUCCACUAAUUUUGAAUAGGUUUAAAUGAGUAUUCAAUUAAACUCAUUUAAUUGGUAGGUAGUGAGCUGACUCAACUCAUUCAAUUAUACCCAUUUAAAAAUAACUAUACAUUUUAACUCAACUUUUAGUGAGUAAUAAGUAAAUAAAUUUGAAUUUCUUAUCAAUUUAAUAACAAUAAAUAACCGUUAUUUCUUUUCAAACAACAUGCAAAAAUUUUUUUUAAAAAAAAGUAAAAUUGCAAGUGACUCAUAAAUGGGCAAUUGGUUAUACCUGUAUCCAUUUAUACCCAUUUAUUUAAGGAAAAUUUGUCAAAUUGAUCCCUAACAUUUUCGCAAAAAACUUUUUUAGUCCAUAACAUUUAAAAUCAGCCAAAAUAGUCCCUAAUAUAUAAAUUAUGAGCCAUUUUGGUUCUAAUACUCGUAUUUGCUCAUUUUUUCGACUAAAAAUAGCACACCUCUGUCACGUGGAUAUAAUUUUAAGGACAAAAUUGGAAGAUAUUCGUUAAUCCAUGGUUUUAAACUCUGAAAGAAAGAGAAUAUUCUCUUCAAAGCUCAAGUUCUCAAUGGCUACUCUUCCAUAACUCCACCCACUCCUCCUAGUCAAUCUUGAGUCAUUUUCCCUGCACCUACUCUAUCACAUGCAUUCCACCAUCACCACUAAGCCAAAGCCUCAUGAUCUCAAGAGAACCAGAAAACUUGAAGUUUUAAGAAGGUGAAAUUUUGCAUUUUGCAAUCCUUCACGAAAUCCCAAAUUGUUGAAUCCUUCAGAAGCUGCGAUUGUCCAUCCUAGCAUUCUCCAUACCGUUCUUUCCAUCGUUGAUGACAUCCUAUCCUACCGCAAGAUUUUCAUCAAAAGUCUAUGGUUUUGUUACUUUCAAGAAUGUUGAGUCUUUCUUGCUUGCCCUAGAAAACCCCAGCAAUAAAAUUGAUGGGUUUGUCAGCAAUAAAAUUGGUGGAGAAUGUACCAACCAACUGAGAUGAGUUCUGAGACUUUGUUGAAUUAUUUUGAGAGGUAUGGUGAAAUUGAAGAAGGGCUUGGGGUUUGAUAUGGGGAUAGGGAAAUCAAGGAAAGUGCAAAAGCUGCUUUGACUAAGAAGGUGAAAUUUGUUAAUGGUUUCCGACUAGUUUGCAAAAUGGUGUCGAGGGAAGGGAGAAAAUUAAUAGGAAUCCAAAAGAGGUUUUGCCUGUAAAAUCAUGGAUAACAAAUGUUUUCCGAUCUUGCCCUUGAAAUUAUGCCCACGUGAUAGAGGUGUGCUGUUUUUAGUCAAAGAAAUGAGCAAAUACGAGCAUUAGGACCAAACUGGCUCAUAAUUUAUAUGUUAGGAACUAUUCUGGCUGAUUUUAAAUGUUAGGGACUAAAAAAGUUUUUUGUGAAAAUGUUAGGGAUCAAUUUAGCAAAUUUCCCUUUAUUUAAAUAGAUAUAAAUGGAUUGACCUAAUUUUAUCUAUUAUUCAAUUAUGACCGCUUAAACCUCCAGAUAAGCUAGUUUGACACCUCUAGCUAAGAUAUUACAAGAGAAGUAAUAGAAAAGAGCGCAACGAACUAUUAAGGCGGCUAAGAUAUUACAGUUAGUGUGCCAAUAUUUACACAAGGAAGAUACUGCACGACAUUUUGUUAAUUUGUACCACCACUUCUUCCUUCUUAAUUCAUGUGUCUGAUGAGAGAAACGUAAGUGUACCACGUACUUCAGCUAUGUAAAGCUUACAUAUUUUGAUUUUCUUAGUGAUUCAGUUGGUCACUGUAUUACCCGUCAUCUCACUUUCUAUAGCCUUGGCAGCAAAGCCAGACGAUAACAUCCACAUGUAUAUGAUGUAAACUUACUAUAGUGUUUGGACAGCUGAUUAUUUCCCUAAAUAUAUUUGCUUACAUCAUCAUUAUAAUUUUUAAUACACCUUUUUUUCUUUCCAAUUACCUUUUUAUCUCACAUACAUCACAUCACAAAAAGUGCUACAGUAAAAAUAUCUCAAAUAACUUACAAUCCAAACACAUGAUUUUAUCCGUUAUAUUUGAUUUCAAAAUACGUUAUCGUGUUUGGAUGUGGACAUAGAAGUUAUAAUUAGUUUCAUGAGUGAAAUUUUUACCUAGUAUUCAUUUCCCAAGAAUCCACCCAUUUUAUUUAGAUUCCUUGUAUGUCUCACUAACAAAUGCAUAGAUGGAAAAAAAAAAAAAAACUACAGUCCUCGUUGUUGCCCUCCUUAAUCUGAUUUUAGGCCUUUCAACCAGACCCGGAUCGGAUCCGUCAAAUUAUUUUAGAUACAGGUAGGGAUAUAAUUUCGUUACCCAAAUCCAUUUUAUCAAACAAAAAAUGGAUUAGAUACGGAAUGUGAUAUUCUGACCCGUAUUCAACCCGAACCCGGAUAUUAAUUGAUUAACAAUUUAAAAUAUAUAUUUAUUAAUAUAAUACCCCAAAUUUACUUCUCUGACUAUUAUCCAAAUAGUCAAACACACCAAAGACAGGUAUUGUUGCAAAAAUAGGCUUUUGAUGGGCCCUUUUGUUGGGUAGACCGGACCCAGCUCCGGGACCCGUCGGAUCUAGUUCCGAGAGAAAGAGUAGAAGACCCGUAGGGUAUUUAGACCGGAUCCGAAACAAGUAUGCUAUGAUGGGUCCAGGUCCGGAUUUAUUAAUUUCGGCCCGGACCCGGCUCGUUGACAGCCCUAUUUGAUUUCUCCAUUCUUCAUUUUCGUAGUGACCUACAAUGUUUGGGUCACCAUUUCAAAAAGGUUAACUGUUAGCUUUGGUGAAUUAUCGAUGGGGAUGCAAUUUGAUCUAUUUGUUGACGUGCAAUUGACUAAUCAUCCAACUGUUGUUAUUAUUCUAUGUAACUUUAAUAAAGUGGCCAAAAUUGAUGAAGGAUGAAGCUAUUGAAACGGUGGUGAUUUAUUGUAGUAGAUAUUGGUUACAAGAAAAUGUAUUUGCUUAUCGAGACACUAUUUAUGAAUCAUUCAUUGGAUACUUGCCUUGAAUAAUUUCUGCAAGGUUACAUCGUGUGAAUGUUUUAAAAAAACAAUACGAUAUGUGAAAACAAUUCACUAAUAAUUUCUCAAUAGAGUUAUACUUGUCAAUUUGUUGUUUGAGGGUCCCACUUCACAUCUAUAAAUGAAUGCAAUAAUUGGCAGGACAUCUAUAAAUGACUGCAACAACUAUCAAGAUGAAAAUUAUAUGAUUGUGAUAUGUUUGCUGGUUUUAUUAAAAUAAAAAAUACAUAAGACAAAAUAAAAAAAAAAGAUUUAGAAUUGUCGUUUACAUUGAGUUCAUGUCGUUUCUGCUUUUACCGCGUUUUUAGAAAACAAGCCUAAGGGCUAUUGAAAUAACUUGUGCGAUCAUGUGUCCUUGUAAUAUGUGUUAACCUUUAUGAAUCCCACAUAAUGUUUGUUUGGACUGAUAAAUCACUUUUUAUUGUGCUAAUAUUGCAAACGAGUUUUAGAAAUUUUGCUGCAAAUUUAUCUUCUCUAAAUAAGUCAACCAAUUUGAUUAGGAUCAAAAAAAUUGUGGGCUAAGUUUUUUUUUUCCAAAUAAUUACUUAGAUAAAAACCAAUCCUGAGUGGACUCAAAAUUCUAGACUCUUUAAGAGUUUCUAACCAAGCAGUAAAUAGCCAAGCAUCUAAAAGUCACAGUAAGCAUAAAGUUCUAUUCUACACGCCAAACAACAAGAUAAAUCAUCUGUCCAAAAGAAAUGAGACGCCAUACACCGCACUGUCUAGCAAUAAAGAAAGGAAUAAAGACAUAUGCAAGAGACAGGGUCGGCCAAGAUGAGAAUAAAGUCUGGAUCAGCCAGUCUAAUCAUGAAUAUACCUGGCAAUUGGGCGGAUUAAUAUUAGAUUUUCACUUAAAUGGGUUAUAUCCAACCCACCCAACUUUAGAUUGGGUUGAUUUUGGAUUGGAUCAUAUUGAGUUAUCUCAAAUCCAUGACUCAAAUAUGACUAAACAAAUUAAUUAAUACAUAAACUUUUUCACAUACAUUUUAACACACAAAAAAGAUUUUUUUUUCGCACAUAUAAACACAUUUUCACAUACAUAAAUGUAUUUUCACACACACAAACACACACUCACUUCUUAAGUUCCUUGGAAACACAUAAUAAAUAGAAUAAUAUUUAUAUUGCUUGUAUUGUGAAUUUUAGAUAAUAAAUUAUACAUUUAUAUAUACUAGCUAAAAAAUUGUUUACUGUGUACUUUUUUAAUACUACUAAUUGAUUGAAACUUAUUUUUGUCACAACUUAUUAACACUUUUACUAUUCAUAUCUGUUUUAUUGUAAAUUGUAAUAUUCUAAGUAUAUAAAUUAUUGAAUGCUAGAUUAUAUUAUACUUGAAAAUGUAAGUAAGAGACAUAUAAUAUGUUGUAUAAUAAUUUUGAAAUUAUAGAAAAUAAGUUUUUACUUUAGUCCUUAUAUUCUCAAAAAUUUUAUGAUUCAUGACUCUAGAAAUUUUGCAAACUGUUGUGAAAGGUCCAUGUAUCAGAACUACAUUUUGGGGAUAAUAUGCAAAUUGCUUUCUUCCAUUAAAUGACUGGAGACAUUACUACAUUUUAGUUCUUGGACUCGCUAAUUAAGAGGGAAAAUUAAUUGUCUUGCCGAUUGUAAGCUUCUCAUGAAGUUGAAGAUUGGAGGUAUUUGCUUCAGACGAAAUGAAAUCGUUGGACUAGCCAUGCCCAAGUUGCCAUAAUUAAUCAAAACAAAAUAGAAGCUGCAAGUCAACUAUAUUGAUUCGAAGUUAAUAUCAUGAUCUGUAUACAUAUAAUAUAUAUUAGAAGGUAUUUUUUUAUUGAUUUGAUACAGUUAGAUAAUUCAUCACCUAGUUAAUUAAUAUCAUCUAGGAUCAUACUUGAUGCUAUGGCCAUAUUAAUCUUUUAGAAUGACCACAGCUCUAAUAUAAAGCAGAAAAUAUUAUAUGCUUGUAAAAAGUACAAUCACUGUAUAUUGCGGGCCAAGGAAAAUCAAGGAGAAAUAUAACACAUCACUGUAAUCAAUAACAAUUUAUCACCUUUUAUCACCAACAUAAAAAUGAACUCUAAAGUGUUUCCAGUUCUCUUACAGCAUCUUUCCUAGAAAAAUAGGCAAUAUGUGUUUUCCUAUAACUAUUGACAUAUUAUUCGUUGUCUAACACAUAAUGAUUACUUGAACUUCCAAUCUAAUAUGGCAAUUGAAAUGAUGACCCAAAACUAGCAGUCCAUUGAAUUUAUUUGAAGAGUUCCUUUUCAUUUGUGUCCAGGACAUCGAAAAGAAAGAAGAAGAAAAAGAAAACAGUAAUAGUAAGUCAACACACUUAUGAUAUUAUGUGAGAAACUCUCAUAGUAAAAAUCAAUUUUAAAUGCAUGAAGGAAAAAAGGGAACGCAAACUCAGGGCAAGUUCCAACAGGGAAAUCGACAAGGAACAGAUGUCCAAAUACAGAGGUAUACCAUCCAGGGCAAGAAUCUGACCAAAUGAACCGACACACCAUAUGACGUUAGAUUACGUAGCCUCUAUCAAACAAUUCAGUCAUGAUCUAAAUCUAAAUGAUCAGUUUGCAAAUUCGCCCUUGACGUAAAACCAAAUAACCUAACCAAGAAUUUGAAGAGGGACAACAACCACGAAAAGGGACCAGCUGCAGAUACUCAAAAUUUAGCAUUUACAUUUUUUUCCUUUUUCUAAUGUCUUUUCAGCUAACUUAUUUAAAAAAAUUUCUCAUGGUACUAACGGCUAGAUACAACAAUGUAGUGUCAAAUCUUAUUUAAUUUAGAUUCUGCAUGCUGCCUGUCAAAAUCAGCUAAAGUGGUAAAGAUGUAUGGUGUAAUUCAGCUUCUCUCUUUUCGUCCAUUAUCUGAAACGCAGUACCUGCAGACCAAGCAAACAAGAAAUAGCCCACAUUACAUGUUUGGGACCAUAUUCAAUCAAUCACAUGACAGGUGUAACAUAGAAAACCAAUAAUAUGGUAUGGUGUAAUAAUUUAACAGCUACAUAACUACUGACUCGAGUGACUUCCUAAGCUGACAUUGACUUGGACUGAGAAACCAAUUACACAUAGGAAACUAACUAAUCGAGGAUCCAAACUUGACCAUUCACCGACUAAAAUUCAAUGGAACUAACAAGCGGAUAGCUGACUAAAACUUUACCAUGUAAUUGGUUAUAGUAACAACUUUAAUCUAAUAAUCUAAACAAAUAAAUGAAAAAAACUUGGUUUAAUUUCCUUCAUUGCCUCCUUUAGACCAGACUCGCCAUUAUGGUCAACUUCAAUACAUUUCGAGUUUGAAUCUCCAUCAAAAACUUUGUCAUUGUAUAGAUCAUAUGGAAUCUCAACUUACAAUUGAUAUUCAAUUUCAUCUUCACCAAUGGUAGUGGACAAAACAUGUACUUUUUGAACAAUUUUUUCGCUUGAUCCAUCUUGCCAAAAAAUUCAAACAUGUUCACCCAUACUUUAUUAGAUACUUCGGCUCCGUUUGGAUUAGCUGUUUUUGGGUUUGUUUUUCAAAAACACCACUGUAGCAUUUUGAAUCCGAAAAACAAGUCCGUUUGGAUUAGUUGUUUUUGGGGUUGUUUUUCAAAAACUAUAUGAAAAACUUUUACUGUAGAUUUUUUUGGAUUAUUUUUAGAGGUAUUUUUGAAACAUAUUUUUGAGUAUUUUUAGAAUAUUAUAUUUUUUAUAUUUUUAUAUAAAUAUUCAUUUAUGCAUUUAUAAUGCAUUUAUAUUUACAAAUGUAUAAAUGUAUAUUAUUAUAAAUGUAUAAAUUAUAAAUGAAUAUUAUAUAAAUGUAUAAUUUAUAAUUUAUAAUUUUUAUAUAAAUAUACAUUUAUGCAUUUAUAAUACAUUUAUAGAUAUUUAUAAAUAAAUAUAUUUAUAUAUUCAUAUAAAAAUAUAUAAAUGUAUUAUAUUAUAUAUAAUACAUAAUAUAAAUAUAUUUAUAAAUGUAUAAGUGUAUAUUAUUAUAAAUGUAUAAAUUAUAAAUGAAUAUUAUAAAUAUAUUAUAAAUUAUAAGUGUAUAUUAUUAUAAAUGUAUAAAUUAAUAUAUUAUAAAUAUAUAUUAAUAUUAUGUAGAAAUGUAUUUAUAUAAUUAAUAUAAAUGUAUAUAUGUAUUAAUAUUAUGUAUAAAUGUAAAAUUAAUAUUAUGUAUAUUAAUAUAAAUGUAUAAAUGUAUUAUAUUAUAUAUAAUACAUAAUAUAAAUGUAUAUUUAAAUGUAUAAGUGUAUAUUAUUAAAAAUGUAUAAAUUAUAAAUGAAUAUUAUAUAAAUGUAUAAAUUAAUAUAUUAUAAAUAUAUAUUAAUAUUAUGUAGAAAUGUAUUAAUAUAAUUAAUAUAAAUGUAUACAUGUAUUAAUAUUAUGUAUAAAUGUAAAAUUAAUAUUAUGUAUAUUAAUAUAAGUGUAUAAAUGUAUUAUAUUAUAUAUUAUACAUAAUAUAAAUGUAUAUUAUAAAUAUACAUAAAUAUUUAUAUAUUAUGUAUUAAUGUACAUUUAUAUAAAUGUAUAAUAUAUAAUAUAUUAUAUAUUAUAUUAUAUAUAAUUUAUAUAACAUAUAAUAUUUAUGUAAAUAUAUUAUAAAUAUAUAAAAACAUAUUAUAAAUAAAAUAAAAUAUUUAUAAUAUGUUUGUAUAAAUAUAUAAUAUUAGAAAUGUAUAAUAUAUAUAAUAUACAGUAAUAUUAAUAUAAUUUAUGUAUAAUAUACAUAAUUGAAAUAUACAUAUUCAUAUAUAUUAAUAUAUAUUAUAAAACAAAAUUGAAUAAAUAUAUUUAUAAAUUUAUAUAUAAUUAAAUAUAUUUAUAUAAAUAUAUAAUAUUUAUUUCAAUUGAUAUAAUAUAUAUAAUAUUAUACAUAAUGAAAAUAAAUAUAUUUAUAUUAAUAUAAUAUAUAUAUAAUAUACAUAAUUGAAAUAUAAAUAUUAAAAUAUAUUAAAAUAUAAUUGAAAUAUACAUAUUAAAAUACAUAAUUAAAAUAUAAAAAUUGAAAUAUACUUAUUAAAAUAUACAAAUUAAAUAUACAUAAUUGAAAUAUAUUUGGAGUUGUUUUUUAUAUAUUGUUUGGAUAUGGUGUUUUUGAAGUUGUUUUUGAAAUACACAUUUACUGUAGCAUUUGGAAUGUGAAAAACAGUUUUUCAAAAACAGGUGCAAAAACACUCAAUUUAAUUCAUCCAAGUCACCAUGAACAAAAUCAUACAUUCCACCACCAAAAAUUUCAACAUCAUCAUGAACUUGUUUUGAUUUGUCCAUACCAAUAACCAAAUUAGUUUCAGCAAUGCAACAAUCUUCAACUAAUUUAUCCACCUCACAAUUGUUCUUAACCAAUUCUAUCACUUGAUUCUUCUCUUCAAAAAAUUCAUCAACGCCGGUAAAAAUAACAAUUUCUACGUUGCCAGAAUCUUCAAUCACAUUUUUAAUCCAACUAAUAUUUUCACUUUCUUUCUCAACCACUUAAAAAAAUCUUUUUCUUCUUUCUCAUUACAAAUUUCUUCUCCAUCAUAACUACAAUAAGAAUUUAUCAAAAAUUUUCAAACCUUCUUCACUAUCUUUGCAUGUAUGAAUCUUUUCACUACAUGCAAUUGGACUUGGGUGUUGAGAUAGUAGAAUGCCUUACAAUUCAACUGUCUAUUUCUCUUUAACUACACCACUCGAUAACUCUAUGCCUUCUACAGGUUCUAUGAACCCCUUUUGAAUAAUAUCCCAAAAUCCAAUAGUUUGAAACAAAUCUCUUCAUCAUCCAACUCCAAACAUCAAAAUCAUUUUUACCAUAAAAAAAAAUGUCACAAUGUCAUAACAAUGUAAAUAACACGAAUCCAUAUUUUAAUUUUACGAACAAGCCCUAGCAUCAAAGUCUAGAGGUCGAUACUACUUGUUAACACAUAAAUUCACACAAUAGAAGUAACAUUAAAAUCUUACACAAGAACGACGAAGGCACGGGAGGUUAUUCAAUCAAUCUAUUAAUUUCCCUCUACCUGAUAACUCGACUCAACAAAUUUUGAACUCAACUUAACAAGACUCGACUCAACUCAACUCUCUAAUUAGAUAUGAAACAAGCUGAUGCGAACCCGAAUCUCCAAACUCCUACUUUUGAAGAAACAAAUUGCACAGGUAGCGGAACGAUCUAUUUUGAAUAGGUUAUGGAUACAAAAGACGGAUUCUAAACCAACCAAGGACAACUUGAGAUUGUUUAGAAGGUAGUAAGACGCCACAAUUCAACGCGGUCUUGAAUCGAUAAGCCAAAACUUGAACAAAGAAGACACAAUUCAUUUUGUAUCAAGGGCGUUUGCAAAGGAACAAGAAAGAGAUGAACUCUCAAUUUUCUUUCAUAAAUCAACUUCUCUACCUCGAAACAACGCAUGACUUAGGCUAUUUAUAGCCGUUACAAAGAUUCAAAACCUAACUCAACCAGAACUUACUCAACUAACCCUAACUCAGCUAGAAUUUAGGAAACUAACUCGACUUAUAGGCUCAACUAUGGUCAACAUGACCUUAAGUCAUUUAUUGCAUGAAACCAAUGACUCAACACCAACUAAUACACGCGGCUGGAAUUCAUUUAGACAAAUGACACUAAGAAAUAAUGAGACAAACCGCUGGAAUUUGAACUUUUCCAAAUGACACACCAACUAAAACUAAGUAGGACACACGAAAGAAUGUUAGAAGGGAUCCGAUUUGUUGAGCUUCAAUGGGAUCACCAUUGAUCCCAUGUUCGUAUCACAAGCACCACAUAUACAUAGGCAAUAGGUUGCCAUAUAAGUAAAGACUCAAGGGACCUCCUAAACCGAUAUCGAGGAUUUGGACUAACUAAGAAACCAAUUACACAUAGGAAACUAACUAAUCAAGGAUUUGGACUUGACUAUUCACCGACCAAAAUUUAAAGAAACUAACAAGUGGACAGGUGACUAAAACUUUACCAUCUAAUUGGUUAUAGUAACAACUUUAAUCCAAUAAUCUAAACAAAUAAAUGAAAUAAGCUUGAUUUAAUUUUCUUCAAAUAACACACGGGAAACACCUAGAACACCCAAAACACCCCAUCAACCAUUCACCCUCCAUCCCCUCCUUCCUCCCCUACCCAAGCUCCCUCCGCCGACCCUCCGCCACCUCCUUUCCCUUCUCUGCCUGCCACCAGCUCCCUAGUCACUUCUCCCACUCCCUUGUUUCACCAAAAAUUGUGAAGUAUAUGUGGUUGCGAGUAGUAUAUGUUAGAAAAUUGGUUUAAUUUAUUUUGGAUAGGUUUCUUAAUUUGUGUGGAAGUAAUUAGUUUUCUAAUUAGUUUUAGUUACUUGAAACAGUAGCCAAGGAAUUUCCUAUUUGUGUGAGUUCAAGAAUAGAAGUAAUUUCCUAUUCUGAACCAGUUCAGGAAUUAGCAAUUAUUUCCUAUUAUUACUUGGAUAUUGGCCAAGUAAUGUAGCUUAUAAAUAGGUGAGUUGACAUACUACAAAGAGACACAUAAGCGACACACAAGGAUGACAUGUAGCCUUAUACAUAAGGGUGAAGUAGGGUUCUUGGGAGAUAACAGAUGGUAUACAAGAGUUGAGUUUGAGUUUAAGUUAUACUUUUGUAUAGGGCUUUCCUCUCAUAAUAAAGAAUAAAUUUUCUCUCCGUGGACGUAGACUCAAUGAUGGAGUUGAAUUACGUUAAAUAUUGUGUGUUGUUCUAUCUUUCAUGUUUGUGGUUAGUUUAUCAUUAAAUUAUUUGUGUACUUGAUAUCUCAAUAGUUGUUUAUUCUGUGCUUGGAUCACAACAAACUAGUAUUAGAGCGGGGUUCAUGAUUGGAACCUGAUUAACUAUUGAGAUCAAACAGGUUGAUGGUUGUUACCGAUUGAACAAUUUAAUGGGUAGUAUUCUUAUUUCAGUGGCUUGACAAGAAGCAUUGAAGGUAAAGGAUAGGAAGUCAAAACACUUGAUGGUGAAUCUAGACAGGCUAUUCAAGAGUAAAAAAAAAAUUGAAAUCUAAUAUUGAUUUUGGACGUGAAUCGGUGGAGAUUUUCUCACAACUCCAACGGUUGAUGCUUCAUCUUGGAUGGUUGUUAGAUUCAAAUUAUGUUCUUUAGGUGGUGCGGCAUAGGUCUUAAAGAAACAAAGGAAUCUAAUUUCCAAGUGCUAGAAGACUUUGAUGGCUAUGAGUUUUUCAUUGUAACCAAAGUCUUGGAAAUCACACAUGAUAAGACAGUCCUGAGGAUGGGAAGAAGUAUUGUGUUUUAGUACUUGAUUGCCUCAAUGAUUAGAAAUAGAACUCAUAUAAAGGGAUCCCAAAUUGCAAGUGUUGGUGAGAAGAAAUCCUGCAAAAAGAGAUGGUGAAUUGAGGCACCUUCUCGUCAGUCAAUUGAAAGUUAGAUUCGGGGUAACUAUACAUGUUCAUUUGUCGAUUGAAUCAAUUGGGUGUCAGGACUGUAUUGAUUCGAAUGUGUAGUUCGGUACCAUAUUAUUUGAUAGUUGAAAACAAAUUGUUGCUAAAAUAAAUAUUCGCCAAGGUGGAGAUUUGUUAGAAAAUUGGUUUAAUUUCUUUUAGGUAGGUUUCUUAAUUUGUGUGGAAAUAACUAGUUUGUAAUUUAUUUUAGUUACUUGAAAUAUAAGCCAAUGAAUUUCCUAUUUAUGUGAGUUCAGGAAUAGAAGUUAUUUCCUAUUCUGAACUAGUUUAGGAAUUAGCAAUUAUUUCCUAUUAUUACUUGGAUAUUGGCCAAGUAAUGUAACUUACAAAUAGGUGAAUUGACAUACUACAAAAAGACAACAAGGGGCAUAAAAGGGACAUACAAGGGCAAUAUGUAGGCUUAUACAUGAGGGUGAGCGAGGAUUCUUGGGAGAUGGGAGAUGGUAUACAAAGGUUGGAUUUGGGUUCAAGUUGUACUCUUGUAUAGAGUUUUCCUCUCAUAAUAAAAACAAAUUUUCUCUCCGUGGAUGUAGACUCAAUGAUAAAAUCGAACCACGUUAAAUAUUAUGUGUUAUUUAUCUUUCAUAUUUGUUGCUUGUUUAUCAUUAAAUUGUUAUGUAUUUGAUAUUUCAAUAUUUAUUUGUUCCAUGCUUAGAUCCUAAUAGUAUAUAAUAGGAUGAUCAAUGAAGGAGUACAUCAUCACUCAGUUAAAGCAAACCAUUACAACUAAUAAUUCAUUGGCACCAAUUAAAGGGCAGUCAGCUUGGACUGAUACAAGUAUUAUUGGUUCAACGGAUUUGCCUCUAACAUAAACGUAACAACUUAUAUUUCAUUAGUUCUUUUAAUUAACGUCCUUAAGACACUCAUCAAGACACAUCCAAGUGCACAUAGUUAGACAUUUUAACAAACUAGUAAUGAUGUAUGUGCAUUGCACGAGGUUGGAUAAUAUGUAGUUUGAUCAUUUUGUAUUGGUUUUUAUUGUUCGCACCAAUCCAAUCUAAUAAAUGCAGAAUAUUUCUUAGAAGGUUUGGAAGAAAUAUGGAUAGUUUGGAACAAAAAUUACCUAUUCAUUUCUUGAGGAAGCUUGGUUUUUUCUUUGCUUCUUCAUACUGGAUAGUUACAUAGACAAUAUUCCUUAUUGGUGCAUGAGAAUUGUCUUCUUUGAUUGAUGGGAGUAAAAUUUCACAGAUCCAAUUCAAUUUCAUUGUUCACAUUUGCAUAUGAAGUGUUUGUUUUGUUGACAUUUUCAUUUGAGAGCAAGUACAACUUAUUGUAUUGAAACUUGUUUUCUAAUUUUAUGAUAAUAUCAUCGAAUAUGAUAGUUUAAACUUUUGUUCCCUGACAAUGUUUUAGUUAUAACUUAUAAAUGAUAAUAAGGUGCAAAAUAUAAAUUAAAAGACAAACAUGAAAGUAUAUAUUUUCUCAUCUCAUCAUCAACGAAAAUUAAUUUCUAUAGUGUUCAAAAUUUAUGUUUUCUAACUUAAGGCUCAAUAUUAAAUUUUCGUAAUAGCAAAACUCGAACUGUCUAGAUUUUUCCUUUCGGUCUUAAUGAACUGAUCAAACCACUGUCACUUUCUCUAACACCAAGACUAUUGCCGUUUCUGCUGUCCACUCCAUCUCCUCUAUCACCUGCUUGAUUCCACCUUUCCCUCCCUAAUUUUCUCUCUCUCUCUCUCUCUCUCUCUAACUACACACUUUGUUAGUCCCGGUCGAUGUAUUUGUGCUUGAUUGUAUUUGAGGUAAUACAAAGAGGCUUCACCAAAAUAUCAAUUUUUAAAAAAGGUAUGUGUAAUAUUGGUAUCAAUAACACUUCUUUUACUCUUCUUCUAUUCCCUUUUUUUCUUUUUCUGUAUCUAAGACCAUUGGAAGUAUGGUCUAGAAGUUGGUAAAAAUCUGAUAUUUAUAUAGAUGCGGUAUGUAAAGAGCCUUCGUGUAUCCAUUGCAUUUUGCUUAUGUGAUGUUUUCUUUUAUGUUGUAUAUGAAUUAAAUUUUCGGUUUUUGGAUUAAUUCGUGGUUUACCUUCAUGUGAUUUUAAGAUUGUAUUUUCAGUUUUAGUGGGUUUUUGCAAUUUUUACUUUUUGGGUGUUAAUGUUUGAUUGGUCUAAAUGAUUUUUGGUUGUUAAUGUUUGGUGUAAAUGAUUGAUAGUGCUCUUCCAAUUGGUGUCAAUGAUAGAUAGUGGUAUUCAAUUUAAAACUUUUUUCGUAAUGUGGGCCUUAAGUUUUGUACUACCUUAUGAUUUUAGAGCUUGUGUGAUUACUAGUGAAAGUAAUAAAAAAAUUGGCUAUAUUUUUAUUGACGUUUGAUAUAUUCUUUAAACUUGUAUAUUCUAUAAAUGUAGAUGUCAUCAUGGAGAUGGAUGUAAUCAUCUUCAAAUUUUUGUUCUUGUUGUUUCUGGAAGAACACCAUGAAAAGCUUUAAGGGUCAAAAGAAGUUGUUGAGUCUAGAGUAUUAUAAUUCUCAUAGAUAUCAAUUGUUAGUUAUCAGUUUUGCUUGGCUUCCUUAUUAGCUUCCUCUAAUUAGUUACUUCUAUAAUGAGUGAUUGGAAUAUUAGAAAAUUUAUUUCUAAUGCUUAAGAAAAAAAGAAAAUAUUCUUUACUGACCACAUGAAAGAAGACAUUUGAAAUUAUUUUAUCAGAAGUUCCGUGUGAUAAAAAAAAAUGACUACCAUGUUCUUAAUUAUCAAACAUUGAAUGCCUGCCUAUUUAUAUUUUUGCACCGACUACAUACUCAACUAGAUAAUAAAAUAUCAUUGGUUACAGGAAGCAUUAAAAAAGAACAUGAGAAUAUUAUUCUAAUUACUCAAAUCAUUUGGUAGCGUUUUAGUUUUUAUUCUAAUUACUCAUAUUAUUGAAUCAAUUGGUAACAUUUUAUUCAUAUCAUUACUAUCAUAACCGAAAUAAAAUGACUCUAAUUAUUAGACAAAAGGGUACGCAGCAAAACCUAAGACAAAAAAAAUACUUACACAUCAAAUUGCUUACAUUCCACUUGUCUAAACUAUCCAUUCUAUUUAUAGGGAGUACAUAUAGAUAGAUAGAUAGAUAGAUAGAUUAGUUUUGUGACGAUCCCACCUCUCCCUAGGGCAUACUCAAGGGUUUGGUGGACCGUCUGCCCAACUCUCAUCAGGAUUCACUCACCAACGUUCUUGAAAUAGUCUUGAAAUUAACAUAAAAGUUCCAUUUCCAACCAACAAUUCAAACUUAAUUACAAUUCAAAAGUAAAAUAUAGGAUUACAUUCUAAAGAUUCCAAAUACAUCUCAUCUAUAAAAGUACAAGUACAAGAGAUUAUAUACACUAGUUCACGGCUACUUGCUCCAACCUCCAUCCCUGUAAGGAAAACAAACUAAUGGGAUGAGUUAAAAGUUCAGCGAGGUUCCCAAACAAGCAAUCAAGCAAGCAUACACGAAAACAUUUACAUUUAGCACUUUGCACACUUGGCACAGUAAUAAAUAGUCAUUCAAGAGUCAAUUAUUCAUUCAUUGAAAGGAUACAUGCUCACUUGAAGCCAUUCAUUCAUUCAUUCGCCAACCAUUUUCCUUAUCCCUCCGACAUUAGAAAACAUUUGCAAGUAAAAACUCAUUCAGUGCUCAUGUCAUUCAUUCAUUUAUUUUUAUUGCAUUGAAUUCACUGGUCAGUUCUCCACCAGAUUUCGUGGUAAUACUUGAGUAUACCAAACAUUGUCCCAGGGUCACCAGCCGCCCAACCGAGUCCGCUUCUGGCUCGAUUUGACCGUCAACGAAGAGCAAGGGCCCAAUUCAGCCAAAAGGCUUACAUUCAUACACAAGUAGCAUUCAAUCAUUGAAAAUUCACUUUUGCGUGGGUCGAGUGCGAUAAAGUACAUACUCGUCCAUCGAAAAUCCAUUUAGCAAUCAUUGGAAAGCAUUUAACAUUUAGACAACAUUCCACAUAGUCAUUUAAAGCAUACACAUGCAAGGAACACUUACUAAUAAUUAAUGUUAAGCAAAAUCAGGUUGAGGCUGUGACGCCCCCACUUCUCCCUAAGGCGAACCAAAGGGUAUCCGCGGAACGCCUGCCUAACUCUCGCCAGGACUCAAGCAAUUCCAUUCAAGCUUAUUACCGGACCACACAAUACGAGUCAAUAACUUAGAUACAAUAAAUGCGGAAGCGUUCAAGUUUAAUGAAAGUCAUCCGUUAUCCGACCCGCACAUCGGGUGUUCAACAACCAUUAUAUAUAUCUCAAAUAUACAUCAUGCUCCAAAAGUUACAUUCGGAUUCCAAAAUACAAUCCAAAAGCCAACACAUAGUCAAAAGUAAUAGAAACCCUAAACAAAAGUGUAUUAGGAAGGUUUCUUCGAUACCUCGCCAAGUUCAAUCCUGUUAAGGAAAACAAAUCUACAGGGUGAGCAAAACGCUCGUGAGGCCAAGAACACACAUGCAGACACAUAGUUCAGAUAACAAGCCCAAAUACAAUUCAGGUAAUAGCUUGCAAGUAAUUAAUAACGCCGACAAAAUGUAACCAGAAACAAUUCAAGGAUAUGGAAGCUCUCAGGAGCUAAGUUCCACAUUUGCCGAUGUCAUUUGUAUAUCUCCCCGUGAUGACUCUCCGUCAACCGGGUUGAUAUUUUCAUAUCCGUAGUUCACCACUUACUUCUCAUCCGUCCACCAUACACCACUUCGGGCCCGCACGACAUUUAUAAGGCGAUACUUUACGAGUAUGCCAAGCGAGAUCUCUCAAUAGAUCAAGCUUAUCAUGUGAAUCUCAUGGUUCACCGAGGUUCCCGACCAAGCCCAUGCCGGCUCGAGUUCCAAGGUCGGCCUAUGAGUUUGGGCGUCCCCCAUGUAUCAUGUAAAUGUCGAGGAGAUUCACUCCAUCGACGUAUGCAAUCAUAGCAUACCAUUUCAUGCAUUCAAGCAUUUGACAUGUUUAAGCAGGCAUUUCAAGUCAUGUAAACCAGGCAAAUCAUGUUAGACAUGAGUCAUUCGUGCCAAAUGAGAACGAGUGCGAUUAAGUACACACUCGACUCCAUUUUUUUCAAAAUCAAAUAGACUAAGCAUGUAAUCAGGUAAGUCAAGCAUGAAUCAAGACUUUAGAGUUCAAGUAGGCAUACACUUGACACUCACCAGUUAUGCAAGCAAGUAGGUUGGAGGGAGAGUUCAAACUUCCACGGUAGGGUCCUCUUGGAGGUCCUCGUGCGUGCCUGAACAUCGAAUAGUAGAUAAUUACUAUAGGUCCCCAAGUGGUGAGAAAGAUUGGACACGGGUAAGGUUCGGAAAUAUUUGAAAACUUCGUUUGACUUGUCUUUGAAGUUGGAUUCUCAAAAGGGUGCAGGACUCGAGUAAAAAUCGGAUUAUUAUCCUUAAAAUCAUUGGUUGGAAACGAGUACGAGCAAAACGAUUGCAAAUCGAACGAUCGAAAUCGAAAGACGGCUGGCCACGCCACAAUCCGGCCGGAUAUCCGGCCGGAUUUCUGGCCGGAUAUCCGGCCGGAUUUCUGGCCGGAUUGGAGGCAGUGGCUAACCUCCUUUUUUUUUCAAACUUCGCCACCAAUCCGGCCCACAAUCCGGCCAAAACUGGCCGGAUUCUGGUAAAAUUGUUCCUUCGCGGAUUUCCAGAAUUUUUGAUUUUUGGUCAAAUCUUUGAAAAAUCAUAACUUUCUUUCUACUAAUCGAAACUUGAUGAAUUUGGUACCGUUGGAAUCGUCUUCUAAAGUACUAAAAGUCCUUAGAAGACACCAUUCCAUGAAUCUAAGUGGAAGGUAUUCAAAAAUGAGCCUAAAGUUGCUGUUCUAGAUUACCAGGAUUGAGCCGGGGUUGGUUUUUCGCUAACUUUGGAAAUUCGGAAAAAAUCACUCGUUGCAAACCGGCCCUUGAAACUUAUAACUCGAUUAGAAGUGCAAGUAAAGUUUUGAACAGAACAAGCGGCUCAAGAAUUGGAGUUUCGAGUACCGAGAUACGGUAGCUCAAAGUUGGGAAAAAUUCAAGACUGUUACAAAAUUUCCAGAUUUGGUUCCGACUUUGGACCUUUUAUUAAGUGCCGAAACGGACUUGGAUUGACACCAAAUUUUGCAGUAUAAUACUCCAUAUGAAGGGUAUCUCUCUAUCAAAUUUCAUGGAAAAAUACCCUCGGAAAGGUGGUUAAUCAAUCAACCAAAGUUUGGAAAAAUCCUUAAGGCAAUCUGUCCAAAUCUAAGGUUUCAAAAACGAGGCAGUCGCCGUAUUUUGAUCAUAACUCCCUCAAUUUAACUCGGAAUUGGGAAUGGUUGAUAGUGUUAGAAAAUACAUUCACAGGGCUAAAAUUUCACAGAAGAAAUCGUUUCAAGUUUCAGCAUGCAACUGGUUCGAAAUUAAGCCUAAAGUUGCAGCAUCAUCAAAUCAUUUCGGCAGAACGGAGAAACAGGACAGCCGACUUCAGAUGAAUGGUGUGGCUCACACACAUGAAACCAGAAUGUGCAUUAUACACCGUUGGAAACAUGGGAACGUCUAGUUUCAAAUGCCGCUAACGGCACUUGAUUUCGACGUCGGAGUACGGAGUUAUGGACGAAACACGAACACUGGUCUGGUUACGACGGCAACCGUUUUCCCAGAUUACUAGCUUUGGAAAUAAAUUCGUUUGACCCACCAAAACUCAGUAUUUUUCAACGAAAAUUUGUACACAACUGCUACAACAUGUAAACAACAUAAUCAAGCCAUUAAAUCCUCAAAUUUCUGCAUUAAAGUGACCGAACAGAGCAGGGGUAAAAUGGGAACUUUUUGUUUCAAGAGUUCAAUAACGUUUCUGGUAACAAAGCACCUUUAAUCUACUUCCUUAAGCUCUAAUUCAGCAACAAAACCAUCAUCAAACAUCAUCACAGCCAUCAACCCAAAGUGGGAGUUCAUAGAGCCCACGUUUAACAAUUUUCCCAACAAUACAAGCUACUAAAGUGACGAUUCUAGCUCAAAUGCAUAAAUCAAACUCCAAAAGACAAGUUUAAGGUGAUUGAUUACUACCUACUUUGAUGGCUGGUUAGGACAGAAGUUUCGGCCCCUUUGAAGCUUGAAGAACCGUGAAAGCUCCUCCCUUUUCCAGCUAAAUGUGUUGUCCAAGACUUAGGCUAAGUGGUGCUAAAUUUUUAGAAGAUUUGGUGGUGAUUUGCAUGAGUUUUAGAAGAAGAAAUGUUGAAGGUUUCGGUUGUCCCUUUUGCUGCUGCUAUCCGGCCAUGAAGUUUUGCAGAAAUGAAAUGAGAUUGCUGGUUCCUUUGCGGUCAUAAGAUGCUUGACGUCUAAUAUUUUAAAUACGUCAAAUCAAUUAUAACUAGUGCCCUACGCGCGCGUUUUGUGUUCGAUUUCUCUUACGUUUGUUGCACUAGUGCACUAAACCUCUAGGGUACCUAUAUUCAUAUAAAUAUUAUUCAUUCUUAAUUGUCCCAAAAUAAUGGUCCAAAGUCCCUCAAUUAAGCGCGCACGUGAAAACACGUAAUUUAAAUUUAGGCGCGAUAAAAUGAAACCUUCGACAAAUUCUUAUAACGAUCGUACCACUAACUAUCACUUGAGUAUUUAAACCUAAAUUUACCUAUUUUAGGACCAUUGUACAUGUCUCCAAAUUUUCGAGCUUAUUGUACUCCCAAUUGGCUAAAGUUUUUCAGACACGUUUUCACUUUUCACUAAUCAAGUUUUUAAGAAAAUAAUUCUUGAAAUGAGACGCUUUAAAAAUAUAACGAAACUAUAAAACCAUGUACUUAGGUCUAAUAAGGCUAGAAAAUAUUAUUCGGGGCAAAAAUCCAAAUAGAUAAUUAAUUGAGCCAAAAUUAGGGGUUUUAAAAAUAAUAAUUUUACGAGUUCUCACGUGAAUUGAGUAUUAAUUCCUCCAUUAACCUUUCUUAAUCUAUUAUUGAUCGUUCUUAAUUCUCCAAUAUUAAUAUACUCCCGAUUCAAGUAUAGCCUAGAAAAACGUGCACCCGUCGUUCCGGACUAAACAAAUUUUCGAAAAGCGAAUUUUUCAACAAAACGCUUUAAAAAUAUAAAGAGGCGUCAUUCCAUAUAAAUGGAUUUAAAAUGGUCGAAAUAAAUAAUUCGAAGAAAAUGAGUGAAUAAUCAUUUAAAUAUUCCAGUAAUAUUCUAUAAAAAUAAGAAAAUUUUCGGGUCCUCACAGAGGCCUAACUCCUUGGCCAGAUUCUAAAUCUGCGAUCAAAUAUUGAAUAACAAAAUACAAUCAAGUAGGGUUUCCAAAUAUCCAACCCUUACUUGUGAAUAUCACAAGGAGAUCAUGUGAAUAGAACUUACAUACAUAGAUUUCAUGACUUACUAACCCCGGGCAAAAUACAUGCAUGCUUGCCUUUGUUUUAGAAAAAAAACGAUCGAAACUUUUAUGUUUAAAACGUGACAUGCACAACUAAAAAUCACGUUUUAAAAUAGUCAUUACUUUCACCUUGCAAAAUAUAUAAUUUUGGCAAAAUUUCAACUUACAUAUCACCUCCAAGGUUAACUCAAACAUUCCUAAACAAGUCAAGUCCAAAUCGAUUACAAAGCACACCUCUAUGCCCACUUUUACUCACUUAUCUUUCAAGAAAUGAAAUGGAUAACAAUUCCCCCGUUCUUUCUUCAAUUUUUCCUCCAAUUUUUCAAGCUAAACUUUAUGGCAAAACAACCCAAAUCAACUCCACAACUCAUAAGAAAAAAGGGGUUCGUACACUAGACUACAAAACCAACUAAUUUAGACUUAUCUCUAGCAUACAAACAUAAUACAUCUACAUUGGAAAAUUAAACCCUAGGCUGAAAAUUUAGAAGCUAAAGCUGAAAAAUUAUAAUUCAAGGCUGGAAAUCCCUACACCCAAGUUAAAAAUCACAUUUCAAAUCUUACUAUAUUAUAUCAAAGCUAGAAAGUCCCAUGUGAACGCUGAAAAAUCCAUAUACAUAAUAAAUUUAUGAUCCAAGUAUGAAAUGGAGUGCAAGUAAUCGAGAAAGUUAGGUUUAAAAACCAGAAAAUAUUUCCAAGACCCUUCCAAGUUUUUUGUCAUUUCGCAAGAAAAAUUUCAGUUUUUGUAAUGCUCUUUGAAACGUCAUAACUUGAGUUUUGUAAGUUCAAAAAUCAUAAAUCUUAUACCUUUAGAAAAUAGACUCAAAAGAUUACAACUCCCUAGAAGACACCUUCAUAAAAUUCAGCCCAUAAAUUAGUCAAAUCUCAGCCUCAAUUCACUGCUAAAUUAAGUGCAAAAACAGGACAGUCUUGGAUUUUCAACCCAUUUUGAAAUUUUGCUGGUAUUUAUAGAAAAUGAACCAACCCAUGAAGUUUACACGGUUAAAAGAGCUAUGAGUCUAAUUUCAAAUACAACAAAUGGAACUCAAUUCAGAUUUUCUAUACCAAGAUAUAACAAAUUUUCCAAAACUGAUUAAAGUAUCUUGCUGGAAAAAUUUUCAGCAGCGCUUUCCCUUAUUUUUCCUAAUUUUCAGCCAUUUUCAAGGCUUCAUUCUCACCACAAAAUAGUCUCAACUCAAGCAUAUACAUACCAGACCAUCAACUCACUAAAUCAACCAUAUACAUAGCAUUGAACCAUCACAACUCCAUGUAUAUAUAGAGUUUCAAGUAACUACAUCAAGGCUGGAAAUUUCACCAAACCUAACAGUACCAUGAUAGCUGUCAUAAAAGUCAUGGCUUUUACCUUAUAAAGUAUCAUCCAUCAAGUAAAUACAAAAAUAAGUGGAAAGAUAAGGUAGCUAUCAAAUUACCUCUUAAAUCCCACAAAACAAUGCUGAAAAAUCACAACACAACCUGAAAAUCAUGAAAUCCACCGUAUAAACCCUUCCUUUAGCUUCUAUAACAUCAUAUAUCAAAGAAACUCAAAGAUAAGGGAGGAUUUCUAGCAAAGUUCUCCUUUUUACCUCCAAAACUUAGACGGACAGCCAAGCAAGAAGUACUCAAGGGUUUCUUCCUCCAAAACUUCUCCAAGAGCUACCCCUCAAGAUUAUCUCAAGGUUGAUUGGAGUGGAUUAGGGUUGAUCUUGGUUUUUUUUUUCCCAUGAUUCAGCAAGAGAUUAAGGCUGAAAAUGGAGUAUUUUUCUCUUCUUAUCCUAUCAAAUUUCGUCCAUCAUGGAAGGAAAAGGAAAAAAAAUGGUGAUUGACUUGAGUUGGAUAAGUUUUAAGCUUAAUCUUGACAGUAUUAAGCUUAAUCUUGGUCAAGUCUUGGUCAAGAUUGACUUGGUAUUUGACAAGUAGCACAAAUCCAAGUGAAGUCAAUCUAAUUGUCUCUCUUAUGCACUCAAAUAUCUAUUACUCCUCCAAUCAUCUCUUAACACCUUUUGUUACAUAAUUCUUUUUGCACAAAACCCUUCUAAUCCUCCAAAUUUAUUGCAGACGCCUCACUAAUCGGUCAUACUAGUAUUAUGCACUAUGAGACUUAACAUAUAUAAAAUGAAACAUGCACCAAGUAAAAUAAAAAAAUAGGUCAAAAUUAUGAUUCAACUAAUAAAACAACCAAGAAUUCAAGGCAAGUAAAUGAAAUCAAAGAAAAUAUUUAACUAAUUAUCAGGUCACAACACAACUUGCAAAUAUCUAAAAGUGAGUAAAAAUGGACAAAACCUUUUUUUUUCUUGGUCAAAUCUAGGAUUUGAAAUCUCUUGUAUUAAAAUUUCUUUCUUGCCAUAAAUAUCUCGUGCUACAAAAUGUUAGUCAAUCACUUAAAAGAAACAAUAAGGUACAACUAUCCGUUGUCAUUCACUAUAUAUACAAGCAAAUUAGUUGAAAUGAAAGGUAUGAAAAUUUUGAGUUCUCACACUCUCUCCCCCUUAAAAGAAUUUCGCCAUCGUAAUUCUAAUCUUUGCUAGCAAAACUCAAGUUUGCAAUCUCCAAUUUACUCAUGGUCAUUGCCAAUGCCAUACCCAAAAUAUACUAUAGCUACUUACCCCUAUAGUAUCCUUUUCAUCCUCAAUCGGAGUGGUCAUCCUACAUUCACUAAAAGAAUGUCACUACAAGAAAAAAGAUCAUUAGUGACAACAUUUCUUUGUGACGACAAAAAGUCGUCACAAAAUGAGGUUGUUUAGUCACGACUUUGAAGGUUGUCACAAUUGACUCAAAGAAACUGAGUUUUCAGUGACAACAUUUAAUUGUCGUCACAAAACUACUUCGCGCCAUGGGACUUGGAAGGCGCGAGAUUUGCGAUAGUGAUGAUUUGAUAAAUGUUAUCAGUAAUUCUACCGCUUUCUUUAACAACAUUUCAUUGUUGUCACUGUUUAUGUUUACUGACGACCAAUUUUUGUCAGUAAAACUAUAACGUAGUUAGUGACAACAUAAGUAUCAUCACUAACUUGAACAUCUCUGUGACGCCCCCACUUCUCCCUAAGGCGAACCAAAGGGUAUCCGCGGGACGCCUGCCUAACUCUCGCCAGAACUCAAGCAAUUCCAUUCAACUUAUAGUCGGACCACACAAUACAAGCCAAUAACUUAGAUACAAUAAAUGUGGAAGUAUUCAAACUUAAUAAUAGUCAUCCAUUCUCCAAACCACACGUCAGAAUACAGAUUACAUUUCGUCCAAAGGUUACAUUUCCAUACCAAAAGUACAAUUCCAAAACCAAAGGCAUAACUAAAAGUAAUACCAAGCCCUAAACAAAAGUACAUCAAGAGGGCUUCUCCAUUUUACCUCCGAGUUCAAACCUGUUAAGGAAAACAAAUCUACAAGGUGAGCAAAACGCUCGUGAGGCCAAGAACACACAUGCAGACACAUAGUUCAGAUAACAAGCCCAAAUACAAUUCAGGUAAUAGCUUGCAAGUAAUUAAUAACGCCGACAAAAUGUAACCAGAAACAAUUCAAGGAUAUGGAAGCUCUCACGAGCUAAGUUUCACAUUUGCCGAUGUCAUUUGUAUAUCUCCCCGUGAUGACUCUCCGUCAACCGGGUUGAUAUUUUCAUAUCCGUAGUUCACCACUUACUUCUCAUCCGUCCACCAUACACCACUUCGGGCCCGCACGACACUUAUAAGGCGAUACUUCACGAGUAUACCAAGCGAGAUCUCUCAAAUAGAUCAAACUUAUCAUGUAAUUCUCAUGGCUCACCAAGGUUCCCGACCAGGCCCAUGCCGGCUCGAGUCCCAAGGUCGGCCUAUGAGUUUGGGCGUCCCCCAUGUAUCAUGUAAAUGUCGAGGAGAUUCACUCCAUCGACGUAUGCAAUCAUAGCAUAUCAUGUCAUAAAUUCAAGCAUUUGACAGGUUUAAACAUGUAUUUCAGGUCAUAUAAACCAUGCAAAGCAUGUCAAACAUGAGUCAUUUGUUCCAAAUGAGAACGAGUGCGAUUAAGUACACACUCGACUCCAUUUUUCAAAAUCCAAUAGACUGAGCAUAUAAUCAGGUAAGUCAAGCAUGAAUCAAGACUUUAGAGCUCAAGUAGGCAUACACUUGACACUCACUAGUUAUGCAAGCAAGUAGGUUGGAGGGAGAGUUCAAACUUUCACGGUAGGGUCCUCUUGGAGGUCCUCGUGCGUGCCUGAACAUCGAAUAGUAGAUAAUUACUAUAGGUCCCCAAGUGGUGAGAAAGAUUGGACACGGGUAAGGUUCGGAAAUAUUUGAAAACUUCGUUUGACUUGUCUUUGAAGUUGGAUUCUCAAAAGGGUGCAGGACUCGAGUAAAAAUCGGAUUAUUAUCCUUAAAAUCAUUGGUUGGAAACGAGUACGAGCAAAACGAUUGCAAAACGAACGAUCGAAAUCGAAAAAGGGCUGGCCACGCCACAAUCCGGCCGGAUUUCUGGCCAGAUUGGAGGCAGUGGCUAACCUCCUUUUUUUUCAAACUUCACCACUAAUCAAGCCGACAAUCCGGCCAGUUUCUGGCCGGAUUCUGUGGAAUAGUUCCUUCGCGGAUUUCCUUUGGAAUUUCAGAAUUUUCGAUUUUUGGUCAAAUCUUUGAAAAAUCAUAAUUUCUUCUCUACAAAUCGAAACUUGAUAAAUUUGGUACCGUUGGAAUCAUCUUCCAAAGUACUAAAAGUCCUUAGAAGACAUUGUUCCAUGAAUCUAAGUGGAAGGUAUUCAAAAAUGAGUCUAAAGUUGCUGUUCUAGAUUACCAGGAUUGAGCCGGGGUUGAUUUUUCGCUAAUUUUGGAAAUUCGGAAAAAAUCACUCGUUGCAAACCGGCCCUUGAAACUUAUAACUCAAUUAGAAGUACAAGUAAAGUUUCGGACAGAACAAGCGGCUCAAGAAUCGGAGUUUCGAGCACCAAGAUAUGGUAGCUCAAAGUUGGGAAAAAUUGAAGACUGUUACAAAAUUUCCAGAUUUGGUUCCGACUUUGGACCUUUUGUUAAGUGUCGAAACGGACUUGAAUUGACACCAAAUUUUGUAGUAUAAUACUCCCAUAUGAAGGGUAUCUCUCUAUCAAAUUUCAUGGAAAAAUACCCUCGGAAAGGUGGUUAAUCAAUCAACCAAAGUUUGGAAAAAUCCUUAAGGCAAUCUAUCCAAAUCUAAGGUUUCAAAAACGAUGCAAUCGCCGUAUUUUGAUCAUAACUCCCUCAAUUUAACUCAGAAUUGGGAAUGGUUGAUAGUGUUAGAAAAUAAAUUCACAGGGAUAAAAUUGCACUGAAGAAAUCGUUACAAGUUUCAGCAUGUAACUGGUUCGAAAUUAAGCCUAAAGUUGCACCAUCAUCAAAUCAUUUCGGCAGAAUGGAGAAACAGGACAGCCGACUUCAGUUGAAUGGUGUGGCUCACACACAUGAAACCAGAAUGUGCACUAUACACCAUUGGAAACAUAGGAACGUCUAGUUUCAAAUGCCGCUAACGGCACUUGAUUUCGACGUCGGAGUACGGAGUUAUGGACGAAACACGAACACUGGUCUGGUUACGACGGCAACCGUUUUCCCAGAUUACUAGCUUUGGAAAUAAAUUCGUUUGACCCACCAAAACUCAGUAUUUUUCAACGAAAAUUUGUACACAACUGCUACAACAUGUAAACAACAUAACCAGGCCAUUAAAUCCUCAGUUUCUGCAUUAAAAUGACCGAACAGAGCAGGGGUAAAAUGGGAACUUUUUGUUUCAAGAGUUCAAUAACGUUUCUGGUAACAAAGCACCUUUAAUCUACUUCCUUAAGCUCUAAUUCAGCAACAAAACCAUCAUCAAACAUCAUCACAGCCAUCAACCCAAAGUGGGAGUUCAUAGAGCCCACGUUUAACAAUUUUCCCAACAAUACAAGCUACUAAAGUGACGAUUCUAGCUCAAAUGCAUAAAUCAAACUCCAAAAGACAAGUUUAAGGUGAUUGAUUACUACCUACUUUGAUGGCUGGUUAGGACAGAAGUUUCUGCCCCUUUGAAGCUUGAAGAACCGUGAAAGCUCCUCCCUUUUCCAGCUAAAUGUGUUGUCCAAGACUUAGGCUAAGUGGUGCUAAAUUUUUAGAAGAUUUGGUGGUGAUUUGCAUGAGUUUUGGAAGAAGAAAUGCUGAAGGUUUCGGUUGUCCCUUUUGCUGCUGCUAUCCGGCCAUGAAGCUUUGCAGAAAUGAAAUGAGAUUGCUGGUUCCUUUGUGUACAUAAGACGCUUGACGUCUAAUAUAUUAAAUACGUCAAAUCAAUUACAACUAGUGCCCUACGCGCGCGUUUUGUGUUCGAUUUCUCUUAUGUUUGUUGCACUAGUGCACUAAACCUCUAGGACACUUACAUUCAUAUAAAUAUUAUUCAUUCUUAAUUGUCCCAAAAUAAUGGUCCAAAGUCCCUCAAUUAAGCGCGCAUGUGCAAACACGUAUUUCUAAUUUAGGCGCAAUAAAAAUUGAAACCUUUGAAAAAUUCUUAUAACGAUUGUACCCCUAGCUAUCACUUGUGUGAUUAAACCUAAAAUUGUCUAUUUUAGGACCAUUGUAUAGGUCUCAAAUUUUGAGCUUAUUGUACUCCCAAUUGGCUAAAGUGUUUAGACACGUUUUCACUUUUUCGCUAAACAAGCUUUUAAAAAAUAAUUUUUUGAAAUGAGGCGCUUUAAAAAUAUAACGAAUCUAUAAAACCAUGUACUUCGGUCUAAUAAGGUUAGAAAAUAUUAUUCGUGACAAAAAUCCAAAUAAAUAAUUAAUUGAGCCAAAAUUAGGGAUUUUAAAAUAAUAAAAAUUUUCGAGUCCUCACAAUCUCUAAUGCAUUUAUUUAAUUGUGAGCCUUAAUAUUAAUUUAAUUUUUUUAAAAUUUGAUGAUUUAUUAACUAUGACUUUAUUUAAUUGUGAGCCUCAAUAUUAAUUUAAUUUUUUUAAAAUUUGAUGAUUUAUUAAACUAGUCAUAGUUACUUAAAUAUUAAUUUAAUUUUUUAAAAAUUUGAUGAUUUAUUAAACUAGUCAUAGUUACUCAAUAGGUUUUUAACUAAAAAAAAAUUAAUGAAAGUUUCUAGUUAGAACAAUUAUAUAAACUAUUACAACUUGAGAAAGAGUAUAUUUACCAGUUCUUUGAAUUUAGCAAAAAAUUUUCAUCCAUUAUAAUUUUUUGAUAAAUAUGUUAAGAAGUAGUGAUUAGAAAUACAUUAGUAAAUUUAAAUAAAAUUUGAAGCUAAAAAUUCACUUGUAAUAUUAAUAUCGGAUCAACUGUUUGAUGUCAUAAAAAAUUUAACUAUUUGAAGCAAAACCAAGGUGCAUUUACCACUUGUAAUAUUUCAACAUAAUUUUCUCAUCCAUUAUGAAUAUUUUCACAAAAAUAUUUAAAAGUAGCAAGUAAUAUUAUAUUAGUAAAAUAUUAAUUCAACUAAAAUGUUGGAAGCUAAAAAACGUUGAUUGAAAUUUUGGUACUGAACAAGUAAGGGGAAAUAUAAGGAAUUGAAAUUUCAUUCAAAGUCAAUAUUUUGAGGAGAGGCGCGGAAACACUUAGAAUACUUAGAACCAAAUAGCCAACACUACCAGUAUCCUAAAGCCAACACUACCAGUAUCACCGAACAAAACACUAGCAGUAUCCUAAAGCCAACAGCCAACACUUAGAACCAACCGUAGCACACUGCUCCUUAUCUCUACCGAAACAUCUCCUCGCCAUCUCCUAAUUGAUCUUGGCUCGGAAAUGAUCAAAUAGAAGACCACAUUUAGCAGCAACUCUCUACCAAAAAGGUAUGCCGAUUCUCGGCGGAAGAAAUUAGAAAAUGAAGGAGGGCGGCGGACAAGGAUUAACAAAGAGAAAAACUAUCGGCCAAGCCAACGGAAAAGAGAGGGAGCUUCGGCUGAGGAAAGAAUAGCUACGAAAAAAGGAAAAACAGAGGGAAGGAAAAGGAGAGCGGCGGAAAAAAAAAACAAAAGGAGAGAGUUGAAGUCAGAGAGAGGUAGACUAAGAGAAGAAAGGAAAACAGAGAGGAAACUAUGGCAGAAAUAGAGCAAAAGUAAACCCCAGAAACCCUAGUCGACGGUGAGGUGAAGGAAUCAUCCACUCAAGACAUGAAAAUAGUUGAAGCCCAAGCUGAUGACGCGGCGGUUGGCGGUGCCGGCAGUUUAAAGCGUGUCAGAAAUGAAGCUGACGAGGAGGGAGAGAACAACGAAGAUGUCAAGAAGUUGAAGGCUGAUGAUAAGCACGUGGAAGAGGAGAGAGGCAGUUCAACGGCUUGAUUGAUGUCUACCCCAGCGGUCCUCAUUGGAUGCUUGCCUUGGAGAAUUUUGCUUUGGCGAGACCGUGAGAGGUAAUUUCUUCGUUUAUAGUUCAGUCUUCCUUCUGUGUUUUACAUAGCCCGUGAAUAUAUGUGUUUUAUAUGAUGCUGGGAUUGAAAUCCAUUUUUGUUCUGAUGAAUUUUGGGGCUAGAUAUAAUAUCACUUGAACAAAGAAUCAUUGAAAUUUUUAAUGCCCAUGACUUGUUUGAUAAAAAGCCCGAACGAAAGUUUUGAACCAAAAGAGGGGAUUUUGUGCUUUUUUAUUCAAUAGGGACUCUGGCCAGUCCAAAGUUAGGCAGAAUCCGUGCGUUUGCUAGUCGGGAAGAAAAAGAAAAGCCAUGAUUCUUGAAGUUGAUUUUUUCCACUUUUUCGUUAUUGCAUUCCGCGAUGUUCAGAGCAUUUUUACCGUGUGUUUGCUAAGUACAAUUGUCAUGUUGAUUGUUCAGGAUUUUAGAUCAUAUGUGCCUUAUGUGUUAAAUUGAACUGAAAGCUCUUGCUUAUUGAACAAUUUUGGGGCCGAUUAACUUCAAUUGGAGCAAAAGUCUGAUGAAAUUUCUAAUGCCCCAACCUGUUCGACGAAAUGCCUAACUAGGUUCUGAUUGAAAAAUAUUUGCCCUGUUUGCUGGUUCACCGAGUAGCGUUUGGAACUAGAAUGAUAUGAUUUCUCCAAGUUGCCAGAUUGGUUUGAGAAUCUGAAUGUAAAUAGACAGCAAUCUAUUCGUUAGUACUUAUGGGCUGUUUUCUCUUGUUUAUCUCUUCCAUUUCAUAGGUUCCCUCUGUUUCAUGUCUCUCUUUGAUAAAUUAGUCAGAUGUUGAGAAUCUUUUUAAUGAGCGUGAGUCAUGCCCAGAAUGCACGUAACAAAAGUCUGCUGGAUGGCAGUUUGUUGAUGGGUAUUUCCUUUUCCUUGUUGGUUACUCACACGCCUAUAUGGCCGUCUUUCUUGAUUCUCCUUCCUUGCAUUCUGGUUGUGAUGUCUUAAGUCCAUCUCUCAUGUUUAACUUCGCUCUUGUUAGAUGAAGCAGUGAGUUCCGUUUAGCUGGAACCCUUUUUCUUUUAUGCUUCACAUUUCGCAAUUCGUAAAGUCCGCGGCUUAUAAAUUUGUUGCACAGCAAUUCACAAGCUCUAUGUUCAUUUGCAUUUGUUAGCAUUGAGGUUUAUCCUUUGGGUUAUGAUCAUUUCAUCAUGAUUAGUUUCCAGGUCUCCAAAUGUGUGAAGAAAAUUUGUUGUUGUUUUCCCUUCUUGCUCACUUGCCGUUUUUUAUGCUCCAUGAUGUUUCUUUUUCUCAUUUUACUCUUGCUGUGAGUAAAUCACCUUGAGUUUAUAAAGUAAGUUUAUGCAUAACUUUGCUAUCACUACUGGUCGUUGUGGAUAGAGUAGGAAGAUUUGAUAUCUGCUUACCAAUUUAGGUUAGAAAUGAACAGCAAAAACAAAGUACUGAUUUAGCUUUUUGAAUACUUGCCAAACAUUAAUGUCAUGCAAUUUCCAGUUAAGUCUAAUGAUUUGCUAUAUGGUAUCCUGAUUCUAGUUUUUCUGUUUUGCAAUGACAUUUAGGCUUUAAAGCUCAAACGGAAACUUUGAUGGCUCCUAAUUACCGCCUUUACUCUGGAAAAUCCUUUCUUUCCUUGUUGAAUUUUAUCAUGGCACUGUCUUCUUCAUUCCCUUUGUCUCUGCUGAACAAAGCUUCUGAUUUCUUGUUAGAAAUACGGUGCAGACAAUUUGCUGUUCUGUCUCAGACCCUUCGUUUCUGAAAUUAGCUCCUACUUAGUUGCCAAAAACUGUUGUUCUGAUGAUAUGUAAAGUUGAAGACGGAAAUGGUAAAGUAAUUCAAGUAAAGAACUAAUUACUAGUAAAUUAGCAAACAUGAACCUGAAGAGGACCUAAUUGUAGCGUUGACAGAAUAACCAUCUUCAAGAAGCCUUUUGAUCAACCAUGAUGCCAAAAGUCCAGUUCCUUUUAACGAAAUCACAAGUUUCCAGUUCCUUUUAAAGAAAGAUAUUCACACGGCUUUAUUUCCAUCUUCAAGGAAAUUUUGUUGUUAGUGUAGAAAAUUAGCAAAUUGGGUGGAUGAAUCAAAUAAGGACCAAACUAGUAAUGUAAAUAUAGUUGAGGGACUCUUUCGAUUUAAGUAAAAAAAAAAUGAGAGACUAAAUUGGCUCGUAAUAAAGUGAAAACACUUUUUCAGCUUUGUUAAACUCGUCUAAAGGACUAAACUAACUCAUAAUAAAUUUUGGAGACUAAAUAAUAGCUUAUGGUUUUAAUUGGUACUAUUUAAAUUAAUAUUUCCUACGCUCACAAUAUACAUAUAUAUAUAUACAUACACACAUAUACAUACUAAUGGACAUGAAUACAUAUAAAAUUUGAAUCUAAAUUGUAAAUUUUGAAUAUAAGAUUCUAACUCAAGUGCUUCGAAUGCAAAGGCUUACUAUUCAAAAAAAUACAAAGGCUUAAACGCUUACCAAUUGAGUCACAAUGCGUAGGCAUAAUUUUAGUGCUUAGGUUUGUUUAAUCACUUGCAACGUUCGAUCUACAUUUGUUGUGAUUGCAUGUAGAGAGAGAAGCACGUCUUUCAACCAACGCUAAAAUUAACAUACUAUAAUGUUGAAUUCCACACAAUUUGACGAGGCCCACCCCCCCCCCCCCCCCCCCACGAACAACUACCCUGAAUUGACAAUUCUUUUAUUUUAUUGUUUUCUGUUUGUCAAUUAUAUGCACUCACACACACACAUAUUAAUCAAUUUCUGUUUUCAGUGUUGCUAUUUACUUCAAGUUAGCAUAAAGAGUAUUAGGAAACUAAAAUGAGAAAAGAUCUACUAUUUAGAUAUUGAGCGAACAAUAAGUAGAAGUUCCUUGCCAAGUGCCAAUUAUCAACCCGAGUAAAAUAGAGAACAAAAAAAAGGCACAAGAAUUUCUUGUUAACUAAUACUCAUGAGAAAUAUACGUACCGAAAUCUUCAUUAAUCAGAAACUUAAAUUAUACUUCACCACUCUAAAAACUUGUUUUGAUUGGUGUUUUGCAAAUCAUUGUAAUCAACUUGUCAUUGCGCCAUGUUGUCUAGUACAUUUUUAGCACAUUUAAUUUUUUAUCCAAAUUUGGCUAAGGUUUCACCAAAGGCAACCUACAAUAAGACCAUGCACUAAGUUUGCAUUGAAUUUCACAGAAUAGUCCCCUUUCAUAAUCUUCAAUGGCAUAUGCCAUCCAGCUACCAAAGUACAUUGUUGGGGUAACUGCCUUCCUGAUAAAUGCAGACAAGUAAUGCAAAAUAAUUUGUUUUGCAAAGCAAGUUGCUUUCCAAAUUGUACAUUGUGCCACAACUAAUUAUGUACCUUUGUUACAUGACAAUAUUCACUGAACCUGGUAUUGCCACUGACUACUGUCACAAAUUAACACGGCCUUUUGGCUAUAUCCGAAAAGAAUUGGGAACUUGUGAUUAGUGAAUGCUUGUAUCCACCAAUCCAAACUAAAUCAAGAUUAGUGAAUGCUUGUUACUUUUGUUGUUUAUUUAGCAAUUAGAGACUGUUUUGCUUUUGUCACCUAAUAACUUUACUACUUUAUUGCAGAUAUAUUGCUCAUUUUGGAGGUUUCGAAGAAGAUUAGCAGUACGGCUUACAUGUCGGCUCAAAAACUGUGGUUAUAGUGCUGUCUUAAGUUUAGAAAAUGUUUCGGAAGCGCAGGAAAUGUUUUGGGACUUGGAAUAUGUUUUUUAGUGCAGUCUUGACUUAUAUGAGUAGUAUUUGUUCUACUCAAACUUAUGAAACUAUUUGUACUAUGAUGUUGCACUUAUUUAUGACAUUUGAAUAUUUAAUAUGUUAUUCUGGCAUAUUCUAUUGUAACGGGUGCCGACGUUUGUUAUUUAUUAAACAUUGCUGAUGUUUUCAUUUUUUAGAUAUUAUUGUAGUAGGAAAGUCAUGUGUAAGGUGUUGUAAAUGAGUAGUAUUUUUCUAGGCAAGAUGUCUUUAUUGACAAUUGUUAUUGUCACUCAAUCAAAACUGUUUAUUGAUAAGGGAUUGUUGCCACAGUUGAUCAGGGGUUUAUUGACAACAAAGUUGUCACUAAUUCCCCUAUGCCCUCACUACCGUCCCUCCAUGCAUCACUGACAAGAGAAGGUGUCGUCACUAGAUUUAUAGUUUUUACUGAUGACAUAUGUUGUCAUAAAAAAUUUCCUUCACUGACGACUCUAAGGUCGUCACUGUAUACUUUCAUUUUUUACUGACGACAUAGAUUGUCAUAAAAAAGCUUCUAUUUACUGACGACUUUAAAGUCGUCACUGUAUACUUUUACCGACGGAGAUUCAGUGACGACCCUGCGACAACUGAAAUGUUGUCAAUAAUGGUCAUCAGUGACAGCUUUUUGAUUUUUUGUGACGAAAAGUAGUUAUCACUGAUGACCAAAAUUCUUGUAGUGUGUAUACAAGAUUAGAAUCCAAACCCUUUUCUCCAAAACUUUCAUACCUAAUCCAAAACUCUCAAUCUGGGGAAGAUAGGAAUCAAGUCCAAAUCCUUAUUUUUGCAUCAAGGGGUAGGUAUCAAGGAAGUACAGGCAAGGGUAAUCAAUUAAGAGCCAAAUUAGAAGGAGACAAGUCAGCAGUGCUAGCUUUUCCAACAUGCAUGACAAUCUAACCACCAGCCAUAGAAACCCUAACCAACUAAUUGCUGGAUUAGUCCAUUAUAACACUUAUCGAUCUAUUCUUCUCAAUUAGUUCCAUUCCUACGUCACAUAUUAAAAUCUUUUGUGCCUUGACCUUUGUCAUUCAUAUUUACCUCAAACGUAGUCGUGAUGUCGACUUUCAUCCAAAUGUUCUCAACUCUUGUGUUCUCGGGUACAAAAAUCAAAAAAUAGGAUAAUUCACAACUCGAACUGGCUAUUCCCAAGUAUAAAUCAACCACAUUUAAGAUUCUUACCUGACGUACAUAUCUAAUGUCCCUAACAAUAGACAUUUGUUCCACACUUAACGAGCCAAUCCCUGCAGUCUGAGAACCCUCUCCCAGCAUGUGCUCAUUAAGAACUCUGAUACCACCUGUAACGACCCCACUUCCCCCUAAAGCGUACCCAAGGGUUUGGCGGACCGCCUACCCAACUCUCACCAGAACUCACUCACUAACGUUCUUGAAAUAACCUUUCAAUCCUCGAAAUUAACAUAAAAGUUUCAUUUCCAACCAACAAUUCAAACUUAAUUUACAAUCCAAAAGUAAAUUAUAGGAUUACAUUCUAAAGAUUUCAAAUACAUAUCAUCUACAAAAGUACAAGUACAAGAGAUUAUACAUACUAGUUCACGGCUACUUGCUCCAACCUCCAUCCCUGUAAGGAAAACAAACUAAUGGGAUGAACAAAAACUCAGUGAGGUUCCCAAACAAGCAAUCAAGCAGGCAUACACGAAAACAUUUACAUUUAACACUUUGCACACUUGGCACAAUAAUAUACAGUCAUUCAAGAGUCAAUCAUUCAUUCAUUGAAAGGAUACGUGCUCACUUAGAGCCAUUCAUUCAUUCAUUCGCCAACCAUUUUUCUUAUCCUUCCGACAUUAGAAAACAUUUGCAAGUGAAAACUCCUUCAGUGUUCAUGUCAUUCAUUCAUUUAUUUUUAUUGUAUUGAAUUCACUGGCCAGUUCUCCACUAGAUUUCGUGGUAAUAUUCAAGUAUACCAGACAUUGUCUCAGGGUCACUAGCCGCCUGACCAAGUCCGUUUCUGAGUCAAGUCAACUGGCAAUGAAAGGCAAGGGCCUAGUUCAGCCAAAAGGCUUACAUUUAUGCACAAGUAGCAUUCAAUCAUUGAAAAUUCACUUUUACGUAGGUCGAGUGCGAUAAAGUACACACUCGCCCAUUGAAAAUUCAUUUAGCAAUCAUUGGAAAGCAUUUAAUAUUUAGACAACAUUCCACAUAGUCAUUAACACUCACCAACGAUUAGUGUUUAGCAAAAUCAGGUUGAGGCCCAGCUCCUUGGCCAGAUUCUAAAUUUGCGAUCAAAUAUUGAAUAACAAAAUACAAUCAAGUAAGGUUUCCAAAUAUCCAACCCUCACUUGUGAAUAUCACAUGGAGAUCAUGUGAAUAGAACUUAUAUACAUAGACUUCAUGGCUUAUUAACUCCAGGCAAAAUACAUGCAUGCUUGCCUUUGUUCUAGAAAGAAAACAAUCGAAACUUUCAAGUUUAAAACAUGACAUACGCAACUAAAAAUAAUGUUUUAAAAUGGUCAUUAUUUUCACCUUGCAAAAUAUAUAAUUUUGGCGAAAUUUCAGGUACAUAUCACCACCAACGUUAACUCAAACAUUCCUAAACAAAUGAAGUCCAAAUCGAUUACAAAGCACACCUCCAUGUCCACUUUUACUCACUUAUCUUUCAAGAAAUGAAAUGGAUAACAAUUCCCCUAUUCUACCUUCAAUUUUUUUCUCCAAUUUUUCAAACUAAACUAUAUGGCAAAACAACCCAAAUCAACUCCACAACUCAUAAGAAAAAAAGGGGUUCGUACACUAGAUUACAAAACCAACUAAUUUAGACUUAUCUCUAGCAUACAAACAUAAUACCUCUACGCUGGAAAAUUAAACCCUAGGCUGGAAAUUUACAAACUAAAGCUGAAAAAUUAUAAUUUAAGGCUGAAAAUUUUGAUUGAAAGCUGGAAAUCCCUACACCCAAGUUAAAAAUCACAUUUCAAAUCUUACUAUGUUAUGUCAAAGCUAGAAAGUCCCAUGUGAACGCUGAAAAAUCCAUAUACAUAAUAAAUUUAUGAUCCAAGUAUGAAAUGGAGUACAAUUAAUCGAGAAAGUUAGGUUUAAAAAUCAAAAAAUAUUUCCAUGACCCUUCCAAGUUUUUUGUCAUUUCGCAAGAAAAAUUUCAGUUUUUGUAAUGCUCUUUGAAAAGUCAUAACUUGAGUUUUGUAAGUUCAAAAAUCAUAAAUCUUAUACCUUUAGAAAAUAGACUCAAAAGAUUACAACUCCCUAUAAGACACCUUCAUAAAAUUCAACCCAUAAAUUAGUCAAAUCUCAGCCUCAAUUCACUGCUAAAUUAAGUGCAAAAACAGGACAGUCUUGGAUUUUCAACCCAUUUUGAAAUUUUGCUGGUAUUUAUAGAAAAUGAACCCACCCAUGAAGUUUACACGGUUAAAAGAGCUAUGAGUCUAAUUUCAAAUGCAACAAAUGGAACUCAAUUCAGAUUUUUCUAUACCAAGAUAUAACAGAUUUUCCAAAACUGAUUAAAGUAUCCUGCUGGAAAAAUUUUCAGCAGCGCUUUCCCUUAUUUUUCCUAAUUUUCAGCCAUUUUCAAGGCUUCAUUCUCACCACAAAACAGUCUCAACUCAAGCAUAUACAUACCAGACUACCAACUCACUAAAUCAAGCAUAUACAUGCCAUUGAACCCUCACAACUCCAUGUAUAUAUAAAGCUUCAAGUAACUACAUCAAGGCUGGAAAUUUUACCAAACCUAACAAUACCAUGAUAGUUAUUAUAAAAGUCAUGCCUUUUACCUUAUAAAGUAUCAUCCAUCAAGUAGAUACAAAGACAAGUGGAAAAGAUAAGGUGGCUAUCAAGUUUACCUCUUAAAUCCCACAAAACAAUGCUGGAAAAUCACAACACAACCUGAAAAUCAUGAAAUCCACCAUACAAAUCCUUCCUUUAACUUCUAUAACAUCAUAUAUCAAAGAAACUCAAAGAUAAUGGAGGAUUUCUAGCAAAGUUCUUCUCUUUGCCUCCGAAACUUAGACGGACAGCCAAGCAAGAAGUAUUCAAAGGUUUCUUCCUCCAAAACUUCUCCAAGAGCUUCCCCUCAAGAUUAUCUCAAAGUUGAUUGGAGUGGAUUAAGGUUGAUCUUGGUUUUUUUUUUUCCAUGAUUCAAGCAAGAGAUCAAGGCUGAAAAUGGAGUAUUUUUCUCUUCUUCUCCUCUCAAAUUUCGUCCAUCAUGGAAGGCAAAGGAAGAAAAUGGUGAUUGACUUGAGUUGGAUAAGUUUUAAGCUUAAUCUUGGUCAAGGUCUUGGUCAAGAUUGGCUUGGUGUUUGACAAGUGGCACAAAUCCAAGUGAAGUCUAUCUAAUUGUCUCUCUUAAGCACUCAAAUAUCUAUUACUCUUCCAAUCAUCUCUUAACACCUUUUGUCACAUAAUUUCUUUUGUACAAAAUCCUUCUAAUCCUCCAAAUUUGUUACACACAUCUCACUAAUCGGUCACAUUAGUAUUAUGCACUAUGAGGCUUAAUAUGUAUAAAAUGAAACAUGCACCAAGUAAAAUAAGAAAAUUGGUCAAAAUCAUGAUUCAACUAAUAAAACAACCAAGAAUUCAAGACAAGUAAAUGAAAUCAAAGAAAAUAUGUAACUAACUAUCGGGUCACAACACAACUUGCAAACACCUUUUUUUUUCUUGGUCAAAUCUAGGAUUUGAAAUCUCUUAUAUUAAAAUUUCUUUCUUGCCAUAAAUAUCUCGUGCUACAAAACGUUAGGCAAUCAAUUAAAAGAAGCAAUAAGGUACAACAGUCAGUUAUCAUUCACUAUAUAUAUAAGCAAGUAAGCCGAGAUGAAAGGUAUGAAAAUUUUGAGUCCUCACAAGUUUGCUAGCUUGUCAUGGUAAGAAAAGGCAUCAACAGCACCUAUAGCAACAGAUUUAUCUCAUAUAUUGGACAAGGUAUUGAGCUUUGUGCGCUAUUAAUGAUUUGACUAAUUGUAUCUCCAUAUUUCACAUAUCAUUUGGUUGGUUAUUAGAAUGAUACAUCCGAAGGCUCCGUUUGGCAAGUGAGUUUUUUGGGUGUUUGUCUAAAACUUUACUAUAGCUUAUUGUAGAAGUUUUUAAAAAAGUUUUGAAGUGUAUUUUUUUAAUAUUUUAAAGUGUAUAGUUUAAAAACUUUGAAAAGUUUUUUGAGGUUACUGUAACUAAAGUUUUUAAAAAACUUAUAGCAGAUAAACUGAGCAAAAAACUUGUCUGCCAAACAAGACUCCUUAGCAGCUAAUGCUGAUAGCCAAAACCAAAAUGGGGCCUUAUCGGGGCCUGCAGUGAUUAAAGAAUAUAAUUUGUCGAAACUACUUUUUCAUCCUAAUGUCGCUGCAGCCUUUGCGAACCCAAUAAAUUCUACCGUCCUCUAAACCUUUAUCAACAGUUAAAACUCACACAAUUUGCCUGAUCAGAAUUGUGUAUUUGUAACAAUCAUAGCACUCCAAGAAACGAUAUUCUUCUUGAACAUAUCCCUGAACAAUCAGAUUGCUUGAAAAAGAGUCAAUAUAAGAAAUUCUCCAACAAAUCAAUCAGAAUUGCCCUGCACUCCGCAAUAAUUAUAAAUUGAAAUACCUUAACGUCAACAAUAAUUUUUAAAUAAACUCAUGAUACAAGUAUUUUUAUAUUUUUUUAUAUGAUUAUGAAACGCAAUCUAAUUAAUAAAAUAUUUUACCUGUAUCCGACAAGUCACAAAUACAAUGUAUUUCUUUUAUUUUUUUUAAGUCAAUAGGAUUGUCAAUGGCGAAAUCAAAUGAGCAAUUAUUAGUCUGCAAAGAUUGAAAAGCUCAGCCCAUCUUCACCACUGCUUUCUAAUUUCCAAGCCACAUAUAUGCAACGACUUGUAAGUCUUCAGCAAAGAGCAAGAAAAGAGUUAUAAUACAGGACCAAACUGGUUAUGAUUUAUAUUCAUAUUUUUUUCUGAGCAAUUUAUUGAUUCUUUUAGCAAUUCGUGAAAUCUCUCUAUCACAAUGUCGAUAUCAUGUUUGUCUUUCCAGAAAAAUAGAUUAUGGAAUAUCCAGUAGCUCGUGUAAAAAGAAUUGAAAGAAAAAAGACCAAUUGCUAUAUAUGUAUAUGUUUUAAUGUCUCUGGCACCAUCUGAAAGUUUUCAGUAGCGGAUUUAAACUUAACUCAAUUGUUAAGUGUUAACGAACCAACGAGAGGCUAGUCAGUUUGAUUGAUACAUGUACUAUUCAUCUUAAGUGCACACAAUUAGACAUUUUCAACAAAUUAGUUUGCCAAUUUGUCAGUUGACAAAAGAGCAUGGGUAGUACUUCUGGCACUAGGUCAGGUAUUGGAAUGAUGCAUCCCAAAUUCUUCACAAGUAUUUUGAGUAGCCAAAAACAGAGUUUGGCCUUAUUUAGAAUUGUAGUGACUUUAGAAAUUAAUUUGUUAUUGGAGCCCUUUUUUUUUUUUGGGUUGGGGGGAGGGGGGUUAUUGGAGCUUGCUGUAUAGGAACUUAAUUAUUGAAAGAAAAGUUUAGUGAAUUGAUAGUUGGAUUAGAUAUUAUUCAUUAGUGUUCAGCUUACUAUUUGUGAUUAUUAGUUGCAAUUUUAUUGAAUCAUAGUGCCUUAAUUACAUAUUGCCCACUUGUAGUUAGCGGUCAAUAGCAGUUUACUCUCUAUAUGCAUGAAAUACACAAAAUGCUUACUAAUGACUAAUGCCAAACAUUUUAACAACUAGGAAAGUGCACUUGCAUUGCACGUGUUUGAUCAUACCAAAACUUCUCUUACUUUUAUCUAUAUUGUGAAAGACUCAACUCAGAAGAUUAAUGUUUUUGCUAGAAAAGCCUCUGAUCCAUUACAUGCCAAACGUGGUAGUUUGGAGCAGCAAGCAAGGCUCAUUAACCGACAAGCAAUGCAAAACCUGUAAUCAUGAUGUAUAAGUGGCUAUAAUUCAGUAGAACAAGGAGAAGUUACUUGGUAUAUCUUAGACAGGAGCUAAAUGCUUCUCCAUUAAUCUUAGAGUUGUUGUUAUUGCUAUUGUAGAAUCUUGAGAGCUCAGGAGGCAUGAAUUCCAAUAUUCGUUUCCAUUUCUUCAUUGGGUUAAUUAAUAUGCAUUCGAAAGAAUGAUGACAAGUCAACCUUUCAAGUGCCCUUGGAAACGAUAAAUAUAUGACAUGUGUAUAAUUUAUAAAAUAAUUUUAAAAACUGAAUUAAGAAUUUUUGUAGUAUUUAACGAAGUGUUCUUGUAGGGACAAGAAAAUGUUAUAGGACAGAAGUCAUUUGAGUUGGGUAGCUUUUGAUAUGUCUUCUAUUUCUUUCUUUUAGAUAAAAUAGCACAAAACAUCCUAUACAUUUUGCCAAAGAAUUCUUUCGCCCUCAAAUUUAAAAUGCUAAUAUUAAAUUCCUUACAAAAAUAAACCAGUCCAAUUUGGACCAAACCUCUAAUUCCAACCAUCUUUUGUUAACCACUCUUCUGUUAGCAAUAAGUUAUCCAGAAGUCCUUUAAAGCCAUUUUGAAAACAUCCAAUUUUACUUUACUCUCCCUCUCGCUUUAAAAUGAGUAUCUAUUCACUCUCAAACACAAAGGUUCAAAGUUCUUCACCAAAACCUGCUUUAUUUAUGCCGGAUUUUGCCAAAAUAAUCAAAUAACCAAUGUCUUCAGAUUACCUUAUUCUUUAUAGGCAAACUGAAAGAGCUUUGAUUAGAGAGGAAUAAGUUUGGGAUUAUUAUUUGUUUGUCAACUCAUAUUCAAAUGACAAUUCCUGUAACUUGCAUAAGAACAAAAAAUCAAGAGGCAUAUUUUGGCUCUUUGGAACAUGAUGAUUUUAAGUUAAUAUAAUUAGUUAUGUGAAUCGAUAACUAUCUCGUUAUAAGUUUAGUUGAUAUUCUAAUAGAGGUUCUGGAUUUGAAUUUCCCUUCCUCCCUAUUUCUUAAAUCUCAGCUCUCCCCUAAUAAAAAAUUUUAAAAAAAUAUCUUAUAGUUAAUUCUGUAAACAAAUCAAAGUCACCGCCUUUAAUAUCAAUCCAAAAUAUUCCAAAUUCAUAAAAUGGUAUUAACUUUUAAUGACCUUCAAUUGAUUGGUUAUGGUUUGGAUAUGUUAAGUAAACUUGCUCAAAUAUAGGGUUAAGGCUAAAUUGUAAAACAAACGCAGUUCUUCAAUUUUUUUUCUUUUCUAAGCAUGGUGUUGACAUUAUUGAAAGAAAUAAAAAGAGAGUGUGAAUUAAAAAAAAAAAGGUAAAAAUAAUUGUACCAACAUAAUUAAAAUCUAAGAUUUGUCUAGCACAAUAGCUCAAAGUGUGAUAAAAUGUGUACAUGAUUCAAAAACUACUUUUUUGUGGAAGAUGGAUCCUGAAAUAAUAAUAAAAAUUCAUAUUAGAAAAUGAAUGAUGUGUGGAUAGAAAUGAUUGUAAUCACAAUCUUUAGUUUUUGUGAAUGAUUAUGAAAGUAAGAUACGUUAUAAGAGUUAGAUACGUAGAAUUGUGGGAAUUGUGGAAAUUAUGCAAACGGGCUCCUAAAUUUUGGAUAUGUAUUUUCCAUAGUAGUGAAUAUGUAUUUUUCAUAAUAAGAUACGUUUAGUUUUUGUGAAUAAUUAUGAGAGUAAGAUAUGUUAUAAGAGUUAGAUACGUAGAAUUGUGGGAAUUGUGAAAAUUAUAAUGCAAACGGGCUCCUAAAUUUUGGAUAGGUAAUUUGCAUAGUAGUGAGCUCCUUAAAUUAUGAGUUAGUUAUUACUAUGAGUCAUGUGGUAAGUGUCAAACGUGGUUUACAAUUUGUAGAUGCGAUAUUGCUGCGGUGGUUAAUAUCUGUUAGUUAAAAUUAUGGAGUUAUGAUAUUAUAGAUUAGUGAGCCACGUAAAUUAGAAAAGUGAAAAGGGAUACGGAGAAGGAAUAAGAAUUACUGAAUUAAAAUAAAUCUAAAAUUGUGGAAAGUCCUCAUGAAAAACCUGCCUUUUAAUACAUCUAGAUAUAGAUAUAGAUUUUUGGCUGAAAAUUCUCUGGAUUGAACUAAUUCUAAUGUGGGCUGGCUUAUGAUUAUCAUAUGGUUAACUUAGCAUUGUGGUGAUAAAAAUCAUCUACCUUAAACAAUCCCCAUAGAAAUCAUAAAUUUUCGAAAUCAAACUAAAUUCUUUUCCACGGUAUACCUUUUAAUUAAGUGUCAAGCUUUGUAUAAUCUCAUUAUUAUGUCAAAGCAAGCACAUGAAGAAGGAAGAAAAACAGGGUCCAAUUCUCAAAUCAAAAGGUUCAAAAUUCAUAAACAAGUAAUACACAUGUAACCAAGGUGCCAAUCAAACUAUUCAGUCAUGAAUAUAAUCAAUAGAUUAAAAUACAACAUUAAAGUAUUCAAGCAACAACAGUAGAGAGGUUUUGAAUCAUACAAGUUUUCACUUUAGAUAUAAUUGUGGUAUUCCGACCGAUCAAUCAGUGAUGAGUCUUCAUCCAGCAUUGCAGCCAGAAUUUGUCUUUUUGAAGUUCUCUUUUUCAAUGACUUCUGCUCGGAUCUUAAUAGACCCCAAACUCUCUAAGUAAUUUGAAUUUAGUUUAAAUCAUCUGUGUUAUAAAAUGAUACCUUGUCUGAUUUAAUAGAGUCCGAAUUUAGUUCACUAUUUGAUACAUCGACAUUUUUAAAGUUCUCUUUUCCAAUGACUUUUACUGGGAUCUUAAUGGACCCAAACUGUCUAUGUAAUUUGACUUCUAGUUUCAAUCAUCUAUAUUAUAAAACGAUAGCUUGUCUUCCGAUUUAUUUUUUUUUAUUUUUAUUUUAGUUCACUAUUUGAUACAUCGACAUUUUUAAAGUUCUCUUUUCCAAUGACUUUUACUGGGAUCUUAAUGGACCCAAACUGUCUAUGUAAUUUGACUUCUAGUUUCAAUCAUCUAUAUUAUAAAACGAUAGCUUGUCUUCCGAUUUAUUUUUUUUUAUUUUUAUUUCUUGUCGACACAGGGGUGUUCGGGUCAAUUCUUAUGGGGCCCAACUAAUCCCCUGCGGCCUGGGCCCGGCGCCCCAACCCGACCCGAACACGUUAAGUGCGCAGAGAAAUCCAGCGAAGCGGAGACUCGAACUUGUGACCUCAAGGUUCACUGGUGAAAGGCGCUGCCGUUGGACCAUUCACGCGGGGGCUUGUCUUCCGAUUUAAUAGGGUCCAAAUUUAGUUCAACUUCUUAUCAUGACGGAAUUAGUGAGUGGAAAAAUUCAGCCAUUAUUUGAUACGUUGACAUUUAUAAUUAAGAAUUUUUGGUUUGACAGGAGACGGGAACUAAAAGUGUAGAAGUCCUUUAAUUCACCCAUGUUUAUUGAAUAUAAUUUAUAUAGACUUUUAUAGAUAUAGAUAUAUUGAGUAAGGACUAAAAGGUAAAUCAUCCAAGAGACUUUUAUAGAGUACACACACAUAUAUAUAUAUUAGAGGUGGCAAUUUGUCCCAAGUCCCAAUGGGUUACCCAUACCCAUGGGGACUUUGGGCGGGAUGGGUACUGAAAUUUGAUAUUGGAUUUCAAAUGGGACAAAUCUCAAUUGUACCCAUUAAUUGAUGGGAAAUUUUGGGAAAUACUUGGGUACCCAUUAGGUUCAAAUAGCAAUGGCUCCGUUUAGAUUAGUUAUUUUUGGGGGGUUUUUUGAAAUAUUUUAUUGUAGUAGUGUAUAUGAAAAAUUUUUAUUAUAAAUUUUUUUUGAAAUAUUUGAUAUACUAAUAUGGAUAGGAUGUUUUUUGAGUUAUUGUAUAUUACUGUAACAUUGUAUUUGAAAAACUUAUUUUUUGAAAAAAUAGUAAAUCCAAACGGAGUCUUAGAUUCAAAAAUUAUCUUUAACAAUUUUUAUAGUCAUACCAGCGAAUAUAAUCUAGUAGUCGUCCUAGUCAUUAUCUACAAGAAUUUCCAGCAUUUUAGUCAGUUUAGACCUAUCAUCCUUGGACAAUGAUGAGAAUAAAUAUUCAACACCCUAAGUACUUUGGCUAUCUUGAUAUAUGUUGAAAUAUGGCUGUAUAUCUAUCUUUUUUUUUAUUUGUUAAUCCAAUUUUUGGUGGGAAUCCUGAGUAUAAAGCACUUGCAUGUUUAUUUAAUAAAACUAAAAGAUAUUUAAUAAAUCAAAAAUAUUAAAAUUAUAUAAAAAAUAAAAAAUGAAUUAAAGGAAAAAAAAUAUGUAGAAAAUAGAUUUGGGUAUUGGGCGGGAUCAAUCUAAACCCAUCCCAAAGUGAUCCCGCCCAAGUUAGUCCCAAAACACAUAUGGGUAAGGUUGGAGCCAAACCCAUAUGACUCGAUUCCAUUUCAAACUCAAGCAAAUCCAACCCAUCCCACCCAUUUUGCCACCUCUAAUAUAUAUUAUAUUGGUCAAUGGUCAUAAGUUGCCCCUGCAAUCGUAUGAGUUUUAUCUUUUAAUUUUCAUUUUCAUUUUUUUCCCUUUUUCUUUCUGUUUUGUCCCUUUUCUUCUUCAUCUUUUAAUGUCGCAAUGCUUUUUAUUUUCUCUUAAUAUGUGCAUAUUCAAAAUAAAACUUUUGAUUGGCUAUAGCUCAUUCAAUUUGUUGUAUGCUCUGGUUUUUCAUUUCUUUCUACAAAACUCCAAAACCAAAUACAGGGAGCUUGUGUGCAAGAGUAUUGGGAUGGGGAGGAGAUCAACAGACGAGCCAUAAAAGGGGACAAGAAUUCAACAUCCUUUCGGCUAUAACCACGCAAGACUAUGAACUUUUGUUAAGAAUAUUUCUACGAUAUUAGCUUUUCAGCGUUUAAUUUUUUCCUCAAAAGCCCAAUGUCUAGACAUGGCAUGGGUGUAGAUUUUGUAUCUCUAAAUUUUGGUUUCCACUUAAUUGAUAAUAUCCUUUAGGACUUUAUAAUUUCUAGAAUUAUUUGUUUGGAGAAAUGGAAUUUCACGGCACGCAAUUUCACUUGGAGACAGACCGUUUGUACAAAAUUAAAAGACAAAUAAUUAAUAGUUGUGUUUAAUCAUCCAACUUGUGAGUUGGGAAACAAGUUGAAGCCGUUUCACUACUGGUGAAUCAAAAUUUAGGUAGGUUCGAUUUUCAAAAAUUCAAUGAUCUAAAUUAUAUCAUACCACUUGAUAAGACAGUGUGACACAAUUUUAACCAUCGAAUUUUUAAAAACCAGUUGGAGUGAUGAUGACAAUGACCUGAUGAAGAUCAAUUUCAUCAGUUGUUGAUGCUGUUGUGGCCCUUGUGCCUUUCAUUUAGUAUUUUGGGACUAAUACAGUUAGUGGGCCUUAAAGGUUAAAAAAUAAGAAACUUUGUGGGUCCAUACAUAUAGGGCUUAUGUUCUUAUAGUGGACAUUUGUUUGUUCUAUAAUUGAACUAAUGGAUCAUAAAGCCCAAUUUAUAAAUUCCCGACUCUUCAAAGAAGUUUGGGAUAAUUUCAGAAGCCUCCCCUGAGGUUUCUGACAUUUACAAUUACCUCCCCUGUGAUUUGAACAAUUACACUGACCUCCCCUGAGGUUACUAAUCCUUUGCAAAUUCAGUUCAAAUGAUUAAAACAUUAUUUUAGAGAGUGAAAUUAGAAUUUUGUACCUAAUUUGUCCUUUGUGCCAUAUGUCCAAUGAAUGGCAAAGUAUUACAAAUUAAUUAACAAUUAAUAAAUUUUAACGAGCGUAGUUUAUAGGCAAAUAAGUAUUGCCUAUUUAAAGUACCAGCUCUUUACAUGUAUUUUACUUUCAAACAUUUACUUUAUCACAAAUAUUUAUUCUCAAAUAUAGAUUUGUAUUUACUCUCAAAUAUUUAAUUUUUGUUAAACACAAAACCUACCAGUUUUUCUUCCGUAGAAAUAUUAAUAUAACACUUUUUCAAUUUUAGUUAUAAAUAUUUAUGUAUUUAACAUAAAUUAAAUGAUUCAGGAUAAAAUAUCCAUAAAAAGCCAAUACUUUACUCAUGUAAUGGAUGAAAGUCAUAAAAAAUUAAUAGUUUGAUAAGUUGCAAUUUUAUCAUUUAUUUUAUUAUUAAUUUCUCCUAUUAUCUGAUUUGAUGUGGAUUAAUUGCUGGAUUCUACUCACUUUUCGUAAUUUGCAUAUAUUUCAGGGAGUAGAACAAAAAUAUCACAAUCAAGGCCAAUUUGGCAGUUAUCAAGAAAGAGUUCAAGUAGCAGGCAUCUAGGGACAUUUUUGGAAUAUCAAACCGCAACCCUCCUCGAUAAUUGGCCCGAAGACUACAUUAAAAAGGGGGAGCCGAAGUCUUCUUUCUCCUCUCGGGGGCUGGGCGGCGGAGGCCGCACAGUAGCAAUUAGAAUAGGAAUUCAGAUUGCAGGAGGAGAGCACUAUCCUCUGGUCUUCUUUAGUUUUUCGUCUUGUAGCGUAGCAUAGAGCUUUUGACUUUUCUUUCUCUUUAGCUUUUAGUAGUUCCUUGUCUUCCUUCGUAUGCCAGCCAAGAGUACAAGCAAUCAAUCAACUCCUGUAGCUUACUUUUCUUAUUGAUUUGAGCGAAUUGAAUUUGCCAAAUUCAUGGAUACGAAGGCCGCAACUAUUGCCGCAAUUUUGCGUGGAUUUUGUUCAUCAAAUAUGAGCUAAUUCCCUCACUCUAGUCAAGGGACAACGGAUGCUUUGGGUCGCCUAAAAAUUGUGAGAUCGUUUUAAUUUUAUCUUUUUCUUUUAUUUAUUGGUAUUUGCAUAUUCCCUGGUUGCAGUGCUUAUGAUUGUUUAAUUAAUUAAUUGUCUUGGAUCCGGAUAAUUAGUUAAUUUAAUAAUCUAUAGUCAAUUGAGACGUUGAAUCCGUAAUUGUUUAAUUGCCUCAAAAUAGUGACAACUGGCAUAAUUAGACUUGUGUCAGGGGAAUACGCGGGCUAAUCUAAAAUAACCCUGGUAGUGCGUUAUUUGAUUAGAAUAGGGCUCCUCUAAUACGUAAGGCAAUUGGGGAAUUAAAUUCUAUGGGCGUACUUAGGAUUAUUUCUCAAUUAGAGCAGUGAUUAACGGGCGUACCUUAUUCAUCGACAUAGUAAGGAGGGGUUGACUGUCAUCGCUUGUUUGGCAGUUAUAACCUAUUUAUUAGUAAAUAAUUGGAAUUGCCUUUGCUUAUCGAUGAUCAAUUAGGUGAACCAUUGUUGAAGUUAUUUCUUGGCUAGAUCCUUAAUUAUCACUUAUUAGAUUUUAGUAAAUUGUUAUUUAAUUUCUAGUUGGCUAUUUUAUUUUUAUCAUUUUAUUUUUAGUUGAAUUGUUUAAAUUGUCACUCCUGAUAUAAAACACCCCCUUUGUCACUGUGAAUUUGGAAAGGAACAAUUACUCCCAGUCCCUGUGGAUUCGACCCUGCUUACUGCUAUCUACAGAAAUUACUUUUAGUUUGAGCAGGUUUUAUUAUUGCACAGGUUUCGACAACCUGUCAAUUUUUGGCGCCGUUGCCGGGGACUGGUGCCAGAUUAAUUUGUUUCUUUUUGAGUUUAUCUUGUUUUCAUUUUUUUAAUUUAUUUUUCUCUUAUUUUUUUUUAUUUUUUUAUGGCUGCUAACAUUCCGUAUUUUGAUGAUAGACUGGACUUUAUUCCUGAAUGGGGUUAUGAGACUCGUGUUUUUCCUAAUGAUCAAUGGGCUGUUGCAAAUUGUGGAACUUAUUUUGAUUCAGGUUAUUCAACUGACACAUGCCCCGCAUUUCAAGAUAAUCUAAGCGCUCCAAUUGAUACUUUUGGAGAUUUUUCAUCCCAAUAUCAAACGCAGUAUGACCCUUAUUCAAACGGGUAUGAUCAAGAAUGGUGGGAUAAUUUCAAUUUUGAUUAUGCGACCGGGCCAAUGGAUUUUCAACAGCAAGAGUCUCAACAAUCAUCCUCCGUGUCAGGUAUGUCUCUUGAAGAAAUGAUGGAAUUACUAAUUGCUAAUACAAAUCGAUUUCAUCAGGAGACACAAGCGAGCCUUCGCGACCUGGCGGAUCAAAUGCGUCAAUUGACAUCCAGAAUAAAUUGAGUGGCUUCUCAAAUGGAAGAAUUGCCCUCGAAAACCGUUGUUGAUCUAGAAGAAAAUGAGAGUGCAAUUUACUUGACUGGUGAUGAGGAGAUGCAAGAGUGUCAAAAUGAGAAAUCUACAGAUGCAGUUGAAAAGGAAGCCGAAAAGGAAGAAAUGGAACCCCAACCGCAACCCAUUCAAGUGAAAGAAUCCAGUGAACAAUCUCCAAAUGCGGUGACAUCUCCUCCACUCUUUCAUCAAUAUUCUCCUGACUCUUACUCUUCAAUUCCUGUUAACGAAAUUGACUUUAUUAUACCAGACAAUUUUAAAUUUCAUGACAGGAAUAAAUUAAGAGUGGCGAUGGCGAGAUAUCUUGAACCAAUAAAUGCAAGUGAGGGAGGAGUGAAUGGAGAAUGCAAAUUAUCAUCGACUCGUUUGGCGCCAUUCUCUAGUCCAUGGAACCCCGUAGCUCGUGUGCUCAAGGAUUAUUCUAUUUACGAGGGUUAUCAGGACUAUAUAGAGGAUGAAGCAUUAAGACGAGCUACAAGAUUUUAUCCUCCAUGAACAAAACAUGAUAAUGUCUACCCAAAGACAUUAAAGAAAGGCGCUCAUUGGGAGGCAAUCCAAUUAUUUCUUUUAAUUGUUUGUUUUGCUUUCAUGUGAUAGUUUAAAUAUGUUUUCCUUGAAUUUGACUGAUUUCGGGUUUCAAUUUUCGUUUUUGAUGAUUUGUAGGUGUCUUUCUGUCAUGACGCGCCCGCGUCAUGACGUCUGGAGAGCUCACGGUCAGAAUCGUCAGCAGGGGUUCCUGCCUUCAUGACGUGCCCGCGUCAUGUCAUAUGGAGAGCUCCAGAUUCCGUGCCUUCAUGACGUGCCCACGUCACAUUUGUGGGAAAGGUAAGUAUUCAAAAAAAAAAAAAAAAAACUCAGAACGGUUAUUGAUUUUCGAUUAAUCUCUAAUUUUGAAUUUCGAGAAUAACAUUUGCAAAAAAAAAAAAAAAAACUUUUAAACAAAAACAAAUUUUAAAACAAAAAAAAAACACAAAACAAAAAAAAAGGAAAAAAAAAAGAAGAAGAAAAAAUUUUCAACCUAGCUAGGUUUCUCAAUUUCAAAAAAGAAAAAAAAACAUUUUUUUUUCUCUCUUCUUUCUUUUCUUUCUUUCUUUAUUUCUUUUUUUUCUUUCUUUUUCUUUCUUUCUUUCUUCUUCUUUCUUUCUCUUUUCUUCCUUUCUUCUCCUCUGUUUUCCUCUGCGUCGCCCGAAGCAGCGGCCCGCCGCCACAGCCCUCCCUUCCUCUCUUCCGCACGCACCCAGCUUGCCACGGACGCUGCUCAGCCCGUCGUCCUCUGGGCCUGCCGCCAUCUCGCGCGCGGCUUGCCGCAUCCCAGCUCUCCGCUGUCGCCCGCAGCUCACAGCAGUCCACGGCUGAAGCUCCCUCGCCCAUCGCACAAGACCACAACCAGCACGCCGCGCCUACCAGUUUUUCUUCCGUAGAAAUAUUAAUAUAACACUUUUUCAAUUUAUGUUAUAAAUAUUUAUGUAUUUAACAUAAAUUAAAUUAUUCAGGAUAAAAUAUCUAUAAAGAGCCAAUACUUUACUCAUGUAAUGGAUGAAAGUCAUAAAAAAUUAAUAGUUUAUGAGGCCAUUUAUUUUUUUAAAAAUAUUUAAUCUAUAUUAAAUAGAUAACCUACUGAUUUUUUUUGCAAGAAUAUUACUUUAACACUUUUUAAUUUUUAAUUACAAAUGUUAAUAUAUUUAUCAUAAAUUAAAUAUAUGAAAAUAAAAUAUCUGUAAAGAGCCGAUACUUUAAAUAGGAUAUGCGUAUUUGCCUAUAAACUACACUAUUUAAAGUAAGGAGUAUAGUUUAUUGAUUUAAGUUAAGGAGUAUAGUUUAUUGAUUUAAGUAAGGAGUGUAGUUUAUAGGCAAAUACGCAUAACUUAUUUAAAGUACUGGCUCUUUACAGGUAUUUUAUUUUUAAAUAUUUAAUUUACAAUAAAUAUAUCAAUAUUUGUAAUUAAAAAUUAAAAGGUGUUACAAUAAUAUUCUUGUAAAAAGAAAAUCGAUAGGUUAUCUAUUUAAUAUAAAUUAAAAUUUUUUUUAAAAAAAAAAGAAAAAAAGAAAUGGCUUAUAAAAUGUUAAUUUUUUAUGGCUUUCAUCCAUUACAUGAGUAAGGAAUUAGCUCUUUAUGAGUAUUUUAUUCUGAAUCAUUUAAUUUAUGUUAAAUACAUAAAUAUUUGUAAUUGAAAUUGAAAAAAUGUUAUAUUAAUAUUUCUACGGAAGAAAAACUGGUAGGUUUUGUAUUUAACAAAAAUUAAAUAUUUGAGAGUAAAUACAAAUCUGUAUUUGAGAAUAAAUAUUUGUGAUAAAGUAAAUAUUUGAAAAUAAAAUUCAUGUAAAGAGCUGGUAUUUUAAAUAGGCAAUACGUAUUUGCCUAUAAACUACACUCUUUAAAGUUUAUUAAUUGUUAAUUAAUUUGUAAUACUUUGCCAUUCAUUGGACAUGUGGCACAAAGGACAAAUCAGGUACAAAAUUCUAAUUUCACUCUCUAAAAUAGUAUUUUAAUCAUUUGGACUGAAUUUGUAAAGGAUUAGUAACCUCAGGGGAGGUCAGUGUAAUUGUUCAAACCACAGGGAAGGUAAGUGUAAAUGUCAGAAACCUCAGGGGAGGUUUCUGAAAUUAUCCCAAGAAGUUUAGAAGCCAAAGUAUAUAGCAAACACCGAAUUUGGGCUAUAUACGUCCAAGAACUUAUUUAAAAGCUCGACUUUGUUAUAAUAACUCAAAUUUUAUUUAAAAGCUCUUCAAAGUAGGGGUGGAGUCGAAUCGAGUUGAGUUCGAGUAGUACCAUAUUCGAUCUCGAGCUCGAAGGUUAUGAGUACUGCUCGAGCUCGAACAAACCUCAAACUUCAGAUUCGAACUCGACUCGAUGUAAUUAAAGAUAACUUGAACUCAAACUCGUAUAAGAUUCGAGCUCAAGUACUCAAACUAAGCUCGUAAAAUGAGCUCGAAAACAUUGGGUUUGUUUUCUAGACCAGAAUUCAGCAAAAAUUGAGCGCUAAAAACAUUUGUUUUCCAAUAUGACUUUGGCCUUGAGGAUAUACUACUUGGUGAAGCUAAUGACUUUUCCAUGGCAGAACUUAGACCCUGGCCAGAGUUUAUCUAGUGAAGAAAGCAUGAAGGAAUAUGCAGACUUGAAAUUUUCGUUGUUGCUUUAUGAUGCAAUGCUUAUCCUUGCUGGUUCCUCAAUUGCCUCAUUCUCACUUGGAGAAAAUGCUGCAUUAGCAUUCUUAACAGGUGGGAUUGGAGGGUUCUUAUAUCUACUGUUAUUGCAAAGGUCGAUUGAUGGAUUACCGGCUGCAGAAAUUGUUCCAACAAACAGGAUGGAAAACUUUGGUCAAAUACUGGGAAAAUCUGGAGGUUCACUGACAAGCUUGGUUUUGGCUUUUGCAUUGGCUGUUAUUGCUGCAAGAUACAUCUCAGGAGAUGCUGCCGGGGUGUUGACACCAAACGACCGUAUUUUUGGGAUGGUUGGGUUCCUUAUGUGCAAGAUAUCUGUGGUUUUGGCGGCAUUCAGACCUUUGCCAACAGGCUCAAGAGAAAACAAGUGAUUCCUCUAGCAAAAAAAAAAAAAAACCUUGCUCGUAUCCAAUUUAUGAGAAAUUGCACAGAAAGACAGAAAUAAUAAAUCAAUCUUUAACCCAAAAUUCUCUCUUUGAAGACUCUUCACUAAACAGCCAGUGGGUGGCAGAGAUUCAAGAGAAGGAGAAGAAAAAAUAAAAGGUCGGAGAAGACGAGGAGGCUUUCAUAUCAGAUGCACGGGUUGUGGUGACCAAAUCUAAAUACAGUAACCAACAAUUUCAGCAAAAAGCUUAAAAUACAAAUUUUCCUCAUGUUUUCCUUACCAGUAUGCUUAAUACAUAAUACAACCAAGUUCUUACCCGCAUGCUUAAUACAUAAAUUCGAAAAGGAGAUAAGGAGAUUCUGAACUUACAGGCGGAUUCAAAAGUUACCGGCGAUGGAUAAGCAAAUCAAUAGCUGCUCUAGGAAGCUUCAACGAGCUAGCAACAGAGACACGACUUGGGAGUUGGAAAGAGGAAGAAAGGCUCGAUGGGAAAUGCGAAGUGGGAACUGGCUGAAAGGCUAGAAAGGCUCGAUGGGAAGUCUGGGCGGGAAGUGGGAACUUGUUGACUAUUCUUUUUAGUAUAAUUACACUUCACCCAUAAUUAUUCCUCAGAAUUUAUUUACUUAUAUUAGUAAUUUUAUAUAUAAUCUUUCUAAUUUUUUAUGCGAUACUCGAUAGAGUUCGUCGGGCUUUCGAGUAUCAAAUUUAUGAGCUUGAACUCAACUCGAUAGCUCUAUCGAGCAGCUCGAGCUCGAGCUUCUGACCGAGUACAUAUCGAGCUCGAGUCGAGCUCCUCGACUGAGCUCCACCCCUACUUCAAAGAACUUAUUUAAAGGCUUGAAUUUAUUAUAGUAACCCAAAUUUUAACAAACAAACUCAAUAAAAAUAUUACAAGUCCAAGUUUGUUUAUAAAUCCAAAUUAAAUAAAAAGAAGUCUUUUUCAAGAGUAGGCUUAACUCUAGGGUCAAACCCAAAUUCAAAUCCAACUCGAACCAAUAUAUGCCUAUUUAUAUCAAAAUAGAAACUUUUUUCUUAUAGAUAAUUGAAUUAAAAUACUUUUUAAAAAGAGAAGUCUUUUCAAGAGGGGAAACUUUCCAAAAUGGAUAACUUUCAGAAUAGGGAAAUCUUUUUUUUUUAGAAACCAUUUCAGUUACUUUUUUAUAAAAGGUUCAUAUGUUUUAUAGGAUUAUUUAAGAUAAAAAUAAGUAAAUGAAAUAACAUAUGUGAACUAAUUAAGUCAUAUAUAUUAUUGGCUAAAAGUUCGAAGCAGAUUGCAUAUCUUUAGAAGAUAAAUGAAGAGGUAAAUAGAUUGACGAUCACGUUCUAGGAAUUAUAGAGUAAGGUGUAUUAAAUGAAGAGUUUGAAAUUCUUAUGUUAGAGUUGUACAACUAGUAAUGACAAUUUGAAACAUUUAUAGAUUUUAAUUUUAGUGACAUUAUUGUCAUUUUAGAGUAUUUGUAAGUUAUAAAAUUUAGCGAAUUUUUGUAAGUUAUAAUCAAGAUGUCUAGUUUUCAUGAGAAUACAGUCUCACAGGUACGCCAAGUGGUGUUGCAAAUUUAGUCCAUGGACCCAAAUUUGGAGUGAAGCACCUUCACAGACUAGUUAGUGAGCAUUGGUUUCUCCAUAAACAUUCCAAUUGACUUCAGAAAAGGAAAAAAAAAAAGAGGAAAAGAAAGAAAGAAACAUGUGAUUAUAUAUAUACAUACAUAUAUACAUAUUAUAUUCUACAAUCUCUACAAAUCAGAAUAAGGCCCAACAAAGAGAUUCAUCAAGGCAGGAACUGUAGGGACUUAGUAAAACACAAGAACAAAAUGGGGCAGAAAGAUCCCGUGAUUAGUUUCCUCUACAAUCUGCCGAGCGAGUUGAGCCUACGUCAACGUGCCAACAAAUAUUUUACCUGAAAAAGAAAAAUAAACCCAAGUUCGGGAUAUCACUCCUCUACAAUAAGCUAAUGCAAUAAAAAUAUCAACUUGAUAAGCUAAUGCAAAGAAAUCAUAGAACACGAAUAUAUUACCUUACCAUCUUAAGUGAAAAGAGUGCACACAGCUUAAUCAAAAUCACAAGAAAAGAACAUCGAACCCCAUCUGCAUAAAAAGACACAGGCUGAAAGGUCAAAGAAUCAAUUUAACAUGGUAAGGAAAGCACGAUUGACAUCUGAUUUUCUUCUCAAGCUAGUUAAAAGUGAGAAAAAUUAUUUACUGGGCUUUAAAGGAGGAAAUUACUAAUAUAAAUUUCACAUGACACAUAACAGUAAUAUGAUUCCUCUACUUGAAUUUCGACACUUCUUUUCCAUUCAAGAAAUUUGUUGGAGUCAACAAAAAAAAAUUUUGGACAAUAAUUUUAAGUGAAAAUCAGUCAGAAAAUUGAACAAUAAUUUUAAGUGAAAAUCAGGAACUCUAAAUCUCUGCGUACCUGGUGCCAUCACUGCGUAUUGUCACAAUGGGAAUGUCUUCAAUCAUGGGCCAGUAGUCUCCUCUAUCCAUCAAACACCUUUUCUCAAGAAGUGGGCAUUCAUAAAUUUCUAGAGCUCGAAGCGGAUUACUCAAAGAUCCCCUUGGUAGGGAUCCAAGCUUGGGGCAAUUAAAGAUACUCAGAUCUUGAAGAGCAGUAAGACCUCGCAAGAACGCGGAGAGCGAUUUCAGAUUUGGUAAGUCACGAAUGGUGACGGACCUAAGAGUUGGAGGAAGCAAAGCCAAUCCAUCAUCACCACUACCAGAAAAUGAUUCCAGCUCUGGAUAUCCACCACGGAUGUAGAACCUUUCAAGAAACGUCAGUCUGUUGAGUCCCCAUUCUGACAGGGGCUUCAGCUGUAAGUUUUCUCCUGCCUCUAUGUCAAGAAACUUCAGAGUGGGAGGAAAAUCUCCUUGUGGAAAUAACAAAGGACUUGAACAAGAAUACAACAACAGAGAUCUUAGUCGUCCCAAACCACUGGGCAAGUAACUAACAUUUUUGCAUCUGCACAAGGAAAGACGUUCCAAACUUGGAGUGGGCAAUUGAUCCAGAUGAUAAUCACAAUCGCUAAUAUCCAAAGACCGGAGACUUGCAAAACUGUAGACUGAACCAAGCAUUGUUCUCAAAUUCAGACAUGGGCAGUCAGUGAUUUCCAGAAUCUCAAUCGAUGUGCUGGUGUCCUCUAUGACAAUCUCCGGAGUAAGGUUCAGUUUCUGGCACUGGCUGAUCUCAAGACUCCUAAGCUGAGGGAGGAGCAACUUGUCCAUUGGCAAGCAACUGAGGGCUGAGCAUCUGCCUAUUCGCAAUGUGUCAAGACCAGAAAAUGUAGGCAAAGACUGGAGAGCACUGCAACCUUUUAUAUCAAGAUAUUCAAGCGUCGGUAAGACACCAAGCUCCUCCAAGGAUGAAAGCUGUGAACAUUCUGAAACAAAUAAACGUUUUAGCUGCACAAGGUUUACAGUAUUAUUUGAGCCAAGCUCCUCCAAGGAUGAAAGCUGUGAACAUUCUGAAACAUCUAAAGAUUUUAGCUGCACAAGGUUUACAGUUUUACUUGACCCCCACAGAUUCUUCAGUUGAUGGCACUCAUGUAAUGCGAUACCUUCAAGGCCUGAUGGAAACUGCUUGAACACAUCCUCGAGGGAUGCAAGCCCAAUAAUCUGCCCAAACUGCAAUUGGUUUAAUGAGGUCAAAUUGUGAAAACAUUUUGCAAUUCCCACCGAGCACUUUUUUAAGUUCAGUUCAGAGAGUGAAGGAAGAUGCAAAACAGGAAUGCUUUUCAACU